rnacentral:lncRNA from 1 species
AUGGUCAGAGAGAGAAAUAGUGAGGGGGAUGUGGGGCUGAUUUUCGGUUCCUCCUUCCAGAUUUGUUCCGUAAAACCUGUUGGGUACAAUUCAAUCCCUCCCCCUUUCCCCUGAACGAAAAAUUCGAAACCUACAACUCAAAACUCACUCAUUUGUCGCCCCUCCUUGGCUUUCCGCUUUAUUCAUCUCCCGGUGUUUCUUUCUCUCCAUACGAUUCGAUUUCGGUGAGUUCUUCGUUGCCCUCAUGAUUUCCCAGUUUGAUUUUUUGAGCGUCCUUAGUCGUUGUUUUUAUCUGGGUUUACUGCGUUGUUGCUUUUAGUUUCUGGAUUUUUAUUUUUUCCGCGGUUGGAUGAAUCGUGGUUAAUAAUUUCACACCAUGGGAUUUUCGCACUUCUGAUGGAAUUGAGCGCGGGGAUUCGGGGUGGGGUUUUACUGAUAAUUUGUCUUCAUUCAAAUGAAUGGUUAAAAUUUCUGAAGUGAGUGUGCAGGUGGGCCCGUUCACUAACUAAGCUUUCAAGGGAACCCAUCAACGGUUUGUUUGCUGGGGGAAUUCGGAGACUACCAGUGUAUGAUUUAGUUAUCAUUUAUUUUUUUACUUAAUUUUAUCCAUAUAUAAUAUGUGGGUAAAUUUAUACUAAACAAUUGUGAUAAGCCAAUAUGCCAUACGACUUUGAAAGCAUUGAUUUUGUGUUUAGUUUGCAUUUUUGCAUUGUGAAUGUUGAAUUUUGUAUUUAAUUUGGAUUUUGUGUUUGAAUUUGUAGCAUGAUCUUCCGCUGCAGCAUCCAAAUUUUGCAUUUGUAAAUUGUCAAAGAAAAACGAAGUAUGAGGAAAUUAUAGGAGAUUGUGUCGGCUUUGGCCAUGAAGGGUAUCAGCAGCUUGUUCCCCCAUACAGGUGAUUAAUCGUUUUUCAGUCUCUGUUCUAUUUGGAUGAGAAAGUGAUUGAAAAAUAUGAUUUUUUAUUUGUUGGUUGAUUUUGUAUGGACGAUGUAUUAAUUUUAUUUUUUUUGGGAUUUUGUGUAUUGGGUAUUGUGUAGAACCAGCAAUGCAAGAGCAGGAUCUGAUCAGUCACGCCCGAAAAGGGGUUUGUUUCUCAAAUCACAUUAAUUAAUUAGAUUAUUAACGUGCGUUGGAAGGCUCUUCAAUAUGAUUUCUAAUUUCUCCUUUCCAGCAUUCUCUUUUUGGUUUUUGGAGUAUGUAUGUGAUUUGUAUUUUUUUAUAGAAUAAAAAUUAAUAAAACACGAGAUGCAGCAAUUAAUUUGCAUCCUUAUGACAACACAUAUGAAAGUGCAUUCAAUUUCAAUGUGCGAAUGUGUGACAGGAUGUGCCUGCCUCCUUGAAAACACUUUAUGUGAACAAGUGUGAGGUUCUACAUAAAAACAGGGCCAGUAAUACCCUGAACGUGGAAUCCUUACGAGGAUCUCUUGAAAAACUGACAAUAAAUGGAUGCCCGGGUCUCUCAUUGUUACUAGAGUCGACGGAGACGCUGCCGUCGCUUCAGAAGCUUGAUAUUGAUAGUGUUGGUGGGAAAGAGUUGUUGGCGCAAAUGGUGCACAACAGCAAUCGUCUUCAAAGUUUGACUUUAUAUAAAUGUUACUCACCCUUGUCGUUCCCUACAAAUGGUCUGCCCACCACGCUGACGUCACUGAGCAUAACAGAUUGCAAGAAAUUAGAAUUCCUAUCACGUGAGAUGAUGGCCAAAUUGACUUCCCUUCGGUCUUUGCGUCUAUCCAACAGCUGUGAACGCAAAGGCUUGAGUAUUUGCAGUUUAGUUUUUUUUUUCUUCAUUUUAGAGAUUUUUCUACUGUUUGGUUUUUGGGUUUUGUCUAAUUUUUGUGGUCUGCUUUAUAGAUUGUUCUCUUUGGAAGCUUCUUUCCAGCCUUGACCUUCUUCUUGCCUGGUGCCUUCUCAUUGAGUAUUGGAGGAGCAUUAAAACACAGGUGUGUGUGUGUUUUGUCGACGUAAGAGAUGAACGACAUAAAAACAUCCAUCUCUGUAUUUUUUUGUGCUUUUUCUAACCCAUCAAUUUCUUUUGAGUCAACCAAAUAGUCCCAAAUUGCAACUUAUGUUGUGAGGUAUUAUUGUCUAAAAUUAAGUAUGCAUGUAUAUUUUAUGUUUAUGCCCGCGCACACCUCCGCAUGGUGUUAAUCUCUGUGGGUCAUCUAUGUAUAUGUAGAUAUAUCUAUAUGUGUAUGUGUGGAAUGCAACAUAUCGGAUUUAGGUUAUACUGUGCAUAGUUUUAUUGCCUGUUAUUAUCUACGAUAUCACUAUGCCAUUUCUAUACUGGCUCUGAAAGUUAUUCAUGAGCUUAUAAGCACUUACCAUAAUUUAAGCAGUCUGUUUUGGGUUCUUUUUCAUUAGGUCAUUAGCUACAGAUUAAUGGAGAAACGAGGACCAUGCCACUGAUUUGGGUUCUUUUUCUAAUUUUCUGAUUUUGGGGUUUUGCAGGGAGUACUGAUGUACUGAUUUUCUGGGAUUUUUUUUUGUCCUUGCAGGAUUUUUGGUCUUUGAAAUGGGUAUGUGUUGUUUUUAAUGUUUCAGUUCUAGCGUGUUCCGUUCUUCGUUGCUUCGUGAUUCUCAUUUUUCAGUGUUGGGUGAUGGAAAUUUGUUAAAGUAGUUGGUAGUUUUUUGAGAAAGUUGGCAUUUUUAGUUAUAUUUUCUGUUUAAUCCUAAAUGUAAGACUGGAAAAUCAUUGAAAUGAUGGUUUUUUAAAAACUCAUAAUUUUUUUGUUCUGGGAUUUAAAAGCAUCUUUUCCAGAUUGGUUACAAGGGUUAUGUUCUCUUCAAUUGGUUCACCUAAUUUUGAUUAGUUUUAAGUUUUGUCCUUUUAAGUUUGUCUUUUAAGUUUUGUUCUUUAAGUUUUGUCUUUUAAGUUUUGUUCUCUAAGUUUUGUCUUUUAAGUUUUGUCUUCUGUGCUGUAAUGAGAGAUUUCUGUUGGCUUUUCGGAUUUUGGCAUGGGAAAGUUCACUUAUUUGUCUAAUUAGAUUGUGUAUGCCUUCGAUUCUUUAUUUAAUUGUUCUGUUUGCGUUCGGGUGUGAUGAUCUAAAUUUCAUAUGUUUGGAAUUAUUUACUUAACACCAAUUUGUUACAUUCAGAUCUCCACCCCACAUUUCACUAGUUGAAAUUCCAUAGAAGUCGGUUACUGCAGAUUGCGUCUACAAUUAGAUCAGAGAUCAACUGCUCUUUUGUUAUCCUGCAGAAGAUUGCUUUUGGGAAGGAUCUGAAGUAGUUUCUCUCUGUAUGUUUAUUCCCAUGUAGCUCUGUCUUUUCUAAUUGUGUUGAUAUUACACUGUAAUUCAUGAUGAUGAUUUAAUUGUUUAUUGAUUUGUAAUUGAUUGUGAAUAAUGUGGCAUAUAUGAAUUGCAAUCUGUGUUUGUAUGAAAGGGAUGGCAUAUUAUGUUGCUGACUUAAUUGUUUAUGUUUUUCAUAUUUGCAAAUGGUGUUAUGAUCAAUUAGGUGAUUGCUGACCUGUGACUUUGUUUGGAGCUCAAAUUUUGUGAGCAUUACAUUGGAUUGUUUUGAUGUUGUUUUGGUUAACAAUGCAGCGAUAGGAGAAACAAAGAGGAUGACACUUAUAACUGCCCUUCCCCAUCGGCCGUCUUCAAAUUUGGAUCACAAGAAGGGAGCAACAUAGGUGUUUUCCUUCUUCAUUUAGAUAUGGUUAGUGUAAAUAAUUGGACAAAAGAGCCAAACAAACCCUGUUCUCUCAAAUGGAGUCGAUGAUGUGGUCGACGGCCACCAGCCCCAACUCAAGAGUUUGGCCUUCAUAUAAUUGGAUUGUAGUAUAAUUUUAUUUUGGUUCAUUUCUUUUUUCCUUUAUAUAAGUGCAGGUGUUGUGAUGUUUUGAAUAAAGGGUGAUGAAAGGUGGUUCACACACUUCCUCCUUACUUAAAGCAAGUGGAGAUGACGGUUUGUAUAAAAAGAAAAACUUGCCACGUACUUCAAUUUUCUAUUUUAUUAAUUAUUGUUUGGUUUUCCAAAUGUUGUAUUCACUAAGAGACCAAUUAUGUCUUUGAGAAACAAGUUUCUUUGUCUACAUUGCGAGAAUUUGCAGUUUGCAACUUUCAUUGGUUAUUAUAUUUGAUUGAGUUAAACUUGGAUUUCUGGAUUUUGACUUUUUCGUUUGUUUCUUUGUUGCAGAGUUGGCUUCAUUUCAUUCCAGGAACUGUCUAAAUAGGGCCAAGAACUCACUAAUAGGUAGUCAAGAAGAAUUCAGUGUUGCCUUCAAUUUUUGCCUUCUGUUUACAUUCUUCCUGGAUGCACUCUCACCGCUUCUCUCGCUUACCACUUUUGUCUCACUCACCGCUUCAUCUCUUCUGUUGCUUACAAGGUCGUGUCAUAUAUUUUUUUAAUUUUGUGUGGUUUAAUUUAUUGAAUAUUUGAAAAAAGAGAUAAAAUUUUCAAUUUACAAUUACUGAUAUGAUGUUUGUUUUGAAAAUCAUUAAGGUGAAUGGAGAGAUUUACAACCAUGAAGAGCUGAGGAGCCGUUUGCCAAAUCAGAUUUAUAGGGCUUCAUCAAUUAUAAAUAAACGACUUUUCAUUCCCAAUGACCUUUAUCGUUUUUCUUAAUGGGUUAGCUGAACAUGAGGUAGAUGCUGACUUUAUCAAAUAUGAGAAUGUUUUAGGAUUUCAUUCUAAUUUUUUGGCUGUUUGAUUACUUUGCUUUUCGUAAUUUGAUUUGCUUAUCGUCAAUUGGAUGGGAUAAAACAUAUUUUUGUAACCAGUUUGUACUUUUUUUUUCUUUUUUUUGUGGAAACUAACCAGUUUGUACUUUUACCAAUUACCAUAUCGGUUUUGAUGGAAUUGGAGCUUUCAGUAAUGGGUUCUGAGGGAAUUGGAGUUCUGAGUAAUGGGUUUUUUUUAACAACUAUAGUAUCAUUUGUGAUUCAUUUAUUUAUAAGAUAUUAUAUAGGAAACUGUUUUUAGCACUCUAAAAAUCUUAUUCUACACUCUCGACAAAUGUAUUUUUCUUUCUAAUUAUGAAAAGUUUGGAGGGCAAAAUGAGAAUUGUGGAGUGCCAAUAACAAUUCCCUAUUAUAUAUAGCUCUACUAGGAAGGCGACUGUAUGUCUUCAUCCUGUUAAAUUGUAUAUGGCUCUUGAUGUCGGCUGAAUUAAAUCAAAAUGAAAACCAAGCUGCUGAUCUUACCAGCCCAUAUCACUUAUCACUUGCUUAUUUAAAUUAUUUGAAGAUGCGUAUGUGGAUUGGUGAUUUUGUUGGAUUCACUUGGCUCAAAUAUAUGUUAUCUGAGUCGCUACAUUUGAGAAUGUGAUUUUGUUCCUACCACCAUUUUGCCCACUUUUUGUGGAAAUUAUUUCUGCUUGUUGUGAAUGAUACAUUCAUCCCCGGCAGCAAAGUGCGAAGUGCGGGCGCAUUUUCUAGUUUAAGUAAAUCACACAAUGGGUCAUCAAUAAUAACAAACUUGUCAUUUAUGAGAGUCAAACAUGAGGCCACCUACCUACUAGUUUAGUGGAAUACCACAAGUGACAUGUUGAUACCUUUAAAUCUCAUAUAAUGGAUUGCAGAAUUAGGAUAUUCCUAGACUAAUUUAGUUAGUGCGUGAACCCGAACAAUUAACAAGGGUUUUAUUCUUGCUUGAAUGUUUGUUAUAUGUUCCUAGUUUGACAAGGCAAUUAUAUUUCCGACUACAAGUUAUUAAUUUAGUCGAGAAUUGACGCACCUGAAAUGGUGUGAGGAAAACAUGUAUCCACAUGAGCCGCAGUCCACUGUCCUUGGCAUCUAUCUUUAAAAGGCUCGAAAUGAAGCUCAAAGCCAUACAUGAGGGCAUUGUGUAUGUCUUUAUAAGAGAAGUUGCGGUAGUCCUCAACGUAGCCGGCAGCCAAACUCAUCCACUCUACACUGCAACCAUCAUCCAAUUCCCAUACCUCCCUGAACCUGUCCCCAACAUAUUCCCCGACCAUGACAUAGCUAUUCGUUUUUGGUUGACUCGAAGAAGAAGAAGAAGAAGAAGUAUUAUUCAAGCAUGGAGCAGUGUCCACGUACAGAGAAGAAUUCGAUGGAUUCGAACACUUCAAGUAAUAUAUAGAUAGAGAAUUAAUGUCAUAGGCGGGCCAAUAUAGAGAAUUGAUGUCCUCGGUGGUGGGCGGAAUAUUUUGAGACAUGGAAGAGCAAUUGUUGUUGUCAAGCCCAGGAUCUCGAAGUCGGAUUGUUUUGUUAUUAUAGUUGAUUGCCUGGACAUGGUACUUUCCGAAAGAAGGUAGGUCUAGUACUGUAAUGUUGCUCUCACAGGACAGAGUAUACGAUAUGUUGCCACAGUACUUUGGAUCAUCGUUAAGUCGAAAAGGAUGGCUUAUGUUGUGGAUAUGGCCGCAGGAUGAAGUGCAGGACUUGGCACUACUGUUGUCAGCGUUACAAGUUUCACUGCAAAAGCAAAGAAGAAGAAAGGCUAAACUUAAGGUGAAGGACCUGGUUCCACUAAUUUCCAUUGCUCUGAGAGAGAGAGAGAGAGAGAGAGAGAGAGAGAGGGUACCAUAGCUUAAACACCAAGGAGUUAUAUAAUAUGGGAGGGGUUAAAGCACCUCGCUUACAGUUGCAGUAAGCCCGUCAAAUAUCCUAGGGAAAAGUCGGUCAAUGGUGUCCUAUAGAGAAAAGUCGGCCUUGGUGUUUGACACGGUCACUCAACUCUCUCUCUCUCUCACAUUGACGAGGGACACUGUAAUUGAAAAAAAAAAAUGUUCUUCAGAGAUAGAUCUUGAAAUUCUUAUUUUAUAUAAAAAAAACACCUAAUAUUAAAUUAUUAAUCAUUCAAAUGAAAUUCUUAAAAUUAAGUAUAAAUAAUACAUAACGAAAACUGAGCACAUACAAUCAACGGUCACGAUCGUGAAAUCCUCCGGAUCCUCAGAAAAAAAUCCGACGAUGAUCUUUUUCUGUGUAAAAUAAUUUGAGGGUAUAAUACUGGAUGUGGAGCCAAAAAUAUUCGCUAGGCGACACGUGGACUUUUGGACAAAAGAGGACAAAAAUACCCUCGAAGCAUACAAGGAUUCCUACGCGCGAGCAGUGGGCAAUCAUCUUUCAAUCAAGUCAAAAGUGCCCAAAAAAGGUAACAAUUAAAAACCUCUCUCAUCAAAUCCUUUCUAUAAGGUAUUUCCCAAAACCUAGUAUUUUCUAUUUCAUUAUUUAGCUAAUCAAUUAGCUAAAUAAUAUAAACCUACCAUAUCUCCUAAAAUCACCCAAUUAAUAGCCCAAAACCGGCCCCCACUAUUCACAUCCUCAUCUUUCCCAUUUUCCUUAUUAAAAUAAUCAUUCAUUUUUAUAAACCACCCAUUUUAUUAUUUUCAUAUUUAAUUAGCCAAUAAAUUGGCAAAUUAAACAUGAAAUUAACCCCCACAAAAACCCUAUGGCUGGCUACUAUUAUUCAAAAUAGGGCAAACCCUAACUCUAUAAAUAAACACAUAUUCUCACCAAAAAUUCAUUCCAACUCUCUCACAAAAAAUCACAAAUACUCUAAACACUAUUUCUCUCUAAAAUUCUAACUUUGGCAUCAGAGGUUCUUCGGCCAAAGCCCCCCCCAUUCAUCGUGGGCGCGUGAGGCUCUUGGCCUUAACCUAAGGUGCUAGUUGUUUUGUAGGUGCAAAAUCGUCCAAGAUCGAAGAGGAGAAAAUUUGCAUCCACAAAUUGGUGCUUUCAUUGAGAGUUGAAAUCCAUACUCGUAGAAGACUCUCGCACAAAAAGGUUUUUUCUUUUAUUUUCUAGUCCAUUUGAAUAUUUUUCAUACGUUCUUAUUAUUAGAAUUUUUUUACUUGCAAAGGUUCUUUGAUAAAACGUAUAAGCAAAAUAUAAUGGCUAGAAAUUUAGAAAAUUCCACAAGUGAAAAUUCUAAUGUUCAAGAAAUGGGAUUGCGGAGAUCCGUGAGGCUAAAUGCGACAAUAAGGGGAGCGGCAUCAUCAUCACGAGCUUCCACCAUGGGAACCACCAUGGUGGCUACCUCGGUAGCCACCCGCGGCGAGGUCCAUGGUGCCUUCACCACGGCCACCAUGGGAACCACCGCGGUGGCUACUUUGGUAGCCACUCGUGGCGAGGUCCAUGGAGCCUUCACCACGGCCCGGAGAUCCGUGAGGCAAAAUGCGACAAUAAGGGGAGCGGCAUCAUCACCACAAGCUUCUACCAUGGGAACCACCGUGGUGGCUACCUCGGUAGCCACCCGCGGCGAGGUCCAUGGUGCUUUCACCACGGACACCAUGGGAACCACCGCGGUGGCUACUUCGGUAGCCACUCGUGGCGAGGUCCAUGGAGCCUUCACCACGGCCCGAGCCGUGCCAUCCAAGGCUCACGGUACCAAGACCACGAUCCAAGCCGUGCCAUCCAAGUUUACGUGGACCCAAGCCCAAGCCUCGCAUUCACAUGCACCGCGCAUUGAGCAGCCUGUUCCCGUGAUCCAGCCUGUUCCCGUCAAGCAACCCACUCUCACGGCCCAACCUGCUCAUGCCGAGCAGCCUGCUCUCGUGACACAGCCUGCUCCCGACGAGCAGCCCACUCCCGUGGCCCAGCCUACUUUCGUCGAGCAGCCCACUCCGGUGGCCCAGCCUGCUCCUGCUAAACAGCCCACUCCUGUGGCCCAGCCUCCUCUUGCUAAGCAGCCUGCUUUCGUCGAGCAGCCCACUCCGGUGGCCCAGCCUGCUCCUGCCAAGCAGCCCACUCCGGUGGCCCAGCCUGCUCCUGCCAAGCAGCCUACUCUCGUGACCCAGCCUGCUUCCGACGAGCAACCCACUCCCGUGGUCCAGCCUGCUUCUUUCGAGCAGCCCACUCUCACGGCCCAGCCUACUCCUGUGGCUUUCCAAGCAGCCCAAGUCGGCCCAAGACUAUCUCCCGGACCUACCAUCGAGCCGAGGGCAUUCUCACCACAUUUUUUCACGGAUUUGACAUUUCCCAACUCAAAUCUCGCGCCCGGAGUCUACCACAUUUCCACUGCCCAAGGAGGCGCAUUCCUUCCAAGCUCUUCCAAUCCAAAUGGCGAACAACACUUGUCUCGACAAGUCAUAGAGUUGACGAGCGCCCUUGCACAACAGAAAACCUUGGUGAAUCAACUUUUGCAACGUAUCGGGAUCCAACGUGCCCCGGACGAGGUAUCCCGAAGUAGGACAAGGGCAAACGAACAUUUCCAGCAGCCACUCGACCAGCCACGAGCCGAACGUUUGGGCAGUGUACAUUCCCGUCUUAGAGCGCGAGGGAGCAUGCACUCUCGACUAGGCCCACGGAUGAGCAUACAUUCACGGUUGGGGUCAUACUCCGAUAGUCAACAUGAGCAACCUUCCGGGCAAAGUGUCUAUUCGCAGCUAAGCCCACAAGGAGCGUCAUCCACCUCACAUCAGAGUAGGCAGCACGACGGACGGAGAGAAGCAGUCACUCAAUCCAGCUCAAGUUCAACCAGCAGCCUGCGAAGAACUCGCUCGCCUACUAGGAACGCACCACAUGCACUGCAUUCGCGGCAUAGACGAGCCAAACACAUGGAAGAGCAGCUUAGACCAGCAAGUCAUGACUGGAGGCAGCCAAGAGCUCCGCUACCCCAACAAAGGCAAAUUCAGGAAGAAGUAGAGAGACUCUUGACCAAGCGAUUGCAUGAUUUCCAACGCAACGAGGUCACCGACGAGGCACUACGACGGAACAUGACCAACAUAAGCAAGCAGGUCACCCUUCACGGACGAGAUCGAGCAGGCAGAGCCUCCACGAGAGUUCAGCAUGCCACAUUUCACAUCUUUCAAAGGGGAUGAAGACCCGGAGAGACACUUAAAGCGCUACCGAAGCGCAAUGAUCCUUUAUCGAAACAACGAUGAGCUUAUGUGCAAGAUAUUCGCCACCACUCUACAAGGCGAGGCGCAAGAUUGGUUCUACACCCUGCCGUCACAAUCCAUCCGGAAUUUCUACGAACUUUCUUUGGUUUUCACCAAAGAAUAUUCAUCCUAUCGCUCGAUCAAAAAGAAAUCUGAUCAUUUGUUCAACGUCAAGAAGAACCCAAAGGAGUCAAUUCGCGACUAUGUGAGGAGGUUCAAAGUAGAGAAGGCAAAAAAUAGUCGGAUGCAACGACUCGAUAGCUAGAGCAGCCUUCCAAAAAGGACUUCCAGCAGACCACCCGCUAUUUGGAAAAUUGAUCAUGAAAGAAGAUCUAACUCUGGCAGACUCUUUUGCUUUGGCAGAGAAGUAUGCACUUUGGGAUGAGGCUCGCCAAUGCACAUUCAAGGACUUGAAGAAGUACCCGACAUCACCUCCCUAGAAGCAGCGGAGGACUUAUUCACAUGUUUGACGAUAUCUAAAGUAGCAAUAAGCUCUACCAUCAUGCGAGAAGAGAUGGGGGCCCGACUACCUGUAUUCCACAGUUACCUGUAUUCUACAGUUCAAAAGCUCUCCUCGAUGUUAUUAAAAAUUCAAAAGCUAACUUUGGUGAUAGUUGUUGCAACCCAGAAGCACAAGUUUUACUUUCAAACGCAUGCAAUCAUCCUAAUGACGUACUAUUCUGCCCAAUCCAGACGCGCGACGAUAAAGGUGUAGACCAUGGCGGAUGUAAAGUUUUCUGACGAACGCAACACUAGAAGGACACACUCGAAAGCAAGUUUUGUCCUCGUCACCCUAAAAGAUUCUACAUAGGAGCAACAUGUACCGGCAGUUGAGUACCAUUUCUUGCUGCGCAUCACACGGCCCUAGCCGACCCUUGCUCAAUGAUUCAACUCUAGAGUGGCCCAAUACCGGCAGUUGAGCAUCUCCUGUUGCGUAUGACAUGGCCCCAUCUCCACAGCUCCCUACUGCGUCUUCACGCCGAGCCUAAGUGACGUAACAGAGCAGCCCAACGAUGCCUCAGAAGUAGCCGAGCACACUCUAGCUGCGCCUACUCCACCCGAUGGAGACUUUUGGCAUUUGCAUGUCGACGACGCAGAAAAGCCUUCAUCACUGCCGGCAGAGAAGGCUCCAAAAAGAUGGAUCCCAUCUGGGAAGGUCCGUACAAGAUCAGCAGAGUAGGGGGCAAGAGUAAUUACACCCUCACCACCAUGAAGCAGCAAAAAUAUUGAAAAGAAAUGGAUGGCCUACAAUCUGAAGAAGUACCAUGUGUGACCUCCCGCUACAUCAAAACCCGAAGACUCAAUAAGCUCGACGGGCACCACCUCACAAGCUGGGGACUAUCCAGUUGUUAUGCAGUUCCUACCUUACAGCUAAAGUUCUCGUUCGUUUCACUCGUUUUUCAAUGAGGAAUUUAGAAGUAAUCACAACUUGGCUUGGUUGCAUGCUUACAACAACUAAUCACUCCUGCACUUCAAAAGAAGAUUGCGCCCUUCUUAGGGACUCAUCGCAGGAAUUGCGCCCCCCGAGGGACCAACCAUGCUCUCCAGUGCGAGAGGGUAAACCAAUUCUCCGACACCCAUAUGGGUCAGCUCUCCAAGACGGGAGGAUAAACUUUACACUCCGAAUAUCCAGACGUGGAUGAGCCUGGCUGCCCUAGUAUAACUAGAUGCACGAUGGCUUGCGCCGGGAUUCCUAGAAGUAGCCGCAAUGGUCUUUUUCAAGGCUUAGCUAACUGAAGGAUUUUGGGUCUCUUGGCCUAAUCCGUGGGGAACCGGGCCCUAGAGACGGAGAGGGCACAUUACGCAGUACAUCCGAUGGACGGCUGCCCUGGAAUCCUAAAGCUGCUACCGAGUGCACUAAGGUAGCCUACGGAUUCCGGAAGACUGCCUACGGCUUGCCCUUCGAGCAGUGAAGCCGCACUAGACUUAUACAACCGCACAUUCUUGUGAAAGGUUAAACAAGCUAGCGCGCAUAUACGAAGUUUUAUCCACUGCCGACAUGCUAUGUAGUUGAUAAGCUUCACCUCUGCCAAGCGCGGAACAACCUACACCAAGUCCUAAAGUGUUGUGAUACUUGCUACGCAACCUACGGAAUUGAAAAAAGUCAAGGUUAACAGCCGAGUGGUUACGCGGACUUGUCUACUUCUGUAAGUAAGGCAUCCGGCUGCCAACCCUAUGGCUAACAACUUUGCAAAGUUCUACACCAACACCUACGGCUGCAUAGGCUACGCGAGUUUGUCUGCUUAUAAAAAAGUAGCAUGCCUGCCACUGGUCUAUCAAGUCUAAAGGUUAGGGCAUGAACAAAAGAAGUGAAGAUGAAGAAAAACGAAGGAAAACAUGUUUAUAAACAACUAGCAAAGGCCGAAUGAGUUCAAGCAAAACAAGAGCUACAAGGAAAAACAAAGAAAAUCCUAAAGGCUACCUAAAAUACUACACUACAGCAGCUUGGACAUCCCACGACUACUCGAUCGCCACACCUUCAACAGCCGUAACGCUCUUAGCAGCGGCAUCAUCCGGCGCUUCACCCCCCGGCUGCCCUAGUCUGGGCACUAACUUCUCCAACUACUUCACCAAUGGAAGCCUUAAAAGUAAAAGCAAACAAGUCUUCCGGAGAAAUAGAGAAGGUCUUAAAACCUCAAGCCCAUCCUUCUCACCCUUCAGCUGCUCAUUCUUCUUAAGCAGACUAACACGGACGCGCUACAGCUCAUCCACUCUCUUCUUAGCAUAAGUAGCGAAACGAAGCUCAGAAAUUGCAAGCUUAAGAUCUUGAAUCUGAGGCGAAUCAAUCUCAGCAGCAAAGGGAGCAGGCUUUGGCGCCACUUUAGCAGCAGAGUCCACCUUACCACUCUUCAUAAUAGCAAGUCUCUAAAAAGGUGAACCGGACUUGGCUCCCAAAGAACGUCCUGGUACAAACUUCGGCACUGGGGGCAUGAUAAAACCUUUACGCUGAGUAAUCUUAUCCACAAUUGUACUAGCCAUUCUCAACAUGGAAGACGCCACAUGCUCAGAUCUAGCAGCCUUACAUUUCUUCCCAUUGGAAGAAGUCAUGUCAAUCACAUACCUCUCGGUAGCAAGUGGACCAUCAUGAGCAGCAGAAGAAGUCUUCAAUUUUUUCUUAACUGGCAUCUCAUGAGCAGGUGGGGAAGAUCUCUUCUUUCCAUCUUCAUUCAUAGUAAGCUCCACGAUAGCGAUCAGAUGAGCCAAUGCAUCCGCCUUGAUCCUCUUUACCUCCUCUUUCCGGAGCAGCCCACAUUUCUUUCAGCAAAUAGGACUAAGCAGCCAACGACAUUCAUGGUACUCAGCAGGGGAGCUCAACCCAGUAUUCCAGCAGGCAGGAGGCCUGCAUGCCCAACAUUCCAGCAGCCCGUGAGACCCGCAAUCUCCUUAUUUCUCUCAAUCGCAAGCCUGGCCUGAGUCAAGUCCAAUAGCCCAAAGGACAUGAGUCAUGCGAUUCGCCUAACACUGCGCCUCAGCGCCACAAUCCUCGACCCCAGCUGCACAAGCUGCCCUUGGUUCUAGCCAAGUCAAGCAGCUUAAAACAGUGGUCCCUACCACAAUACCUCAUCGGCCCAUGUCGAGCCGACUCCUGGCCUAUGCCAGCCGACGUGCCGCACCACCCCGAUGGCUGCCCUGCAAUAGCACUAUCCAAGAAGAAGGCAAGAAAAAUUAAAUUUUUCUUACAUCGGUGCGGCACGAAAAAGACGAAGAAAUCAACGAAAGACGGUCUUUUGCACAGGCAAGACGUAGAAGAUUGCUAGAGGAGAGGGAACAAAUAUCCUCUAACUUUCUCUCUCUUGUUGGGUAGAAUAAAUCGCUCUCCAAAGUUGAUUUAAUAACCCACUUAAGGUGGACUUAAAUAGGCUUUGAGAGAAAUUUAUUUCCCUUUCCUAGAAGGAUCUAAUUUCCAUUUAAAGAGAGAAUCAACAACAAAAUAGGAAUCAAUUUAGAGUUGCCUAAAGCGAGAAAAUCUCUACACCUGUUGCCCUUUUCUGCAAGCAGCCCAACAGGUGUGGGGGCAUUUGUGGAGCCAAAAAUAUUCGCUAGGCGACACGUGGACUUUUGGACAAAAGAGGACAAAAAUACCCUCGAAGCAUACAAGGAUUCCUACGCGCGAGCAGUGGGCAAUCAUCUUUCAAUCAAGUCAAAAGUGCCCAAAAAAGGUAACAAUUAAAAACCUCUCUCAUCAAAUCCUUUCUAUAAGGUAUUUCCCAAAACCUAGUAUUUUCUAUUUCAUUAUUUAGCUAAUCAAUUAGCUAAAUAAUAUAAACCUACCAUAUCUCCUAAAAUCACCCAAUUAAUAGCCCAAAACCGGCCCCCACUAUUCACAUCCUCAUCUUUCCCAUUUUCCUUAUUAAAAUAAUCAUUCAUUUUUAUAACCACCCAUUUAUUAUUUUCAUAUUUAAUUAGCCAAUAAAUUGGCAAAUUAAACAUGAAAUUAACCCCCACAAAAACCCUAUGGCUGGCUACUAUUAUUCAAAAUAGGGCAAACCCUAACUCUAUAACUAAACACAUAUUCUCACCAAAAAUUCAUUCCAACUCUCUCACAAAAAAUCACAAAUACUCUAAACACUAUUUCUCUCUAAAAUUCUAACUUUGGCAUCGGAGGUUCUUCAGCCAAAGCCCCCCAUUCAUCGUGGACGCGUGAGGCUCUUGGCCUUAACCUAGGUGCUAGUUGUUUUGUAGGUGCAAAAUCGUCCAAGAUCGAAGAGGAGAAAAUUUGCAUCCACAAUGGAUGUGCGAUUAAACCGAAGAACCCACCACCUCCAUCUUCUCCGACCAACUUGAACCCAGCCACUACUACAUGUCAUCCCGACAACCCACUCUCAGCUUCCCAAACCGCCAUUUUUCACCCACUCACUUACCUCUCUCUCUCUCUCUCUCUCUCUCUCUCUCUCUCUCUCUCUCUCUUACCCAAGCCACUGCCAUUAUUCAUUCAAUCAACCCAAAACACGAGAGCCACCCCAUCUCACCACUCGAACAGAUGCAGCCACCCACCCAUUUAAUCCCAGUCCAAAAUCAAACCCUCUCCUAAACCCACCCCAGAAUCCAAUAAUUUCAAAAAAUGGCUGAUUAUAUCAUUUCAAGAACCUCACAAUUCCAAAAACUAAAAACCCACUUCAAAGAUGUAAUAUUUUUCUCUCUUCCUCUUUUUGGGUUUUUUUUUUUUAUCAAUUCUCUUCUGGGUUUUUGUUUACAGUGUAAAAUCAACACUAAUUUACUAAUUUUGCUUUGAUUUUUCAAACACUAUUGAGGCGUGAUAACCUGUUGCAAGCUCAGCCAUGGCGGCUACUGCAAAAUCUAACGGAAAAACCAUCACAGACUCUGCCAUUUCAUCCAAGGUUCCGACAAUAGCAAACCCUUUAACGAAUAGCUGUCGCAGAUUUCUUCCAACAUCAAUCACCACGCGAAAUUAAUUGUCAAUGAAGACGAUCCCAUUCCCCUUCGAAAUCUGCUGGGGGAAAGAGGCCUUCUUUCAUAUCUGCUCUGAGACCUGUUUAUGCGAGAGAGUGGUGAGCCUGACGACAGAGAGAAAGAAGGGCAGGAUUGGAAAAUUGGAAAGUUCAUUUAUUGGUUACUGUUUAUCCGUGUUUCUUCGAAAUAAGCUGCUUUUUCCAGCUUUGGGUUUUCAGUAUUUUUUUAACCCAUAAUUUUGAAAGAAAAAAAACUGAUUUGAAAUGUUAUCAAACACUUAAAAUGUUCCAAUCUUUUUUCAUACCUAUUUUUUUUAUUAAAAGUUAAGCUAAACAAAAACCAGGAUUAAGUUUACUACUUUGAAGUUUCUUGCUUUUCAACAUUUCAUACAUUGAAUUUUUCUCAUCCAGUGUCAUACCUAAGGUGAGAAUUGUGGGACACUUUUAUACAUCCGUUAGAUUUUCUGUGAAUUAUGGGACACUUUUAUACAUCCGUUAGAUUUUUUGUGAUAACCUUCGCUGACCCACGAUGCGGCAUGCAUGUGGACAUUAAAAAAAAUUCAAAAAUUCAAAAAUUCAAAAAUUUUAAAAUUUAAAAUUCAAAAAUACUAAAAACCUAAACUUUUCAUAAUAUUGAGUUGAGAGACUGAAUCUUUUCACACUCGGCCAAAUUUUCUUUGAAUUUUAAUUAAAUGAAACAAUGAAUCUUGAACAAAGCAAAACAAAACGUAAUAUUGAGAGAUUCAGUCAUUGAAGUGGACGUGGAUGUUGGGUACUCAAUAGUCCAAGAAUGAAAAUUCUCAUAUCAGUUUCUAUCCAAAAUUUUGGAAUUAUGUGUGUUGCAACGAUUGUCCAAAGGAUUAUUCUUCUUUUAUUAAAUUUCCAUGAAAAAUGAGCAUGGGGGCAUAAAAAUUGAACGAAUGAAAUUUCAACGAUUUGAAAAGGGUUGUGAGUUUGACACGUCAUUUUUCUUCCUUUAAUGCAAUCAUGUUUAUUAAAAGACAAAAAUAAAUAUGACUUUACAUAAGGAGAGAGAAAGAAUAGUUUUCUUUGAAAAAAUCAACCAUUUAUUGAAGAGGGAUGUUGAUAAGGAGAUGAGACAUUCAUUAGAAGCUAGAAAAAAGAAGUUAAAAGUGAUUUAGAAAAAAGCAAGAAAGCCACAUUUUCAAAGUGGUGGUCAUUGCACAAUACUUAAUUAGAAGAAAACUCAUAGUAUUGUAUUUACAAUUUCAAGUCUUUAUGGGGAACGAGAGUGCAAAUUUUCCAAUUGGAAUAUGAUAUGAAAUUUCUAGAUAACUAUAUAUGACAAAGAAAGAAGUCUAAGUUUCUAAGUGGUAGGGCUUCCAAUUGAUGUGAGUUUGUUGAGAAAUGUAGAUGAAGAUGAAUAUUGUUGUUGAUGUUAGUGAACAACAGAACAAGUUGCUUCUCCUUUGGCCUUCUAACAUGAUAUCACGGAAAACAAGUUGUUGCUAAUAAAUGUAUCUGAUUGGUGGACUUAGACGUGCGCGGUACGAUUUUUGAUAACGAGAAAAGAUGGACAGUGUCAUGACAAAAUUUAUCCAAGUAGACCCAAAGGAAAGACUUAGGAACUUCAUAUGCAGUGGGAUAAAAUCUUAAGCUAAUUUCCUUACCUAUUUUAUAGUCAUUAAGUAAAAUGUAUAUGUAUAUUUCUAGAUGCUGACACACCAAUGUACUUACUAUUAACUCCUUUCAAAUACCCAUUCGCAGAAACGCAAAUCUCUCUUGCAUGCUUGUUGUAAUGCUCAUGUAGUGCGUAUCUAAUAUCUUAUGUGUAUAAUUUUUUGUGAUCCAUUUUUUCAUCACUAUGCCAAAAUCCCUUUAGAAUUUGCAAUUUAUCCAUUUGGUUAUGGUAAAAAAAAAAACUCGGAAUUUCAUUUAAACUCAAAAAUCUAGAAUUGGGAAAGCAAUUUUCCCUUGUUCGGCAACUUGUAGCGAUAGCAAAGGCAAAUUGUACAGGAAAAAAGUGGAAAUUGGGGAUGAAGAUCCAAUUUUAAUUUCGUCAAAAUAAGUGUAAUUUCACAAUUCCAACAACGUUGAGAACAAAUGCAUUGCGGGGAAAUCUUGCGACCACCAAACUUUACGAUUAGAGGGCCAAAUUUCAUGAUAAAACGUAAUAAGGGUUUAGGACUGCAUCGUUCACUUUGUUAACUCUCCAAUCUUCGACGGGAUUUUCAACUCGUGCAUCAUCUUUUGCUUUGUUCUAGGUCAAAGCCUACUCUUUUCUUUCUUGAAUUAUUUUAGCUUUGAGGGUAUACUCUUUAGGCCAAUUGUGAAUUUUGCUAGUUAUUUUUAUUUUCUGAUGGUCAUAUGUUUGUUUUGUUUUUUUUUUCUUCCAAUUGAGAUGUGUAUUGGUUGGAUCAGUAACUUUUUUUUUGGAUUUUUAUUUUUAUUUUUAUGGAUUUUGGUGUUAGUUCCUUGUUAUAGAUGUUGUGGAGCAAAAAAUAAUCUCAAAAAUCGUGGAGGUGACACACGGAUUUUUGGACAAGAAUGACAAAAUUAUCCUCGAAGCACAUCAGGAUUCCCACGUGCAUGCAACGGACAAUAACGGCUCAAUCAUGGAAGAGUCAAAGGUGAUCAAUAUGGUAUUUAUUCAAAUCCCUCUCAUCACUCCUCAUCAAUCCCUUUUUUAUUUUAUUCAAAAGGUAACUCCCAAAACUUCCUAUUUAAUUUAGGGAUCAUUGUCAUGUUAAUUGCAAGAUAUUAUUUCACAAAAUAUCUUGUAAUUAUUCUUCAAUUACCACCAUGUAUGGCCGGCCACUCCUCACAUUAUGGGCCGGUCACUCCUCACCCUAUGGGUCGGCCACUCCCUAUAAAUAGCCCUAUUAUUCCACUAAUAAGGAAGCCAUUUGCUACCCACAAACUCCUAAACACAUUCUUUCAGAAUUCUAACUUUGGCAUUGGAGAUUCUUAGGCCAAAUCCCCCCUCCCAUUCAUCAUGGGCGCAUAAGGCUUUUGGCCUUAGUCUUAGGUAUUAUUAUUUUGCAGGUGCAUUUUUGUCAAAGACGAAGAUGGUGAAAAUUUGCAUCCACAAAUUGGUGUUUUCAUUGAGAGUUUGAUUCAUAAGCUCGAAGAAGACUCACAUUCAAAGUUUCACAUUUCUCAUUCAUAAGUAAAUUUUUCAUACGUUCUUAUUCCUAAAAUUUUUUAAAUCUUUGAAUAGACGUAUGAGAGAAAUACAAUGGCUAGAAAUUUAGAAACCACGACGAACGAAACUUCCUACGUUCAAAGAUCCAGAUAAAAUGAUGGAAAUUGCGAUGUAGCCCCACCACGACGAUCCACGAAGCUCAACGUGGUGGCAAAAUGAGUAACUUGGCCACCACGGAGUACCACCACCACCAUAGCCAAGGCAACCCAUGUUGCAGUGGGGAGUGGGACAGCUUCAUGGCAGCAAAGCCACGAAGCAACAAUAAAUGCCAUCUUGCAGUAAUGAGCCCAGGCCCGUGUCACAAGGCAGUCAACCCAGCGCUAGGUAACCUAGAUCUAGUAGGCCCACGACGUUGCCAUAGCAGCUGAGGCCUAAAGCAAGGCCCAAACAGUUGCGGUUGCGGCAAAUGGAGCAGCACAACACUGGCGGGGCCAAUGCACCCUUGGCCUAAUGCUAAGCAGGCUAAAUCGCACCACACCCACUAUUCAAACUAACCCUAAGUUGAGUAAGUAGCAUUGAAGGUUGUCAACCGCAAGGCGUUGAAGUACGAAUAAAGUUACACACCCCGCACAUGACUUGGCCCACUUCCGCGGCCCAACUUGCUCGCAAGGUCCACCUAGUGAUCCCGACUAGUCGAAGGCCAGUUUAAUCAUCCCAUCUUCAGAUUUCUGGACUGACGAUUGAAUCGGGGGUAUUUUCACCCCGAUUUUCUACAGAUUUGACAUAUCUCAACUCAAAUCUCGCACUUGGAGUCCAUUGCACUUCCAUUACUCAAGGAGACGCAUACCAUUUAAGAUCUUCCAUCCCAAAUGGCGAACAACACUUGUCUCGACAAGUCAUAGAGUUGACAUGCGCUUUUGCGCAGUAGACGACCUUAGUGAAUCAGCUCUUGCAACGCACAUAGAUGCAGUGUGCCCCAGACGAUGUGUCCCGAAGUAAGACAAGUACAGAUGACGAUUCUCUCCAGCAGCGUCCCAACAAGCAGCCGCUCGACUAGCCACGAACCGAGCGUUCUGGCAGUGUACACUCCCGUCUAGGUCCUCAAGAAAGCGUAUACUCUCGUCUUAGCGCGCGAAUGAGCGUGCACUCAUGGUUAGGCCUAUGGACGAGCAUACAUUCACGGUUGGGACCAUACUCUUAUAAUUAACAUGGACAACCUGCUAGACGAAGUGUUCAUUCGCGGCUAGGCCCGCAAAAAGCAUUUUCCACCUCAUAUUGGAGUAAGCAGCACAGAAGACGAAGAUAAGCAGUCAAUUAAUCUGGCUCAAAUUCAAUCGGCCACCUGUAAGUAACCAGUUCGCCUGCCAAGAACGUAUCAUAUGCAAUGUAGCCACGACAUAGACUAGAUGAGCACAACGAUAAGCAACCUAGACUAACAGGUUACGACUGGGGGCAGCCAGAAGCUCUGCUGCCCCAAUAGAGGUAAAUUUAGAAAGAAGUUGAGAGGCUCAUGACCGAACAAUUGUGCGAUUUCCAACGCAACGAAGCUACUGACAAGGCGCUUAAACGAUACACGACCAACAUAAAUGGGUCACCUUUUAUUGACAAGAUUGAGCAGACAGAACCAUCCUACAUACACUGGCGGAUACAAAGAUUACAUCUAUUUUAACAUAUGCAUCAACUCAGCCUAAUGGCGUGUCGAGGGCAAAUGGGUACCAGAAUGGCACACCAGCCCAACCACCAAGAACCAGGGCCAAAUCUUAUUUUCAUCACUCCACACGAUUCAAUACUUGAGCAGCACAUCACCAGUAAUCGAGCACCGCAGACCUAAUGGUCCAAUUCCUCCUGAUGCACACAAGCUCACCCCAGCUCCACGCUCAAAGCCUUGCCUACCUGCUCCACAACACUCAGCCACCCUUGAUUUGUCACCAUGGCUCACAAUUAUGCCAAUUUUGCACCACAGCUCAUAGCCGUGCUAAUCUUGCCAUGCGGCUCUUAACUACGUUAACCAAGCCCACGAUACUUUAUACUUCAAAGCAUCCAACGACGGAGUAGAACACGAGGCUCUACUAGCAGCCCCUGCUAGUGAAAGACUUUGCGGUGAAGAGGCUUCCAAUCCAUUCAAAUUCUCAGUUGACCACCUGUUGGGUUUUACGACUCAAAAUUAGGAUGAUGCAAAAAAAAUUGUGUUACCUAUUUGGUUUUGGUGUCGUAUUUGGGUUUGGAUUUUGACCUCUUAGUUGGUUUCCGUGGUGGAGAGAUUUUGUUAAUUACCUAUUUGAUUAGGAUUUGGAUUUACUUCCUAUUAAGAUUCUUAUUGUAACCUAAGUCUUAUGCACUAUAAAUAGGACCUCAGGGUUAGUGUAUUUUGUGUGGCUCAUUCGUGUGGCAAUUUGGUGAGAGUCAAUUUGUGAGUUUGUGAGUUAGAGAGCAAUUUGGGAGAAUCUUCUCCGUUAGUUUUGGGUUCUCUACUCGUUUGGUUUAGGGUUUGUAAUUUGUGGGAUUUGGAUUGUGAGAGUCUGAACACUAUUUUGUAAUCUCCGUUUGUUUAGUGAAAUUUCUUGUCAUGCUUCGCUCGUGGACUUAGAUUUUACACCGAACCACAUAAAUCUCUUGUGUUAGUUUGAGAUUGUUUGUUUUAGUUUUCACCUACGACGUUGAUAUCGGUACUUUGUUAGAAUUCGCUUUCCUUUGCUCAUAAAAGUACAACAAGUGGUAUCAGAGCCCGGCUUUCGGCUUGGGCUUUGCUUGGCAAUCACUAUGAAGCCUUCUGUGUCGUCGGUGAAAGUUGAUAUUGAAAAGUUCGAUGGCAAUGACUUUGGUAUUUGGCAAUUGAAGAUGCGUACUUUGUUAAUUCAACAAGAGCUUUUAAAAACGCUAAAGGGUGUGAAGGCUUUCCUGAAUUCGUGGACUGAUGAAGAAAAAAAAAGAUGUUAUGGAGCGGGCACUUGGAACAAUCCUGCUAACUUUAUCGAAUGAAGUCUUGCGUCAAGUUGGUAGCAUCAAAUCUGCACCGAAGUUGUGGCUAAAAUUGGAGAGUUUGUAUAUGACCAAAUCCCUUGCUAAAUGGUUGUAUUUGAAGAAAAGUUUGCGUACUCUUCGUAUGGAUGAAGGUACGUCAAUUCAUAAGACCAAAUCCUUAUUGCUGCCAAAAGUCCUCAACAGUUCCAAGGGAGAUGGGUAAGAGUUCGUAAUAGUGAGAGAUUGAAUCUUUUCACACUCGGCCAAAUUUUAAUUUUAAUUAGAUGAAACAAUGAAUCUUGAACAAAGCAAAACAAAAUUUAAUACUGAGAGAUUGAAUCAUUGAAGUGGACGUGGAUGUUGGGUACUCAACAGUCCAAGAAUGAAAACUCUCAUAUAAGUUUUUAUCCAAAAUUUUGGAAUUAUGUGAGUAUUGCAACGAUUGUCCGAAUGAUUAUUCUUCUUUUAUUAAAUUUCCAUGGAAAAUGAGCAUGGGGCACAAAAGUUGAACGAAUGAAAUUUCAAUGAUCUGCAAAGGGAUUGUGAGUUUGACAUGCCAUUUUUCUUCCUUUUAUGCAGUCAUGUUUAUUAAAAGACAAAAAUAAAUAUGACUUUACAUAAGGAGAGAGAAAGAGUAUUUUUCCUUGAAAAAAUCAACUAUUUAUUGAAGAGGAUGUGGAUGUUGAUUGAUGCGCAUUGUGAAUAGGAAAAAAAUAACCUUGAAGGGAGACGAGACAUUCAUUAGAAGCUAAAAAAAAGUUAUAGUGAUUUAGAAAAAAAAAGUUUUAACGAAACAUUUCCGGUACUGUUUACUCUUUACGAAAAACCACAUUUUUACCUUUCCUAACUACUAUUCACUACAUCUUUAUUUAUCAUUUUUCAUUAAAACUAAAGUUUUUGUUUUAACUUUUCGUUAGUUUCCUUUAGAAAAAAGCAAGAAAGCCUCAUUUUCAAAGUGGUAGUCCUUGAAACAAUACUUGAUUAGAAGAAAAGUCAUAGUAUUGUAUUUACAAUCUCAAGUCUUGAGGGGUAACGAGAAUGCAAGUUUCUAAUUGGAAUAUGAUAUGAAAUUUCUACAUAACUAUAUAUGACAAAGAAAGAAGUCUAAGUUUCUAAGUGGAAGGGCUUCCAAUUGAUGUGAGUUUGUUGAGAAAUGAAGAUGAAGAUGAAUAUUGUUGUUGAUGUGAGUUAGUGAACAACAGAACAAGUUGCUUCUCCUUUGGCCUUCUAACAUGAUAUUACCGGAAAACAAGUUGUUACUAGUAAAUGUAACUGACUGGUGAACUAAGACAUGCGGUACGAUUUUUGAUAACUAGAGAAGAUGAACAGUGUCGUGACAAAAUUUAUCCAAGUAGACCCAAGGGAAAGACUUAGGAACUUCAUAUGCAGUGGGAUAAAAUCUUAAGCUAAUUUCCUUUUUAAUCUUAUAGUCAUUAUGUAAAAUGUAUAUGCAUAUUUCUAGAUACAUACACACCAAUGUACAUAAUAUUAACUCCUUUUAAGUAGUCAUUUGCAAAUCCCUCUCGAGUGCUCUUUGGAAUGCUCAUGUGGUGCCGUUCUAAUCUCUUAUAUAUAACUUUUUGUGAUCCAUUUUUUCAUCAAUAUGCCAAAAUCCCUUUAGAAUUUGCAACUUAUCUUUUUGGUUACGGUAAAAAAAAAACUCGGAAUUUCAUUUAAACUCGAAAAUCUAGGGAUGUGAAAGCAAUUUUCUCUUGUUCGGCAACAUGUAGCGAGAGCAAAGGCAAAUUGUACAGGAAAAAGUUAGAAAUUUGGGAUGAAGAUUCCCAAUUUUAAUUUCGUCUAAAUAAGUGUAAUUUCACAAUUCUAACUACGAUGAGAAUCACAAAUAUAUUGCAGGGAAAUCUUGCGACAACCAAACUUUACGAUUAGGGUGCCAAAUUUCGUGAUAAAACCUAAUAAGGGUUUAGGGCUACAUUGUUCACUCUGUUAACUCUCCAAAUCUUCGACGGGAUUUUCGGCUCGUGCAUCAUCUUCUUGCUUUGUUCUAGGUCAACGCCUCUACUCUCUUCUUUCUUGUAUUAUUUUAGCUUUUCAGGUAGACUCUUUAUGGCUGUUGUGAAUUUUGCUAGUUAUUUUUAUUUUCUGAUAGUCAUUUGUUUGUUGUGCGUUUUUCCUUCCAAUUGAAUUGUGUAUUGGUUGGAUUUGUAACAUUUAUUUUUUUUAUUUUAUUUUAUGGAUUUUGGUGUUAGUUCUUUGUCAUGGAUGUUGUCCUUUUGAAGGUUAACAAUAGCCAAGACUAAACAUGAUGAUUUUGGUGUUAAUUACUUUCUCAUGAUACUAAUGCCAUAUUGUUCUCUAUUUUGCACUCACAAGUAAAGAGAAAUAUCCUAGACCCUAACUGGAUAUGUUAUUGUCAUGGUCAUGCAUUGGUAUGGUAACAAUAUGUUUGGAUAAGGAAAAUAAACUUAGAAUUUGACAAAAGAUAAAAUUUAUAAAUUGAUACAAUCAAUUCCUUUGUUUAGAUUCAUAAACAUAGAAAUUUAAACUUUCCGCGUGAGAAAAAACUUGGAAUUUGGGACCUUCAAUUCUCAUGUUUAAAUUUUAUGUAAAUAGGUGUCAUUUCUAAAUUUCAGUAAGUGAGAAUUUAAAAAUAACAAACAUGUAUUCAAAUUUCAUUCAUCUUUUAGGUUAACCAAACAAGAAAUUUUAUAAAUUCUAGAAAAUAAAAUUUCGUUAUUUCAAUUUCUGUUAUUUUAAAAUUAGUAAUCUUAAAUUUUCUCAUCCAAACAAAAAGUUUCCUUGUCAUAGAACUUUCAAUUGGGAUCAAGGAAGACAAUCUUUUCACAACUGAUUAUUCUCACCAAAUUUUAUUAUUAUUUUAAAGCAGAUCAAUACCAAACUUCAAAAGCAAAGUAGGAAGGCUAAAAUUAAGGUGAAGAACCUACUUCCACUAAUUACCAUGGGAGGGAGAGAGAGAGAACCAAGCGAGAGAGAAGAGAGAGAAAACACCAAGUAGUAUUAUAAUAUAGGUGGGGUUAAAUCACCUUUCGUGAAGUUGUAGUAAGAGCAGCUCCAGCGGGAGCUCCAACUUGAUGUACCGGUGAGAUUUCCUACCCAAUAGCCCCAGCUCCUUGCUCCAGUCCAUGCGGGUGAUUGGGCUGAGGGGGGCCGAGUGAGAGGCCUGACUCGAAUCGGUGGCCUGAGAGCCUGAGACCAAAAAUUAUCUUUUUGGAUAAUGACACGUGGUGCAACGAGAACGAUUAAAAAUCUUAUCCGAAAUUACAAAUAGAAUUAUUUUGUAUUAUUUUAUAAAAUAAAAAAUACUAAUAUUUUAUUGCUUAUUGACAUGACUAUUCAAUUACGGGUGGAGAUGCAGAAGACAAUUAUUAUUCAUUAAAGGUAAUUAUUGUUCAUUGGAGGGGAUUGAAUAUGAAGUUGCACUAGAAGGCCUUUGUCACGGCAAUAGGCAAUUACUGUUCUAAGGACUUCUAUCCUAGAAGAGAGACAAAAACACCAAGUAGUAUUAUAAUAUAGGUGGGGUUAAAUCACCUUCCGUGAAGUUGCAGAUAGAGUAAGGACUUCUAUCCUAGAAGAGAGACAAAAACACCAAGUAGUAUUAUAAUAUAGGUGGGGUUAAAUCACCUUCCGUGAAGUUGCAGAUAGAGUAAGGACUUCUAUCCUAGAAGAGAGACAAAAACACCAAGUAGUAUUAUAAUAUAGGUGGGGUUAAAUCACCUUCCGCGAAGCUGCAUUAAGGACUUCUAUCCUAGAAGAGAGACAAGAACACCAAGUAGUAUUAUAAUAUAGGUGGGGUUAAAUCACCUUACGUGAAGUUGCAGUAAGGACUUCUAUCCUAGAAGAGAGACAAAAACACCAAGUAGGAUUAUAAUAUAGGUGGGGUUAAAUCACCUUACGUGAAGUUGCAGAUAGAGUAAGGACUUCUAUCCUAGAAGAGAGACAAAAACACCAAGUAGUAUUAUAAUAUAGGUGGGGUUAAAUCACCUUCCGUGAAGUUGCAGUAAGGACUUCUAUCCUAGAGAAAAGUCGGUCAAUGGUGUUUGACACAGUCAGUCAACGAUAAAGACAGAAUUGUGUAACCAUAAUUCUCUCUCUAUCUCUUUUUCAUUAACGGAGGACAGUGUAUAAUUACUACGUAUACAUCUCUGCUCAAUUAUUGAAAAGAAAAAUCCAUGUGCAUUAUUUUUAUUAUUAUUAUCUCAGAAAUGCAGAAAUUGAUCAUCUCUUCCUUCUGCAUAUUGAUACUGGUUUUCUUCAAACUAGUUGAAGCAAGCCAAUAUGUGUGCGCGAAAUCCAACUGUAGCAAUGAUCAACGCCCGGCUAUCCAUUUCCCAUUGAACAUCAGGCGCACACAUCAUUGUGGAAAUUCUGGGCUUGAAUGCAAUGGGAGAUAUGGGCAGCAAAUACUAAUAAAAUUAUUUGUCAAACACAUUGAUUACAAGCGUCAGGAAAUCCAAGUCUAUUCCCCAAGUAACUGCCUGCUGCUAAAGCAUGUUGAAAUCCCAAACAUGCCACCCUCUCCCUUCAACGUGUCAGUCGAUGACUACAUGAGUACCCUUACCUUAUUCAGUUGUCCUACUUCUGUUGCAAGACGAGAUACGUAUCAAGUCCCCUGCCUCGGCGACCCUGGCAAGAAAACUUAUGCCAUUCGUUCUUACUAUGAUUUUGGAACUCUCUUCCAGAAUCUACAAUCCUGUACAAAAAUGUAUGAUGUUUUAUCAGUUCCAAUAGCCUAUGAAUAUUAUGUUUUUCGUUUCAAAUGGUCUAUACCAAAUUGCAGAAAAUGUGGAGAGGGAAAGAAGUGUGGAUGGCAGAACAAUGAAAUUAAAUGUCUUCCCUGGAGGAAACCAAGUAAGGAUAACAUAUGUAUUCAUUGCUAGUUUUAAACAUCUUUACAUUUAUGUCUUAGUAAUUAUUAUUUGAAGGAUGUUGUCCAAUCCAUUUUUACUAGGAAUAUUACCUGACAGUCUCGUUUAAAUUCGCAAUGAUCUUCUACAGGCAACACAUGGAAAAAAGUGGUUACAGGUGGAAUCCUGUGUGCUUUGCUUCUUGUUCUACUGACGAUUGCAGCAUAUCGGGUAUAUAGCGCUGAUAGAAAGGAGAAAGAGAGUCGAUUAAGAAUUGAAAGAUUCUUGGAGGACUACAAAGCACUCAAACCAAGCAGGUAUUCGUACGCAGAUAUUAAGAGGAUUACAAAUCAAUUCAAGGACAAGUUGGGCCAAGGAGCCUAUGGAACUGUCUUCAAAGGAAUGCUCUCUUCUGAAUUUUUUAUUGCUGUCAAAGUCCUCAACAGUUCCAAGGGAGAUGGGGAAGAGUUCGUAAAUGAAGUGCGAACGAUGGGUCAUAUCCACCAUUUAAACGUGGCUCGCUUGGUUGGAUUUUGUGCUGAUGGAUUUGUACGAGCUCUUGUUUACGAGUUCUUCCCCAAUGGUUCCCUGCAGGAUUUCAUUUCAUCUGCAGAUAGUAAGAAUUCAUUUCUUGGUUGGGAUAAACUGCAAGAUAUUGCCCUAGGCAUAGCCAAAGGAAUUGAAUAUCUUCACCAGGGAUGCGAUCUACGAAUCCUGCAUUUCGACAUCAAACCCCAUAAUGUUUUGCUAGACCAAAACUUCACUCCAAAAAUUUCUGAUUUUGGUAUGGCCAAGUUAUGUUCCAAGGAUCAAAGCUUGGUGUCCAUGACUACAGCUAGGGGGACCAUGGGCUACAUUGCACCUGAAGUGUUCUCCAGGAAUUUCGGAAAUGUGUCUUACAAGGCAGAUGUCUAUAGCUUUGGAAUGCUGCUGCUUGAGAUGGUAGGAGGAAGGAAGAAUAUUGGUUCAAUCACGGAUAACACUACAAAUGAAAUUUACUAUCCACAGUGGAUUUAUAAUCUUCUAGAGGAAGGGGAUGACCUACGAAUCCACAUUGGGGAAGAAGGAGAUGGUAAAAUUCCAAAGAAACUUGCAAUUAUAGGGCUAUGGUGUAUCCAAUGGCACCCGUCGGAUCGUCCUUCCAUGAAAAUAGCGGUUCAGAUGUUAGAAGGAGGAGGAGAAAGCUUGAGUAUGCCGCCUAAUCCCUUUGUGCCUACUGGUUCUACAACUAGGAAUGCAAGACGCCUAGAGCUAGAAGCUAUUGCUGAAUUAGAGUAAAAUGUAUAUGCAGAUAUGUAGACGUAUAGAUAUAGUAAUAUUUAUAUUGAAUAAGAGGCCGUUUGAUAACCAUUUCGUUUUCAGCUUUUAAUUUUUAUUUUUCACUUUUUUGAAAACUAAAAACUAAAAUCUUGUUUGGUAAAUACUUUUAGUUUAAAAAAAUUAUGAAGACUGAGAACUAAAAUGUGAAAGCUCAAAGGAAGUAGAUUAAAAGUAGUUACCAAACAAACUGGAAUCUCAAUAAUAAAAAAAGAUUGAAUUGCACAAUGCAAUCCAAACCAAUCAAAACAUUAAAAUAGCAAAAAAAAAUUAAAAUUCUAGUUGAUUAGAUUCUAAACGUAGUAAAAAUGAACAGAUCCAAUGAAAAAACAAAAAAUUCUCAAAUAAAAAUAGGGAUAAAGUAAAAUAUUUAUAAAUAGCUCUUUGUCUCUUAUGUCAUCAAUUAUUUCUAUAGUAUAUACAGGUUUUUGGAAAAAUUAGGUUCUCAUCCCUUAUUUUCAUAUUACAUUGAUUGAAAUCUUAUUAUUUUUCUAUUUUAGAUCAAGGUCCCUUGACUUAUUCCAUGUCAUCAUUUUAGUAUUUAAAAUAUUACACGUCAUCAUAAACGAAAUCUCAUCCCUUUCUGCAUUUAAGGCAAAAUAAACUAUAUGAGUAAGUUUAAAACAAGGAAAAUCCAUUUGAACUCCUCCAUUCUUCUUCUUCCCUUAUGCACAUCUGGAAUCUACAACACCCCAAACCCAAUUUUCUCCAUUUUUUCUCCAUUCCUGAAUUGAUCCAAUGCAUAUAUGUUGAAUAAACCUAUUGUGAUUAAAAUACAAAUUAGCAUCAAUGGUUUUAUCGGCUUGUGAGAUUUGUGUGGCAUAGGCAAGGCAAUGCAGGCAUUGCUUUCUCAAGGAAUCUGGUUGAUUCAAACAUGCAGAGACUGUAGAGUGAGCGGGCUAUGUGAAAAUUGUACCAUUCUGAAGUCAUUUUCUUUUGUUCUUUAUAUUUUUUUUCUUUUUCUUUUAUUAUUAUAUAUUAGUCUUGGUUAUUCAAUGUCUGGUUGGCUACACUUAUAUCCAUGGGUACAUUUUUAAUCUACAUGUUUCGUUCUAAUAUAUCUAUUGCUAUAAUAUGUUUUGGUUGGUUCAAAUUUGUUUUACAUAAAUAUAUGGGUACAAAGUUUUUGGAGAAUAUUAUGUAAAAUGGUUUUUAAGGUUGCUGCAUUUUACGUUCCCACAUAUGCAUGUCUAUAAAACAAUGUGGUAUGAUGUACAUUCUUUUCUUUGAGUUUUUAAAUGUACCCAUGAGUUUUCUUGUAAAUUCGUAUGUACCCAUAUGCUAUUUAUGUUAUGGGUACAUACAUUAUUUUUGGUCUAAGUUCAGGAUACAUUGCUUUUGUAUGUAUGAAUUCAUGGGGUACAUUAUUUCCCUUAAUACUACUCAAUAAAAUUCACAAAAAUAUGUGUAGUGUGCAUGAUUUUUUAUUGUAGAAAUUGUUUGUUUUUUUUAAGUCUCAUAAUUCAUGAAAUUUGUACAUAUAUGAUCCCAUAAAUUUUUUAAUUUUAUUAAAUUUCUGUUAGACUUGAUCGAUUGAUUGAAUCUCAUAAUACUAGGAUUUUGAAUUACAUAAAUUCUUGGAUUUGAAUCCCUUAAAUGUUGGACUGCAAUCAAUAUUUUAAAUUACAGUUUUUUGUUUAAGAUAUCAAAAAGAUGACAUGGGAAUAUAGUAAUACUAAAAUGCUGAGGUGUACAAAGUCAAGGGACUUUGAUCAAAACAUAAAAAACAAUAAGAUUUCAAUCUAACAAUUGAAUUGACUAGGGACCGGAACCAAAAUGACCCUAGAUUUUUAUUGAGUUUAAUCUUAAUCAAAAAAAGACUUCUUGUAUCACAGAAAAUACAAGAACCAUUAUUUGAAUGAAAUAAAAGCUAUGGGAUGGAGAUAUAAAUGGAUCCUUUUAUUCACAAUCGGAUUAUAUUUAUUUGAUACACUGUUGUCAAUAUGAAUGUUGAGAAAAGACUACAAAAGAAAAAACAAUUUAUAAAUAUAACUAAAAAUUCCAAUUUCAAUCAAUUAGAUAAUUAGAAUUAUAAGAAGAAAAAAAACAGAAAUCUCAGUUUUCAGUUUAAAAAAAAAUGAAAACAAAAACUGAAAACUGAAAACAAAAUGGUUAUCAAAGCCGUCCAAAUAAUAGAAGUUUGUUUCCACUCUUUGUUUAAGCAUAGAUGCCAAUUUUUGUUUAUCAUUUUUUUAACCUCUAUUUUUUGUUACAGUAGAAGCCCUAGAAGGAAAUCGAGCACUGGACUUACCAAACUCUUAACUUAUUUCUACACACCAAGAGCUUGAUUUCGGUUCUUAUUUAUACUAUUUAAGCUAUAAGCCGUGAUAAGAAUUAGAGAACUAUCAUUUGUUGUGAGCUUCAAUUGGUUAGCACUUUGUAUGUUUUCAUUAGAAUUUAUAUUUCACUUAGACUUUCUUAUUAAAAAAGGGAUCAUUUGGUGACUUCACCAUGACAGUCCAAUUUUAUGGGGGCCAUGAGUACUCACAAAGGUAUUUCAGCCUCCCCCUAUAUCUACCGUCGCGUGAUUCACCAUUGCCGGGAAUCGAACUCAAGACGUGUUGUAUAGAAUACAAGCCUAAAAUUCGUUUCUAACCACUGAGUCACCCCGCGUUUGAUUAUAUUUCACUUAGACUUAUCUUGCGGUAUAGCAUGUCAUCCCCGCCCAAGUUUUUCUGUUCGCAUUGAGUUUGGGAUACCAAAACUUGCCAAACAAAGUAGAUUGAUUAGUAAGCGAAGCUAAUUAUUCGACUAAACAUUGUUUAGAAUUUUAAUUAAAAGAAACAAUAUGAAUCUGUUUUUUUUUUUUUUUUUUGACAAACUAUAACGUUAAGGAGUUAAAUUGUUAGUUGUUAAGAGUACAGGGAUAGGUGAGGAUCGAACCUCCACCAGAGUGCAUAGACAUUAUUGGUUCUACAACUGCGGUAAAUCACAUAAAACAAAACGUAAUACUUUGAGGAUGGAAGACACUUCGUGGAUAGCGGGCAAUCAACACUAUCAGUCGCUAUCCAAAACUUGGAAUUAUGUUUAUUGUCCGAAGGAUUUUUCUUCCAUUAAAUUGCUAAGGAAGAUGAGGAUGGGUGGAGUGUCUAAAUGUCAAGGUUGAUAAGAAAGUGUAUGGUGUUCAGCAUGCGAUUGAGAUUUGUUGAGUGGCACAACAAACCACAUAAAAUUUUCUAAAUGAUAAGCAAUGAUAAGCUUGAGUAUAAUUUUUUACCACGUAUUUAUCUUUAAAAUCAUUAUAAUUAGAUUUUCUCUUAAUUAAUAUAGACCGUUAGAUUGACCCAAGUUUUUUUCCUCUUUUCUUUCCCCUCGUUUUUUUCUUCUCUGAUUUUCCAUUCACCGUGUAGCAGUCGUUCUUCCCCAACUAAGUUUCUUAUUUUUCUUCACAAAAAAAUUGUAGAAAAUAUUAAGAAAAGAAAAGUCAUCAAUAUCAGACUCGAUCAGGUAAUCGUUCCAACCUUCCCAGCAACUCUCAGUCUUAACAAGGCACCAAAUUUUCUCCGCCACCUAACUCGUCAUUCAUUCAUGGGUGUUUCAAGCUUGGUGAAAAUUGAUAGAGUUCCAUGUGUGUACAGGGAUGUGAACAUAUUGGCCACUCUCUAAGAAUGAGUCAUUGGAAAAGUUGAAGGAAAGAUGUAACCGAUGAAAUUAAUGGAUUGGAAUUACAAUGAAGUCUGUGUUGGUUUAUCACAAAGAACCCAGAAACAAAAUUUUAAAAGCAAACAAUUACAACUUCUCAAAUAUUAUGUAACAAACUUUCAAUGAAAUGUUGCUCAUAAUUGAAAAAAGGUUGACGAAGGACGGAGUUGGGAUUAUUUUAGAUGGGGAAGAGUUAAAAGAAGGAAGCACCAUUUAAUUACUAAAAGUAAUUGGAGAAAUGGUAAUUCAAUGGUGGGCGUUUUUAAGGUGUGGACCUUGUGUCACACCCCGAUCCCAACAUACAUUGAGGAUCGACACCUGACAUGGGGACCUAGGGGACAUAAAUCUUACGUAAGAUACAGAAUGAAAUACUAUAAAUAAUAUCCCAAAAUGAAUAUGAUAGUGGGUUCACCCCCUAUAAAAUAUAUACAAGUUUGUACAUUCACAAAAAAAAAAAAAAAAAAAACACACACACACACACACAAAACUCUUGCUAGGCCAAGACUUGCCCAUGGUUCUCAAAGGAAAGUCCUAAAAGAAAUAGUACAAUGAAGGAUAAAGGGGUAACCUAAACACUCCAAGUCUCUGAUCUCUGCACUGCUACCCCCACCGGCUCCUCGUAAUCUACCUCAGACCUGUCACUUGUACAAACAGUGCCUACAUUGUGGGAAUGGUGCACCGGGCAAACAAAAACCCAGAUAAGCUGCAAAACUCGUGUGGUAGCCGGCCUGGGACAUGGGAGGGGGCCGAGUCUUUCAGAAACCCUUGGGUCAUUGAUCUUCAAGCUUACAUGGAUGGGAUUGUCUCGACGUUGCUUUAGGAAGUCUCGACAGUCGUGAAAGACGGCUUUCGAUCCUUCCACUCCUUCUGUAAGAAGGUGUCUUCCUCCACUCCUUCUGCUUCGGGUUGAAGCAGCUGGGUUGAGAGAAGUCUCAUGUUGGUCGCGAUUUCGAUGAGUAGCUCGCUCCUCAACAGGAAUACCCAUGUCGAGGGAAAAUGAGCCUCUGUGUUGGAGGCACCCAGUUGAUGGUUGACUUCCACAGGGGUGAUGAGCUCGUGUGUUUUAGUAUAUCUAGCCUCGUGGAGCAUCUCGAAGACCUUUUCAUACUGCUCUUGGAGGAUCUCAUUCUUCAUCGCUAUCUUGUUGUUCUGAGCCUCCAGCUCAUCGACUUUAGCCUGAAGAGCAAACUUCUUUUGUUCCUUCUUUCGUUGUUUCGCACCAGGUGUAAGAGGGGUGUCAUUCUGUGUGCCGUGGCUUCCUUCGCUCCCCAUGUUAGAGAGGGAUGCCUGGUCAAAAGAGAGAGUACGAAUGGUGGAAACCAGCUUGGCAAAGCUAAAGAGAGUGGGAAUAAGUGUCGUUCCCACAGACGGCGCCAAAUGUUGAUGCACAAAAUCAGUGAGGACUUUGGUACAACAGAAAGUGUUAAGUUUGUGUCCUUCGCUAGAUUGGUCCGGUCAUUAGUGUGGAUAAGUAUGUAAAUGGAUAGGGACAGGGAAGCAAACACAAGAUGUAUGUGGUUCACCCAGAUUGGCUAUGUCCAUGGAGUGGAAGAGUUCUCAUUAAUUGUGAAGGGUUUACACAAGUACAUAGGUUCAAGCUCUCCUUUAGUGAGUACAAGUGAAUGAUUUAGUACAAAUGACAUUAGGAAAUAUUGUGGGAGAAUGAUCUCCUUUUAUAGAAUAGUUUCUAGCUUUGUUCUGACAUUGACACGUGUCAUGCUGUGAUUGGCUUUUGAUGUUGACAUGUGUCGCAUUGUGAUUGGCCUCCUGGUUUGAGGGAAACUCUUCUGGGUCCUUGACAGUAUAACGUUGACAGGUGCUCAGUAGUUUCGGGAUUGGUCAAGUAUGGUACAAACAAAGUCACUGAAAACUUCGAAGGAGUCACCCAGACAUCCAACGACUUUUCUAAAUCAAAUCUCAGAGAUUCCCAAAACUAUCGUUCACAAAUACACUAAAAACUAAGGCUAGAGUGACACAGUUUGGCCAAAGCCUACAUAAGUAACCAAAUAAGAAGUGGCCCCCCCAUAGCGGAUUAAUCAAGUAGAGCCACUCCUGAGAAAGUAACCAAGUAGGUAGUGACCCCAUCACGAAUUAACCAAGCAGAGUCACUCCUACGAAACUGUUAGGUAGUGAUCACCCAUCGCGGAUUAACUAAGCAUGAUCACCCCUAAGUACGUAUGGCCAUACCUAAGAAAUAAGGAUCGCCCAUCGCGGAUUAACUAAGCAUGAUCACCCCUAAGUACGUAUGGCCAUACCUAAGAAAUAAGGAUCGCCCAUCGCGGAUUAACCAAGCACAAUCCAAAAAUAUUAUGGGUCCCCUAUCGCGGAUUAACCAAGCAGGACCAUCCAUGUACCACUGCUACAUGGUGCAGAUUCGGUGUCACCUAACCCCGUGACACUAGGGUAACGGUCCUCUACUAGCCCUCACGUUUUUCAAACAUUUCAAAUAUAUAAUUUAAAACACAAUUCAUAAACAUUUCGAAUAGGGAAGUCACAUAGUGUUUAAUAAUGUAGGUCAAUGGAAAACUUUAAAAACAAUUAUUUAGCAUAAAACAUAUUUUAGAAAUCCAUGCUGUAUCCACAAAGUAUACUAGCACGGGAGAUUUUCAGGGUAAUAACUCUAUCACAUAUAUUAAAGUCACUCACCUGGAGUCCGCACUAACGCACCCUAGCACGAAUAUCAAGAUGUCACGUACUAUCAUUUGUAACAUCCCACAUCAACCAACAGAGAGGGGGUGAUGUGUCUUAUAUGUACAUGCCCACCUCUAUAGCACGAGGCUUUUUGGGAGCUCAUUGGCUUCAUAUUCCAUCGGAACUCCAAAGUUAAGCGAGUUUGGGCGAUAGUAGUCCAAGGAUGGGUGACCCACUGGAAAGUUCUCGUGUGAGUUCCUAGAAACAAAACCGUGAAGGCGUGGCCAGGGGGGCCAAAGUGGACAAUAUUGUGUUACGACGGAAUUAAGACUGAGAUGUGACAGAAUGGUAUCAGAGCCGCUCUGCCGCGUGGUGCAAGUGUGCCGAAGAGGACAUCGAGCCCCUAAGGGGGGUGGAUUGUAACAUCCCACAUCGACCAACGAAGAGGGGGUGAUGUGCCUUAUAUGUACAUGCCCACCUUCAUUUAGCACGAGGUCUUUUGGGAGCUCACUGGUUCCGGGUUCCAUCGGAACUCCGAAGUUAAGCGAGUUCGAGCGAGAGCAUUCCCAUGAUGGGUGACCCACUGGGAAGUUCUUGUGUGAGUUCCCAGAAACAAAACUGUGAGAGCAUGGCCGGGGCCCAAAGCGGACAAUAUCGUGUUAUGGCGGAGCCGAGAUUGGGAUGUGACAUCGUCACCUAAGACAAAGUACAAGUCCACAUUUAGAGUUCUUCGAGUAUUCACAUAAUCAAAAAUUUACAUACGCACCCUACAACUAAUGAAGAGAAAUCGAGACACGUUGACAAAAAGUCAACCGUCGAUCAACGGUAGGGUCCACAACCCUACGUAACUUAAUCCGUAAGAUCCAGCCACUGUAUUUGUGAUUCAUAAGUUCCUAAGGUCCUCAAAUCUUACGUACAAUAACAUACUAAACUUUAGUGACGAUCUAAUGGUCGAAUCAUCAUUUACUAUAAUGUUCAAAUGACGCAAAUUCGUCAAUCGGAUGUCAAAUAUGGAAUCGGUCAUCGAAUUUAGCCUAGGAAGAUCAAGUGGUGUCUCAAGCCACGCACCACCAUGCGCAGCAGUUGGCAACCCAGAUUCGUCGAAAAAAUCACCUGAUUCCAAAAUGAAUGUCGUGAGACGUGGAGUAAAUUGUAUACCUGUGAGAAGCCCAAUUUGGCCAGGAAGUGGCCUGAAAUCACUUUAGACCGUCGGAAACCCUAAAAUAGGUGAAUCUCGAUUAGUCAUCUCUGGUAUUCCACCGUCCUCAAACUUGUUUAGGGUUCUCAAAAAAAUGCUAAUGAUGAUGGUGAUUGAAGGAGAACGUUUCAGAAAUAGUGAAUCGCCGGCGAGGGUUUCACGGAAUCGACAUGGGUGUUCCUCGUGGAACCAAGACCAAAUCUCAACGGUUUUGGCUAGAAAUGGAUGCUGGGAUGUCGUGGUGAGGUUUGGUAUUGAUGGGAGGUCGAAGAAAGUCAAAAAAAUCGACGAAAAAACUGUCGUCGGAGUCACAGGAAACGUGUUAGAAAAAUGAGUCGCCGAGUUUGAAACGGGUCGAAGGCUUUUGGGACAGCUACUUAAUCUCUCUUCUCUGAUUAGUCACUCCACUCACUCUCUCAUUUGAUUGGUCCAGCCUUCCCACAUGGUGGGAGUUCCCUCAUAUAGUAACCCAAAAUUUACUAUUUAAAUUUGGUAUCAAACGUCCGUAACUUUUUUGUUAUAGUUCCGAUUCACAAACGGCUUUCGCCUACGCGCUCGUAUGAUCGAAUUAUACUUGAAAACAUUAAUUGUGACCUUAAAAAGGUCUACAAGUUUUAAAAGAUUAAUUACAAAAAUUCACACCUUGUAACUAUACGAUUCAAAUUCUAAAAUUAACGGAAUUAAAAUAAACUAAAAAUAAUGUAAACACGAAAUACAGACUUUAAUAAUGAAAUACGUAAUUAAUAGUGGAAUUCUGGGGAUGGGAUUUCACACCUUGCGUCCGGACCUUGAGUGCGGAUCAGAAUCCAAAGGUCGUGAUCUGACGAGCUCAUGUAUAGAACAGAGUUGUUGUGACCCAAUGCAAUUCAAAACUUUUAUGUUUUUUUAUUUACUGGGUACGUUUUUGUAGGAGGAAAAGGGGAAGUCGAGGGAUUCUUUGCGCAAUAAAGAGGGAAAGAGAGAAAAGGGGAGCUAAGAGGUUCUUCGCGCGUUAAAUUUUUGCUUCUGAUUUUGCAACCUAGAAAUAAAGUAUUUUCUUUAUGGUUUAUGGUUCAAGAAUAUAAUGGAUGCAACCUAAAAAUGUUUAUUUUUUUAUUUUUUACUUUUUUUCUUCUUAUGUUGGCUUUUGGUUUAUUCUUAUAAUGCACUAUAUAUUAACUAAAUUUAUAAACAUUUUGUAUCUUUGUUGCAGUCAAAUUAAUCAUAUGGGUUGGCAUGACGAAGUUCGACUGAGACAUACAGAUGUUUUGCAAUCUUAAGUCUAACCUGACACACCCCGACCUCAAUAUCCAGUGGACACCAAAAUUGAGGUGUGAUGGCCAUCAUCCGGAUGGGUGACGAAACCAUUAUAUGCAUGAAAACAUAAUUACCCAAACACGUCUUAUUAAAAUAUUGAGUAAAUACCAUACAAGAUAGAAUACGUCAGAGCUGUUGCAAAAUACCUCAACGUCCGAUGUAAUCACUGAUAGAAUUACUGAAUCAUGUAUAAAUGGAAAGCUGAUAAAUACAUGUAAUUUGAGUGGAUACUUACCAGCAGCAUGGAUACAAUAUCAUCCACCAGUCGUAACUAGUGAAAGUUGGAUAAUAUAAUCAUGUCAUUGCCGAGUAAUCUCAAGGCAAUGACAAGAUGAGAAUGUAACUGAGUAAUCAUAUCAUUACUAAAUAAUCUCAAAGUAAUGACAAGCUAAGAGUAUAACCGUAUAAUCAUGUCAUUACCUCGUAAUCUCAAAAUAAUGAUAAGCUGAGAGUAUAACUGUAGUACCUCUUAUUAGUGCAAUGCAUGAUAUGAAUUCCAUCUCACAUAUAUAUGCAAGCCAUAAUCAAACCAAUAAACAUCCAACAAAAGCCACAAUCCUUUUAACAUUCGACCACAAGAUCAAUUUUCAUAUUUCCCAAACCUAGGUUCCAAAGCAUUGUUUCGAAUUAUUAAUACAAGAAACCACCACCACCUCAAUCAACUCCUAUUCACAAGUGUAAGCAAUUACUAAAUGCAUCACUUUCGACUCUAGUCUUAAUUAGAUUACUUGGGAUACUCACACCAUCAGAUCCAAGUACUAUUUUGAUAAACUUUAAAUAGCAUGGUUAAAAUAAAUGAAACACUUUUAGAAAAUAAGUGAAGAUGUUGUUUACAAAUAUAGAUGCAUCUGUAUAUAAAAGCUUUGGCGGUUGAUCCGUAUACACACUUCCAGAGAUAUAAGCAAGUUCAUUGGAAUAUACAUACAUAGUUAAUGUAUUACAAUAUAAUUAAUAAGAAAACAAUUGCAUCCCUUUCAGAUUAUAUAUAUAUAUAUAUAUAUAUAUAUAUAUAUAGACACACACAUACAUACACACAGGCCCUUUAUGCAAAGGAAUUUCCAUUUUUUUUCAAAAAUGGGGAUUAGUUGUGGGGCCCACGCUGCAUUGAACUUUAACGAUCCGAACAGUCUAUUUUGUAAGUCUCGAUUCAUAGAUCAUCCUUGUAAAAAUUCAAUUCAAUCCGAACCCAUUUGCCUAUUUAAUUAUCAAGAUAAAAUUUUAUUGUUUCUUAUAUAACAAAGUAUUCGUUAAUUUCUUUGAACUCAAUUAGAUAUCUUAAACAUUUCCGAUUUGGUUAAUAUUGUGUAAGGAUGAUCUAUGUGGUGCAACUUGAAAAAUAGACGAUUACGAUCGUUAAAGUUCGAUGUGGUGAGAACCCUACAAUUAAUCUUCAUUUUUAUAAAAGAAUGGGAACCCCUUCCCUUAAAGGUUUCCUAUGUAUAUAUUUGUUCUCCAGACAUAUGCAAAAGGUAAUGUAAAACCAAUGAGAACUUAAAUAGAUAUUCCAUACAUAGGACAAUUCCAUAUAUGCUUUUUCAACAUUUAUAUCGAAAAGCCAAAUUGUUUUGAGGAAAUUAAUUGUAGCAAUGAUCCCUUAACUUUUAUCUUAUUGGAGCAAUGGUCUCUCAACUAAAAAUUCAUAACCAUUGGUUCCUUAACUCCACACAACGUGUAGUUAUGGUCAUUUUCAUUAACUCCGUCAGAACUUUUGUUAAAACAAGUAAUGUUAGAAGAAUCAUUGCUACAAUUAAGUUAAAGUUGGGGACCAUUGCUCUAAUUAAAUUAAAAUUGAGGGAUCAUUUCUCCAAAUUGCUUAAAGUUCAAGGACCAUUUCUACAAUUUUCUCAUCUAGUUUCCCAUAUUUACCCCAUGAUUCAGCUUCACAUGCAUUGCACAUGACUCAUUUUGAAAUUUUUUUUAACGAAAUUGAUGAAAAUGACCAUAAAUGCACGUUUUGAAGAGUUAAGAGACCAAUGGUCGUGGAUUUUAGUUGAGGGAUCAUUGCUCCAAUUUAGUUAAAGUUAAGGGACCCUUGCUACAAUUUUCUCAAAUGUUUUGUAUGCGAAAAUAGGCAUUUGUAAAGUUUGGCUUGUUCAUGGCAUUAUUACUUUAGUCUAAAGUAAGGCUGGAAAUGGCACUGUAGAAAUGAAUAGUGUUCCAAUCCGAAUUUCAGUUUAAUUACAACAAUGCCAUUGCUCUUUGUGUUGCCUUUAGGUGAGCAGCCCGGCUUGCAGCCAGGCCCAAAUGUAUUGGUUUUAGCUGAGAAGCCCGGCCCUUAGUCAAGCCCAAAAUUUUAAAUUACAGUUUUGCCCAUACAAAAUAACAAUCCGAUUGUAUCGAGAAGGACAAUUUUGUCCUUUCAGUUUUGGGUGAGAUAGGGGGUAACAGGGUAAGUUUCAUUUGCUGUCGUUGAAUGAGGGUUUCGAGGAUGAGGGCUCUGUGUGUGUGGGUGUGUGAGAGAGAGAGAGAGAUAGAGAGAGAUAGAGAGGGAUAUGGCGAUGGAAGGAGAGCGAGGGGGAAGGGAAGGGUUCUCGGCACUGUUGCUGCAUGUGAAUUUCACAAGUGGGAGAGUGGGUAUGGUCAGAGAAGACCAUAUAGGUCGUUGGGAUUUCAGGGAAACGGGGUAGGGGUCAUGAAUGAACCCUGCUGAGAGUGGGUACUGGAUCUUGCGCUGCAUGCCUCAAAUCAAAGAUAAGUUCGUUUUUUUUAUUGUAUUUUUUAUGGUAGCUUAGCUUUUGGAAUUGUUUAGUAUGUUAGGUCCGAUUUUGGGGGAUUUAUCUUUUUAGAGAGAGAGAUGGACAGGGAGAUAGAGAUAGAGAGAGAGAGAGAGAGAGAGAGAGAGAGAGAGAUGAGGAAGCAUGACUGUGUGCAAUUUUUUAUGUUAAUUAAUGGGUUGGUGCGCAGGGUGAGUGACAGAGUGACAGAGUGAAGGAGGGACGUGUGGGAGGGUAUGAGUUUUCAGUUCUUUCUUUUGAUUCAACAGGUUAUACACUGUUUGAAAAACCUUUUUUUUAUUAUUUUGUUCUCGUUUGCUUUGUUAAAACCAUCAUUUGAAUUUUUGGGUUUCAUUGUGCUUAUUUCUCUGCUUCUUCAUAAUUUGCUGGUGUUUGCUUCUCAUCCCUCUGUUGGUAGAUCUUUUUCUCAUUUCUUGGUUCCUUAUGUAUUCUUUGGUACAAAUCUGUUUACUUUUUGGCUGUGUGAUAAUCUUAGCAGGUGAACUAUAUGAACGUUUUUUUGAAACGAGUUAAGAAGAUCCAGCUGAAAAGAGCAUACAAGAUAGAGAACUGGUAUGCUGCUCGCCAGGGAAAGGCUGCUGGAAAGGUUGAGACGGAUGCCUCUUUCAGAAACCAGGUCAGUUUCCUGCUGCUCGGCGUCUUAAUGUAUCCAAAUUGUUUAUCUUUUGAUGAAAUUAGCUGGCUAUAUUUUCUAUUUUAUUUAUCUGCAUAUUAUUUUGGUUUGUUGAAAUUUUGACUAUAGUCAUUGUCACAUGGGCGCCUAGCCCAACCCAAAUUAGUUGAGGAUAUUUAAAUCUUCACCAUGGUAUUAUAGUACUCACUCACAGUUGUGAAUACUAAGGUGCAUGCAUGGCAUGAAGAAGUGGACCGUGCACGCCAAGGUCAGAGGGAUGCAGAAGGCAAGCUUUUUUCUUUGGAGGUAAGUAUCCUUUGUUUAUUGCCCAACAGUGUUGUUAUUAUCAAUUUGUAGCUUUGCGUUCUGAAUUUUUUGCUUUGUCAAACAACCUUCUUGAAAUGCUCGAUUUCAAGCCGAAGUCCAAAAAAUGAAAGUUGAGAUGGCUUCCAUGAAGAGGGAUGUAGAGCAUUACUCGCGCUAGGUGAAAUCUGCUUCCUCUCUUUUCGUAUAUCUUCAUAUGAAGAGUUUUACUAAGUUAUAUUGAGAACUAUGUUAUUUAUAGGUUAUAUUUUCCAUUUUGCAGGAACACAUGGAGCUAAGGAAGAGCUAUCGUGAACUCACUGAUCUACUGGUAAUGUCACUCAAACUGCUUUAUUUGUGCAUGCUGCUACUAUGCGCUUGAAUGCAUUUUAUUACUGGCGGGAUGCGAAGAAAGCUAGAUAUAUGUGCUGGAUCGCUUGAUUAAUGUUAGGGUUUUAACAACUAAUUGUUAGCAGCUAGAAGCCCUGGUUAGAUUAAUGCUAAUUUGAUUUUCCUUACAGUACUUGAGUGCCAGUUUCAUAUUGUUUGUUCCCUGUUGGAUACCUGCUGUACAGUUUCAUUUCUGUUUCUUCAUAACUUUCUUGGCCCUGGGAUAUAUGCAUAUUGAGUACAAUGAAUAUCCAUUGUUCUCUAACUGUUGGGCUUUACUAUCUUUGUAGCAGCCUGCCUAACAUUUUUUAGGCUCUACACUCUACCAUCCAAUUUAUGAAAAAUUCAAAGAUUGGACGAUAUUGAUUGCAGAAAUGAAAAAAAUACUAUGAUAUUAGAAAGGUGAAUGUAAUUGUGUUAGAAUAAGCGUCUAGCAUGAUGGGUAAUAUUUUAAGUUUGUAUUUCUAAAAUUUUUUCGUUCUGGAGUAUGAUUUACCUCAAUUGUUUUGUACUUUAAUCUUUACUAAUUUUCAUUGUGGAGUAUGAUUUGCCUCAACUAACAACUUUUCAUUGUUUAACUUUUUCCUCCCUUAGAUAGUUGCAUAUGUUUGAUUUGUUAAUCUGCUUCUUACACAUGUUGUUUCCUAAUGGUGUAGGUGGGUUGUCGGAUGCAUGUGCAGAUUACUUGAAUAGACGAAGCUAAGAAUGACUUAGUAUUAAGUGAGACAGAAGCUUGGGUCAGUUGGAUUUUGACAUUUGAUUUAUUCAUGUUUUUUGUUGCUUGCAAUGUUCUCGCAUUGUUUGUUCUGAGAUUCUGUGAUCUUAUUUUUCAUAGGAACUGACAUUGGUUUGCCAUAUAAUGUUUCAGGAACUAAUACAACAACUAAUCACCUUGCUUAGCUCUCAAGACACAUACUUAACAGGUUAACAAACACUAACCUAUAAACUGAUCUGCUAAGCUGGACCAUUAACCUCUGUUUAUAUCCCUGCCACUCAUCUUUUGGCACUUAUCAAUAGCAAAAUCUAGAGUUGUUGAAACCCCAAUUUUAAUGAAUAUUAUUUUUAGUUGAUAAUUAAAAUUAAUUGAUGAUUAAUCUAUUCCAUUGUGCAUUAUUUUAUCGCCAAAUACUUUGAAUAUUCAUUAGCAAAAGAUAUAGGGUUCACUAUUUAAUGAAUAGAAUUUUGAUGGUGGAUUGCAUUUCCUGAGUUAUAAAUGUGGUGAAUCCAUUAUUUACUAGCUGAAUAAUCAUAAUGUUUUGGCCACUUACCUUGAAUUUUGUUCAAAUUGAAGAAGUCACAUGUUUCUUUCUGUUGUUGAGGUAAUCUCUCUGUUGAAAGCUUCUAUUUCUUUUUUUUUUUUCUUUUUUUCAUUUGGGUAGAUUUUUUUUUUUAUGGAUUUAUGUAUUUUUUUUCCAGAGAAUUCGAAAUGAAAUAAGAAUAGCGGAUUGAGCAUAAACAAAUUGAUGAAAUUUUUAUUUGAGUGUUUGUGUUAGUCCUUUUUUGAUUUGUUGAGGUUUGGAAUUAUUUGAGUUUUUUUGCUGUUAGUACUAUGAAGGAUGCUUGGCAAUCGCGAAAUGGGGGCUACCUCUUUGGAAAGAGAAGUCUCGCUAUCCAACCUCUCAUGAAUUACAAACAGGGUGAUUUCUUGCUGAAAAACCACUGAACCAGUAGAACUUUCCUCGGUUCUUCAAUUCGAUUCGAAUAAUUUUUUUACCCAGAAAAGCCAGCGUUUCCUGGUGGGUUUUACAGCUUUCUCAAUGUUUUUGUGAUUUUGGAUUUGCAAAUUUGUUUUCUGUUCAAAUUUCCUUUUGUGAUUUUGGAGGUUUUGUUUAUCGAUUCUCUCACUCAUCUCUCAGCUCUCUCUCACUUUUGAGGUACAUGCCGUUGGAUUCCGUUUGCUGCUGCUGAUCUGUAGGUAAAGCUUCAAUUACCAUAUAAAGUUUACAUUUUUCAUGAUUUCUUGAAUUUGGGUUUUAAACAAAGGAAAUAUUGCUAGAUUCUUAUCUUAUGUGCAAAUUACUGGCUAUUUGGAUUGGUGCCUGAGAUUUAGAGAAUGCCUCGCAGCUUUAAUUUCUUUUUCCUUCAUUAUUACUGUUUUCAAAAUUUUUAUUGCUGGGUAUUGAUAAUUUGUAGUAUGUGAGGGCUUCAAUAUGUUGGAAUUUUGAAUGGUUAUUGCUUCAUCGGAAUUUGGGUGGUCCAAAUUUUGAAUUAGAAGAAACCCAUUUGAUUAAUAUUUUUGGUGGAUUGGUUCUCUGUGUUUUCCUUGCUAUUUCUCCCCCAGUUGGAAAUUGGAAGCCCCAACUUUGAGCUCAGAGCUUGAAUUUCUCAAUCGUUCGUUUCUCUGCACUCUCAUCAAUCACUCUUGAUCCUCUAUCUAAAGAACUGGGUAAUUUUCCAGCUCUAUCAAGUAAUACUCCAUUUAAUUGCUUAAUUGAGGUUUUUUGUUUCUCUUUUUCGCUCUUUCAUCAGUUCAUUGACUUUGAUGUUGAGCUUAAGUAAAUGGGAGAUCAUUAAUUGGCAUUGUUCAAGAUAUAAUUCUGUGUUUUUGGAUUUGUGAAACGAUUUGCCUAAUGAUGAUAGUGGUUAAAAUAAAUUUUUCGUUAUGAAGAGAACAUUGUUCUUCAUUUGCCUACGGUUUUAACUACAAAGUUAAACUACUAUGCUUUUGUUCAAUUGACUGCAACUCAUGCCGCAGUUUGCUUCACAAACCUCUACGGUUAGCUUCCAUACAGUAUGUUGCAAGUUUGAGGAUAUCUUUACAUCUUAAUUUUUGCUCUCUCUGGUUGCUUCAAGUUUGUAAUUUUACGUGUUACAUUGCUACUUGAUUUGAUUAUAAAAAUGCAAAACAAAAUCCGUUUUGCUUUUAUUCAACUUAAAUGUAUCCUUUUGUUUGUUCAUAAUUGUGUUGAAUUUAUUCAACUUAAAUGUGUUUUAUUCAUCUAUUUACGCUUAAAACAACUGGUUCCCCUAGCAAUGCGCGGGCCUAAUUUCUAGUACAUAUACUAAAAGCCAGCAGAAAAUUACUGUUCAUCAUGGGAGAUAGAGCACUGUUCAUUAACAGUGAAAGGGCGAAAAUGCCCUCGGUUUCUUCUUUACUUCACGUACUGUUUACGAAUUGCUACAGUAUAAAGUCCGUUUUGUCCUUCCUGUCCACACAUCUUUCAUCGUCCGUUUCUCUUGCUUCGACCGUAUCUUUUUUGCUUUACCUUUCCUCUUCAUUUUUCGCAUUCGUUAGGCUGCGAUUUUCGGAGGUGGAUUGUUUGCCCUCCCAUUUCCAUGCUCUCCCCAUGCCUAUGUGGUCACAGUUAAACCACGUCAAUAUUUUAUAUUAAUUUUUUAUAAAAAUAAUAAAACAAAAAGUAAUAAGAAUAUAAAAUAUUGACGUGGCUUAACGUGGUCCGUGAUCACAGUAGGCAUGGAAAUGGUCCGCGACUUUCUCCCUUUUCGCCAGCCCCUCUUUUGCUCUCAAAUCCUUGCUCUUUCUUUUGCAAAAUAGUCUCAGAAGAGAUCCUGGGUUUAUCGAAUCCUUUGUUGUUCGGCGUUUUGUUCUCAUCUUGUGAUCGUCGGGUCAGCAGCUUUAAGGUAAGUUUGUUUUUAAUGAUUUAUCCUCAUUUUACGAUGUCUGGGCUAACAAAUUUAAGAUCUUUAUUUUUCUUUUUGCUGCGGAUCUGCAGGUUUUGACAAGUUUUUUGUGAAAUUGGUGCUGUCAGUGGGUGUUAACAUCAGGUACCCAUGUUCAGUUUUUCGUUUUGAUUUGAAGGAAUUUCUUGCGCAGAAGUGCUAGGGUUUCUUGGUGAGUUCUUCGGGUUGUGCAUAUGGGUAAUUUUCUUUUCGGUUUAACCCGCUGCUUCUGCUGCUCUCUCUCUUUCUCUCAUCCCUGCCUGCUCCUCUCCAAUUGUUUGCUGUUCUUAAAUAUUGUGUUCAUUGCCUGAUACAAGGAGCUGCAGCAAUCUGUUUUAUCCUACACGGGACAACGAGGCAAUGGCGUGACAACAGGUGAGCUUGGAUAUCCAAAGAAAGAGAACAGUUGGUUCAUCUGCUGGAGUCUGAAGCUCAGAGAAGUGGAGGAAAAUUGCAGGUGUGCGAGAAAUUUUAUUUUGCUGAUAGGACUCCUUAUUUACGGAUGCAUUUUGAAAUAAUUGAAAAGUUGGAUUUGAGUUAACAGCUAUAAAAAUGUAGACAUGAUUGCUGAGAUUAUGCUAUGAAAGUGGAAUAAAAAAAUGGUAGUUUAUAAUAUUGCGUACCAAUUUUUUUCUCUCUUUUUUACCAAAUGAUAAGGGUGGUGGCUCAGGCCGCCCCCCCUACGCGUCCCCACUCUUCGACAAGUUGAAAUCAUGGUGAUAGUUUAUGGGCUGUGGUCUUGGGAUUCUGCAAAUAGAUUAAAAAACAGACACUUAACUAUCUUGUUAUUAAACAUUUCUGCAUCAUUCAGUUGCUCUUGAUUUUCGUCUUUUAAGCGAUCUUAUUUCUGCGAUCUGACUUGAGGAGGGUUUUUAGACCUAUGGUUGUGGGUGUUUUGUCUGACCCCAUUAAAUUGGUUUCCGAGAUUUGUAGACUUGCGAUCGGCAGUCAAACAUUUUGUGAUUCUUGCUUUUUUUCCGACUGGGAUUGACGAAUUUUGGCCGAAUCUGUUUCCUGUUUUCUUCUCUGUUUGAGCGGCCGCUGCCUUUCGGUCGUUGAGCGCCGGCAGUCUUUAGAUCUUUGGCAAAUCAAUUUAAUACAACCGAGGUAUGUUUUAUAACUGCUGUCUUUCAAUUUUUGUUCUGUAUUUUUGUUAAUUUGGAUGAAGCUCUAAUAAUUUUGUUUUGGAUCAGUUGUGGUCCUCUGUUAGGAUUUUCCUGGCUAAGAGGGUAUUUGCGUUUUUGUUGCUUGGUUGGUCGAUCACAGAUUUACGAACAGCUGUGGUGGUCCUGUUAUUUUUUUGGUAUGUUUUUUCUCCUUUUUGGUUUUUUCCCGGUUUGAGCACCCAUUCAUGAAGAAUUAAAAUGUGUUUAUAGUUUUUCAGGAGAGAUUAGAAAAGUGAUUUCAAUUUGGGAAAAUUUAAUGUUGGUUAAAAUUUGUCUAUAAUUUUUGGGAAGGAAUGAGAGGACCCAUUGAAGUAUGUGUUGUGAUUAUUUUUUAUUCAUAUUUUUAACAAAUUGGGCAUGAAUUGGUAGGUUAACUGUGUGUGUUUAUUAUUUGAAUCGGCCAUGUUUGUCUUUCUAUGGUUCUAAAAAAUUUGUAAAGGCUGUUAACUUGGAAGAAAAUGGGAUCGAGGGUGAGGGGAAAACGGCAGAGAAAGCAUGGAAGAGAGAUUUGGGAUUAGGGGUAGGAAAACAGAUGAAAAGAAUAUGAUAGAGGAAUGAGUUCAGUUCAUUUUCACUAUUUUUUUUAACUGAUUUGGAUUUUGUUUGGGUUUGAGGCCAUCAUUGGCGUUAAGACGUUUAUUAUCAGAUCGUGUGUGUUUUUUGCUAACUUUUAUUGGUCAUUUUUAUGUUGUUCUUAUGAUUUUGUGUGGUAGGGUUUCUGAAUUUUAUCGUUAUUCAUUUGGUUUUUUGUGUGUGUUGGUUUGUUUAUUUUGCAGGUUGUGUUUGUGCUGGGACAACAUUUUCCACCUUCUGUUUGCACUGGGAUGAUUGCGUUUUAAAACUGUUGGGGUGAGAUUUACAUAUGGAAUCAUUCCAUUUUUUUUCUUCCAAAUAUGUGCAUUUAGUUCUUUUUAUUUUAAAUUUUAAAAAUUAAAUCGUUAUUUGAGUAAAAUGUUUUAUUAAUUUAUGUUAUGUGUUGUGAUCAGGAAUUCUGUUGGAUUUGCAAAUUUUGGUUUGAUGAGAGAGAUGAGGAGUUUUUUUUGUUUGAAUUUUUUAUUGGACCGAUUUUCAAUUGGAUUGCAUUCUGCCUUUUUGCACCAUUCUUAUGCAAGCAAUUCAUUGUUUUAAAUACAAUUUGAAGAGAGCUGGGUUGCGGGUUGGAUAUAAAAUGUUAAGGUGAGAUAAAAUCGAGAUACCAAGGGUGGAAGAAUGAUUCAGAAUUGGGGGAGGAAAACAGAGGGAAGAUGGAAGAGUAUAAGAGAAGGAUAGGGUUGACCUCAUUUAGAGUUUUUAUUUACUUUUUUUUUUAUUAUUUAUAAAUUGAUUCAGGACUAGCAUAUCAUUUCUAAAUUUCUAACAUUUUUGUUUAAUUUGACUCCAGUUGAUGGAAAACAGAGCUCUUACUCCUAUCAAUCAGUUGGUCCCGUACAUAAAUGCAGAAAAAUCAAGGUUCGAGUUUGCAGAGUAUGCAGACCAAGGUUUCCUGAAACUACUGGUGCUGUCACGCCCCAAUCCCGACCUAUGUCCAGGAUCGACACGUGACGUUAACAAAUACCCAUAUCUCUAACAUACCCCGCCUCCGGAAUAUGGGCAAAGCACAACUGCGUAAUAAUUUUUCGUAUACUUUAUGGCUGCAUCUAACAUCCUCGUUAGAUUAUCAUACCUUAUGGCUACAUCUAACAUCCUUGUUAGACUGCCUACGUACUCUCAAAAGGGAUCAAACCAUUCGUAGUUCACCACACUCCAAUCCACAAAAAUUUGCACAUGCACUGAUUAUAAAAUGGAACUGCACCUAUAGAAACCUAAUCAUAACCCGUGGGCGAUUUGCUCCCACAUAAGAAAGACGUCCACAGUACCAUGAAAUACUUCCACAUCUUUCCUUCCCAUUUACACAAUAUUUUAUUUCACCUCCCUGAUAAAUAUAGCAUUUACAUUACAUGUGGCAGACAAAUUUGCAUAUUCAACUAUAAUAAAAUACAAUCUUAGUAGGAAAAACCUACAAGACCACCACUCGUUUGAGCCAAACUUUAGCUUAGCACUCAACUGGUGCUCACACCAUGUGAGUGCACGAUCCUUUAAGAUGGAUGCGAUGGUUCUCUUUUGAGAUUAAUUUUGUUACAGGUAUAACAUAGUUGGCAACCGUUUAGAAAUAGAUGCCUCAUGUUCAAAACUCUCAUUACCAAAUGUUCUAACAAGUUAGUAGAGAAGGUAAAAGAACCCAAAUGGCGAGAAAUAGUGUCCUGAUGAAACAAAAGAUGUAACCCUCAUUCAAGCACGAACAUCAUUUCCUUGAGAAUCUGCGAUUUCUUCCCUCAUUUGGUCAAUAUAGCUUGUAUUCCAACUGCAACUUACUAAUAGCAUUUGUUCUCUCCUCGAAUGAAACCAUAACCAGCCAUUUUAAAUAAAGCUGAACAGUUUCACGUUGGGAAAAUAAAGAUUAUAACAUACAGGUUUUGGAUUAGAUUCCCAAACCAACAGAAAAUUAAGAUAGGAAUCUAUUUUGGGUUAACUGAGGUAUGAGUGGUAUACAAAUGAGAAAUUCCCUACAAAAGUCAAUAAAACCAGUUACAUAACAUGUUGAAUAUAAUACAACAUGAAAUAAGAAGCACCACUUGUUUAUCUGACUUUUUAUACAUGUAUUUUCCUAAGGGAUAAAAACGUGCGGGUUUUGGGAUCAAUCUGAAGAGGGCUUCACCACGAAUACAUAGCCUUUGACCGUGCAUGAUUUCGUUGCCGUAUGAGAAAGUUAUCAUUUUUUUUUUUUGUGAAGAAGAAUUAAGGGGGAGAAGAACAGCUGCCCCCUCUGUUUCUGCAUCUGCCCAGCGGGGAAAGAAAAAGAAGAGAAGCCCUUGGCUUCUAGAAUACUCCCUCCCCAAAAUUACAAUUUUGCUCUCUAACUUUGAUUGUUUAUAUCUUAUUCGUUAUAACUCUGUUUCACGAACAGCUUUUGCUUACAUGCUCACAUAGUCGUCAUCUAUUUAAAUAUAUCAAGAAAUACAAUAAAAUACAUCCUCGUAUAAGUAUGUUAACCAAUUAGGGCACUUUCGUCAUUUCCACUUAUCGAUAGAUUUUAACACGUUAAUUAUAAUAAUGUCCGGAAACAGCUUUAAAAUUUCCAAAUUCUAUUUCCAUAACCAUAAAUCGAUUUAUUAAUUUUUCAGGGUAUCACAGGUGCAUAUUCAGGCUUGCAUUGUAUAUUACUUUCCUAUUAAAAAUUUGUUUGGAAUUUGCUUUUCCCACAAAGGAGAAGAGCUGACAGUUACGCUGUGGGCAGAUGUUGCUCGAAGUAUUGCUUCUUUAUCCAUUGAAUCAUUGUCUCUGCCGAUCUUUGCGGUUUUCACAAGUUUAAAGGUCAAGCUGUACCUAGGUGUUUGACUUAAUUAAAAACUAAUCUAUUUAUUUCGGAGGCGGAGCAAAAUGCUAUCUGUCUUACCCCUCUUGGUGAUCUUAGUCGGAAAGAUCGGCUAGUUUGGGAUGUGAGUAAGAAUGGGCAGUACUCGGUUCGAUCGGGCUAUCAUUGGCUGCAAUCUAGGUCUGUUGGGUUCAGGGAUCAACGCCAGCUUGGUGCUUGCUUAGUUCCGAGGCAUUUGUGGCGCAUGGUUUGGUAGUUGAGUGGGCCUCAUAAGCUCCGUCAUUUCUUUUGGUUAUCUUUGCAUAAUGCAUUACCGUCAUUUCUUUUGGUCCGUGACCAGGCAUGAGGAGAGCAUGGAAAUGAGAGGGCAGACAAUCCACCUCCGCGACUUUCUCCCUUUUCGCCAGCCCCUCUUUUGCUCUCAAAUCCUUGCUCUUUCUUUUGCAAAAUAGUCUCAGAAGAGAUCCUGGGUUUAUCGAAUCCUUUGUUGUUCGGCGUUUUGUUCUCAUCUUGCGAUCGUCGGGGUAGCAGCUUUAAGGUAAGUUUGUUUUUAAUGAUUUAUCCUCAUUUUACUAAACUAUUUAUGGUAACUUAGUAUGGUAACUUAACUAAGUAAGUUUGCUUUUAGCCCAAGGGUUGGAGAUGGUCUUAGUAUGGUAACUUAACUAUUUAAUUCCAUCUCAUUAAACUAAAAAAAACAAUUACAUAAAAAUAAGGGAAACCUUGUCCAGAGAGACCUGAGAAAGUCCACCCCUAAGGACUUUGCGCCAGCACCCAGCGUAUUUAUCUACUCAAGUGAACAGUAAUAGACUGGAGUGAACAGUAAUAGGCCAAGGCAUCUCCACCCCUAAAAAAAUGCGCUGGCACCCAGUGCAUUUAUUUGGUGUGUUUUUUUUUUAAAGUUUAUUUCAGAUAAGAUUUUUAACCAAUUUCGGAUAAAAUUUCAAAUAAACUUAAAAAAAAACACUCUAAAAUAAAAUUACAUACUCAUCAAAUAAACUUAAAAAAACACACUAAAAUAAAAUUACAUAAACUCAUCAAAUAAAUUAAGGAUGAGCUUUUUGGUAUUUUUUUUUCACACAAAAAGUAUAUGAAAGCUUUGGUAGAAGGUCUAGAAAAUAUUGAAAUGUGGUGUAAGGUGGAAGAUGAGGGUUAGGUAUUUAUAGAAAAAAAAUAAUAACUUUUUUAAAAUUUUACUGUAUUUUAAAAAAAAAUCUGUAUUUUUUUAUAUUUUUAAUUAAUUUUAAUGUAGUUAAUUAAUUUGGACCGUUGGAUUUGAAAAAUAUUCAAAUCCAAUAGCCCAGGAUCGGCCACGUGGCCAACGCCAGCAAAUGGCCCAGCUUCUUGGUCAGCCUGUUUUGUGCUGGCCCAGAGACCAGUUUGGGCUGGGUGCCAGUCUGUUUUGUGGGCUGGAGUGAAUGGACAGGGUCCCAGCCUGUUUUUUGUGCUGAGUGCUGGCCUAAUCCACCACCGGUGGACUUGCUCUGAGAGAAAGUGACGACUUCUCCUCUCAUUCCACUCCAUACUUGAUCUCUAAAGUCCAUUUGGCAUGUAAUUGAUGUUCAAUUUCAAAUUUAGUGGUAGCAAUUAGCAAAGCUAAUGAAAGAAUCAAAUAAAAUGAAAGAAAAAGCAUCAUGAAAUAAAUCAAGAUGAAGAAUGAAAUUUUGGCAACUCGCCAUUCUCUUCUUUUAUAUAAAAGAUACAUCCUAUUUGUAGUGAAAACAGGUCCCGACAAACCCAGUUAUCCUCAAGAAGUAUUUUGUAUGACUUUAAAAACAUAAUCCGUGAAAUUAUCUCUUGGCUGAGAACAACAACAAAUCUUCAUGCAUAGCUUGUACAGAAAGACAUCAGGCAUACAAAAGAACACGCAAGCAUAAAAUAAACGACGCAGGGAAAACCAAAAAUACUAUAGAACACGUCGCUGUCAAAAGAACAUGAAUAAAUGAAAAUUACAAAACAAAGAAGUGAUGAGAAACCAAAGUACCCAUUUCAUAAUCUAGUUGCUUUUUAGUUUGCUUGCCAUUUUUAGUUCUUCAAUUUAGAGAGAAACGAUAAUUCAGCACAUGAAUAAAGUGAAAACGUAAAAGAUAUGUGGGAUAAGCUGACAGCCAUCCCUGAGUAAUGCAUUCACUUAUGAACCCCAAACACAACGAAACAAAAAUUCACACAUGAACUACAGCUCCGCUAUGUAACAAGAAUUAAAAGCAUCUCAAGACAAAAUGGCAAACUAUAAGAGCACUGUAAAAGUAAAAUUGCAAGAAAUCUAAUACUUGGAGGGCAAGUACUACUCAGACGAAAAUGAAAGAUUGAACUACCUCGCGUGGAACUGUGCCUUGGUUUUUUCCCAUGCUUACAGGAAGCUUUGCACUGAGCUCUUAUAGCCCAAAUUUUCUCUGAAAGAAAAAAACACAAUUUUGAAAUAAGAUUUUCAUAUUAUACCUUAAAGAGAAGAAUUAGAAAACAAAAAAGAGAACAAUGAGUACUAUUCAUCAUAUAUUGUUAGAGUGUGUGGUCCUUUGGUCCAAUGGUCCUGCAGCCAUAUUUACUUUAUAACUCUUUCUUUUAGUCUAAAAAACAUCUUGGAUCUCAAAUUAAUAUGAAUACGGAUUCAUACGCAUGCAUUGCAUUACAACCACAAUGCAAUAUCUCAUUAGAAAUCCCCACACAAAAUUUUUUUAUUUCUACUUUGAUUUUAGUUUAUAUUUUUUCUAAAGCACGAGGGAGCUAAUUUUUUUUUAAAUUUUUUUUAUUCCAAUAAUGUUAUAGGGUUGAAAGGAUAUUAUCAAUUUAAUUGAUUGUAUUUGAUUGGUGGAACUUCUAUAUCUAUAUUUCAGUUUUUCAAAUUCAGCACUGGGAGAGUCAUUCAUAAAAUGUUUGACAGUGAGAUUACCUCCAUGGAUUAUGCUCACAAUGGACAGCUCAUUUUCCGCAGUGAUGGGACAAUAUAUUUCAGUCAUUCGCCAUUCAAUCAAUUCAAACCGAGGAACAAGCAACAUCAAGAAGAGGAUCUGCCAUGUCAGGAUCACUGUCGUCCAAUUAAUACAAAAAAUCUAGAUAAAAACGAUCAAUUUACAUAAAAGCCUUUCAUUUUCUCAGCAACCAAGCAAAAGAAAAUACCUAUCCGUUAACACUCGAUUUGGGAGUAAAUGUUGCUGAAACUGGACUUCAAUCCCCUCAACCGCAACAACCGAAUCGAGGUGUGCAAGUCAUUGAAAAACUCACCCAAGAUUUCAAAAUCUGCAUAAAUAAAUAAAUAAGCACAUAAAUUAGCCAACCCUGUUAUGAUCCCACAUCGGGUACACAAGAAAUUGUGUAGUGGUACUUAAGUGCAAGGGGUCCUCCCACCUAUUGGACUAGUUUUUUGGAUUGGGCUCUUCCCUUGGGCUUGAGUACCUAACAUUGGUAUCAGAGCCUAGGUUCCCGACGCUGCGGGACUUGGCGAGUGGUGCAGCCUCGUGGUGCCGCCUUGAGAGUAUGGGCUCCUAAGGGUCUUGGCGACGGGCAAGGUAUGAAAUGCCGAUAUUAUCGCGAUAUUUCGCCGAUAAUAUCGGUUUUUUGAGUUACCGAUAUUUUAAUACUUAUCCACUGAGUUUUCGUCAAAAUAUCGCGAUAAUAUCAACAAUAUCGCGAUAUUACCGAUAAUAUCGCGAUAUUUUGGAGAUGUGCGAAUCGGAGAAGAACGCCGGAGCUUUUACAGCUCCGGCCGACUGUAAAAGAGCACCCUAGACUCCGAUCUAGGUAUCAAAAUGAAAUACAAGAUGAGAGGAAUGUUUUUAUAACUUCCGUUUGCCGUGAAACGGUCGAAGGUGUUCGGAAAGUUCGUCGACACCCACGGCCUCGCCAGAGAUGGGUGUGCCUAUUCCCGAGCCGAUUUCGUCCCAAAAACCUUGCAAAAACACGAGAUAGAACUUAAAUUUCACGUCUAAGCUUCAAUCUAGAAUAGAAUGAGGUAAACCCGAAGCUUACCUAACCGGAGAAAUUCAAGAAACUCGUCGGAGGGUUCCUGCGUCGCCGAGUUGCAGAGACGAGAAGGAGAGGGAGAAAGACGAGGUUGCUGAUGACGAUGGGUGUCUUCCUCAAGCAAGUGCGAUGGUGUGCGUGUGUGUAUGUGGGUCUCGGUGCAGAGAGAAAGGAGAGAGAUGAGAGUUUCGAGAGAGAGACGGCACCGACGAGAGCUAUUUGUUUUUUUUUAUCUUAAAAAGAGAGAGGUCUAAGAGAAAUGGGAAGAGAGGGCCGAGUGAAAUGAAAGGAGGUCCUUGAAUUAUUGAGAGAUAUCUCUGAGAGAGGCCUAGGAUUUCUAAAAGGUAAUCAUAAAUGGGAAAAAUGGGGCACAUCUUAGCCUUUAUUUUGGAAUCCUAAGAAGUUCACCACAUGGAUGCAUGACAUGUGUGCAUGCCAUGUUUGUUGAAUGGGAAAAGUCUGACACGGAAAGACAAAGAGUCGUUUGGGGCUCUGGGCUCGAGGCAAGACAGAAAGUGCUAGGGUUUUUUUCUGAAAUGAACAUAAGCUGCUAAAUUCGCAUAUAUUAUAGUUGUUGCUAAAGAUUGUCACUAGUGUGGACUUGGACGUGUUGGUCAACAUGUCCUCACAAUCCCCAAGUUCUCUGGUUCGAACCCUUGCGCCCAUCAAAUUUUCUUUCUUUUUGAUGCGCUUUUCCCAUGGCUCUAGGUCUUGAUUUCGAAUCCAAGUGAGCCCUUUCCUUUUUCUUUUUUGUUCUUUUUGUUUUAUUAUUUGUUUAUUUUAAUUUAUUUGUUUCUUUUAUGUUUUUCUUUUCUUUUAGUUUCUUUGUCUUAGGCGUUCGUUUUUAUUAAAGUAGGAUGUAAAAUCAAUUAUCUUAAAAUUAUGUGUUUUUAAAUUUUGGACUUGUUUGUUGGAUACUUUUUUUUCAUUUUAUCAUUCUUUUAUUAUGAAAAUAUGCUAAAAUAUGCUAAAAUAUCACUUAUGUUUUUGUGAAAAUAUGCUAAAAUAUUUAUAUAUAUGAUUUUGUUUUGAAUUCUUUUUGUACUAAUUCAUUAUAUAUAAAUGAUUAUGGUGUGUUUAAACUUCUUUAAUUAAUUACUACAUAUUUUCUAUACUCACAAUGUUUGCCAGCUCGCUAUAUAAUCAACUUAAAUCAGUUAAAUCCAUCAUGCAAUGCAUUUCCUUCCAAUUUUUUGUGAUAAACUUGUGAACACGGAAAAUUCCUGAAACGAAAGAGACAAGAACGAACGUGCACAAACAAAUAUUAUGUAUUUGAUGAUUUUGGGUUACAAUCUCUCUCUAUUUGAUCCUCUGAUUCAAUCUCCGUAAGGUGUGUAUUUGUGGAUGUGUGAUUGAUCCAAAGGGCCGUUGGGCUUGAUCUAAUGAUGAACGUUCUUCAAGGGCCGUGGACUUGAUCUUGAAGGUGGAUUUGAGCGGAUCUUCAAAGGGGCUUUUGGGCUUGAUCUUGAAGAACGGUUGGAUGUGUGGAUUUGUCGAAGUUGUUGAUCCAAAGGGCCGUUGGGGCUUGAUCUUGGAUGAACGGAUGAUGAACGAUGGUGCUUUCUUCAAGGGUCGUCGGGGCUUGAUCUUGAAUUGGUGGAUGGUUGAUCCAAGGGCCGUCGGGGCUUGAUCUUGGAAGAACGAUGAACGAAGAACGAAGAACACUUUCUUCAAGGGCCGUCGGGGCUUGAUCUUGAAUUGGUGGAUGAUUGUUGAUCCAAAGGGCCGUUGGGGCUUGAUCUUGGAAGAACGAUGAACGAAGAACAAAGAACGCUUUCUUCAAGGGCCGUCGGGGCUUGAUCUUGAAGGUGGAUGAUUGUUGAUCCAAAGGCUGUCGAGGCUUGAUCUUGGAAGAACGAUGAACGAAGAACACUUUCUUGAUUCUUCGGGAACCUGGACGCUUGAGAGCUUCGGAGUUUCAGAGCUUCAGAGCUUCAAGGUGUAAUAUGAAUUGGUCCCCCCUAAAUGAAUGAAAUGGGCUUGUAUUUAUAGAAUUUUCCAAGGCCUAAUUUUGAAUAUAAUAUCUCAGAUGAAAUAAGUCGUUUCUGCCAGGUGUUAACACGUGUCCUAUUUGAUGACUUUUCCAACUCAUUUCAAUUUUCGUUUAGUCACACGCUACGUGUAAAAUUUAUGUAAUACAUGAGCGUUGACACUUUGAUUUAUCGGUCAACAUUUAUUUACCGAAAUUUCGAUGUCUACAAAUGCCCCCACUUCAAGGCACGUCGUAUACCUGUGCUUGUCACGUGUAGGAGAUGCGUUUUGAAGUCCCUUACCGUAGAUGCCGAUUCAAGGGCCGUUGAAGCUUGAUCUUGAAUUGGGCUUGAGAUUUCUUCAAGGGCCGUUGAGGCUUGAUCUUGAAUUUUUGUUUGAAAUUUCUUCAGGGGCCGUCGAGGCUUGAUCUUGAAGGUUGAAAUUGGGCCACAAGGAGCUUCAUGUGGUAGAUGAUCUUUGGCUUUGGUAGUGGAUGAAUCGGCACGUAUUUUAUUGCGCUUGUUGACUUUCCACAGCUUUGAUCUUGAACUGGGUUGGAGGAUUUUCUGGAUUCCUCCAAUUGUUGAUUUUCCACAGCUUAUUCUUGAACUAGGUUUUGAUUCAAGGGUGGUAGACACUUGAUCUUGAAUCGGACUUGUGAUUUCCUCGAUGGCCGUCGAGGCUUGAUCUUGAAUUUGGUUGGAAACUUCUUCAAGGGCCGUCGAGGCUUGAUUCUUGAAGGUUGACUCGAACAUAUGGCAAGCAGGCACGAGGUGAAGGUGACGACUUGUUGCUUUGUUCAAUCUUUCUAAUUCACACCUGAGCAGUUUGGUCAACGGUAUGAUCCUCAAGAUUGAUGGGCUCUUCUUCCAGUUGGUGACUUGAUCUUUAAGGAUUUGAUUCAAGGGUGGUGAAUCGGCACGUGCAGCCCACAACGCCUAGUAAGCCGACCCAAGAAUUUGAGGGUCAAAACGGAUUCACCGUCAGAGUGAUUGCAACUUUGAUGAUAUGAGAUACUCUUGCUUUUGAAGAAGUAGUGGAUGAAUCAGCACGUGCUUUGUUGCGCUUGUCUCCACAUGCUUCAAGGUAUCAUCUUUAUUUCCUUUAUCUAUUCCUCAGGCAGAUGUGGCAUCUUCUCGAGUUCUUCAUCUCAGACUCUUUCUGCUGAGUUGACUGUUCAUGCUGCAUUCUUCUCUGCUUGUUCAUUCUGCACGUUGUCUCCACAUGCUGCAAGGUAUCAUUUUCACUUGCCUUAUCUGUUCUCCGGGCAAAUGUGGCAGCUUCUUUGAAAGUACAGUAGCAGCGGGAGGCGAGUACUCGAGAGCAGUGCUAGGUAGGCAAUCAGGGAAGGGUUCCAAGCAGUCGGUUCCUUACCCGAGUUUGAGUGGAAGUUCCGGCAUAUUGUUUUUUUUAUCCUUGUCUUUGUAGGUAAGAACAAGGACAAAGGAAAGGACAGGGAGAACGCAUGAUAUGAGAUACUCUUGCUUUCUACCCUGGUGAUAUGAGAUACUUUUGCUUUGGAGUCAUUGGCUUGCAGAGGUACCCCAAGGAAUAAGGAACACUGAAUGACUCGAGAGGCUUCGUUGGGAAAACAUCUUUGGAGAUGAAGAAAGACUUUGUGUGUCUGCCUUGCUAUGGAAGGCGAAGGUAGACAAUUAUAGGAAGUUCUUUGAUACCUGUAGAUGUACUAUUCUUUCACUCGUGUCGGCAACCAAUGCGUGAUUGAUCUAUAUGGCUUCACGUGCUUCCUUCUUUAUCAGAAAUCUUCGACAAACUGUCCGUAAUUUCCGCCAAGCUGAGUGUGCAUGUGAUAGGUGUUGACGCGGCUGAAAAAGACUGGCGCUUAUUCGAUAACUGGGAUCUGCGCUUCGACAAAUUACCCGUGAUUUCCGCAAAGCUGAGUUUGCGUGUGAUGGGUGCUGACGUGUCUGGAAAAGACUGGCGUCUCUUCGAUGUCUGGGAUCGGCACUUCGACAAAUUGCCCGUGAUUUUCGCAAAGCUGAGCUUGCGUGUGACGGGUGCUGACGCGUCUGGAAAAGCAAGAUGCUUCUUCGAUUUCUGAGCUUGCCUCUUCGAUUUUUGAAUGGCCUCUUCGAAUUCUGAGCUCGCCUCUUCGAUCUCUGAAAUCCCGUCGAGUGUUGAUUUUUUAUAGAGGCAUGCUGUUCGUUUCAAAGCACACUUGAAUUUUACUUGUGAAAACUCCCUUCUUGCACUUCUAAGAUCUUGAUUCGUCUGACCUCUUCUUCCUUCAACACUUUGAAAAUGUCUGGACCCUCCGACCGUCGUUUUGAUUUGAACUUUGGUGAAGAUGUAGUCCCGUCUUCUCCAGAUAACAUAUGGCGCCCAUCCUUCAUAUCCCCUACUGGUCCUCUUACUGUUGGGGAUUCGGUGGUGAAGAAUGAUAUGACCGCUGCGGUGGUGGCCCGAAACCUUGUCACUCCCAGAGAUAACAGACUACUUUCCAAACGGUCUGAUGAGUUGGCUGUUAAGGAUUCUCUGGCUCUCAGUGUGCAGUGUGCGGGUUCUGUGUCCAACAUGGCCCAACGCCUAUUUGCUCGAACCCGUCAAGUUGAAUCGUUGGCGGCUGAAGUGAUGAGUCUUAAACAGGAGAUUAGAGGGCUCAAGCAUGAGAAUAAACAGUUGCACAAGCUUGCACACAACUAUGCCACAAACAUGAAGAUGAAGAUUGACCAGAUGCAGGAAUCUGAUGGUCAGAUUUUACUUGAUCAUCAGCGGUUUGUGGGUUCGUUCCAACAGCAUUUGCCUUUGUCUUCUGGGGCUGUACCGCGUAGUGAAGCUCCUCAUGAUCAACCUCCAGCCCCUCUUCUUUCUGGAGUUCCACCGAGUGGUGUGACUUCAAACAGUCAACCUCCGACGUCUCUUUUCCCUAGAGCUCCACCGAGCACUGAGACACCACCUGAGCAAUAAAGACUCCCUCCCGUUUGUUUGCACAUUUGUAAAUUUUUUUUUUUUUUUUUUUUUUUUUUUUUUUUGGUAUGUAGAAUGCAAUUUUAUGUAAAAUUUCCAGAAAAAAUAAAUAAAAUGGAUUUUUAUUUCUCUUAAUGCUUUUUUUUUUUUUUUUUUUUUUGCUGUAUAUAUUAUACACACACAUUUAUACAUACAUAUAUACAUACAUAUAUAUAUAUUUUCACGUGGAGUGAUCCACCAUCCCAAAACCCAUUUUCCCUUUGUUUUUUUUUGCAUGGUGCUAGCCACCAAGAAUUCACCUUUUUUUUUUUUUUAAUUAAUUAAUUAAUUUAUUUAUUUAUUAAUUUAUUAUUAUUAUUUCUUUUUCGUCUGCUUUCACAUGGUGCUUGAUCCACCACUCUCUUUUCUUUUUUCACGUGGUGCCAGAUGCACGCCCCUUUUUUUUUCACGUGGUGACAGCACCACUCUGCUUUGCUCUACCACAUUUUUUUUUUUUUUGUAUAAAUUAGGAUGCUUGGCUGAGGGAUUUUGUAGGGAAGGACGAAGACGGACGGAGAGCCGGAGUUUGAGGAAGAGCUUCUCGGCCGGCUAGUCGUUUGACAGCGGUCUUUGAAGUUGGUGGCAGCUGCGAGGCAAGAGACGGAGGAGGACAGGGCAGCUGUGACGGACAGAGACGCCAUGGCAGGACCUCGAGGAGUUUUAAGAUACUGGUGCAGGUACUGGCGAGGUGAUUUUGACGAGAAAAGCAUGAAGAGGGCGUCGAGCACCAUGGGCCUGCAAUCCUUAAGGUUGAUCUCGUAGUCCUUGAGCUCUUGUUCAGGCAUGACGGGAUCCGCUGCGGUCUUUUUUAUCGGCAAUAAAGUUCUUUGCCUCAUAAAACAGCCCAGAACGCGAUAGAAGAGUUACGAACAAAGCACAAUGUGCAACUGUAGGUGUCUUGAUGCAGUUGAAGUAAAACUUCCCUUCCUCGACCAUGCGUGCUGCAACGCAAGCAUGAAGGACAGCAGCAUAGGUGAUUUCAUCGAUCUGUGUACUCGUUUCCUUCUCCAUUUGGCAGAAUAAAUCUACUCCGAUCUUUCCUUGUCCGUGUAAGCUGUACCCAGUUAUCAUCACUGUCCACGAAACAAGAUCUCUUGUACUUCGACCCUGGCAAAAACUUUUGCAGCUGAUUUGAUAAAUCCCGACUUGACAUACAUGUCCAUAAGAGCAUUCAGAACGGUGAGAUUCAUUCGAAUACCAUGUCGCAGCAAGAAUCCAUGAGUCUCUUUUGCCAUGUUUACCUGCAGACAUUCUUGCGCAUGCUGGGAGAACACUAGAGACCGAGAGCGGAUCAGGUUUCACCCCGUCUCCAACCAUCUGCCUAAACAGCUUAAGACCCUCAUUGAAGCAUCCCCUCUUCACAUUGGCAUGAAUCAUUUCUGUCCAAGAAAUGACAUCUUUCUCCGGUAUUUGGUUGAAAACUGCCCAAGCUUCGUCGACACAGCCACAGUCCAUGUAUAUUUUCAAGAUGGUAUUGCUCACCAACACAUCAUACUCCAAUCCACGUUCCUUGGCAACCCUGUGGACUUUUGUUCCAUCAAUCAACGAUCUCAACAUGCCACAGGCACCAGCCGCCGUCGCCACAGCCACAGAAUCUAUCUGUGCUCCGGACUCCACCAUUCUCUCAAACACAUGAACCGCCUUGCCGGGUUUACCUUCCGCAAUGUACAGCCUGGCCAGCAUUGUCCAUGAAACAGAGUCCGUAACCAGGGACUUGUCAAACAGCCCUUUCGCGGAGUCCGCGCUGUCGAGGCGACCGUACAACUCAAUGAGAGCAGCAACCACGUACCGGUCACCAGAGCAGCCGAGCUUGUGAGCGUGGGCAUGGAGUUGCUUGCCGAGGGAGAGAUCAACCGAAAGGCGAGAGGCAGACAAGACGCGAGGAAGAGUGUGUCUGUCGGGCGACGAACGCGCGGAUGAGCAUUUGGUGGUAAGUGGCGAGGGCGUGGUGGAAGUCGGCAUUGGCGAUAUGGGUCUGGAUAAGUCUGUUCCAUGCAAAGGUAUCUGAGUGGGGCAUUUUGUCGAACACCUUGUGGGUGACGGCCACCUUCGUGGUGGGUUUAGCAUUUCGGGAGUGCUUGUAGUGGGCUGUGUUGAUUGGGUUCUCGGUGACGAUCAAGCGCUGGAUUUGGGCGGAUGGAAGGGCUUCCAUUUCAGUUCAGUCGCACCCAAUUCAGCAUUGCCCGUACGGAUUCGAGCGCAGUUAUCGAGGAGGAGUUUCCUUAAGAAUAGAACCAAUCACCGACUCCUCAAACCCAUCCGGAUAUGCGAUUUUCAUGAGGUGCAAACAAGAACCCUCUGCCAUAAGUGGCAUGAUCACCCAAAGGUUUCUUUCAACGACAAAUGAACAAAACGCCCUCACGACAUUGGGAUGAUCUAUUAAUCUCAUCGUCUGCGCCUCCCUCCGGAUAUCCUCGAAAUUGCUAUUGCACCGAUCGAGAUCCAAGCACUUGACGGCGACGACUUCAUUGAAAGGGAGAUAGAUCGCUCUGUAAACCGUUGCGCUGGCGCCAUAUCCGACCUCUUCCAGAAGCUUGUAGUCGUUCGGAUUCGCCGAGUGAAGCCUCGAAUUGCUACCCAUCCUCCCCAUCUGUUCGAGGACUUGUGCUUCAGAUAUGUCGUUUUGAGGCUACGGGCUCUGCGUUUGGGCUGUGUGCCAGUUUGGGCUUAGUGUUGCUUUGGAGAGAUCUAGGUUUGGUUGAAGAGGUACGGUGAAGCCAUGGGCAAGGGAGAUGACGAAUUGGGCUUGGAGGCUGACACUUGGGCCUGGAUGGCCUCCUUUUGAGAGGCUUGCUGCUGAUGGAUAUACAUAUAUAUAUUUGUAUGUAUAUGUAUGUAAAAGAAAUCUUUUUUUUUUUUUUUAAUUUUUUAAUUUUUUUUUUUAUGUGACUGAACUCGAAAAAAUUGAACAUUCGAGCUGCCUACGUACCCCUCCAAAGAAGAGAUCAAGUCGCAACGUAGUUCAAAUACAUUUUUGGUAUUUUCUUUUUGUGUCGUUUGCAGUUUUAACUCAUGCAGGCAAGGAGUGUUGGUGUCGUUUGCAGUUCCAACUCUUGCAUACAAGGAGCGUUGGUGUUGCCUUUUAUGCUCGUGUAGGCCAGGAGCGUUGGUUCGUGCAGUUUAGGCUCGUGCAGGCGAGGAGCCUUUGGUGUCGUUCGCAGUUUCAACUCGUGCAAACAAGGAGCAUUUGGUGUCGUUCGCAGUUUCAACUCGUGCAGACAAGGAGCAUUUGAUGCCGUGUUGCAGUUUAGGCUCAUGCAGGCGAGGAGCGUUGGUGUCUUGUAGUUUAGGCUCUUACAGACAAGGAGCUUUGGUUCGUGCAGUUUAGGCUCGUGCGAACAAGGAGCAUUGUUGGUUCGUCAAGCGAUCCGAGAGAGUUGUUCCUCACAAUCUUCAUAGCAAGGAGCCUUGACCGCGUGAUUGAAGAAGUCUUCGGGUAAAAAGUCGCGCAUCGUGAUGGCAACAGACAAUCUUUGUGUCGUAGUUUCAUCAUCUUCAACACGUUCACGUUGCUUUGAAGGUUGACAAUAGCUGCUUUGCCCCCUUUUCAAUUGGCGGACUUGUGGAGGAGACGUAUGCUUCUUGUGCAAUUUCUUAGGAGUGACUUGAGUCCAUCCUUCAAUUUUGCUUGUCUUGGACGAUGCCCCCAGCGGUUGAGGUGAAAACUUUGAGUCGGAAGAGCCAGAAGUGAAGGUGGUAUAGUUUGACUUUGCCACUUCGUCAAGAUCUAGCUCGAUGAUUCCUUUCUGAGCCAGCUUCAUGAUGAGAUCUUUCAGCACGAAACAUUUUUCUGUCGGAUGACUGAUGAAGCGGUGGAAUUUACAGUACUUUGGACUGUCGGUGCGAUUCAUCUCUUCUGGCCGUUUGCACUCAGGCAAACCAAUCACCUUCUUUUCCAACAGGUCAUCCAGUAUGGCAACCACAUCAGAGUCGGGGAAUGGAUAAGUCUUCUCCUCAAGCUCCUUUAAAGUGCGUCUACGCAUUUCUUGAUCACGAAAAGCUUCGGUUUGAAUCGCCUUGCCUCGUGUGGAUAUUUUGACGGGAGAUGUGUUGACCGUCAUCGCUUCCUUGGUGGGUUUCCAUGCAGCCUUUUCCACCUUUGUCCCAAGAACUUUGUCGUUCUUGUAGUCGGCGAUUGGUUCUUUCUUCCCAUGAUGGGCGAUGCUCAACUCCAUGUCAUGGGCGCGAGUGGCCAAUUCCUCGAAGGUCCGCGGUUUAAUGCCUUGAAGGAUGUAUUGCAAACCCCAUUGCAUGCCUUGGAUGCACAUCUCGAUUGAAGAGGUUUCCGAGAGCCUGUCUUUACAGUCGAGGCUUAGAGUGCGCCAUCUGUUGAUGUAGUCAAUGACUGGCUCGUCCUUCCACUGCUUUGUGCUUGUUAGCUCUAGCAUGCUCACAGUGCGGCGAGUGCUGUAGAAGCGGUUGAGGAAUUCCCGCUCCAAUUGCUCCCAGUUGUUGAUGGACUCAGGCUCUAGGUCAGUGUACCACUCAAAGGCGUUUCCUUUUAGUGAGCGCACAAACUGCUUGGCGAGGUAGUCCCCUUCGGUCCCUGCGUUGUUGCAAGUUUCAACAAAGUGGGCAAUGUGUUGUUUCGGGUUUCCCUUUCCAUCAAAUUGCAUGAACUUUGGCGGUUGAUAACCCUUCGGCAUCCUUAAGGCGUCGAUUUUCUUUGAAUACGGCUUCGAGUACAACCCGGAGGUAUUUGAGCUCCCUUCGUACUGUGCCUUGAUGGUGUUGGUGAUCAUCUAUUGCAGCUGCUGGAUAGAAAGAGAUCCCAUGAGUGCCGCUGCUUGGUCUGGCUCCGGCUUUGCAUCGUUUUUCUCCACCUGAGGCUCAUCUUCUUCGUCAUCUCUUCUCUUUAGUGGAUCAUUCUCUGGGUCGGGUUUAUCGCCGUCCUGCGCCUUUAGUCGAUUGACGAGUGCUGCAAUUUGCAAGUCUUUUUUCUUCCACCGUUCGGGUCAGCCUUGCGAUUGCUUCAUUCAUCUGAGCCAGUUGUUCUUCAACGGAGGUAACGCCGAUAGUCAUGACUUGUGCGACCAAUAUACGUGACUUUCCUUUAGACAUCCAGGAUGCUGAUGAAGAACGUCGUUGGCUGCUUUGGGAUGUCAUCUUAUGUGCCUCAGCAUCAUGCUUCGGUGCCCCCAGCGAGGUCAGGUUGAUGACAGACUCGCACCUUGGAUGCUCCCCUUGCUCUUUUAGCGGCACCAAUUUUGAAGUAGCAUGUUGGGGAGCGGUUGUGGCGCCAAUGGAUUGUCUGUUUGCGGCAGAAGUGCUUAGGAUCCUUCCCUCAGUGGUUGCGAGAAUGGCUUGUCCUUUGCUUGAUGCCAUUGACUUUGAGGUGUGCUUGGAUUCCUUGAACGAAGAAAGAGAUGAGAGGUAGAGAUUGUCCCACCGGGCGUGCCAAUUUGUGAACACGGAAAAUUCCUGAAACGAAAGAGACAAGAACGAACGUGCACAAACAAAUAUUAUGUAUUUGAUGAUUUUGGGUUACAAUCUCUCUCUAUUUGAUCCUCUGAUUCAAUCUCCGUAAGGUGUGUAUUUGUGGAUGUGUGAUUGAUCCAAAGGGCCGUUGGGCUUGAUCUAAGGAUGAACGUUCUUCAAGGGCCGUGGACUUGAUCUUGAAGGUGGAUUUGAGCGGAUCUUUAAAGGGGCUUUUGGGCUUGAUCUUGAAGAACGGUUGGAUGUGUGGAUUUGUCGAAGUUGUUGAUCCAAAGGGCCGUUGGGGCUUGAUCUUGGAUGAACGGAUGAUGAACGAUGGUGCUUUCUUCAAGGGCCGUCGGGGCUUGAUCUUGAAUUGGUGGAUGGUUGAUCCAAGGGCCGUCGGGGCUUGAUCUUGGAAGAACGAUGAACGAAGAACGAAGAACACUUUCUUCAAGGGCCGUCGGGGCUUGAUCUUGAAUUGGUGGAUGAUUGUUGAUCCAAAGGGCCGUUGGGGCUUGAUCUUGGAAGAACGAUGAACGAAGAACAAAGAACGCUUUCUUCAAGGGCCGUCGGGGCUUGAUCUUGAAGGUGGAUGAUUGUUGAUCCAAGGGCUGUCGAGGCUUGAUCUUGGAAGAACGAUGAACGAAGAACACUUUCUUGAUUCUUCGGGAACCUGGACGCUUGAGAGCUUCGGAGUUUCAGAGCUUCAGAGCUUCAAGGUGUAAUAUGAAUUGGUCCCCCCUAAAUGAAUGAAAUGGGCUUGUAUUUAUAGAAUUUUCCAAGGCCUAAUUUUGAAUAUAAUAUCCCAGAUGAAAUAAGUCGUUUCUGCCAGGUGUUGACACGUGUCCUAUUUGAUGACUUUUCCAACUCAUUUCAAUUUUCGUUUAGUCACACGCUACGUGUAAAAUUUAUGUAAUACAUGAGCGUUGACACUUUGAUUUAUCGGUCAACAUUUAUUUACCGAAAUUUCGAUGUCUACAAAACUAAUAGAUAAUUGACUAAAUAAACAUCCUGCAAAGUUUCAAUAAAAAUUUCCAAGUUUUUCUUACAAUUUCUGUGGUUUCCAUAUUAUUUUUAUCGAUAUCGAUAAUAUCCCGAUAUUUCAAUCGAUAUUUCCGUGUUUUUGGACUACCGAUAUUUCCGAUAUCAUCGAUAUUUUAUACCUUGGCGACGGGGGACUUGCCGACUGGUGCCACCGUGGACGUUGGGUCUUUCGAAAUGUGGUGUAAUGUUAUGAUCCCACAUCGGCUACACAAGAAAUUGUGUAGUGGUACUUAAGUGCAAGGGGUCCUCCCACCUAUUGGACUAGUCUUUUGAGUUGGGCUCUUCCCUUAGGCUUGAGUACCUAACAAACCCAUAAAUCAAAGAAAUCAAAAUCCACCCAGAAUCAAAGAAAUCAAAAUCCAUCCAGAACCAAAGAAAUCAAAAUCACACACAGAUAUACAAGGUGUACAGUACUGACAUGCCUUAAAUGAUAUUAUUCACAAGAUUUAUAAAGCUCAUGUCGUAAUACUUGUGCAGAAUCUAUCAUUCACGGCGUCACUUUUGUGCAAGUUGUAAAUAAAAUUAUUCACAAUUUAAACAUUGUGUGUCGUAUUUGACAAUUUAUACUACGCACUUUCUUUUUCUUUUAAAGCUUUGCGUUAUGUCGUGAAGUUGACUUUCUAUAUAUUUGGGUUGUACCUUUUAUGGCGCAAAUAACACGUCGUAAAUAAUGGCUUUUAGCACAGAAGUUUUGUGGUAAAGAAGCCCGCGCACUAAUUCAUUCUCGCGCCUUCUCUUUUUUAUUUAGCCGCUUCUUUUUUUAUUUUUUAUUUUUUUUGUUAAAUUCCCCUCAAAUGUUAAAAGAAAAAUUAAUGAAAUAUUUGAAAACUUUGAGUUUUAACGAUAAGGAUAAAAUAAAAGGUAAAAUGAAUAGUACCAAAAUUGACUUUUUAGUGUUAAAAUAUGAUUUUUCGUUAAAGUGAACAGUGCCGAAAGUUUUUCGUUAAAGUUCAAUGUUAAAAGGUUUGUAUUUUCUUGGUAAACUUGAAAGACAAACAUUGCAAUUGCAUUUUCAUUUACCCAAUAUUAAUUGUCGAGAGCCCACCCCCUUCCCUUCUCACUGACAUCGUAACUCUCUCCUCUCCAUCGAUCUCGCUCCAUCUGCUCGCCGUCGCUCUAUAUGCUCGUCAUCACCGUCGAUUCGUCUGCUCGUCGUCACCGUCGCCCAUCUGCUUUCCGUCACCGUCGAAGUGCCCCGCCAUUCAAGAUCUGAAAUCCCCAAUACAGGGUGCUUUGCGGCAUUUCGUUCUCCAAAACUUUAGGUAUGCUCUCAAUCUGUAUCAACCCUAUCCUGUCCCCUCUAGAUUUUUGUUUAGUCUCAACUUUAUGGUGCUUUUCUUAGAUUUGUUCUAUCACUGUAAUUUUAAGGGAUUUUAGGUAAUAAAUUUGGUUGAGAAUCUCAGUUAGGUUUGUAAUUGUUUUCUUGGUUGCCUGGGUUUGAGGAUGAUUAAUCCACUUUCUGAAGUUUAAUUACUUUGAACUUUGAUUUGUGGGAAACUGCAAUCAAAAUGUUGCUAUGGCUUUAUAGUUAGAAUCGAUUGUGAGUCUUUGCACCACAUCAAGCAAUACCCCGGUGUUGUAAUUCCGAGGUUUGUAAUUGCCGCUGUUAAUGAUGGUUUGGUCCAUCCUUUUUAGGGAGAUGACUUCAAUGAUUGAAACUAGUUUAUCAUUAUUUCAGAACUCUGUAAUACGAGACAUGAUAUUCCAAAAAAUAUUUGCAUGAAUAUAUGUGCAUUGACUGACUAUUUUUCAGUCUUUGAUAGUGGAGAUAACUCUUUCAGGUCAUAUGUAGUUCUUACAGAAAUUGUAUGGUAUUUUGGUUGGUUUUGUGUUCUGGUUGUAGCAAACUGGUGGAUGCCCUGAGAUGAGUAGUUAUCUACAAAGUGGAUGGAUCCUGAAGAGUACAAAGUCUAAGGCAUUUUAUGUAAAGGUAAAUCCUGUUACUUUUAAUUACUUAUAUGUGAAUGCCUGCCAUUUGAAGUAAAAAUUCUUUUAGCCAUUACAUUCUUCAUAAAGAUCUUUAUAUGCUCAAAAGAAGGAUUUUUUUUAGAUGCCAUGUAACUGGUGGUGGCUAGCCUCUUCUUUUUAAGACUCUAGUGUGUUUCAAUUACACUAGUCAAUCGUUCUUAUGUGUAUUAUGUUUUGUUGAUAAGAUGGCCAAGACAAAGUUGUAGAGCCCUAGUAGCAGGGUGCUGUUGGCAUUUAUAUUUUUCUUUUGAAGGGGUGUUUAUUGCUUUUAUACUUUCAUUGUUUACUCUCAUACAUACAAUACUGAAAAAUAAGCAUGUAUUGACGCGUAAUUUUAGAUCCAUAUUUAUACAUAAUUUUGAUUACAUGUCCAAAUUACCCAAGAUUCUUUUUCCUUUACAAAUUUGUGGAGUGCAUUACAUGGAUAUGAUUCAUGUAUGAAAUACACAUGACUCUCACUAAUUUAAGGGCAGCAUCAUUGACUGUACAGUUUUCAAUUCUUUAUAAUCAUGAGUAUAGACAUUUUUUAAUUCUUUAUAAUCAUGAGUACAACAAUAGUUUCUAUAACAAAAUUCUGUUAAAUAUGUAAUAUCAGUAUUUGUUUUCCAGGUUCAUUAGUUGAGGAUGAUUUUUCCAAGAAAGAAAAGAUCGCGGCUUUCAGGCCGAUCUAAAGAACAUUAUGUUGAUAUUGCACCUGAGAUCUUACAAGAAGAGGACGAAGAAGUACCAGAUGACCUAUUUACAGAGGAGUCGAAUCAAACUAAAAGAAAGAGGGGUCCUACUAGAAUGAAGACAAUUUCCACAAAUGAUGGUCAACGAAUUGAGAUUGAAUGGAAUGAAAACGGCCAGUUUAUUGGUGACGGAUCUAUUGACUUAUCUUCUUACAUGGGUUCUUUGGUCCGAGAGGUUGUCCCUAUAACAUUUGAUACUUGGAAGGAUGUUCCUAAGAAAACAAAGGACAUCCUAAUCAAGGUAAUAUGCAGAUAAGUCAAUUCUGAUCCCUCUACUUCAAGGUGAACAAUUUAUAGUUUAUAAAUUUUACUUGUGUUAAUAUAUAUUUUUUGGUAAAUGUUAUGGAUAUUUUAUCAAAUCAGAGAGUAAAUUCGUAUUAAGUGAAGAUUGGCAAAGAACAUAUUGUUUUGAAAGGAUGAAUAAUGUUUGCAGAUCACAUAUAUCAGUAGUUGUGAAGUCCAUAAGAGAAGCAAGAAAUUGGAAAGCAAGGCUUCGUCUAAAACCAAAUAAUGUCAAAUUAAUUCAAGAUUGGAAGACUUCCCUUGCAAAGUGUAAGCUCAUUUUCCUUUUCUUUUAUUUCUAAGAUUAGUUAUCUUCUUUUGAGUUCAAAAUUGGGUCAGAGAAAUCAAACUGAUAGUAGUUAAAAGUCUAUUUCAACACCAAGCCUUGUCUACACAAGAAUUUGGUGUUAGUUAAACAUGUGUAUGAUUCUAUCUUGAUUGCAUGUUAAUUUAGUUUGAAGAUAGAUUUGGUACAUGCUAGCUAAUUGAUACGUGAUAUGAAUCUUUGGUUUCCUUUUGAUAGGACAAAAGCGAAACAUUCAGAGAGAUGAAGUCUAAGCAACUCCGCACACAUGUAGUCGCAAGGGAUAUGGUAGGUUGGCGGAGGAUUUGGUAAUUACAUUUCAUUCUAGUGCCUUCUUUUCUACAGGACAAGAACAAUUUACUAAUUUUAUUCUGUGUUCUACUGUGUGUUUACUACAUUUAUGUUUCUAUUUUGUAGAAAAGAAAAAGUGUAGACCCUUCUCUAGUUUCUAGAGGUGAUGUUUGGAUUGCAGCACAUACUAAAAAGGGUGGUGGACCAUCCAAUUUGCUUGCUGCAGAGACUAUUGUAAGUAAUUUUUAACCAUUUAUUUCUUCUUGUUUGUUGAUAUGCAAUGAUGAAUGAGGUCUUAACUUUGAUGUGCAACGUUAGGAAAAAAAUUAAGCAAUAUGGAAAUGGAUCAUCAUCUGGUUUUCGAGGUGACGUUCUUUCCAAAGUUUUUGGUGCUGAGCGACAUGGUCGUGCAAGAGGAGUUGGAGGUGGUGUUCCUCCUACAAAGCUUGGAAUAUUUUCACAACAAAAAUUGCGUAAUCACCAAAUGGAUGAAAAGGUGCACAAUUUAACUAAUCAGGUCAGAGCACUGACAGAAUUGGUGUAUCUUUUUAUGAAAAAUCAGGUUAGUGAUUUAAUAACAUUGGUAUCAUAUUGAAUAUUUGUGAAAUCAGUUUUAGUGACACAUCAAAUCACAGGGUAAUGAUCUACCAAGUGAGGCAUCUCCUGACACACAGGUUGCAGCUCCUGAGGCACAUGUUGAUACUGUCGCAAGAACUGAAACUUGUCUUUCCCAUUGCGCAACAAAUGAAUCGUGGUGGCGAGGUUGAUACACUUUUUCAAUGAGCCUUCUAACUAUUAAUGCUCAUUGACUCUGUUAAAAGCUCUGCCAUUUUCAAUCUAACUAGACACUAGAAAUGAUCAUUGACUCUGUUAAAAGUUAUGAUGUUUUGGUCCUUCUCCAUAGUUGCGCAUCUACUGAUGUCUAUUUUUUUUCAAAUACUGCAGGUUAUUUCUGAAAACAUUGAAACAUCGUGGUGUACCAGAUGGUUUGAUUAUAAGACACCUUCCUUUUGGUCCACCAACUUAUUUAUAACUGCUAAAUGGUACGUAGUGUGAUAAUUUUCAAAUAUUUUGAUAUUAAGACAGGUGUAGGACAACAUAGAAAUUCUUAGGGCCUUCAGCAACAAAAUUAUGAAAAAGUGAGUGAGAUACAAUUAAAAAAAUGAAAGAGAAGGAUCAUGAUUCAUGAUCUAAAGGUUUGAAUAGGGUAGAAAGGAUUUAGUUUCGUUGUUAAAAUCGAUUGUGAGUCUAUUGUUAUUGUAUUGUCAAUUUGUUUAUUUACUUGAACUUCCUAGUAUCAAUUUGGUUCGAUAUAUCUAGCACCACCAUAGAUAUAUCUAGUAUCAAUUUGGUUAGAUAUUGUCAAUUUGUUAUUGUAUUGUCAACUAUAGAAUGUGCAUCAGUUGUAAAAGGAACAAAACAAUUCAGAUUUUUUGUUUAUGUCCAAACUUAGAAUUGUAUUGUAAUUGACAAUUUCUACUAAUUAAUUUAAAGUAUUUGGAGUUUAAUAUGUUUAUGAUCAAUAUUGUUAUCCUUCUAUUGUAUCAGUUUAGAUGUUAUGAAGUGAGGUCUGUCUAAAAAUGAUAUGCUAAAUAUAGAUGUAAAUUACGGCAUCUAAAAUCAGCAAUAAUUGUUGAUGGUAGUCUUUUUUUACGAUGCACGAUGUAUGCCGUAAUCACCUUCACAAUAUUACGACACUCAACAAAUGCUGUAUCAAAUAUAAAUUACUGCACACAAGUAUGUCGUAAUUGUUUUUCAGUAUUACGACACCCUAUUAACGCUGUAACUAAUACCAAUUAAGGCGCGUAGGACAUGCCUUAAGAACAUUUAUGGCGUGUUUUACUUAAAUUAUUCACUACUAUUAGAGUACGUCGUAUUUGUCAAAACAUCUUUUACAACAGGGGCUUUUACUGCUUGGAGGCUCACGUCGUGAAUUUCCAUUUACGGCACCCUUUGUGCGCCGUAAAAGGCCAAUUCUAUUGUAGUGAUCCAUGGGUACAUUUUUAAUCUACAUGUUUCGUUUUAAUAUAUCUAUUGCUAUAAUAUGUUUUGGUUGGUUCAAAUUCGUUUUACAUAAAUAUAUGGGUACAAAGUUUUUGGAGAAUAUUAUGUAAAAUGGUUUUUAAGGUUGUUGCAUUUUAUGUACCCACAUAUGCAUGUCUAUAAAACAAUGUGGUAUGAUGUACAUUCUUUUCCUUGAGUUUUUAAAUGUACCCAUGAGUUUUCUUGUAAAUUCAGUAUGUAUCCAUAUGCUAUUUAUGUUAUGGGUACAUAAAUUAUUUUUGGUCUAAGUUGGUGGGUACAUUGCUUUUGUAUGUAUGAAUUCAUUGGGUACAUUAUUUCCCUUAAUACUACUCAAUAAAAUUCACAAAAAUAUGUGCAGUGUGCAUGAAUUUUUAUUGUAGAAAUUGUUUUUUUUUAAUUUUUAAUUUUUAAGUCUCAUAAUUCGUGAAUUUUGUACAUAUUGAUCCCAUAAAUUUUUGAAUUUUAUUAAAUUUCUUUUAGACUUGAUCGAUUGAUUGAAUCUCAUAAUAAUCCCUUAAAUGUUCCAAUCAAUAUUUUAAAUUACAGCUUUUUAUUUAAGAUUUCAAAAAGAUGACAUGAAAAUAUAGUAAUACUAAAAUUUUAUUUUAAAUUACAUUUGUGUAACAAUCAAUGGUAUGUUAAAACUGGGCAAAAAAAAAAGGUAUAUUAAAAAAUUAUAAUUUAUUCUUUUUUUCAUAACUGUCUUCUGCUUAGAUUAAAUUUUUACCAAUUUGGGGGAAUUAGUUCUUACCAAUAUAUAUGCACAGUAUUUGCUUUUUACCUGGGCUUAACACAUGAUUAAUUACUUUCCUACCUGCUAACGCGUUGAUUUGCGCAUCCAAAGUAUUAUCAAAGUCACUGCCACCAAAAAGGUGCCCACUCCACAACCUUUGGUUGAACCAAAGAACAUCACAACAAUAAGGAAAUCGUUAAAUCUAUCUCCGCAACAUUUUUAUUAAUCAUUAGAUAGAUUAAACGAUUCCCCUGUUCAUAUUGUGUUCUUUUGUUGAACCAAACCAUGUCAACAAAAUAUAUCUAUGGUUAAGCAUCUAGAUUCAUGCUUUUGGAUGUGCAUCUUAAACCCCUCAAUGAAUAGCCAAGCAAUUUAUCAUGUGUUUACAGUAGGUCAAAAGAAGAAAGUGUUUGUCUAUAUAUUGGUAGGAACCAAUUCCUCUGAAGAGGAGAGAUGGAAGUGAUGAUAAUACUUUAAAUAAUCAAAGCCCAAACAUUUUAUCAAAUUUCAUCUCUGUACUCCACGGAGACACUAAAUGAGACAUAUCUGGUCCAUCUCUGAACAUCUUUUCUUACCGUUCUUACAAUAGAAAGGGCACAAAAUUGACUUACACAGUCUUGCACAAUACUCACUUUGCUUCAACCCAUAUUUCACUUUGUCAAAUCAUACACGUUCCUGCAAUAGGUGAACUCAUAUGUAUCUACCACUUCUUGCUAAUUUUAAUUUUUCCAUUCCCAUUUUUGCUACAAGUUUCACAUAAAUUUUUUAUUGCACUUGUCAAUUCUUUAUACUUUUUUAUUGUAUUUUUUUUUUGUCUUUUUUUUGUAUUAAACAAUUACAUGUCCUCCAAAAGUUUUGCUUAUUGCCCUAUUUCAUCAAGCUCGGUAUAAAUAGAUCUUAAUUUUUUACUACAGUUAAAUACAUGGACAUGCCUCCACAAAUACAAAUUAGUUCUUGCUUAAAUACUUUGUGUGUUUACAUAGAAAAUGUUCCCAUCGUCUACCAAAAUCCUCCACACAUGAAAACAAAAAUUCUUACUCAAAAAUACAUAUUACAAUACCACCAUAUCUGUUGUUUUUUAUUAAAUUAACACACUGUUUUCAAUUUUAUCUUUAACACAAAAGAAAAUGCUCUUACACAAUAUGCUUGUUUACAUUUUAUAACUUAUCUACCACAUGUUAAUCGCAAUUAUAUAAAUAGGAAAACACGUGUCAAUAGAAGUGUGAUGCAUGCUACUUCGUUAACAAUAGUGGCAACUAAACAAUUAAAUAAUUUGUUUCAAUUAGUUAGUACAUUUUAUAAAUUUCUUAAUUAGAACUGUUUCAGUAUAUUCAAUACAUUUUUAAACAACUUUCCAGUUAGUUGCCCAAACUAAUUAUUCCAGCUUAUUCAUAGUAUAAUACCAACAAUUUAACAACCAAUGAUACUUCGUUUAACAUAAACUUCAUUUGGAAAAAACAAAAAAAUAUCUUUUUCUCUGCUGAAAAAUCCAACAGAGUUAUUGAUGCAGAUCAGUUAUACCAACAAAUUACCAUAGUUUACCCAAUGCUAUACAGGUUUGACUUUUGUUUAUAUUCUUGGAUCUGUUGCUUGGUUGUAUAAUUUGGUUGUGUGUUUUGUUUCAGGACAAUUUGUUCUUCGUUUCUUGAGGCUUUUGUGUGUAGAUUUGAAACCGUUUAGCUUUCAAGCCGUGUAUACUCAAGGUAAAUAAUUUCGUUUUUUUCUUUGUAACCUUUUUUGUAAGAAAUUUUUAUUUAAUGUUGUGAGAGUUGUGUUUUCUAGAGUAUGAAAAUUGAAUCUUUGUGAUCUUAUAUCCUUAGAUAUGUUUCUUGGUUAUAUGAUUUGGCUGUGUGCAUUGUUUCAGGACAAUUUGUUCUUCGUUUUUUGGGGCUUCGGUGUGUAGCUUUGAAGCCUUUUGUAGUCAACAUAAAUAAUUUUAUUUUUCUUUGUUUCUAGUCUUCUUUGAAAGAAUUUCUUAGUUAAUAUUCUGAGAAUUAUGUUUACUAUAGUAUGAAAAUUGAAUCUUUGUGAUCUUGUAAGUGAUGUAACGUCAUUGCAACAUGUAUGACUGCCAUUAUCGAACAUGAAGAGCUUUUUGAUUUUUGUACUCCGUCCUUUCAUACGAUCUGACUCAAAAAUUGUUUCAUCACAGGUUCUAACAUGAUUUUUGCGACGUCUUAUGAAAAUACAAUGUCACUUCUGGUAUUCCAACUUAAACAAAUUACAAGGGAUGUCUAGUUUUAAACCUGCAGUUAGUAUAUACUAAAACGACGGUUUUGGCCCUGCUCUCGACUUCUUCAGAAACCUCGAGAAACUUCAAACUGAGAAAGCUUCUCCCUUCCAUCUCUGCUACGCGAUCUCUGCUUUGCGAUCUCUGCUUCCUCCGUGAUUUCUUCCCUCCUGAUCGACAUCUAUUCGAAUUGAAAACCUUCUGGAGCUCUCUUCCCCAAAUUUCAGCAGCAACUUUGCUCCAGAUCUUUCCAAUUGAAAUUCCUCUCCUUCACAUUUUGCAUAUUGAAUUUCGCAUCAUUAUCAUCUCCCUAGAACCUAGGAGUUUGGUUCGGUUUCGAGUUUUCCGACGGAAAUCCGGCGACAGCGGCCAUCGAGGUUGGUCUGAAACUAUUCCUCAUCACCACAAGUACUUUCUACACCUAUUACACUUUAGAAAAAAUUUCAUGAUUUGGUGGAAUCCAAUUUAAUGAUUAGAAAAAUUUUCAUUAAUUUUCUGGGUUCGUGGGUUGGAGGUGGAUUAGAAAUUUUUUCAUUAUUUUUCUGGGUUUGUGGUUUUUUUCCAAAACGUUUUUCCUUUCUACUAAUCCAAGUUCCUUCACAUCAAUCUCUCUGUUUCGUUCUUGAUCUUCCGCGAGUAGAAUACCUCUCCUUGCUCUCGAGCGCGUGGGCAGUCGCUCCAAGGCAGCCCAUGACGUCAUUUUCCGAUUCGACUCGGAGGAGGUUGGCUGCUCUUCUUGGCUGAGCUUCAUGGCUGGCCGAAUUCCCCUAUUCCCUUCCUCUUAUACUCUUUUGUAUUCGUUCACCAAAACAAUAGGAAAACGUCUCCGUCUGUUUGAUUGACGGCGAAGAAAAAAAGACGGAGAUAAAAGCCUGACGGAAGCUGAAAGCUUGGACUCUGUUUGUAUUUUUAAUGGAUUUUCAGAACACAGGUCAAGAAUACUGCGAUUUGAGAAAGAAAGAAAGAACCACGUUGACAUAAUAUAUUCACAAUAGGCGUACAUAAAGCUUUACUGUGGUUCCAUUUUUUUGCAUAUUUCAAAGGCUCUGAAUUGUUAAGGGAAUUAGCCUUUUGUUUUAGGAAGAACUUGGAACCCCCUCCGUCCAUUCUAUUCCCGAUGGAAUUAACACUUAGAUAGUACUAUGACAAUGUGUCAUUAAUUGAUGCAUACCUGUAUAAAUUUAGGCCAAGUGUUUUAUACACAAAUUGAUACAGAUUAAGCUUCUGGGUCGAAAUCAUAUACCGGUGAGCUAACUACACAAUGAUACAUUCUUAUCUGUUAAUUAUCUUUGGUUACCAGCUAUCCAUGUUGCUGACAUAUUAAACUACACAACAUCUAUUGUAAUUUAUGUCUUAUUAGUAUCAUCACUUUUGUUCUUUAUUUCAAUGUCUAACAUAAUGAUCUGGUUUCAAUUUGCUACAGGCAUUAUUUCCAGACAAUAGCUAUGGUUUUGAUUGUAGCGGUGACUGAAAAAUUAUUCCGAAACUAACAUUUGAGGAAUUCAAGGUUUGUUAGUUAAUUUGUACAUCAGAAUACCAUGACAAACUAUGAAGUUGUAAUUGUUGACCUUACAAUGUAUCUUUUUUGGUUUGGAGCAUUAGACUUAUAUGUGUUGCUUUCACUUCAUGAAGGCUAACUCUUUAUUUUAGGCCUUAGAAUAUAAUUUUUUGGAGAAUCUACAUUGUUGAUAAUUUUUUGAACAAUAUUAUCCCCAAAAUUUCUCCGCAUGUUACCCUCAACGUAGACAUCAUAUAACCAUCAUUGAACUUCUGAACCAAAAAUUUGAGUUUUAUGAUUAUAACUAAACGUCUAUAAACACAUGAUACAGAUUGAGACGAAUGUCAAAUUUAAAAUGGCAUUAAUCAGGACAGCUGCAAACUCUGAUUUGCGGCCUUUGAAAUGGAGCAGUUACUUCUUGCUUCACUUCAACAGCAUAGUCCAGCUUCUAAAUUCAGUUCUCAGGUAUGAGGUUUCUCAGUUACCUCUUUUUUGUAAUAAAACAUUUGAUCAGUACUUGCCAGGAUAUCCAAUUAAUUAGGUCAGUUUUUGUUAGCGGUAAUAAUUUGUUUUUGUAGCUUUAUAUGUGUCUCUGUCUCCAAAUAUGAUGAUCUCUUAAUUUGCUUCUAUAGCUUUUGUAAUAUAAUGAUCUCUUAAUUUGCUUUUGCAUAUCUUCUUUGCUUCCUCUGCUAGCUCUAUAUGAGAUUCCAUCUCCAAAUAAUUAUUCCUUAUUUCCUAUUUUUACAGGAAGCAAAUCAUUGAAUACACAUGGAAAAUUAAAAGGGUUUUAGUUUUUGGAGUAGUUUAAAUUUUUUGUUUGUUAUUGCUUGUAUUGCUGUUAAAUAUUUGAUGGGUAGUUUGAAAUGGGGAACUUGGUUGAUUGAGUAUUAACUUUUAUUAAAUUAAUAUUCUUAUUCAAUAUUGAAUUAAGACUCCUCUUAUUAAAUUAAGACUCUUAGAGUGCGUUUGUUGCGCCAGACUGUCUCGGACUGGACUAGCUGCCGGGACUAAGCUGGACUGGCUUAGACUGGACUAAGCUAGACUAACUUAGUGAAGCGUUUGGUGUAAUGUCGGACUAAGAAGCAGGAUAAGAAAAACAGUACUGUUCACCAGAUUUGUGUUUGCUUAGACUAGGAUUACAAAUUUUUGCCAUUGUGUAAUAGAGUAAUGCUACAAAUCUCAUGAUAUGGGUUAAUUGGAGCAUAUUUUUGCCAUGUAUAUUAUGAAUCUUAAAAAAAAUUGACAAUUGUUUUGUUUCUAUUACCUGCUAAUAGAAUUGGGUUUAAUUUGCAAAUGUAGCUUAGUUUAAACUCUAUCACCCAACAGAAGAAAAAUAAUAGUGCCCAAUACAUGCAACUUCAACAAAUACAAGUACAUAAGAAGAUCUCCAUAAUUUAGAAAAUCCUAGUUAACAUUAGUUAACAUUAGCCAAAAUAGAUCUCCAUAAUUUACAAAAUGGCUAGUUAACAUAAGCCAAAAUACUAGUGCAAAGCUAAGUUAUAAGCCAUAACAUAAGAUUGUAUGAUUAAUAAAAUACAUCCAUGUUAACAUUAAUAAAAUACAUCCAUGUUAACAUUAGCCAAAAUCCUCAUCCGCUUGCGUUGUCGCUUAAAAGCCUUUGGACGAACACUUUCUUGAGUUCCGGUUUGAUUGCCCUGAACACUCCCACAUUUUUUGGUUUAUCCAAAAUAAGAGACAAUGCAUCAAUUUGAUCCAUAGGAGAGAGACCCAUUACUUCAAGUUCAUUAGCUAUGUCAGUAUGAUCUGCAAUACCUUGAACUAAAGCUUCAGUUACCAUUUGCAUCCUCUUCCCACUUUCAACAUAAAAAUCUUUCAGUCCACUGAUAAUUGCCUCGGUUCCAUCACUUGAAUUUCCCACAGCUCUUUUCCUCUUUCUUUGGCUAUUUUCAGAUGGGGUGCUUUGUUGGCUUUGUUGGUUCAUUGAAGAAACAAAAUUUUCACCUCCAAUAUCACUUUCACCAACAUGAUCAUGACUUUGUUCCUCCACCAUUUGAGCAGGGGUUUCGGCUACAUUACCCGUAGCCCGAUCUUUUCCAAAUAUAUAUGCAAAUCUAUCAAACAGUGGAAAAGGUUUGCUUCUCCAUCCAUCGGCUUCUUUAUUUCUCUAAGAUUAUAUCAACAUAGCAAAACUAAAAUUUAGCAUGCGUAACAAAUAUAGCAGCAAGAAUAUAACUAAUGUAUAAAUAAAAUAGGAUAUGAACCUGCACAUAAGUUUGCCAUGAGUCAUCACUGUCAACUUCAACGCACUUUUUGACAUCAUUUCAUGCAAAUCCACUUGUGUUUAUCAUGUCAACGACCAUACUAUAUGUUUUUUUCCAUUUCUUCAACUUGGACUCAAUAUGUGGAUUUGCCUUUAUAUUUGAAUGAGGACAUAAAACAUUGACAACUUUUGCUAUUUCAACCAAAGUACCUUGUUUGAAAGCACCGGUGUCACACCGUUGCUUCCGAGCAACAAAAUCCUCAAGAACUCCUAGUAAUACUUCUUCCUCAAAUGCUUCCCAUUUACGCCUUCUUCCUUUUGGCUCUUGAGUAGCAUUCAAAAUAUUUUCGUUAUCCAUACCUAAACAAAAAAUAUUUUAAUGAAGGAAAAUACCAUACAAAUAAUCAAUUUGCAUAAUAUCCAAUCAACUUGCAUAAUAUCCAAUUAAUUUGCAUACCAUCCAAUCUUUGUGCUAAUAUCUAACAAAUGCAUGAUAAAAAGGAAUACUAAAAUAAAAUGUUAUCAUUAACACAUAUAGCUAGUUCGGUUGCUGGUUCCUAAUUGCUCUCCAUUCAUUAUACAUUUCCUGAGCCAUGUCAUUCCUCUUUGCAGUCCACUGGUCAGAUGUUUGAACACUACCAACAUAUUCACCUUCUUCUGUAUUUUGUCCAUCUUCUAUUAUUGGAAAAUUCUCCAUUGGAUCUACAGACAUCUCUUGCCUAAUAAGAUUGUGUAGUAGGCAACAAGCGGUAAUUAUUCGACCUUGUGUCCUUAUCGGAUAGAAAGAUGGACUCCUUAGUAUCGACCACCUUCCUUUUAGCAAGCCAAAACAGCGUUCAAUUACAUUCCUUGCCUUAGAAUGCUUCAUGUUAAAAUAUUCUUCCUUAUUAGAAGGUGUUCGUCCCUCCCAUUCAGAUAAAUGAUAAGGUAUUCCUCUAUAGGGUGCAAGGAAUCCUUCACCAUUUGUAUAACCACCAUCUACAAGGUAAUAAUAACCUAAUGAAAAAAAAAACAGACCUUAUUAGUGUUUUGUAGUUGACAAACAGAACUAGACCUAACUUACAAAGUUGAGACUAAGUAAUAGUCUUACCCGCUGGUACCUUAAAACCAUUAGGCCUAGUAAUUGCAUCAUGUAGCACUCUAGAGUCUGAUGCAGAACCCUCCCACCCCGUAAACACAUAUAUGAACUGCAUAUCUCCUGAACACACACCUAACACAUUAGUUGCGACUCGACCCUUUCUUGUUCGGUAUCUUGGUUUGUCAAUUUCAGGUACAUGCACAUCAAUGUGUGUUCCAUCCAAUGCUCCCAAGCAAUUCUUAAAAAAAAAAAAAAAAGUUUUUGUUAAUUUAUACAAAGGGAAUGAAGAGUUAAAGCUUAGGGAAAAUGAAAAAAAAUUCUCAUCAUACCUUAAAACAUCGCCACCUAGGAUCUGUAGAAUCAAUAGGCACAGGCUGAGGGACUUUUAGUAGGAUACCUUGUAAUCGCAAAAUUCCUUGCAAUACGAUAUUGAAAUACCUACUUAUAGUCUCUCCCGACCUAUAAAAUCUACCGCCAACACUACGAUUCUUAGUAUGAUGUGCUAAUAUUUGUAAAGUCAUACACACAUGCUCCUCUACAGACACCAAACCAUCAGUUUUUACCCUCCCAUCUUGACGAAGUAAGUCACAUAAUAUGCCAAAAGUCCUUCUAUCCAUUCUCAAUUCGUUGACACAUUCAGUAUCAGUAUUCCCUAUUAUACCAUUCAGAUAACACAAACUAAUCUCUCGUCUAAUAAGUGAACGGUUAGUCAAUGUGGGUCGUUCAACAUGUCUCUGUUUGCCACGUAGCAUCAUCAACACAAGAAUCGUACAAAUGCAAAUUGUCUCCAAAUAAGACAUCUCUAACAAUAAGAUCAAUAAAAGCUUCCUUCGAUCCAUAUCUAUCCAAACAAAAAAAAACAAAAAACAAAUUAAGGACAUUAUAUAUGUAAUAUUUACUGUUAUUAAGGGUUAUGGAAAUGAAGUGAUUAUGAUACGAAAUGAACUAGAUCAAAGUAACUAGCGAAGUCACAAUCCGAGGCAUCAAAUAUACGGGUGGUGUUGGAAAAAAAAAAGUUAUCAUUAACCCGAGGCAACAAAUAUACAGGUCAGAUGCACACACUGCAUACACACUCACACACAUACUCACACGGACAUACACACUAUCACACACGGACAUACACUCACACACACCCUACAUACAUACAUACAUACACACACACACUGCAUACAUACACACACACACACACUGCAUAUAUACACACACACACACACUGCAUACAUACACACACACACACACACUGCAUACAUACACACACACACACACACACACACACUGCAUACAUACACACACACACACGACAUACAUACACACACACACACACACACUGGUCAGAUGCACUGCACUCACACGGACAUACACACUCUCACACACUGACAUACAUACACACACACCCUGCAUACAUACACACACACACACUACAUACACACACACACACACACACACACACACUGCAUACAUACAUACACACGCACACACACUGCAUACACACACACACACACAUUGCUUUAUGAAAACCCCAAAUUCCAAAUUUGAAACCCCAAAUUCCAAAUUUCUAAUCUCAAUUUCAAACCCCAAAUUCCAAAUUUCUACUACAUACUUACAUACACACACACUGCUUUAUGAAAACCCCAAAUUCCAAAUUUCAAACCCCAAAUUCCAAAUUUCUAAUCUCAAUUUCAAACCCCAAAUUCCAAGCUUUAUGAAAACCCCAAUUUCUAAUCUCAAUUUCACCCAAAUAUCAAAACCCUAAAAUUUGUUCAACUGCAGAAUCAAAUAAAGCUCAAACCCAAAACAAAUCCGCCCAAAUCGACGAAAAAAAUCCACCCAAAUCGACGAAAAAAAUCGAACAAUCGAAGCUUACCAGACAACUGGAGGCAGAUGAGGGCGAGCAGAUCUGUUACGUGAAGACGAGGGAGUGGACGACGAGAGGAACAGAUGAGGAGCAUGAUGCAGAUGAGGGCGACCAGGAUGCAGCUGACGGCAAGCAGGAUGCAAAGAUAAGGAUGAGGAGGACGACGUGAGGGAGGAGGACGUCGACGACACUCUCUCCUAGGAUGAUCGAGGUUCUUUCUCGCAAGAGCGCAAUCGGAUGAGGAGGACGACGUGAGGGAGGAGGUUUUAUGAAUCUGGACGUUUUUGGGGUGGUUCGCUAAGAACUCCUAGCGAGGGUUUAAUCCGUGCGAGUCAGAUCUAAUCCCAUUAAACCUAAUCCUUGCCCCUACCAAACAUCAGACUACAAUACCAAUUAGUGGAGUCCAGAACAGUCCCCCCUAAGAAGGUCAAACAAACACGCCCUUAAGGCUCUAAUCUAAUGUUCAUGCUCAACAUCUCCUCUAUCUUUCUACGAUUGGUAAAACUUUUGUAUUAUUAUUCCAAUUUUGGUUACUGGGUUGUGGAAUUUUCCAUUUUUUUUCUCGGUAAUCAAUACUAUAUAUAUGCAUGACAAGUAUAAACAAUAUUUUGGGGCAAAUUUAGUUGUUUAAUUUUUAAUUUUUAUGUGACAGUGAGAUUAUGGUAGGAUUUCGUUUAGAUUCUGCGGCCCAAUGGGAGUCUCUGCUUUGAUAAGAUUGGGGUUGAUGCCAAGAAAGCCAAUAAGCCUACUGUGGACGCCGUAGCCGCCUGGCGCUGUUUUCCAAAAUCCUCUCUCACUUGGUUAAGCAAUUAAGACUUUUUGGUUCAGUUUUUAUUAUGCCCAAUUUUGUAUUUAAACCUUAAAAAAAUUUAAACUGAUUUGGGGAUACUGAAAUAGGCUGCAGAGCUGCCAUCCCUGAAUCAGAAGAUGUUCAGAAGGAAGAAGAAGAAGAAGAAGAAGAAAGUCGUGGAAUAUCAAAAGCUUUUAGCUUUGUGAAAGUAUGCUUUUUCCCAACUCACCUCUUGCUUUUGUUGCACUGAAUUGGUAGAUUGGGUUCAAAAAUAUAUAUAUGUGAUUUUUCGUGUAACUAUUUCUUUACAUAAUUACCAAUUGGAGGUGAUUUUAGAUCAUGUAACAUUUCCUCGCUAGAACCAAAGAUUGUCGUCGCUCAGAGCUGCGUUUCAUGAAACAAGUUCAUCUCCUGCCAAAUUUGUGUACCCACCUUUUAUUCAUGAGGGUUGGUGCUUGCUUGCAACACAAUUUGGUGUUAUUAAGUUUUGCGGUUUUACAAUUUGUUCAUGCUUAAACCUCUUUCAAAUUUUCAUUUCUGUGUAAAUCUUGCAGGUAGGACGACACACCUAUCUUGGCAAUGUCGGGAUGUCUAGGCUUGGUGGAGACGUGGUCUUAUGGAAGAGGUGAAGUAGCUUAGCUCGAUCUCAUUAGCUCUUAUCUGUUCUAUUAUGUUAAGAUCAAUAGUAAAAAGUUCUAUUGAUUUUAUAAUCAAAGAUACAUAUAUUAUAGAAAUAGAGGGUAUAUCAUUAAUUUCUUGAUGUAAACAAUCAUAACUUGAGGAACCAUUUAAAGUAUUUUGGUAAUCAACAUACUUAAACUUAAAUGUGAUAUAUCCAUUUAGUAUUUUUUUUAUACAAUGAUAAUACUUAAGUAUAAUUUACAUCAUAUAUCUUUUGAAGUACAUGAAACUAUGAAGAAAAUGAUAAACCAAAUCCCAUUCCAUCUCUGUUUGCUACUGCACAAUCACAAUCCAAUUCCAACAUGGAAUCCUCAGACGACAUGCCUACUGCAGAACAAGUUUCAUACUGACUUAACUUAUAUUUAGUCCACGUCCUGUUUAGAUUGUAAUCCUAGUUCUACGUGUGUUUGUAUAGUACUCCUAUAAAUAUCAAUGAACAUCGCUCACUCUAAUUAAGAGUUGAGAUUUUGCAAAUCAUAUUUACUAUCUUUCAUGGUAUCACGAGCCAGCGUCUAACGACAACGGUUCCUAUUAUAAUUUUUUUCUCUUUUGCAGAUCCUAAACUAUGGCAUCUUCUUCCUCCUCCGCUGCUCCCUCCAUCACAAAUUUUCUUACGAUCAAGCUCGACCGCAACAACUACCCUCUCUGGCAUGCUCAGUUUCUUCCCUUGCUGCGCAGCCGCAACUUACUCUCUUAUGUUACUGGCGAAACUCAAUGCCCCUCUGCCUUUCUUCUUGAUGACAAUGGUAAAUUCACCGACAAAGUCAUUCCAUUAUAUAAUGAAUGGAUCCAGACUGACCAGAUGAUCCUAUCUUGGAUUACGAGUUCUCUUACUCCCAAGGUUCUUGCUACGAUCGUCAACAAAAUUGAUUCGGCCUCUGCUUGGUCGUCAAACCCGAAUUAAUCUAAUUGUGGGGGUUUUGUUUUAUAUCAAUAUAUUGCAACAGAAGUCACACUUUGAAGAGUUCAUGCUGCACAGAAAGAUGAUGAAAUGUUACCCGUUGAGUCUAUCAUUGCUCCAUUGGAGACAGAGCUGAAGCUUACUGCAGGAGUUAUACAGUUGUUAUGCAAUAUGACCCCUUUAAUUUUAUUUUAAAACUGAUACAAAAUACUACAAAAAUUUAUGUAGUAUUUUUGUAUUAGUUUUGAGUGUCUAUUUUGGCUUCCAUAUAUCGUCUGUACAUGUGAGAGGUAUAGUGUUCAAUAUGUAUUUGGUUUCUAUAUUGUUAAUGGAUCCUUUUUUUUUUAAUUUAAUUUAAUUUUAUUAAGGUAACCAAGUUGCAGGAUGACAUCAGAACACUUGAUCUGCAGGUAAACCUUCAAUUUCCAUAUGAAGUUUGCAUGUUCGUUGUUUCUGGAAUUUGAGUUUUUAUUAUUUCUCAAUUCUAUCACAUAGAUUAUGAUUUCACAUAUGGGAUUAUUAAUGGCAAUUAUAUGAUAGAAGAAUUGGGAUUAGAAGAAGAUAUUGAGUUGUUUUAUUUAUGGGGAUUAGAAAAUGAUUAUCAUACGAGUGAUAUUUAUUUUUGUGUGGAUUGUUAAUAUAUAAAACUAUAAGCUUUUGAGAUUGGGAGAUAAAACCCACAAAUUCAAAUCAGACAAAAUAAAUAAAAAAUUUAACUGACUUAAAGAUCAAACUCCAAAAGGGUAUUAAAAACAAGGCUUAUUUGAUCCAUUGAGUGUGAAAGUUUUGAGCUUUGAAGAAGCAUAGGAGGAGAGUUGUUAACCAAGCUGCAUUAUCCAUGUAUUAGGAUGUUGAGGGUAGGCAGGAAAAAUACUUUUUGACGCCAUAUCCAGAGGAGCAUAACGACAGGCCUGCAUUUUUGCAGCAAGGACCAAAACAAGUAGAAGUGAAGGCUUGACUAUUUGGGUAUUAAUCCUAAACCUAAUUAUUCUUAUUUAGGUUUAGGAUAAAUGAUUGAGUGUGUCUCGAUGAUUGUAUUACCAUGUUUGAUGAAUGACUUGAGGAGUUGGAAAUGCUUUAUUGCUUAUGUUUUUCUUAGGUGUGUACUUUGGUUAUUUCCGAGCUUUUCACGACUCUUGAUACCUAAUAGAGAAUAUGGAAACCCCAACUUUAAUUUUAUGAAUUGGUUUUGGUGCCUAAAAUGAAAUCUAGCAUAGUGAAAUCUUGCAUAAUGAAAUUAUGACAAAUUUCCCUUCAUCUUUAGAUUUUCAUUUAGUUCAAUUUGUAUGCAAUUUAGGGUUAUUCAAUUCAUGAGUGAUCAAAUUAUGUUUUUAAUUCCUUCUUCUUUUGAUUUACAGUUCAGCAUUGUCGUACAAAAUGAAAAAGGUGCCAGUAACAGAGUUAUGGAUUUGGAUGCCUUUAGUGGAAUAAAACUGAAUUUUUUAACUUUGUAUAGUUGUAAACAUAAAAUACUCCAUCAGAUAGACUCAUAGCAUUUGAAAACAAUCCUUGAGGAUGGCAUAACAACAUCUCCAACUUUUGUCAUGUAAUGUAUGAAUGUAAAUAGCACUUUGUAAACAUAUGGAUGUAAUAUAUGUAUAUAAACAGUCUUUAGCAUGUAUAUUUUUCAAAACUUUCUACAUCUUCAACAAUGUUUCAAUGAUUUCUUGAUGUAAACAAUGAUAAUUUGAAGAACCAUUUAAAGUAUUUCGGUAAUCAGCAUACUUAAGCUUAAAUGUGAUAUAUCCGUUUAGUAUUUUUUAUACAGUGAUAAUACUCAAGUAUAAUUUACAUCAUAUAUCUUGUGAAGUACAUGAAACUAUGAAGAAAAAACCCUAAUUAAUCUGAUUAUGGGGGUUUUGUUUUAUAUCAAAAUAUUGCAGCAGAAGUCACACUUUGAAGAGUUCACGCUGCACAGAAAGACGAUGAAAUGCUAUCUGUUGAGUCCAUCAUUGCUCCAUUGGAGACAAAGCUGAAGCACACUCCAGGUGGUAUACUUUUGUUCUGCAAUAUGACCACUUUAAUUUUAUUUUAAGACAGAUAGGGUUGAAAAGAAUUUAUGUAGUAUUUUUGUAUCAGUUUUGAGUGUCUAUUUGGACUUCCAUAUUUGGUCCGUACAUGUGAGGUAUAGAGUGUUCAAUAUGUAUUUGGUUUCUAUAUUGUUAAUGGAUCUUUUUUUUUGUUUUAUAGGUAACCAAGUUGCAAGAUGAAAACAGAACACUUGAUCAGCAGGUAAACCUUCAAUUUCCGUAUGAAGUUUGCAUUUUUGUUGUUUCUGGAAUUUGAGUUUUUUGCAGGAUGAAAACAGAACACUUAAUCUGCAGGUAAACACUUGAUUGGUUAUUUCCAAGCUUUUCACGACUUUCGAUACCCAAUAGAGAAUAUGGAAACCCCAACUUUAAUUUUAUGAAUUUGUUUUGGUGCCUAAAAUGAAAUCUAGCAUAGUGAAAUCUUGCAUAAUGAAAUUAUGACAAAUUUCCCUUCAUCUUUACAUUUUCAUUUAGUUCAAAUCGUAUGGUUUAGGGUUAUUCAAUUCAUGAGUGAUCAAAUUAGGUUUUUAAUUCCUUCUUCUUUUGAUUUUCAGUUCAGCAUUGUCGUAUUUUGGAUGCCUUUAGUGGAAUAAAACUGAUUUUUUUUUAACUUUGUAUAGUUGUAAACAUAAAAUACUCCAUGAGAUAGACUCAUAACUUUUGAAAACAAUCUUUGAGGAUGGCAUAACAACAUCUCCAACUUUUGUCAUGUAAUGUAUGAAUGUAAAUAGCACUUUGUAAACAUAUGUAUGUAAUAUAUGUAUAUAAACACCACUCUUUAGCAUAUAUAUUUUUCAAAACUUUCUACAUCUUCAACAAUGUUUCAAGCCCCGCAGCAACGGGCGGGUACACUUGAUAGUAUACAUCUAAAAUUAUAAGACUAAAUCCUUUAGUUCUUGGAUUCAUCUAAGAACUACUUAUUCCAGCAGAUGCUAUGCUUGCACUACUAGAAUUUAUGGCUUGCCCUGUCAACUAUUGCGCGACAGAAGAUUUCGUCGGUUUCACUUUUUUUAACCGACAUAAUAUAAGUUUAGUAGGGCAAAAUCAGUCAACAAACUGGGUUGACUGAAUAAAUUUACAGGAUGGCUAGAGUUCGUAGGUUAAGACAUCAGUCGUUGGGCAAACAUUUGGAGCGAAGAUGUGAGUGUUUUAACUGACGAAUAAGCUGGUCGUCAUGUAGAUCUUCUUUCCCGACUGACGGUUCAACAUGUAGCUCUUUGGAUAAUAAUUCAUCUUCAAGGGGAACAGGUUGCCCCUCAGAUGAAUGGUUAGAGGCAAUUGUGAGACUAUAAUUUUCUAGGGCCGAAAUAAAAAAUACAUAAACCCUCACUCAUUCUGUCUCUGUAACCAUCCACCAAAUACCCUUUCUUCCCUUUCUAUUUCUCUCCUAGUAAUAUCCCCUGACCGAAUCACACAAUCCAACCAACUCUCUUUAAGCCUCCCUCACUGAUUCCAUGGAUUUCAUGGACUUAUCCCACCCUCUCUCCUUCCCUCUAUAUAUAGCAAGUCCCCUUGCCUCAGUGUCCCUGGCAACAGAAUUUAUGGCAUUUCUUCGUUCUUUCAAUUAUUUGAAAGCUUCCUAGCCCUGCAAUCUUGUACAAAGGCGUAUGGUGUUUCAUCAGUUCCAUUUGGUGGUUGGGUGGGAAAUGAAAUUAAAACACUGCAUUUCAAAUGCAUUUCAAAUGGUCUAAACCAAAUUGAAUCAAAUGUGAAGCAAAGGGCAAGAGGUGUAGAUUGAAGAACAAUGGCACCAAGAGCGAAAUUGAACUUGUUGACAGGAGGAAACCAAGUAAGGAUAACACGUCUAAAUCUUAUUUUGAAUCCAUUCAGCUCAUGAUGUUUUGAAUGAUGAUGAUCGGUAUACUCUGCUACAUGCUGUGAUUUUUCCGCUUUCAUGUAAUUAACGGCUUAUAUGUGGUAACGAUAUUGAUUAAAAAAGGUCGUACCCAGUGCAUAAGGCUCCCGCUUUACGCAGGGUCUGGGAGAGGUGAAUGUCGGCUAGCCUUACCCCCAUUUUAUGGAGAGGAUGCUCCAAAGUCUCAAACCCGAGACCUACCGCUCAUGGGCGAAGGCAUUUGCCAUCGCACCAAAUGCGAUAUUAAUUAAUUUCGAGAAAUGACAGUCUGAUUUUUGCAACUGUCUUUUGCAGGCAAAACAAAGACGUUUGCAAGGGUGAGUUGUGUAGGAGCUUUGUUUCAUGUCCAAAUGACACUUGAGAAUAAAUGUUUACACUCAUGGAUAAUAUCUAUCUAUUUGCAGGAGCAACCCUGGGUUCAUUUGUUCUGUAACUGCUGGUCAUUGCGGCAUAUCACGCCUAUAGCACUGACAAAAGUAAAAAGAGAAUCGAAUGAAAUUUGAUAAGUUUUCAGCGGACUACAAAGAUCUUAAGCCAAGCAUAUAUUCCCAUGCAGAUAUUAAGAGGUUUACAAAUCAAUUCAAGUACAAGUUGGGCCAAGGAGCAUACGGAACUGUUUUUAAACGAAAGUUUUUUUCUGAAUGCUUUGUUGCCAUGAAAGUACUUAACAUUUCCAAGGGUGACGGGGAAGAGCUUGUAAAUGAAGUGGGAACAAUGGGCCAUAUUCACCAUGUCAAUGUGGUUCACUUGGUUGGUUUUUGUGCUGAUGGAUUUAGAUGAGCUCUGGUUUAUGAGUUCUUUCCCUUUGGUUCACUCCAGGAUUAUAUUUCAUCAGCAGAUAGAUUUCUUUCCUUGGUUGGCAUAAGUUGCAAGAUCUUGCUAUCAGCAUAGCCAAAGGAACUAGGAAUGUGAUCUACAAAUCCUCCAUUUCGAUAUCAAACCCCAUAAUGUUUUGCUCGACCAAAAAAUCACGCCAAAAAUCUCUGAUUUUGGUCUGGCCAAGUUAUGCCAAACAAUUACAGACAACAGUUAUUCACUAAAUCACUUUAAGGCAAGAAUUUAAUUAAUAAUACAUUACUGCACUUUCUUAACCAUUUGACUAUCACCUAGCUGACAAUGAACACGUUAGCUCCGCGUUAGAACAUCUUGGGUUCAAUUCAUUGUCUUGAAUAUCACCCAUUGUCACAGGCGUCUGUUGGGGGCAUAGAGAAGGCCUGAGAGGCAUUUGCAGACAUUCAACAUCUCCUCCAAGCAUUUUGACAACUUUGGACAUCGAAGGGCGAUCAUUUGGUUUCAUUUGAAUACACCACAAGGCGGUUAUAACCAUCUUUCUUAUUACUUUCUUUUCCUCCUCUGUAACAUUGUCCAUUUCCAGGUCAUUUCCCACAAUAUAUUGAUCGUAUACCCACAUUGGGAAGUAGAUUUGGCUUGAAUGCUCUACCGUUGGAUUCAAAUUCUUCCUUCUGCUUGCCAUUUCCAUCAACAACAUUCCAAAACUAUAGACAUCUGACUUGUAUGAGACGCAUCCAAUAUUUUUGUAGAACAACUCAGGAGCAAUAUAUCCCAGUGUACCCCGUGCUGCCGUCAAAGAGACAAUGCUAUUAUCUACAGGAUACAAUUUUGCAAGCCCAAAGUCAGAAACCUUUGCUUUAAAGUUCUCAUCAAGAAGGAUGUUAUGAGGCUUGAUGUCGAAAUGUAGAAUUUGCAUUUCACAACCUUGGUGUAGAUAUUCGAUCCCUUGAGCCACUCCAAGAGAAAUCUCGUACAUGUUCUUGAUAGUUAAGGGGACACUUCCUUCUUUGGAAUAAAUGUAUUUAUCAAGAGAACCAUUAGGCAUGAAGUCAUAUACUAGAGCGCGUUUUGAUCCCUCAACACAGUAUCCAACAAGUUGUACCACAUUGGCAUGGUGAAUCCUUCCGAUUGUAGCUAUUUCGCUAAUGAAAUCUUGGCCAUCAGCUUUGGGCUUGCCCAAAACUUUAACUGCUACAAAUCGACCACUGCGUAGCUUUCCCUUAAAUACAGAGCCAAAGCCACCUUCGCCCAACUUGUCCUUAAACCUGCGAGUCAUUUUCUUGACGUCCGAGUAAGAGUACCUUAUAAGCAUGAUGUUGUUAUUGCAUUGCAGAAAAUCUUCUAUUGUGCUAUACAUUGAUAAAUGUCUUCUGCGCCAUGUGUAGAUUAGAAAUGCAGUCACAACUGGAACUCCAAAAACAAAUCUGGCUAGGAAAAAUAACCCUGCAUGCAUGGACAAUAAUAUGUUAGAUCCACUGUGUACUACUUUUUCUUCCCUUUCUUUCCAAAUUACUUUAUCUUUGAUGUAAUUAAAGAGAGAGAAUGGGAAAUCUACAUAUGUUGAUAAUAUAAUCUCGUCUUAGUCCUUACCGAUCCAUAUGAGUAUAAACCAUCCAAGUGCUGCAAAAAAAUCAAUCGACUAUGAGUUUGAAAAGUGCAUAAAGUGAAAAAAAAAAAAAAAAAAAAAAAAAUCAAAGGGUGCCUUUAUUGACACCCAAAUUUUAGUUAGUUUUACUCAACUAAAAAAUUUUUGUCAUCAAACUUUUUAAUUUGCCGUCGAAAUUGAGUUCACCCAACCACAAAGCAGCAACUACCACUCACAAAAAAACCAACAACACACAGCCACCAGUACCAUUCACCAAUAGAAAGAGAAGGAACACACAGACCCACCAAGGAGCCGGCAUCGACGCAUCUACGAGGGAGGGACCGGAGGGUGGUGUAGUUUUGUUGGGCGCGCGGUGGUUGUUUUGUUUGUUCAUUUUCUCUUUCUUUUGGUAGGUGGAGGCUGGUGUGGAUUUGGGCGAACUUAAAAAUGAGGGGAAACUAUGAAGUUUGACAAAAUGUUUUAGUUAGGGGAACUUAACUAAAAUUUGGGUGCCGAUAAAGAUACCCAAUUUCAAAAAUACUUGAGCUUAUAGACUAAUUAAAUGAAGUUGAUCUUACAGAUCUCGUGGCUGUAUGAUGAAUGCCACUUGCCAGCUGCAAUAGAUACCACGGAAAAGUGAAUAAAGACAUACAGUUACUAGGUUUAAGAAGUACAGAUAGAGCACACAAAAAAUAAAAGAAGCUUUUGGGAAGAAACUUCUUACGCCAAUAGUUGUGUUCUUGACCUACAGUAAAAAAUGUGAAGAAGAAUACACAACAUUAGCAAUAGCUCACCCAGUCUUCGGAAUUUAAAAAAUCAAGUUUGUCUCGAUCGAAAACUUGUAAAUAAAACAAAAAGAGGACCCCUUACGGAUUUGGUGCCAUAGAUAUUGAAAGAAACCUACAAAAACAAAGAAAGAACAAGACCACAUGCAUUAGCAUAACAAGUGUGAGGUGUAUAAGCCGUUAGAAAAUAAAUUUAAAAUUCUAGUGCUGUCAAUACAUUGAUAAUAUAUAUAUAUAUAUAUAUAUAUAUAUAUAUAUAUAUAUGUAUUAUUUUUCUGAAAAUUUAACUUUCUCCCUCCAAACUCAUUUUUCUAGUCUCUAGCCCAUCAUAUAAUAUUUAUCAGAAUAAAACCAAAUGAUUAGGAUCCAACUAAGAAACUUACCAAAUUAAGUUUGUGUGUCCAUUUUUAUAUUUUUUGGAUCCCUAAUAUACCCCAUCUAAGCCAGUAUGGAAAGUUCUUGUAAUUUUGCUUUAAGUGAUCACGUGCAUUGAAUUUGGCAAGGUCUUGUAGCCAUGAAAUAUGGUUCCAGAUGGAGGAAUGAAUUUGGAUUUUUUUUUAAUUUCGGCAACAAAUUUCAAUUUGAAUAUACCUAAUUUAGUGUUUAUUUUCAACAAUAUCUAUUGUUUAAUUUUAUGAAAAUAAUUAACCUAAUAUGAAAAUUAAUUUUAUGAAAACAAUAUCUAUUGUUUAAUUUUAUACCUACAGGAUAAUUACAUGAAAAUAGUUUACCUACUAUGAAAAUUAAUUUUUUGAAAGCAAUAUCUAUUGUUUAAUUUUAUGAAGAUAAUUUACCUACUAUAAUUACAUGAAAAAAUUUACCUACUAUGAAAAUUAAUUUUUUGAAAACAAUAUUAUUGUUUAAUUUUAUGAAAAUAAUUUACCUACUGUAUAAUUACAUAAAAAUUAGGGAAAAUUAGAAUCCCCUACAGUUUUUAUAUAUCAUUUAGAUUAAACAUUUGUACUUUUUUAAAAUUUGAUUAAAGUGCUUUGACCAAUAGUUACCUCUAUUUUUUUAAAUUAAAAUAAUUUUUGAAUUUAUCCUUUUAUCUGCACAAUGCACUUUUCCUUAUUUAGUGGAGAUAUUAGUAAUGAAACUAUAUUUUCCCUUCUUCCAAAUAUGUUUUUUCGAUCACAGUUUUUUUUUUUUUGGGUAUGCAAACAUUUGAUAUUAUUUUUUUUCCAAAUGGUUUUUUCUUUUUCAAAUAGUUGGUGAUCAACAUAUAAGCUCUGUGUAUUUUUUUCAAUGUUUUUGUGAAAUUAUAUUUUUUUUGCUGUUUUUUAAGUAUAGUUGUUGACGAAUUAUUAUUAGGUACAAUACAUUACGUAUAUAUUAUCUGCGGGUACGUUUGAAUUUACUAAAAUCAUUAAUUGGUACGUUUGAUUUGAUACAUAUUGUUAAUAUUGGUACAUUAUUUUUAUUUUGGUACGUUUUAUUUUGAACACAUUUUGUAUUGGUACGUUUAUAGUAUUCUCAAUCCUAUUUUCUCUUAACGUACUAAAAGAAAAACUCAUUUUGGUACGUUUGAUUUUGGGGGAUUUAAAAAUAUUUUAAACUAUUUUGGAAAAAAAAAAAUCUUAAAUCGUAGAUAAUUAUUGCUAAAUUGUAGCAUUAUUGUGAAAAUAAAUUGAAUCUAACCAACUUUUUUUUUUACAAUUAUCUCUAAUGGAGGAGAGUGUAAUCAAAAGGCUAGAUUAUAGGAAAUUUGUUACAAUAUAAUGGGCAUAUAGCACCAAAAUUAUGAUAAAAAAAAGUUUAAUCAAAUCAUUAAAAGGCAUGGAUGUUUGAUCUAGAAAAUUCAAAACUGAGGCGUCUAUAUCAAAAGAUCCCUAAAAAUUAAUGUGCCUACUUUUUAAAUUUGUAACAAAAUUAAUUUACCUACUUUUUAUGGUAUUAGUAUACAUAAAUGUAGAAUAUAUGUCCGUAUAUAUUUGAUCUAAUUAGGUUUUGGAUUGGAGGAGUUGACACAAAAUUAUAAAUAUAUUAAACAAAUUUAUCUAUUCUAAAGUUGGAGGGGAAUUGGUCUGUACAUUGCUACAGUAAACAAAUGCUACUCAAUUUCACGUUAUUUACAACAAAGCUAUCAGAUUUGGGUUGGGUUGGAGGGUAAUUUGUUAAAAGUUAGGAGGGUAAUUUUGUGCAUAGGGUUUAGGUGCCCUCCUAUACAUGACCCUUGAGUUUACUUUAUUUACACCACUGCCAUCAAAUAUGUGGCUGAAUUGGAGGGUAUUAUUAAAAGUUAAGAGGGUAGUUUUGUUCAAGGGGUGGGGGCGACAUUCGCAGACGGAGGCCGAUGGGAGCCAUGCCCAUUGCACAGAGAGAAAGGGAGUGAUGGGGGAAAUUACAGACAGAAAAGGAAGGGAUGGGAGGAUUUGAUGGAUGGUCACAGAGAGAGAUUCGGUGAGGGAUGUGAGGGGAGAUUACAGAGAGAUAAAUAAAAGGGAGGGAUCGGGGGAUUUGAGGGAUGGUCAGAGAGAGAAAUAGUGAGGGAGGGAGGGAUGGGGGGGCUGAUUUUCGGUUCCUCCUUCAGAUUUGUUCCGUAAAACCUGUUGGGUACAAUUCAAUUUCCUCCCCCUUUCCCCUGAACGAAAAAUUCGAAACCUACAAUUCAAUUUCCUCCCUCCUUGGCUUUCCGCUUUACUCAUCUCCCGGUGGUUCUUUCUCUCCAUACGAUUCGAUUUCGGUGAGUUCUUCGUUGCCCUCAUGAUUUCCCAGUUUGAUUUUUUGAGCGUCCUUAGUCGUUGUUUUUAUCUGGGUUUACUGCAUUGUUGCUUUUAGUUUCUGGAUUUUUAUUUGUUCCGCGGUUCGAUGAAUCGGUUAAUAAUUUCACACCAUGGGAUUUUCGCAUGGAAUUGAGCGCGGGGAUUCGGGGUGGGGUUUUACUGAUAAUUUGUCUUCAUUCAAAUGAAUGGUUAAAAUUUCUGAAGUGAGUGUGCAGGUGGGCCCGUUCACUAACUAAGCUUUCAAGGGAACCCAUCAGCGGUUUGCUUGCUGGGGGAAUUCGGAGACUACCAGUGUAUGAUUUAGUUAUCAUUUAUUUUUUUACUUAAAUUUAUCCAUAUAUAAUAUGUGGGUAAAUUUACACUAAACAAUUGUGAUAAGCCAAUAUGCCAUACGACUUUGAAAGCAUUGAUUUUGUGUUUAGUUUGCAUUUUUGCAUUGUGAAUGUUGAAUUUUGUGUUUGAAUUUGUAGCAUGAUCUUCCGCUGCAGCAUCCAAAUUUUGCAUUUGUAAAUUGUCAAAGAAAAACGAAGUAUGAGGAAAUUAUAGGAGAUUGUGUCGGCUUUGGCCAUGAAGGGUAUCAGCAGCUUGUUCCCCCAUACAGGUGAUUAAUCGUUUUUCAGUCUGUGUUCUAUUUGGAUGAGAAAGUGAUUGAAAAUAUGAUUUUUUUAUUUGUUGGUUGAUUUUGUAUGGACGAUGUAUUAAUUUUAUUUUUUUUGGGAUUUUGUGUAUUGGGCAUUGUGUAGAACCAGCAAUGCAAGAGCAGGAUCUGAUCAGUCAUGCCUGAAAAGGGGUUUGUUUCUCAAAUCACAUUAAUUAAUUAGAUUAUUAACGUGCGUUGGAAGGCUCUUCAAUAUGAUUUCUAAUUUCUCCUUUCCAGCAUUCUCUUUUUGGUUUUUGGAGUAUGUAUGUGAUUUGUAUUUUUUUAUAGAAUAAAAAUUAAUAAAACACGAGAUGCAGCAAUUAAUUUGCAUCCUUAUGACAACACAUAUGAAAGUGCAUUCAAUUUCAAUGUGCGAAUGUGUGACAGGAUGUGCCUGCCCGCUGCUGCUGGUAUGCUUGCUGUUGUUUCUCGCGUUGUUAAUUUUUUGUGUGUGUUGAUUUGAUUAACAACUCAAGCGUAUCUUUUUUUUUUGUGUUGGUUAGCAGCCAGUUUUAUGGCCCCGAUCUAGUGAUGCUUCUCAGUGACUGUGGUAAUUGCAGUUCAUUGCCACCAGUUGGUCAGCUACCUGCUCUGAAAGAGCUAUACGUAGAAGGGAUGAAAGUUGUUAAGAGUGUUGGUGUUGAGUUGUACGGGGGAAAUCAACCAUUUCAAUGUUUAGAGAAGCUAAAGUUUCGGGAGCUAUAGCAGCCUAGUCCAAGUGGAUGUGAAAGUCCAGACUUUCCUCAUCUUAAGGAGCUGGGGUUAUACGAAUGUCCGAAGCUGAGAGGAAACUUGCCCACUCAUCUUCCCUCCUUGAAAACACUUCAUGUGAACAAGUGUGAGGUUCUACAUAAAAACAGGGCCAGUAAUACCCUGAACGUGGAAUCCUUACGAGGAUCUCUUGAAAAACUGACAAUAAAUGGAUGCCCGGGUCUCUCAUUGUUACUAGAGUCGACGGAGACGCUGCCGUCGCUUCAGAAGCUUGAUAUUGAUAAUGUGGUGGGAAAGAGUUGUUGGCGCAAAUGGUGCACAACAGCAAUCGUCUUCAAAGUUUGACUUUAUAUAAAUGUUCCUCACCCUUGUCGUUCCUUACAAAUGGUCUGCCCACCACGCUGACAUCACUGAGCAUAACAGAUUGCAAGAAAUUAGAAUUCCCAUCACGUGAGAUGAUGGCCAAAUUGACUUCCCUUCAGUCUUUGCGUCUAUCCAACAGCUGUGAACGCAAAGGCUUGAGUAUUUGCAGUUUAGUUUUUUUUUUCUUCAUUUUAGAGAUUUUUCUACUGUUUGGUUUUUGGGUUUUGUCUAAUUUUUGUGGUCUGCUUUAUAGAUUGUUCUCUUUGGAAGCUUCUUUCCAGCCUUGACCUUCUUCUUGCCUGGUGCCUUCUCAUUGAGUAUUGGAGGAGCAUUAAAACACAGGUGUGUGUGUUUUGUCGACAUAAGAGAUGAAUGACAUAAAAACAUCCGUCUCUGUAUUUUUUUGUGCUUUUUCUAACCCAUCAAUUUCUUUUGAGUCAACCAAAUAGUCCCAAAUUGCAACUUAUGUUGUGAGGUAUUAUUGUCUAAAAUUAAGUAUGCAUGUAUAUUUUAUGUUUGUGCCCGCGCACACAUCCGCAUGGUGUUAAUCUCUGUGGGUCAUCUAUGUAUAUGUAGAUAUAUCUAUAUGUGUGUGUGGAAUGCAACAUAUCGGAUUUAGGUUAUACUGUGCAUAGUUUUAUUGCCUGUUAUUAUCUACGAUAUCACUAUGCCAUUUCUAUGCAGGCUCUGAAAGUUAUUCAUGAGCUUUAUAAGCACUUACCAUAAUUUAAGCAGUCUGUUUUGGGUUCUUUUUCAUUAGGUCAUUAGCUACAGAUUAAUGGAGAAACGAGGACCAUGCCACUGAUUUGGGUUCUUUUUCUAAUUUUCUGAUUUUGGGGUUUUGCAGGGAGAACUCCGCCUAUGUACUUACAUUGCCGAUCCCAAGCUCGGAUAAAGGAGGAGGGGGAGGGCGUCAGGUAGUCGACAGUCGGCACUCCAUGAUCACGUCGAAUCCUUAUGAAAAUGAAUUCAGAAUAAAAUUGCGCUAAAGCUAGGGCGUCACCCGUAAGUGGCGCGCUGUGUGGCCCGAGCACAGUGAUAAGUGAGCAAGGGUCGCUGUAUCUCCAUCGGCACCCGGAUGCAGUGUUAAAUGAGCAAGGGGGGCAUAGGAACUUCUUUUCGAACGACUCCACUCAAAGUUGUUUGGGAGCAUAUGCUCCUAUCAACUUUACACGGGACACACAAAAGAAGUACUUUGAUCCUAUUAGACGGGGGAGGGUGAAGAAGCUAGGACAGAAGGGUAGAGUUCAAGAAAGCAAAAUGCGUUUAGGAACGUGGAAUAUAGGAACCUUAACGGGAAAAUCUAUGGAAGUAGUGGAAGUUAUGGUGAGGAGAAGGAUAAAUAUUAUGUGCCUACAAGAAACUAAGUGGGUUGGUAGUAAGGCAAUUGAUCUAGAAAACUCAGGGUUUAAACUUUGGUAUUCGGGCACAAAUAGAACGAGAAACGGUGUUGGCAUCAUCGUGGACAAGACCUUGACACAAGAUGUUGUAGAUGUCAAGAGGGUAGGAGAUAGAAUCAUGGCAAUCAAGAUUGUAAUAGGACAAGAACUUAUCAAUGUGGUUAGUGCGUACGCACCUCAAGUAGGGUUGGAUACGAGUUCGAAGGAGAAAUUUUGGGAAGACCUUGGAGACUUGGUGUAAGGAAUUGCUCAGACGGAGAAGUUAUUUAUAGGAGGAGAUUUAAAUGGACACGUGGGCAGAGAGACAGGCAACUAUGGAGGUUUUCAUGGUGGCCAUGGUUUUGGGGAGAGAAAUGAGGAUGGGGAAGCUAUCUUGGAUUUUGCAAUGGCAUAUGAUCUCUUUUUAGCCAACACCUUCUUUAAGAAGAAAGAAGAACAUGUGAUCACCUACAAGAGUGGGUUGUCAAAAACACAAAUAGAUUUUCUUCUAAUGAGAAACGAGGAUGGGGAAGCUAUCUUGGAUUUUGCAAUGGCAUAUGAUCUCUUCUUAGCCAACACAUUCUUUAAGAAGAGAGAAGAACAUGUGAUCACCUACAAGAGUGGGUCGUCAAAAACACAAAUAGAUUUUCUUCUAAUGAGGAAAGGGGAUCGUAUAACUUGUAAGGAUUGCAAAGUUAUACCAGGAGAGAGCGUGGCUAAUCAACAUCGCUUGUUGGUGAUUGAUGUACAUAUCAAAAGAGUGAGACAAAAGAACAAGACUUGGAAGUGCCCAAGGACUAGAUGGUGGAAUCUAAAAGAAGAAAAACAAGCCAUUUUCAAAGAGAAAGUAAUCAUCCAGUGUGUGGGAUAGAGAUGGGGAAGCUAGCCAAAUGUGGGAUUCAAUGGCUAGUUGUAUCCGAAAAGUAGCAAAAGAGGUAUUAGGAGAGUCAAAAGGCUUUGCCCCACACCAAAAAGAAUCUUAGUGGUGGAAUGAGGAGGUACAAACAAAGGUGAAGGCUAAGAAGGAAUGUUGUAAAGCCUUAUACAAGGAUAGAACUGAUGAAAAUGGUGAAAGGUAUAGAAAAGCGAAGCAAGCUGUGAGAGAAGCUAAGUUAGCGGCUUACGACGAUAUGUAUAAACGACUAGAUACCAAAGAAGGAGAGUUGGAUAUCUAUAAACUAGCUAGAGCAAGGGAAAAGAAGACAAGGGACCUAAACCAAGUGAGGUGCAUCAAGGAUGAGGAUGGAAAUGUUCUUGCUACAGAGAACGCGGUUAAAGACAGAUGGAGAGGUUAUUUUCAUAAUCUUUUCAAUGAAGGACAUGGAAGGAGUGCUUCUUUAGGGGAGUUGAGUAACUCAGAAGAGUGUAGAAACUACUCUUUUUAUCGUCGAAUCCGGAAGGAAGAAGUGAUUGUAGCUUUGAAGAAGAUGAAACAUAGAAAAGCAAUAGGCCCAGACGAUGUACCAAUCGAAGUGUGGAAAGUUUUGGGAGAGACAUGUAUAACAUGGCUCACUGACCUUUUCAAUAGGAUUUUGAAAACGAAGAAGAUGCCAAAUGAGUGGCGAACGAGCACUUUGGUGCCUAUCUACAAGAAUAAGGGCGACGUACAAAAUUGCAUGAACUAUAGGGGUAUUAAGCUAAUGAGUCAUACAAUGAAGCUCUGGGAGAGAGUCAUUGAGCAUAGAUUGAGGCAAGAGACACGGGUUUCGGACAACCAAUUUGGGUUCAUGCCAAGGCGCUUAACCAUGGAGGCAAUCUAUCUCUUACGAAGAUUGGUGGAAAGAUAUAGAGAUGGGAAAAAGGAUUUACACAUGGUUUUUAUAGAUUUGGAGAAAUUCGUAUGAUAGGGUCCCAAUAGACAUUCUUUGGAGGAUUUUAGAGAAGAAAGGAGUACGAGUAGCAUAUAUCCAAGCUAUAAAUGAUAUGUAUGAAUGAGCAAAGACUGCUGUAAGAACUCAUGAAGGACAAACUGAAAGUUUUCCCAUAACUGUAGGAUUACACCAAGGCUCAUCCUUAAGUCCCUACCUUUUUGCGUUGGUAAUGGAUGAGUUAACAAGACAUAUUCAAGAUGAUAUUCCUUGGUGUAUGCUUUUCGCAGACGAUAUAGUGUUGAUAGAUGAAACACAGGAAUGGGUAAAUGCAAAGCUUAACCUUUGGAGAGAAGUGUUGGAAUCUAAAGGUCUUCGCCUAAGCCGAUCAAAGACAAAAUAUAUGGAGUGCAAGUUCAGUGCAAAUGGAGGCCAAAACGAGUUAGGGGUGAGGAUCGGAGAUCAAGAAAUACCAAAGAGCGACCGUUUUCGUUACCUAGGAUCUAUCUUGCAAAAGAACGGAGAAUUAGAUGGAGAUCUCAACCAUAGAAUACAAGCUGGAUGGAUGAAGUGGAAGAGUGCAUCCGGCGUGUUGUGUGACCGCCGUAUGCCACUGAAGCUCAAGGGAAAAUUUUAUAGGACGGCAAUAAGGCCGGCGAUGCUGUAUGGCACAUAAUGUUGGGCGGUGAAGCAUCAACACGUACACAAAAUGGGUGUAGCGGAGAUGAAGAUGCUUCGUUGGAUGUGUGGGCACACGAGAAAGGAUAAGAUUAGGAAUGAGGAUAUCCGGGGUAAAGUAGGAGUAGCCGAAAUUGUAGGAAAGAUGAGAGAAAAUCGGUGACGGUGGUUUGGACAUGUGCCAAGAAGGCCUACUGACGCUCCGAUUAGAAGAUGUGACUACUGGACAGAGGUUCAGGGCCGAAGGGGUAGAGGAAGACCUAGAAAAACUUUGGAAGAGACUCUAAGAAAGACUUAGAGUACCUGGAUCUAACGAAGGACAUGACACAGGACCGAGCAUAAUGGCGUUCUAAGAUUCAUAUAGCCGAUCCCACUCAGUGACUUGGAUUUUCCAAGUCUCCAGCCGAGAAGUUUUCCUCACUCAGGAAAUUAAGGGAACACUACCCCAACCUACAUGCUCCACUCACAAAGCUUCAACAAAAGAAAAUUCAAAGAACUUAGCGAAGAAGGCUUUGAUGUAUUUAACACAAUACGUUGAAAUGAAGGAAAGCUUAUUUAUUGAUAUCAUCGAUAAGCUACAAAUAUGUACAUAUACAUAAGUCAAAAUAAACAAACAAGAGGGAGCCUUCACAAAGGUUGCUUAGGAGAAGUCUCAGCAGUCGGUAGAGCCCCAGAAAGAGAAGGCACCGGAGGGGGAUCAUUCGGAGCCUCAGUACUGGACAGAACCCUAGAAGGAGGAGGCAUAAGAGGUUGAUCAUUUGGUGCUUCAUUACGCGGUACAGCCCCAGAAGACGAAGGCAAUAAAUGCCUUUGGAACAAACCCACAAAUCUCUGAUGAUCAAGUAAAACCUGACCAUCAGAUUCCUUCAUCUGGUCAAGCUUCCUCUUCAUGUUUGUAGCAUAGUCAUGUGCGAGCCGGUGCAACUGUUUAUUCUCAUGCUUGAGCCCUCUAAUCUCCUGUUUGAGACUCAUCACUUCAGCCGCCAAUGAUUCAACUUGGCGGGUUCGAGCAAAUAGGUGUUGGGCCAUAUUAGACACAGAACCUGCACACUGAACACUGAGAGCCAGAGAAUCCUUAACAGCUAACUCAUCAGACCGUUUGGAAAGUAGUCUGUUAUCUUUGGGAGUGAGAAGGUUCCUGGCCACCACCGCAGCGGUCAUAUCAUUCUUCAUCACGGAAUCCCCAACGGUAAGAGGACCAGUAGGGGAGACGAAGGAUGGGCGCCAUAUGUUGUCUGGAGAAGGCGGGGCUUCCUCUUCAACAAGGUUCAAGUCAAAACGACGGUCGGAGGGGCCAGACAUUUUCAAAUGUGUUGAAGAGAGAAGAGGUCGGACAAAUCAAGAUCUUAGAAGUGUAAGAAUGGAGCUUCUACUGGUGGAGAUUCAAGUGUGCUUUGGAACUUAAUGUCAGCCCCUAUAAAAAUCUGCACUCAACGGAGCUUCAGAAAUCGAAGAGGCGCCUGCUCAGAAAUCGAAGAGGCGUUUGCUUUCUCAAAAGCAAGGCUGCUCAGAUACCACGAGGGUCGAUCUCAGAAAUCGAAGAGGCGUUUGCUUUCUCAAAAGCUGGGCAGCGCAAAGACCACGAAGGCCGAUCUCAGAAAUCGAAGAGGCGCUCAAAAGUUGGGCUGCUCAGAGACCACGAGGGCCGAUCUCAGAAAUCGAAGAGGCACCUACUUUUCCAGCCUUGUCAGUACCUGUCACACACACACUCAGCUUUGCGAAAAUUAUGGGGAUUCGGUCGAAGACUUCUGGUGAAGUAGAAAGCACAUGAGUCUUACUGUUCAAUCACCCACUUCCCACACGCAACAGUAGCUCAUGGGUACCACAUAUAACUUUUCCAAAGUUCUCUGCCAAAGUUGAACACGUGAAGUUUGCAGCUCCCACUACAUCGCUCUGAUCAAGAAGGGUAAAAGAAUAGCAAAGAAACAACACUAACAAAGUUUAGACACAUAAAUUUUGAUGGUCGAGCUACCAUAUUAUUACCCACAAGGGUAAAGGAACAGUACCACUGCUGGAUAAUUGGAAAGUCCCUGUGUGUCAACCUCUGUGCUUCGUGGCAAGGUAGACUAUCAAACAUGCCCAACCUUUACUCACAUUCGAGAAAACACUCCCAACAAGAUUGCUUGCUCCAAAAUCGAAGAGGCACCGUCCUUCGAAUCUCGAGAGCCAGACUCCCAACAUGACUACUUUCUCAAAAAUCGAAGAGGGUAAAGGAACAGUACCAUUGCUGGAUAAUUUGAAAGUCCCUGUGUGUCAACCUCUGUGCUUCGUGGCAAGGUAGACUAGCAAACAUGCCCAACCUUUACUCACAUUCGAGAAAACACUCCCAACAAGAUUGCUUGCUCCAAAAUCGAAGAAGCAUCGCCCUCCGAAUCUCGAGAGCCACUCCCAACAUGACUACUUUCUCAAAAAUCGAAGAGACAUCGCUCUCCGAAUCUCGAGAGCCAGACCCCCAGCAUGAUUGCUUUCUCAAAAAUCGAAGAGGCACCGUUCUCCGAAUCUCGAGAGCCAGAUCCCCGAUAGGAUUGCUUGUUCGAAAACCGAAGAGGCAACACUUUCCCAAUUUCAAGAGCCGGAUCUCCUUGGAUAAAGCUAUCUGUAAUCUUCACUCGCAACAUUAGCUUUCCAGCUACCACAGACCACUUUUUCAAAGUGAUCUGACAACGUUAAAACAUGUGAAGCUGGCAGCUUCCACUACCGUGCUAUGACCAAGUAGGGUAAAGGAAUAGCAUUACUACUUGUUGUUAAGGAGACUCCUAUAUAUGUCGACCUCCAUCCCCAACGGAUAGGCAGACCUGCAAAAAUGCUCAACUCUUCCUCAUAUCUGAGAGGGCACUCCCAACGAAGCCUUUCGAAAUAUUCAGCUUUCUUUCCCCCCGAUAAUACCUCUGCAAACAAGCUAUACUAGAGCAAGAAUAUCUCAUAUCAUCAGGGUUAAAAGCAAGAGUAUCCCAUAUCAUGCUUUUUCCUUGUCUUUUUCUUUGGCCUUGUUCUUACCUGCAAGACAAGAAGAAAGAGAGCAAUCAGUCAGUACUUGGAAUCAAGCUUCCAGCCAGGAACUGACUGCCUGGAACCCCUUACCUGAUUACUUACCUGACAUUGUUCUCGAGUACUCAUCUUCAACAUCUUAUGCUUCCAGGGAAGAUACCGCAUCUGCCUGAGGAACAGAUAGGGCAAGGGAGAAGGAUAUAAGGAAGCAUGUGGAGACAAGCGUAACAGCACACGUGCCGAUACAUCCAUUACUCUGUCAAAGCAAAAGUAUCCCAUAUCAGUAGGGUCGAACGUACUCUAGAUUUGAUGGACUUGUUUUGACCCUCAAAUUCUUCAGUCGGCCUUAUACUCUGGAGGAAACCAGAAAUUUCUCCAGCUCAGUGCAAGAAUAAGCUUGUGGAAAGUUACUUCUUCAAAAGCAAAAGUAUCACAUAUCAUCUCUUCUCAUUUUCUUCUCUUUAUCCUUCAUGCUGCCUGCAAGAUAGGGAGAUUGUGAACAAUCAGCUGGAGCUAUGAUUGCUUACCUUGUCUGUCACCUCUUUCAGCAGAUCCCCUAGCUCGGCGAUUUGGGGGACUCCUACUACAUGGUUUGUAUCGCGCUUGACCAAGCCUGAAACUACAAGUAAGCUUCAAGUGAAAUUGAUACAUUACCUUGUGCAUCUCCACCAGUUAAAGAUACUACCCCUGGAUGGAGGAAGAGUACUUCCAGAGAAGAUGCCCCAUCUACCUAUGAGACAGAUAAGGCACGUCAAGACGAUACCACACUCUGAUACUUAGAAGUUUCGUGAUUACGAGAUCAUUCUCCCACAAUAUUUCCUAAUGUCAUUUGUACUAAAUCAUUCACUUGUACUCACUAAAGGAGAGCUUGAACCUAUGUACUUGUGUAAACCCUUCACAAUUAAUGAGAACUCCUCUAUUCCGUGGACGUAGCCAAUCUGGGUGAACCACGUACAUCUUGUGUUUGCUUUCCUAUCUCUAUCCAUUUAUAUACUUAUCCAUACUAAUGACCGGAGCAAUCUAGCGAAGAUCACAAAAAGCGACCGUUUUCGCUACCUAAGAUCUAUCGUGCAAGAGAACGGAGAAUUAGAUGGAGAUCUCAACCAUAGAAUACAAGCUGGAUAGAUGAAGUGUAAGAGUGCAUCCGACGUGUUGUGUGACCGUCAUAGGUCACUGAAGCUCAAGGGAAAAUUUUAUAGGACGACAAUAAGGCCAGCGAUGUUGUAUGGCACAGAAUGUUGGGCGGUGAAGCAUCAAUACGUACACAAAAAUGGGUGUGGCGGAGAUGAGGAUGCUUCGUGGGAUGUGUGGGCACACGAGAAAGGAUAAGAUUGGGAAUGAGUAUAUCCGAGGUAAAGUAGGAGUAGCCGAAAUUGAAGGAAAGAUGAGAGAAAAUCGGUUCCGGUGAUUUGGACAUGUGCAAAGAAGGCCUACUGACGCUCCGGUUCGAAGAUGUGACUACUGGACAGAGGUUCAGGGCCGAAGGGGUAGAGGAAGACUUAGAAAACCUUUGGAAGAGACUCUAAGAAAAGACUUAGAGUACUUGGAUCUAAUGGAGGACAUGACACAAAACCGAGCGCAAUGACGUUCUAGGAUUCAUAUAGCCGACCCCACUUAGUGGGAAAAGGCUUUGUUGUUGUUGUUGUUGUUGUUGGGGUUUUGCAGGGAGUACUAAUGUACUGAUUUUCUGGGAUUUUUUUUGUCCUUGCAGGAUUUUUGGUCUUUGAAAUGGGUAUGUGUUGUUUUUAAUGUUUCAGUUCUAGCGUUUUCCGUUCUUCGUUGCUUCGUGAUUCUCAUUUUUCAGUGUUGGGUGAUGGAAAUUUGUUAAAGUAGUUGGUAGUUUUUUGAGAAAGUUGGCAUUUUUAGUUAUAUUUUCUGUUUAAUCCUAAAUGUUUUGAAAACUCAUAAUUUUUUUGUUCUGGGAUUUAAAAGCAUCUUUUCCAGAUUGGUUACAAGGGUUAUGUUCUCUUCAAUUGGUUCACCUAAUUUUGAUUAGUUUUAAGUUUUGUCCUUUAAGUUUGUCUUUUAAGUUUUGUUCUUUAAGUUUUGUCUUUUAAGUUUUGUUCUCUAAGUUUUGUCUUUUAAGUUUUGUCUUCUGUGCUGUAAUGAGAGAUUUCCGUUGGCCUUUCGGAUUUUGGCAUGGGAAAGUUCACUUAUUUGCAAGGUUCUAAAAAACGCUAGGCGUUAGUUGGGCGGUGGGCUAGCGCCUAGCGGCUAGGCGGCUAGGCGGGAUCUAGGCGGGAUCUAGGCGGGCGCCUAGGCGGCCUAGGCGGAUUUAGGUAAAUUUCUUAUAUAUUUUAUGAAUUAAUUAAAUUUACUAUAUCAAAUGUAAAUAAUUAUUAACUAAUAUGUUAUUUCUUAUAGAAGAACAUACAUAGUGAAUGUUUUAUGUACAUAUAUAAUAUAUUUGUCUAGGAAAAAAAAAUAUUAUCUAAAUAAUUUUUAUAACAUAUAUAUAUAUAUAUAUAUAUAUAUAUAUAUAUCCCAAACUUUUAAAAAUAUAAAUAGCAUUGGGAGAGGGGCGUAGGGUUUCUAAAAGCACACUCAGAAAUAGAGCAUAUUUUAGUCUUUAUUUUAGAAUCCUAAGGAGCACCCUACUCGGAUGCACGACAUGUGUGCAAAUCUGGAGAUUCUUGCUGUAUCGGAUACACCAAUGCUUAGUCAAAAUUUCCUGCUAGGGUUUAUGGUGGACAUGUGUGUGUGGUCUUCAUUAUUAAACCCAUUAGCACCUCACCUUUUCACAUCACCCGUCCAUCACCUUGGGUGGUUUUGAUAAUUAAAACCAUCAACAUCCAUGGUUUUGAUAAUUAGAACUACCAACUUUUCCUUGGAUUUGAGAAUCUGAGAUCCCAUUCAUCGCCAUCAAAUAUUGAAAUGUUUCAUUGUUCAUCUCUUUCUCCCUCUUCUCACUCUCUAUUCCCUCAUCUUCACAGAGAUGAGUUACAGAAAUUCUCCGGUAAUCUCUCUCUCUCUCUCUUCGUAAUCGACGAGCUCCUCGACUUGAAGUCGCAGCCAAGUUAUGAAGAAUCGAGAUGCGAGAGCAAGUGGAGAGUGGAGACUCUGGAAAUUGGGAGUGACGAUCGACGACGAUGAGUCGAUGACCCAGGAAACCUCUUGAAGUUGCAGCAGGUGAGUGCACUGCAGUUGAGGAAGAAGAGACGAAGAGACUUAGUUUCUGAAAUUAGGGUAGCUGCAAGGCACGGGAACUUAAAAACAAAAAAACAAAAAGAAAACCGCCUAGCUCCGCCAGCCGCCUAGCCUGCCUAGGCGCCUCCUAGCCCGCCUAGGUGCCGCUUAGCCACCGCCUAGAGCCCAGCCGUUUUUUCCCACCGUUUUGCACAAAAACGCCUUGGCCACCCUCCGCCUAGCGCCUAGGCGGCCGCCUAGGCCGUUUUUUAGAACACUGCUUAUUUGUCUAAUUAGAUUGUGGAUGCCUUCGAUUCUUUAUUUAAUUGUUCUGUUUGCGUUCGGGUGUGAUGAUCUAAAUUUCAUAUGUUUGGAAUUAUUUACUUAACACCAAUUUGUUACAUUCAGAUCUCCACCCCACAUUUCACUAGUUCAAAUUCCAUAGAAGUUGGUUAUUGCAGAUUGCGUCUACAAUUAGAUCAGAGAUCAACUACUCUUUUGUUAUCCUGCAGAAGAUUGCUUUUGGGAAGGAUCUGAAGUAGUUUCUCUCUGUAUGUUUAUUCCCAUGUAGCUCUGUCUUUUCUAAUUGAUGGUGUUGAUAUUACACUGUAAUUCAUGAUGAUGAUUUAAUUGUUUAUUGAUUUGUAAUUGUUUGUGAAUAAUGUGGCAUAUAUGAAUUGCAAUCUGUGUUUGUAUGAAAGGGAUGGCAUAUUAUGUUGCUGACUUAAUUGUUUAUGUUUUUCAUAUUUGCGAAUGGUGUUAUGAUCAAUUAGGUGAUUGCUGACCUGUGACUUUGUUUGGAGCUCAAAUUUUGUGAGCAUUACAUUGGAUUGUUUUGAUGUUGUUUUGGUUGACAAUGCAGGGAUAGGAGAAACAAAGAGGAUGACACUUAUAACUGCCAUUCCCCAUCGGCCGUCUUCAAAUUUGGAUCACAAGAAGGGAGCAACAUAGGUGUUUUCCUUCUUUAUUUAGAUAUGGUUAGUGUAAAUAAUUGGACAAAAGAGCCAAACAAACCCUGUUCUCUCAAAUGGAGUUGAUGAUGUGGUCGACGGCCACCAGCCCCAACUCAAGAGUUUGGCCUUCAUAUAAUUGGAUUGUAGUAUAAUUUUAUUUUUGUUCAUUUCUUUUUUCCUUUAUAUAAGUGCAGGUGUUGUGAUGUUUUGAAUAAAGGGUGAUGAAAGGUGGUUCACACUUCCUCCUUACUUAAAGCAAGUGGAGAUGACGGUUUGUAUAAAAAGAAAAACUUGCCACGUACUUCAAUUUUCUAUUUUAUUAAUUAUUGUUUGGUUUUCCAAAUGUUGUAUUCACAAAGAGAGACCAAUUAUGUCUUUGAGAAACAAGUUUCUUUGUCUACAUUGCGAGAAUUUGCAGUUUGCAACUUUCAUUGGUUAUUAUAUUUGAUUGAGUUAAACUUGGAUUUCUGGAUUCUGACUUUUUCGUUUGUUUCUUUGUUGCAGAGUUGGCUUCAUUUCAUUCCAGGAACUCUCUAAAUAGGGCCAAGAACUCACUAAAUAGGUAGUCAAGAGGAAUUCAGUUUUGCCUUCAAUUUUUGCCUUCUGUUUACAUUCUUCCUGGAUGCACUCUCACCGCUUCUCUCGCUUACCACUUUUUUCUCACUCACCGCUUCAUCUCUUCUGUUGCUUACAAGGUCGUGUCAUAUAUUUUUUAAUUUUGUGGUUUAAUUUAUUGAAUAUUUGAAAAAAGAGAUAAAAUUAUAAGAUACUAUAUAAGAUACUAUAUAGUAUCUUAUAAAUAAAUGAAUCACAAAUGAUACUAUAGUUGUUAAAAAAUCCCAUUACUCAAAACUCCAAUUCCCUCCCAUUACUGAAAGCUCCAAUUCCAUCAAAACCGAGAUGGUAAAAGUACAAACUGGCUAGUUUCCACCAAAAAAAAAAGUACAAACUGGUUACAAAAAUAUGUUUUGUCCCAUCCAAUUGACGAAAAGAGAUAAAAUUUUCAAUUUACAAUUACUGAUAUGAUGUUUGUUUUGAAAAUCAUUAAGGUGAAUGGAGAGAUUUACAACCAUGAAGAGCUGAGGAGCCGUUUGCCAAAUCAGAUUUAUAAGGUCUCAUCAAUUAUGAAUAAACGACUUUUCAUUCCCAAUGACCUUUAUCGUUUUUCUUAAUGGGUUAGCUGAACAUGAGGUAGAUGCUGACUUUAUCAAAUAUGAGAAUGUUUUAGGAUUUCAUUCUAAUUUUUUGGCUGUUUGAUUACUUUGCUUUUCGUAAUUUGUUUUGCUUAUCGUCAAUUGGAUGGGACAAAACAUAUUUUUGUAACCAGUUUGUACUUUUUUUUUUGGUGGAAACUAGCCAGUUUGUACUUUUACCAUCUCGGUUUUGAUGGAAUUGGAGCUUUCAGUAAUGGGAGGGAAUUGGAGUUUUGAGUAAUGGGAUUUUUUAACAACUAUAGUAUCAUUUGUGAUUCAUUUAUUUAUAAGAUACUAUAUAAGAAACUGUUAUUAGCACUCUAAAAAACUCAUUCUACACUCGCGACAAGUGUAUUUUUCUUUUUAAUUAUGGAAAGUUUGAAGGGCAAAAUGAGAAUUUUGGAGUGCCAAUAACAAUUCCCUAUUAUAUAUAGCUCUACUGGGAAGGCUACUGUAUAUGUCUUCAUCCUGUUAAAUUGUAUAUGGCUCUUGAUGUCGGCUGAAUUAAAUCAAAAUGAAAACCAAGCUGAUCUUACCAGCCGAUAUCACUUAUCACUUGCUUAUUUAAAUUAUUUGAAGAUGCGUAUGUGGAUUGGUGAUUUUGUUGGAUUCACUUAGCUCAAAUAUAUGUUAUCUGAGUCGCUACAUUUGAGAAUGUGAUUCUGUUCCUACCACCAUUUUGCCCACUUUUUGUGGAAAUUAUUCAUUCCUGUUGUGAAUAAUACAUUCAUCCCCGGCAACGAAGUGCGGGCACAUUUUAUAGUUUAAAUUAAAUCACACAAUGGGUCAUCAAUAAUGACAAACUCGUCAUUUAUGCGAGUCAAACAUGAGGCCACCUACCUACUAGUUUAGUGGAAUACCACAAAGUGACAUGUUGAUACCUUUAAGUCUCAUAUAAUGGAUUGCAGAAUUAGGAUAUACCUAGACUAAUUUAGUCAGUGCGUGAACCCGAACAAUUAACAAGGGUUUUAUUCUUGCUUGAAUGUUUGUUAUAUGUUCCUAGUUUGACAAGGCAAUUAUAUUUCCGAUUACAAAAGUUAUUAAUUUAGUCGAGAAUUGACGCACCUGAAAUGGUGUGAGGAAAACAUGUAGACACAUCAACCGCAGUCCACUGUCCUGGGCAUCUAUCUUCCCCGAAACGAAGCUCAAAGCCAUACAUGAGGGCAUUGUGUAUGUCUUUAUAAGAGAAGUUGCUGUAGUCUUCAACGUAGCCGGCAGCCAAACUCAUCCACUCUACACUGCAACCCUCAUCCAAAUCCCAUGCUUCCAACCUGCCCCCGACAUAGUCAGCGACCAUGACAUAGCUAUACGUUUUUGGUUGACUCGAAGAAGAAGAAGAAGUAUUAUUCAAGCAUGGAGCAGUGUCCACGUACAGAGAAGAAUUCGAUGGAUUCGAACACUUCAAGUAAUAUAUAGAUAGAGAAUUGAUGUCAUAGGUGGGCCAAUAUGGAGAAUUGAUGUCCUCGGUGGUGGGCGGAAUAUUUUGAGACAUGGAAGAGCAAUUGUUGUUGUCAAGCCCAGGAUCUAGAACUCGGAUUGUAUUGUUAAUGUAGUUGAUUGCCUGGACAUAGUAUUUUCCGGAAGAAGGUACGUCUAGUACAGUAAUGUUGCUCUCACAGUACAGAGUAUACAUUAUGUUGCCACAGUACUUUGGAUCAUCGUUCAGUCGAAAAGGAUGGCUUAUGUAGUGGAUAUGGCCGCAGGAUGAAGUGCAGGACUUGGCACUACUGUUGUCAGCGUUACAAGUUUCACUGCAAAAGCAAAGAAGAAGAAAGGCUAAACUUAAGGUGAAGGACCUGCUUCCACUAAUUUCCAUUGAUCUGAGAGAGAGAGAGAGAGAGAGAGAGAGAGAGAGAGAGGGUACUAUAGCUUGAACACCAAGGAGUUAUAUAAUAUGGGAGGGGUUAAAGCGCUUCGCUUAAAGUUGCAGUAAGCCCGGCAAAUAUCCUAGGGAAAAGUCGGUCAAUGGUGUCCUAUAGAGAAAAGUCGGCCUUGGUGUUUGACACGGUCACUCACUCUCUCUCUCUCUCUCUCUCUCUCUCUCACAUUGACGAGGGACACUGUAAUUAACAAAAAAAUUGUUCUUCAGAGAUAGAUUUUGAAAUUCUUAUUUUAUAUAAAAAAACACCUAAUAUUAAUCAUUCAAAUGAAAUUCCUAAAAUUAAGUAUAAAUAAUACAUAAUAAAAACUGAACACAUACAAUCAACGGUCACGAUCAUGAAAUCCUUCGGAUCCUCAGAAAAAAAUCCGACGAUGAUCUUUUUCUGUGUAAAAUAAUUUGAGGGUAUAAUACUGGAUGUGCGAUUAAACCGAAGAACCCACCCACCUCCAUCUUCUCCGACCAACUUGAACCCAGCCACUACUACAUGUCAUCCCGACAACCCACUCUCAGCUUCCCAAACCGCCAUUUUUCACCCAUUCACCUACCACUGCCAUUAUUCAUUCAAUCAACCCAAAACACGAGAGCCACCCCCAUCUCACCAGUCGAACAGAUGCAGCCACCCACCCAUUUAAUCCCAGUCCAAAAUCAAACCCUCUCCUAAACCCACCCCAGAAUCCAAUAAUUUCAAAAAAUGGCUGAUUAUAUCAUUUCAAGAACCUCACAAUUCCAAAAACUAAAAACCCACUUCAAAGAUGUAAUAUUUUUCUCUCUUCCUCUUUUUGGGUUUUUUUUUCUUUUUUUUUAUCAAUUCUCUUCUGGGUUUUUGUUUACAGUGUAAAAUCAACACUAAUUUACUAAUUUUGCUUUGAUUUCAAACACUAUUGAGGCGUGAUAACCUGUUGCAAGCUCAGCCAUGGCGGCUACUGCGAAAUCUAACGGAAAAACCAUCACAGACUCUGCCAUUUCAUCCAAGGUUCCGACAAUAGCAAAACGAAUAGCUGUCGCAGAUUUCUUCCAACAUCAAUCACUACGCGAAAUUAAUUGUCAAUGAAGACGAUCCCAUUCCCCUUCGAAAUCUGCUGGGGAAAGAGACCUUCUUUCAGAUCUGCUCUGAGACCGGUUUAUGCGAGAGAGUGGUGAGCCUGACGACAGAGAGAAAUAAGGGCAGGAUUGGAAAAUUGGAAAGUUCAUUUAUUGGUUACUGUUUAUCCGUGUUUCUUCGAAAUAAGCUGCUUUUUCCAGCUUUGGGUUUCAGUGUUUUUUAACCCAUAAUUUUGAAAGAAAAAAAACUGAUUUUAAAUGUUUAUCAAACACUUAAAAUGUUCCAAUCUUUUUUCAUACCUACUUUUUAUUAAAAGUUAAGCUAAACAAAAAUCAAGAUUAAGUUUACUACUCUGAAGUUUCUUGCUUUUCAACAUUUCAUACAUUGAAUUUUUCUCAUCCAGUGUCAUAUCUAAGGUGGGAAUUGUGGGACACUUUUAUACAUCCGUUAGAUUUUAUGUGAAUUGCGUGGCACUUUUAUACAUCCGUUAAAUUUUUUGUGAGAACCUUCGCUGACCCACGAUGCGGCAUGCAUGUGGACAUUAAAAAAAUUCAAAAAAUUCAAAAAAUUUUAAAAUUUUAAAAUUUAAAAUUCAAAAAUACUAAAAACCUAAACUUUUCAUAAUAUUGAAAGACUGAAUCUUUUCACAGUCAGCCAAAUUUUCUUCAAAUUUUAAUUAGAUGAAAUAAUGAAUCUUGAACAAAGCAAAACAAAACGUAAUAUUGAGAGAUUCAGUCAUUGAAGUGGACGUGGAUGUUGGGUACUCAAUAGUCCAAGAAUGAAAACUCUCAUAUCAGUUUCUAUCCAAAAUUUUGGAAUUAUGUGUGUUGCAACGAUUGUCCAAAGGAUUAUUCUUCUUUUAUUAAAUUUCCAUGAAAAAUGAGCAUGGAGCACAAAAGUUGAACGAAUGAUUAUUCUUCUUUUAUUAAAUUUCCAUGGAAAAUGAGCAUGGGGCACAAAAGUUGAACGAAUGAAAUUUCAACGAUUUGAAAAGGGAUUGUGAGUUUGACAUGUCAUUUUUCUUCCUCUAAUGCAAUCAUGUUUAUUAAAAGACAAAAAUAAAUAUGACUUUACAUAAGGAGAGAGAAGGAGUAGUUUUCUUUGAAAAAAUCAACCAUUUAUUGAAGAGGAUGUGGAUGUUGAUUGAUGCGUCGUGAAUACGAAAAAAAGGACCUUGAAAGGAGUUGAGACAUUCAUUAAAAGCUAGAAGAAAAAAAAGUUAAAAGUGUUUUAGAAAAAAAGCAAGAAAGCCUCAUUUUCAAAGUUGUGGUCAUUGCACAAUACUUGAUUAGAAGAAAACUCAUAGUAUUGUAUUUACAAUUUCAAGUCUUUAUGGGGAACGAGAGAGCAAGUUUUCCAAUUGGAAUAUGAUAUGAAAUUUCUACAUAACUAUAUAUGACAAUGAAAGAAGUCUAAGUUUCUAAAUGGAAGGGCUUCCAAUUGAUGUGAGUUUGUUGAGAAAUUAGUGAACAACAGAACAAGUUGCUUCUCCUUUGGCCUUCUAACAUGAUAUCACAGAAAACAAGUUGUUACUAAUAAAUGUAUCUGAUUGGUGGACUUAGACGUGCGCGGUACGAUUUUUGAUAACUAGAGAAGAUGGGCAGUGUCAUGACAAAAUUUAUCCAAGUAGACCCAAAGGAAUGACUUAGGAACUUCAUAUGCAGUGGGAUAAAAUCUUAAGCUAAUUUCCUUACCUAUCUUAUAGGCAUUAAGUAAAAUGUAUAUGCAUAUUUCUAGACACACCAAUUUACUUAAUAUUAACUUCUUUCAAAUACCCAUUUGCAGAAACGCAAAGCUCUCUUGCAUGCUUGUUGUAAUGCUUAUGUAGUGCGUAUCCUAUAUCUUAUAUAUAUAUCUUACUUUUUGUGAUCCAUUUUUUCAUCACUAUGCCAAACGAAUAGCAAAACGAAUAGCUGUCGCAGAUUUCUUCCAACAUCAAUCACCACGCGAAAUUAAUUGUCAAUGAAGACGAUCCCAUUCCCCUUCGAAAUCUGCUGGGGGAAAGAGGCCUUCUUUCCGAUCUGCUCUGAGACCGGUUUAUGCGAGAGUGGUGAGCCUGACGACAAAGAGAAAGAAGGGCAGGAUUGGAAAAUUGGAAAGUUUAUUGGUUACUGUUUAUCCGUGUUUCUUCGAAAUAAGCUGCUUUUUCCAGCUUUGGGUUUUCAGUUUUUUUUACCCAUAAUUUUGAAAGAAAAAAAACUGAUUUGAAAUGUUUAUCAAACACUUAAAAUGUUCCAAUCUUUUUUCAUACCUACUUUUUAUUAAAAGUUAAGCUAAACAAAAACCAGGAUUAAGUUUACUACUCUGAAGUUUUUUGCUUUUCAACAUUUCAUACAUUGAAUUUUUCUCAUCCAGUGUCAUAUCUAAGGUGGGAAUUGUGAGACACUUUUAUACAUCUGUUAGAUUUUAUGUGAAUUGUGGGGCACUUUUAUACAUCCGUUAGAUUUUUUGUGAGAACCUUCGCUGACCCACGAUGCGGCAUGCAUGUGGACAUUGAAAAAAUUCAAAAAAAAUCGAAAAUUUUAAAAUUUUAAAAUUUAAAAUUCAAAAAUACUAAAAACCUAAACUUUUCAUAAUAUUGAGAGACUGAAUCUUUUCACAGUCGGCCAAAUUUUCUUCGAAUUUUAAUUAGAUGAAAAUAAUGAAUCUUGAACAAAGCAAAACAAAACGUAAUAUUGAGAGAUUCAGUCAUUGAAGUGGACGUGGAUGUUGGGUACUCAAUAGUCCAAGAAUGAAAACUCUCAUAUCAGUUUCUAUCCAAAAUUUUGGAAUUAUGUGUGUUGUAACGAUUGUCCAAAGGAUUAUUCUUCUUUUAUUAAAUUUCCAUGAAAAAUGAGCAUGGAACACAAAAGUUGAACGAAUGAUUAUUCUUCUUUUAUUAAAUUUCCAUGGAAAAUGAGCAUGGGGCACAAAAGUUGAACGAAUGAAAUUUCAACGAUUUGAAAAGGGAUUGUGAGUUUGACACGUCAUUUUUCUUCCUCUAAUGCAAUCAUGUUUAUUAAAAGACAAAAAUAAAUAUGACUUUACAUAAGGAGAGAGAAAUAGUAGUUUUCUUUGAAAAAAUCAACCAUUUAUUGAAGAGGAUGUGGAUGUUGAUUGAUGCGUCGUGAAUACGAAAAAAAAAGACCUUGAAAAGAGAUGAGACAUUCAUUAAAAGCUAGAAAAAAAAAAGUUAAAAGUGUUUUAGAAAAAAGCAAGAAAGCCUCAUUUUCAAAGUAGUGGUCAUUGCACAAUACUUGAUUAGAAGAAAACUCAUAGUAUUGUAUUUACAAUUUCAAGUCUUUAUGGGGAACGAGAGUGCAAGUUUUCCAAUUGGAAUAUGAUAUGAAAUUUCUACAUAACUAUAUAUGACAAUGAAAGAAGUCUAAGUUUCUAAGUGGUAGGGCUUCCAAUUGAUGUGAGUUUGUUGAGAAAUGAAGAUGAAGAUGAAUAUUGAUGUUGAUGUUAGUGAACAACAGAACAAGUUGCUUCUCCUUUGGCCUUCUAACAUGAUAUCACGGAAAACAAGUUGUUGCUAAUAAAUGUAUCUGAUUGGUGGACUUAGACGUGCACGGUACGAUUUUUGAUAACUAGAAAAGAUGGACAGUGUCAUGACAAAAUUUAUCCAAGUAGACCCAAAGGAAAGACUUAGGAACUUCAUAUGCAGUGGGAUAAAAUCUUAAGCUAAUUUCCUUACCUAUUUUAUAGUAUUAAGUAAAAUGUAUAUGUAUAUUUCUAGAUGCUGACACACCAAUGUACUUACUAUUAACUCCUUUCAAAUACCCAUUCGCAGAAACGCAAAUCUCUCUUGCAUGCUUGUUGUAAUGCUCAUGUAGUGCGUAUCUAAUAUCUUAUGUGUAUAAUUUUUUGUGAUCCAUUUUUUCAUCACUAUGCCAAAAUCCCUUUAGAAUUUGCAAUUUAUCCAUUUGGUUAUGGUAAAAAAAAAAACUCGGAAUUUCAUUUAAACUCGAAAAUCUAGAAUUGGGAAAGCAAUUUUCCCUUGUUCGGCAACUUGUAGCGAUAGCAAAGGCAAAUUGUACCGGAAAAAAGUGGAAAUUGGGGAUGAAGAUCCAAUUUUAAUUUCGUCAAAAUAAGUGUAAUUUCACAAUUCCAACAACGUUGAGAAUCACAAAUGCAUUGUGGGGAAAUCUUGCGACCACCAAACUUUACGAUUAGAGCGCCAAAUUUCAUGAUAAAACGUAAUAAGGGUUUAGGACUGCAUCGUUCGCUCUGUUAACUCUCCAAUCUUCGACGGGAUUUUCAACUCGUGCAUCAUUUUUUGCUUUGUUCUAGGUCAAAGCCUACUCUUUUCUUUCUUGAAUUAUUUUAGCUUUGCGGGUAUACUCUUUAGGCCAAUUGUGAAUUUUGCUAGUUAUUUUUAUUUUCUGAUGGUCAUAUGUUUGUUUUUUUUUUCUUCCAAUUGAGCUGUGUAUUGGUUGGAUCAGUAACUUUUUUUUUGGAUUUUUAUUUUUAUUUUUAUGGAUUUUGGUGUUAGUUCCUUGUUAUAGAUGUAUAGAUGUUGUGGAGCAAAAAAUAAUCUCAAAAAUCGUGGAGGUGACACACGGAUUUUUGGACAAGAAUGACAAAAUUAUCCUCGAAGCACAUCAUGAUUCCCACGUGCAUGCAACGGACAAUAACGGCUCAAUCAUGGAAGAGUCAAAGGUGAUCAAUAUGGUAUUUAUUCAAAUCCCUCUCAUCACUCCUCAUCAAUCCCUUUUUGAUUUUAUUCAAAAGGUAACUCCCAAAACUUCCUAUUUAAUUUAGGGAUCAUUGUCAUGUUAAUUGCAAGAUAUUAUUUCACAAAAUAUCUUGUAAUUAUUCUUCAAUUACCACCAUGUAUGGCCGGCCACUCCUCACCCUAUGGGCCGGUCACUCCUCACCCUAUGGGUCGGCCACUCCCUAUAAAUAGCCCUAUUAUUCCACUAAUAAGGAAGCCAUUUGCUACCCACAAACUCCUAAACACAUUCUUUCAGAAUUCUAACUUUGGCAUUGGAGAUUCUUAGGCCAAAUCCCCCCUCCCAUUCAUCGUGGGCGCAUAAGGCUUUUGGCCUUAGUCUUAGGUAUUAUUAUUUUGCAGGUGCAUUUUCGUCAAAGACGAAGAUGGUGGAAAUUUGGAUCCACAAAUUGGUGUUUUCAUUGAGAGUUUGAUUCACAAGCUCGAAGAAGACUCUCGCAUUCAAAGUUUCACAUUUCUCAUUCAUAAGUAAAUUUUUCAUACGUUCUUAUUCCUAGAAUUUUUUUAAAUCUUUGAAUAGACGUAGGAGAGAAAUACAAUGGCUAGAAAUUUAGAAACCACGACGAACGAAACUUCCUACGUUCAAAGAUCCAGAUCAAAUGAUGGAAAUUGCGAUGUAGCCCCACCACGACGAUCCACGAAGCUCAACGUAGUGGCAAAAUGAGUAACUUGGCCACCACGGAGUACCACCACCACCAUAGCCAAGGCAACCCAUGUUGCAGUGGGGAGUGGGACAACUCCAUGGCAGCAAGGCCACGAAGCAACAACAGAUGCCAUCUUGCAGUAAUGAGCCCAAGCCUGUGUCACAAGGUAGUCAACCCAGCGCUAGGUAACCUAGAUCUAGUAGGCCCACGACGUUGCCAUAGUAGCUGAGGCCUAAAGCAAGGCCCAAGCAGCUGCGACUGCGGCAAAUGGAGCAACACAACACUGGCGGGGCCAAUGCACCCUUGGCCUAAUGCCAAGCAGGCUAAAUCGCACCACACCCACUAUUCAAACUAACCCUAAGUUGAGUAAGUAGCAUUGAAGGUUGUCAACCGCAAGGCGUUGAAGUACGAAUAAAGUUACACACCCCGCACAUGACUUGGCCCACUUCCGCGGCCCAACUUGCUCGCAAGGUCCACCUAGUGAUCCCGACCAGUCGAAGGCCAGUUCAAUCAUCCCAUCUUCAGAUUUCUGGACUGACGAUUGAAUCGGGGGUAUUUUCACCCCGAUUUUCUACAGAUUUGACAUAUCUCAACACAAAUCUCGCACUUGGAGUCCAUUGCACUUCCAUUACUCAAGGAGACGCAUACCAUUUAAGAUCUUCCAUCCCAAAUGGCGAACAACACUUGUCUUGACAAGUCAUAGAGUUGACAUGCACUUUUGCGCAGUAGACGACCUUAGUGAAUCAGCUUUUGCAACGCACAAAGAUGCAGUAUGCCCCAGACGAUGUGUCCCGAAGCAGGACAAGUAUAGACGACGAUUCUCUCCAGCAGCGUCCCAACAAGCAGCCGCUCGACUAGCCACGAACCGAGCAUUCUGGCAGUGUACACUCCCGUCUAGGUCCUCAAGAAAGCAUAUACUCUCAUCUUAGCGCGCGGAUGAGCGUGCACUCCUGGUUAGGCCUACGGACGAGCAUACAUUCACGGUUGGGACCAUACUCUUAUAAUUAACAUGGACAACCUGCUAGACGAAGUGUUCAUUCGCGGCUAGGCUCGCAAAGAGCAUUUUCCACCUCAUAUUGGAGUAAGCAGCACAGAAGACGAAGAUAAGCAGUCAAUUAAUCUGGCUCAAAUUCAAUCGGCCACCUGUAAGUAACUAGCUCGCCUGCCAAGAACGUACCAUAUGCAAUGUAGCCACGACAUAGACUAGCUGAGCACAACGAUGAGCAACCUAGACUAACAGGUUACGACUGGGGGUAGCCAGAAGCUUCACUGCCCCAAUAUAGGUAAAUUUAGAAAGAAGUUGAGAGGCUUCUGACAGAACGAUUGUGCGAUUUCCAACGCAAUGAAGCUACUGACAAGGCGCUUAAACGAUACACGACCAACAUAAACGGGUCACCUUUUAUUGACAAGAUUGAGCAGACAGAACCAUCCUACAUACACUGGCGGAUACAAAUAUUACUUCUAUUUUAACAUACGCAUCAACUCAGCCUAAUGGCGUGUCGAGGGCAAAUGGGUUCCAGAAUGGCACACUAACCCAACCACCAAGAACCAGGGCCAAAUCUUAUUUUCAUCACUCCACACGAUUCAAUGCUUGAGCAUCACAUCACCAGUAAUAGAGCACCGCAGACCUAAUGGUCCAAUUCCUCCUGAUGCACACAAGCUCACCCCAGCUCCACGCUCAAAGCCGUGCCUACCUGCUCCACAACACUCAGCCACCCUUGAUUUGUCACCAUGGCUCACAGUUAUGCCAAUUUUGCACCACAGCUCCCAGCCGUGCUAAUCUUGCCAUGCGGCUUUUAACUACGUUAACCAAGCCCACGAUACUUCAUACUUCAAAACAUCCAAUGACGAAGUAGAACAUGAGGCUCUACUAGCAGCCCCUGCUAGUGAAAGGCUUUGCGGUGAAGAGGCUUCCAAUCCAUUCAAAUUCUCAGUUGACCACCUGUUGGGUUUUACGGCUCAAAAUUAGGAUGAUGCAAAAAAAAUUGUGUUACCUAUUUGGUUUUGGUGUCGUAUUUGGGUUUGGAUUUUGACCUCUUAGUUGGUUUCCUUGGUGGAGAGAUUUUGUUAAUUACCUAUUUGAUUAGGAUUUGGAUUUACUUCCUAUUAAGAUUCUUAUUGUAACCUAAGUCUUAUGCACUAUAAAUAGGACCUCAGGGUUAGUGUAUUUUGUGUGGCUCAUUCGUGUGGCAAUUUGGUGAGAGUCAAUUUGUGAGUUUGUGAGUUAGAGAGCAAUUUGGGAGAAUCUUCUCCGUUAGUUUUGGGUUCUCUACUCGUUUGGUUUAGGGUUUGUAAUUUGUGGGAUUUGGAUUGUGAGAGUUUAAACACUAUUUUGUAAUCUCCGUUUGUUUAGUGAAAUUUCUUGUCAUGCUUCGCUCGUGGACUUAGAUUUUACACCGAACCACAUAAAUCUCUUGUGUUAGUUUGAGAUUGUUUGUUUUAGUUUUCACCUACAACGUUGAUAUCGGUACUUUGCUAUAAUUUGCUUUCCUUUGCUCAUAAAAGUACGACAAGUGGUAUCAGAGCCCAGCUUUCGGCUUGGGCUUUUCUUGGCAAUCAAUAUGAAGCCUUCUGUGUCGUCGGUGAAAGUUGAUAUUGAAAAGUUCGAUGGCAAUGACUUUGGUAUUUGGCAAUUGAAGAUGCGUGCUUUGUUAAUUCAACAAGAGCUUUUAAAAACGCUAAAGGGUGUGAAGGCUUUCCUGAAUUCGUGGACUGAUGAAGAAAAACAAAGAAGUUAUGGAGCGGGCACUUGGAACAAUCCUGCUGACUUUAUCGAAUGAAGUCUUGCGUCAAGUUGGUAGCAUCAAAUCUGCACCGAAGUUGUGGCUAAAAUUGGAGAGUUUGUAUAUGACCAAAUCCCUUGCUAAAUGGUUGUAUUUGAAGAAAAGUUUGCGUACUCUUCGUAUGGAUGAAGGUACGUCAAUUCAUAAGACCAAAUCCUUAUUGCUGCCAAAAGUCCUCAACAGUUCCAAGGGAGAUGGGUAAGAGUUCGUAAUAGUGAGAGAUUGAAUCUUUUCACACUUGGCCAAAUUUUAAUUUUAAUUAGAUGAAACAAUGAAUCUUGAACAAAGCAAAACAAAAUUUAAUACUGAAAGAUUGAGUCAUUGAAGUGGACGUGGAUGUUGGGUACUUAACAGUCCAAGAAUGAAAACUCUCAUAUCAGUUUUUAUCCAAAAUUUUGGAAUUAUGUGAGUAUUGCAACGAUUGUCCGAAUGAUUAUUCUUCUUUUAUUAAAUUUCCAUGGAAAAUGAGCAUGGGGCACAAAAGUUGAACGAAUGAAAUUUCAAUGAUCUGCAAAGGGAUUGUGAGUUUGACAUGCCAUUUUUCUUCCUUUUAUGCAAUCAUGUUUAUUAAAAGACAAAAAUAAAUAUGACUUUACAUAAGCAGAGAGAAAGAGUAUUUUUCUUUGAAAAAAUCAACUAUUUAUUGAAGAGGAUGUGGAUGUUGAUUGAUGCGCCGUGUGAAUAGGAAAAAAAUGACCUUGAAGGGAGACAAGACAUUCAUUAGAAGCUAAAAAAAAGUUAUAGUGAUUUAGAAAAAAGAAAUUUUAACGAAAUAUUUCCGGUAUUGUUCACUCUUUACGAAAAACCACAUUUUUACAUUUCCUGGCUACUAUUCACUACACCUUUAUUUAUCAUUUUUCAUUAAAACUAAAUUUGUUUUUGAACUUUUCGUUAGUUUCCUUUAGAAAAAAGCAAGAAAGCCUCAUUUUCAAAGUGGUAGUCAUUGAAACAAUACUUGAUUAGAAGAAAAGUCAUAGUAUUGUAUUUACAAUCUCAAGUCUUGAGGGGUAACGAGAGUGCAAGUUUCUAAUUGGAAUAUAAUAUGAAAUUUCUACAUAACAAUAUAUGACAAAGAAAGAAGUCUAAGUUUCUAAGUGGAAGGGCUUCCAAUUGAUGUGAGUUUGUUGAGAAAUGAAGAUGAAGAUGAAUAUUGUUGUUGAUGUGAGUUAGUGAACAACAGAACAAGUUGCUUCUCCUUUGGCCUCUAACAUGAUAUUACCGGAAAACAAGUUGUUACUAGUAAAUGUAACUGACUGGUGAACUAAGACAUGCGGUACGAUUUUUGAUAACUAGAGAAGAUGAAUAGUGUCGUGACAAAAUUUAUCCAAGUAGACCCAAGGGAAAGACUUAGGAACUUCAUAUGCAGUGGGAUAAAAUCUUAAGCUAAUUUCCUUUUUAAUCUUAUAGUCAUUAUGUAAAAUGUAUAUGCAUAUUUCUAGAUACAUACACACCAAUGUACAUAAUAUUAACUCCUUUUAAGUAGUCAUUUGCAAAUCCCUCUUGAGUGCUCUUUGGAAUGCUCAUGCGGUGCCGUUCUAAUCUCUUAUAUAUAACUUUUUGUGAUCUGUUUUUUCAUCAAUAUGCCAAAAUCCCUUUAGAAUUUGCAACUUAUCUUUUUGGUUACGGUAAAAAAAAACUCGGAAUUUCAUUUAAACUCGAAAAUCUAGGGAUGUGAAAGCAAUUUUCUCUUGUUCGACAACAUUUAGCGAGAGCAAAGGCAAAUUGUACAGGAAAAAGUUAGAAAUUGGGGAUGAAGAUUCCCAAUUUUAAUUUCGUCUAAAUAAGUGUAAUUUCACAAUUCUAACUACGAUGAGAAUCACAAAUAUAUUGCAGGGAAAUCUUGCAACAGCCAAACUUUACGAUUAGGGUGCCAAAUUUCGUGAUAAAACCUAAUAAGGGUUUAGGGCUGCAUUGUUCACUCUGUUAACUCUCCAAAUCUUCGACGGAUUUUCGGCUCGUGCAUCAUCUUCUUGCUUUGUUCUAGGUCAACGCCUCUACUCUCUUCUUUCUUGAAUUAUUUUAGCUUUUUAGGUAGGCUCUUUAUGGCUGUUGUGAAUUUUGCUAGUUAUUUUUAUUUUCUGAUAGUCAUUUGUUUGUUGUGCGUUUUUCCUUCCAAUUGAAUUGUGUAUUGGUUGGAUCUGUAACAUUUAUUUUUUAUUUUAUUUUAUGGAUUUUGGUGUUAGUUCUUUGUCAUGGAUGUUGUCCCUUUGAAGGUUAACAAUAGCCAAGACUAAACAUGAUGAUAUUGUUAAUUACUUUCUCAUGAUACUAAUGCCAUAUUGUUCUCUCUUUUGCACUUACAAGUGAAGAGAAAUAUCCUAGACCCUAACUGGAUAUGUUAUUGUCAUGGUCAUGCAUUGGUAUGGUAACAAUAUGUUUGGAUAAGGAAAAUAAACUUAGAAUUUGACAAAAGAUAGAAUUUAUAAAUUGAUACAAUCAAUUCCUUUGUUUAGAUUCAUAAACAUAGAAAUUUAAACUUUCCGUGUGAGAAAAAACUUGGAAUUUGGGACCUUCAAUUCUCAUGUUUAAAUUUUAUGUAAAUAGGUGUCAUUUCUAAAUUUCAGCAAGUGAGAAUUUAAAAAUAACAAACAUGUAUUCAAAUUUCAUUCCUCUUUUAGGUUAACCAAACAAGAAAUUUUAUAAAUUCUAGAAAAUAAAAUUUCGUUAUUUCAAUUUCUGUUAUUUUAAAAUUAGUAAUCUUAAAUUUUCCCAUCCAAACAAAGAGUUUCCUUGUCAUAGAACUUUCAAUUGGGAUCAAGGAAGACAAUCUUUUCACAACUGAUUAUUCUCACCAAAUUUUAUUAUUAUUUUAAAGCAGAUCAAUACCAAACUUCAAAAGCAAAGUAGGAAGGCUAAAAUUAAGGUGAAGAACCUACUUCCACUAAUUACCAUGGGAGGGGGAGAGAGAGAGAGAGAGAGAGAGAGAGAGAGAGAGAGAGAGAACCAAGCGAGAGAGAAGAGAGAGAAAACACCAAGUAGUAUUAUAAUAUAGGUGGGGUUAAAUCACCUUUCGUGAAGUUGCGGUAAGAGCAGCUCCAGCGGGAGGUCCAGCUUGAUGGACCGGUGAGAUUUCCUACCCAAUAGCCCCAGCUCCUUGCUCCAGCCCAUGCGGGCGAUUGGGCUGAGGGGGUGCCCGAGUGAGAGGCCUGACUCGAAUCGGUAGCCUGAGAGCUUGAGGCCAAAUGAUGCAUGGACGUCAGCCACGUUAUAAGAAGGAAGCAUAAACUAUGAAUAAUGAUAGAGAUUUAGAUUUUGGUGUGUGAUUUCAUCGGAUGGAUGGUGGGUUAUAUGGAGGAAAAAAAAAAGAUUAGGUUGUAGAUAAUGCCACGUGGCAUGCCGUCAUUCGUUAAAAAUCUGAUCGAAAUCUAUCAUCAAAGAUUUUAAACAGAUUAUGACACGUGACGCAACGUGAUUGGUUAAAAAUCUUAUCAGAAAUCUAUCCUUAACGAUUCUGAAAAGGUAACGAGAUGGGGCACGACGGCAUUGGAUAAAAAUCUUAUCGAAAUCUAUCACCAAAAAUUAUCUUUUUGGAUAAUGACACGUGGUGCAACGAGAACGAUUAAAAAUCUUAUCCGAAAUUACAAAUAGAAUUAUUUUGUAUUAUUUUAUAAAAUAAAAAUACUAAUAUUUUAUUGCCUAUUGACAUGACUAUUCAAUUAUGGGUGUGGAGAUGCAGAAGAUAAUUAUUAUUAAUUAAAGGUAAUUAUUGUUCAUUGGAGGGGAUUGAAUAUGAAGUUGCAGUAGAAGGCCUUUGUCACAGCAAUAGGCAGUUACUGUUCUAAGGACUUCUAUCCUAGAACAGAGACAAAAACACCAAGUAGUAUUAUAAUAUAGGUGGGGUUAAAUCACCUUCCGUGAAGUUGCUGUAUGGACUUCUAUCCUAGAGAAAAGUCGGUCAAUGGUGUUUGACACAGUCAGUCAACGACAAAGACAGAAUUGUGUAACCAUAAUUCUCUCUCUAUCUCUUUUUCAUUAACGGAGGACAGUGUAUAAUUACUACGUAUAUAUCUCUGCUCAAUUAUUGAAAAGAAAAAUCCAUGUGCAUUAUUUUUAUUAUUAUUAUCUCAGAAAUGCAGAAAUUGAUUAUCUCUUCCUUCUGCAUAUUGAUACUGGUUUUCUUCAAACUAGUUGAAGCAAGCCAAUAUGUGUGCGCGAAAUCCAACUGUAGCAAUGAUCAAGGCCCGGCUAAUUUCCUUAGGAGGGAGAGAGAGAGAGGGGAGAGAGAACCAAGUGAGCGAGCAGAGAGAGAAAACACCAAGUAGUAUUCUAAUGUUGGUGGGGUUAAGUCACCUUCCAUGAAGUUGCAGUAAGGACUUCUAUCCCAGAGAAAAGUCAGUAAAUGAUGUUGACACAGUCCGUCAACGACAAAGACAGAAUUGUGUAACCAUAAUUCUCUCUCUAUCUCUUUUUCAUUAACGGAGGACAGUGUAUAAUUACUACGUAUAUAUCUCUGCUCAAUUAUUGAAAAGAAAAAUCCAUGUGCAUUAUUUUUAUUAUUAUUAUCUCAGAAAUGCAGAAAUUGAUCAUCUCUUCCUUCUGCAUAUUGAUACUGGUUUUCUUCAAACUAGUUGAAGCAAGCCAAUAUGUGUGCGCGAAAUCCAACUGUAGCAAUGAUCAAGGCCCGGCUAUCCAUUUCCCAUUGAACAUCAGGCGCACACAUCAUUGUGGAAAUUCUGGGCUUGAAUGCAAUGGGAGAUAUGAGCAGCAAAUACUAAUAAAAUUAUUUGUCAAAGACACAGAUUACAAGCGUCAGGAAAUCCAAGUCUAUUCCCCAAGUAACUGCCUGCUGCUAAAGCUUGUUGAAAUCCCAAACAUGCCACCCUCUCCCUUCGUGCCAGUAGUCGAUUACAUGAUUAAUUUCAUAAACGUUACCUUAUUCAGUUGUCCUACUUCUGUUGCAAUACGAGAUACGUAUGGUUGUCAAGUCCCCUGCCUUGGCGACCGUGGCAAGAGAACUUAUGCCAUUGAUUCUGGGGUUUAUUUUGAAACUCUCUUCCAGAAUCUAGAAUCCUGUACAAAAAUGUAUGAUGUUUUAUCAGUUCCAAUAGCCGAUGAAUAUUAUGUUUUUCGUUUCAAAUGGUCUAUACCAAAUUGCAGAAAAUGUGGAGAGGGAAAGAAGUGUGAAUGGCAGAACAAUGAAAUUAAAUGUCUUCCCUGGAGGAAACCAAGUAAGGAUAACAUAUGUAUUCAUUGCUAGUUUUAAACAUCUUUACAUUUAUGUCUUAGUAAUUAUUAUUUGAAGGAUGUUGUCCAAUCCAUUUUUACUAGGAAUAUUACCUGACAGUCUCGUUUAAAUUCGCAAUGAUCUUCUACAGGCAACACAUGGAAAAAAGUGGUUACAGGUGGAAUCCUGUGUGCUUUGCUUCUUGUUCUACUGACGAUUGCAGCAUAUCGGGUAUAUAGCGCUGAUAGAAAGGAGAAAGAGAGUCGAUUAAGAAUUGAAAGAUUCUUGGAGGACUACAAAGCACUCAAACCAAGCAGGUAUUCGUACGCAGAUAUUAAGAGGAUUACAAAUCAAUUCAAGGACAAGUUGGGCGAAGGAGCCUAUGGAACUGUCUUCAAAGGAAUGCUCUCUUCUGAAUUCUUCAUUGCUGUCAAAGUCCUCAACAGUUCCAAGGGAGAUGGGGAAGAGUUCGUAAAUGAAGUGCGAACGAUGGGUCAUAUCCACCACGUAAACGUGGCUCGCUUGGUUGGAUUUUGUGCUGAUGGAUUUGUACGAGCUCUUGUUUACGAGUUCUUCCCCAAUGGUUCCCUGCAGGAUUUCAUUUCAUCUGCAGAUAGUAAGAAUUCAUUUCUUGGUUGGGAUAAGCUACAAGAUAUUGCCCUAGGCAUAGCCAAAGGAAUUGAAUAUCUUCACCAGGGAUGCGAUCUACGAAUCCUGCAUUUCGACAUCAAACCCCAUAAUGUUUUGCUAGACCAAAACUUCACUCCAAAAAUUUCUGAUUUUGGUUUGGCCAAGUUAUGUUCCAAGGAUCAAAGCUUGGUGUCCAUGACUACAGCAAGGGGGACCAUGGGCUACAUUGCACCUGAAGUGUUCUCCAGGAAUUUCGGAAAUGUGUCGUACAAGGCAGAUGUUUAUAGCUUUGGAAUGCUACUGCUUGAGAUGGUAGGAGGAAGGAAGAAUAUUGGUUCAAUUACGGAUAACACUACAAAUGAAAUUUACUAUCCACAGUGGAUUUAUAAUCUUCUAGAGGAAGGGGAUGACCUACGAAUCCACAUUGGGGAAGAAGGAGAUGGUAAAAUUCCAAAGAAACUUGCAAUUAUAGGGCUAUGGUGUAUCCAGUGGCACCCGUCGGAUCGUCCUUCCAUGAAAAUAGUGGUUCAGAUGUUAGAAGGAGGAGGAGAAAGCUUGAGUAUGCCGCCUAAUCCCUUUGUGCCUACUGGUUCUACAACUAGGAAUGCAAGACACCUAGAGCUAGAAGCUAUUGCUGAAUUAGAGUAAAAUGUAUAUGCAGAUAUGUAGACGUAUAGAUAUAGUAAUAUUUAUAUUGAAUAAGAGGCCGUUUGAUAACCAUUUCGUUUUCAGCUUUUAAUUUUUAUUUUUCACUUUUUUGAAAACUAAAAACUAAAAUCUUGUUUGGUAAAUACUUUUAGUUAAAAAAAAAUGAAGACUGAGAACUAAAAUGUGAAAGCUCAAAGGAAGUAGAUUAAAAGUAGUUACCAAACAAACCGGAAUCUCAAUAAAUAAAAAAGAUUGAAUUGCACAAUGCAAUCCAAACCAAUCAAAACAUUUAAAAUAGCAAAAAAAAAUUAAAAUUCUAGUUGAUUAGAUUCUAAACAUAGUAAAAAUGAACAGAUCCGAUGAAAAAAACAAAAAAUUCUCAGAUAAAAAUAGGGAUAAAGUAAAAUAUUUAUAAAUAGCUCUUUGUCUCUUAUGCCAUCAAUUAUUUCUAUAGUAUAUACACGUUUUUGGAAAAAUUAGGUUCCCAUCCCUUAUUUUCAUAUUACAUUGAUUGAAAUCUUAUUAUUUUUCUAUUUUAGAUCAAGGUCCCUUGACUUAUUCUAUGUCAUCAUUUUAGUAUUUAAAAUAUUACACGUUAUCAUAAACGAAAUCUCAUCCCUUUCUGCAUUUAAGGCAAAAUAAACUAUAUGAGUAAGUUUAAAACAAGGAAAAUCCAUUUGAACUCCUCCAUUCUUCUUCUUCUCUUAUAAACAUCUGGAAUCUACAACACCCCAAACCCAAUUUUCUCCAUUUUUUCUCCUUUCCUGAAUUGAUCCAAUGCAUAUAUGUUGAAUAAACCUAUUGUGAUUAAAAUACAAAUUAGCAUCAAUGGUUUUAUUGGCUUGUGAGAUUUGUGUGGCAUAGGCAAGGCAAUGCAGGCAUCGUUUUCUCAAGGAAUCUGGUUGAUUCAAACAUGCAGAGACUGUAGAGUGAGUGGGCUAUGUGAAAACUGUACCAUUCUGAAGUCAUUUUCUUUUGUUCUUUAUAUUUUUUUUUCUUUUUCUUUUAUUAUUAUAUAUUAGUCUUGGUUAUUCAAUGCCUGGUUGGCUACACUUAUAUCCAUGGGUACAUUUUUAAUCUACAUGUUUCGUUCUAAUAUAUCUAUUGCUAUAAUAUGUUUUGGUUGGUUCAAAUUUGUUUUACAUAAAUAUAUGGGUACAAAGUUUUUGGAGAAUAUUAUGUAAAUGGUUUUUAAGGUUGCUGCAUUUUACGUACCCACAUAUGCAUGUCUAUAAAACAAUGUGGUAUGAUGUACAUUCUUUUCUUUGAGUUUUUAAAUGUACCCAUGAGUUUUUUUGUAAAUUCGGUAUGUACCCAUAUGCUAUUUAUGUUAUGGGUACAUACAUUAUUUUUGGUCUAAGUUCAGGGUACAUUGCUUUUGUAUGUAUGAAUUCAAGGGGUACAUUAUUUCCCUUAAUACUACUCAAUAAAAUUCACAAAAUAUGUGUAGUGUGCAUGAUUUUUUAUUGUAGAAAUUGUUUUUUUUUAAGUCUCAUAAUUCAUGAAAUUUGUACAUAUAUGAUCCCAUAAAUUUUUUAAUUUUAUUAAAUUUCUUUUAGACUUGAUCGAUUGAUUGAAUCUCAUCAUACUAGGAUUUUGAAUUACAUAAAUUCUUGGAUUUAAAUCCCUUAAAUGUUGGACUGCAAUCAAUAUUUUAAAUUAUAGUUUUUUAUUUAAGAUAUCAAAAAGAUGACAUGGAAAUAUAGUAAUACUAAAAUGCUGAGGUGUACAAAGUCAAAGGACUUUGAUCAAAAAAUAAAAAACAAUAAGAUUUCAAUCUAACAAUUAAAUUGACUAGGGACCGGAACCAAAAUGACCCUAGAUUUUUAUUGAGUUUAAUCUUAAUCAAAAAAAGACUUCUUGUAUCACAGAAAAUACAAGAACCAUUAUUUGAAUGAAAUAAAAGCUAUGGGAUGGAGAUAUAAAUGGAUCAUUUUAUUCACAAUCGGAUUAUAUUUAUUUGAUACACUAUUGUCAAUAUGAAUGUUGAGAAAAAGACUACAAAAGAAAAAACAAUUUAUAAAUAUAACUAACAAUUCCAAUUUCAAUCAAUUAGACAAUUAGAUAAUACAUCAGUAAACGCGGGGUGACUCAGUGGUUAGAAACGAAUUUUAGGCUCGUAUUCUAUACAAUACGUCUUGGGUUCGAUUCCUGACAAUGGUGAAUCACGCGACGGUAGAUAUAGGGGUGUUGUUGGAAGUUUUGAGACUCAAGUCCUUUAUAUAGAUUUAGUGCUUUAGUUUAGUAAUUAGAAUAUGGGUCAUUUGGAAAUGGAUUGAAGGUUUGGGCCUUAUGGUUGUGUGGAUUAGGCUUGUAUAAUAUAGCCUAAAUACAAUUAAUAUUAAUUAAUCAAGACAAGGGCCUUGGGCCUUACUUGGGGCCUUGGAAUUUAAAAUUAAUCUGAUUCAUUAAUUUUAAUUUUCGGAUUAAGUUUUUAAUUAAUUUAUUAUUAAUUAAAAACGUUUUGAUUAAAAGACACAGCUCUUAGAAAAGAGUUAUGAACCUUCAAAUACACUGAACUGGUAUUUGAAAGGGUGUGAAACAACCUAUAUAUCUGCAAUCCAUGGUAUCCAAAUAAAUCAUCUUUUCUUCUUCCUUUUCUUCCGUACAAACUUUCCAGAGAGAGUAAACACACAAAGCAAUUCGCUAGAAUUCUAUAAUUUAGUGCGGGUUAUAGGAUUAGGUAGUUGUAUCCUGGUCGAGCAGACGUUAUAGAACCACAAGCACAAGAGUGGGACGGAAUUACUGUUCGAAUGACAUAGCUUUUACGUUAGCCUCUACCUUCUGUAAUCAAGUUAGUACCGUUGACAUUCUUAUAUUAAUUUCUGUAUUUAUUGUAUACUUUUCAUUUUGUAUAGCAAGUACCUUUUGUUAAAUAAAAAUUGUGAAUUUCAAGUUCUGUUUAUUUCUGUUAUUCUGUUUAUUUCUGAAUUGUUCUCCAACACCCCUAUAUCUACCGUCGCGUGAUUCACCAUUGUCAGGAAUCGAACCCAAGACGUGUUGUAUAGAAUACGAGCCUAAAAUUUAUUUCUAACCACUGAGUCACCCCGCGUUUGAUUAUAUUUCACUUAGACUUAUCUUGCGGUAUAGCAUGUCAUCCCCGCCCAAGUUUUUCUGUUGGCAUUGAGUUUGGGAUACCAAAACUUGCCAAACAAAGUAGAUUGAUUAGUAAGCGAAGCUAAUUAUUCGACUAAACAUUGUUUAGAAUUUUAAUUAAAAGAAACAAUAUGAAUCUGUUUAUUUUUUUUUUUGACAAACUAUAACGUUAAGGAGUUAAAUUGUUAGUUAUUAAGAGUACAAUGAUAGGUGAGGAUCGAACCUCCACCAGAGUGCAUAGACAUUAUUGGUUCUACAACUGCGGUAAAUCACAUAAAACAAAACGUAAUACUUUGAGGAUGGAAGACACUUCGUGGAUAGCGGGCAAUCAACACUAUCAGUUGCUAUCCAAAACUUGGAAUUAUGUUUAUUGUCCGAAGGAUUUUUCUUCCAUUAAAUUGCUAAGGAAGAUGAGGAUGGGUGGAGUGUCUAAAUGUCAAGGUUGACAAGAACGUGUAUGGUGUUCAGCUUGCGAUUGAGAUUUGUUAGAGUGGCACAACAAACCACAUAAAAUUUUCUAAAUGAUAAGCUUGAGUAUAAUUUUUUAUCACGUAUUUAUCUUUAAAAUCAUUAUAAUUAGAUUUUCUCUUAAUUAAUAUAGACCGUUAGAUUCAUCUAAUGACCCAAGUUUUUUUCCUCUUUUCUUUCCACUCUUUUCCAUUCACCGUGUAGCAGUCGUUCUUCCCCAACUACGUUUCUUAUUUUUCUUCACAAAAAAUUUGUAGAAAAUAUUAAGAAAAGAAAAGUCAUCAAUAUCAGACUCGACCAGGUAAUCGUUCCAACCUUCCCAGCAACUCUCAGUCUUAACUAGGCACCAAAUUUUCUCCGCCACCUAACUCGUCAUUCAUUCAUGGGUGUUUCAAGCUUGGUGAAAAUUGAUAGAGUUCCAUGUGUGUACACGGAUGUGAACAUAUUGGCCACUCUCUAAGAAUGAGUCAUUGGAAAAGUUGAAGGAAAGAUGUAACCGAUGAAAUUAAUGGAUUGGAAUUACAAUGAAGUCUGUGUUGGUUUAUCACAAAGAACCCAGAUACAAAAUUUUAAAAGCAAACAAUUUCAACUUCUCAAAUAUUAUCUAACAAACUUUCAAUGAAAUGUUGCUCAUAAUUGAAAAAAGGUUGACGAAGGACGGAGUUGGGGUUAUUUUAGAUGAGGAAGAGUUAAAAGAAGGAAGCACCAUUUAAUUAAUAAAAGUGAUUGGAGAAAUGGUAAUUCAAUGGUGGGCGUUUUUAAGGUGUGGACCUUGUAUCACACCCUGAUCCCAACAUACAUUGAGGAUCGACACGUGACAUGGGGACAUAGGGGACAAAAAUCUUACAUAAGAUACAGAAUGAAAUACUAUAUAAUAUCCCAAAAUGAAUAUGAUAGUGGGUUCACCCCUAUAAAAUACAUACGAGUUUGUACAUUCACAAAAAAAUAAAAAAAAUAAAAAUAAAUAAAAAUAAAAAACACACACACAACUCUCGCUAGGCCAAGACUUGCCCAUGGUGCUCAAAGGAAAGUCCCAAAAGAAAUAGUACAAUGAAGGAUAAAGGGGUAACCUAAACACUCCAAGUCUCUGAUCUCUGCACUGCUACCCCCACCGGCUCCUCGUAAUCUACUCAGACCUGUCACAUGUACAAACAGUGCCUACAUUGUGGGAAUGGUGCACCAGGCAAACAAAAACCCGGAUAAGCUGCAAAACUCGUGUGAGUGACAAUAAUGCAACGUAUGUGAUAAUCAAGAAAAACAGACCAUCGAUCACAGUUUAUAAAUCUCAAAUAUAACUUCAUACUUAUGAAAUCAUAAUCAAGUCACUGAAAACUUCGAAUGAGUCACCCAGACAUCUAACGACUUUUCUAAAUCAAAUCUCAGAGAUUCCCAAAACUAUCGUUCACAAAUACACUAAAAACUAGGGCUAGAGUGACACAGUUCAGCCAAAGCCUACAUAAGUAACCAAAUAAGAAGUGGCCCCCCAUAGCGGAUUAACCAAGCAGAGCCACUCCUGAGAAAGUAACCAAGUAGGUAGUGACCCCCAUCACGGAUUAACCAAGCAGAGUCACUCCUACGAAACUGUUAGGUAGUGAUCACCCAUUACGGAUUAACCAAGCAUGAUCACCCCUAAGCACGUAUGGCCAUACCUAAGAAAUAAGGAUCGCCCAUCGCGGAUUAACCAAGCACGAUCCAAAAAUAUUAUGGGUCCCCUAUCGCCGAUUAACCAAGCAUGACCAUCCAUGUACCACUGCUACAUGGUGUAAAUUCGGUGUCACCUAACCUCGUGACACUAGGGUAACGGUCCUCUAGUAGCCCUCACGUUUUUCAAACAUUUCAAAUAUAUAAUUUAAAACACAAUUCAUAAACAUUUCGAAUAGGGAAGUCACAUAGUGUUUAAUAAUGUAGGUCAAUGGCAAACUUUAAAAACAAUUAUUUAGCAUAAAACAUAUUUUAGAAAUCCAUGCUGUAUCCACAAAGUAUACUAGCACGGGAGAUUUUCAGGGUAAUAACUCUAUCACAUAUAUUAAAGUCACUCACCUGGAGUCCGCACUAACGCACCCUGGCACGAAUAUCAAGACGUCGCGUACUAUCAUCUGCAACAUCCCACAUCGACCAACGAAGAGGGGGUGAUGUGCCUUCUAUGUACAUGCCCACCUCCAUAGCAUGAGGCAUUUUGGGAGCUCACUGGCUUCAUAUUCCAUCGGAACUCCAAAGUUAAGCAAGUUUGGGCGAGAGUAGUCCCAGGAUAGGUGACCCAUUGGAAAGUUAUUGUGUGAGUCCUAGAAACAAAACCGUGAAGGCGUGGCCCGAGGGGGCCCAAAACGGACAAUAUUGUGCUACGACGGAAUCGAGACUGAGAUGUGACAGAAUGGUAUCAGAGCCACUCUGCCGUGUGGUGCGAGUGUGCCGACGAGGACGUCGGGCCCCUAAGGGGGGUGGAUUGUAACAUCCCACAUCGACCAACGAAGAAGAGGUGAUGUGCCUUAUAUGUACAUGCCCACCUCCAUUUAGCACGAGGUCUUUUGGGAGCUUAUUGGCUUCGGGUUCCAUCGGAAAUCUGAAGUUAAGCGAGUUCAAGCAAGAGCAUUCCCAGGAUGGGUAACCUACUGGGAAGUUCUCGUGUGAGUUCCCAGAAACAAAACUGUGAGAGCGUGGCCAGGGCCCAAAGUGGACAAUAUCGUGUUAUGGCGGAGCCGAGAUUGGGAUGUGACAUUGUCACCUAAGACAAAGUACAGAUCCACAUUUAGAGUUCUUCAAGUAUUCACAUAAUAAAAAAUUUCCAUACGCCCCCUACAACUAAUGAACAGAAAUCGAGACACGUUGACAAAAAGUCAACCGUCGAUCAACGGUAGGGUCCACAACCCUACAUAACUCGAUCCGCAAUAUCCAACCACUGUAUUUGUGAUUCAUAAGUUCAUAAGGUCUUCAAAUCCUACCUACAAUAACAUACUAAACUUUGGUGAUGAUCUAAUGGUCGAAUCAUCAUUUGCUAUAAUGUUCAAAUGACGCAAAUUCAUCAAUCAGAUGUCAAAUAUGGAAUCAGACAUCGAAUUUAGCUUAGGAAUGUCAAGUGGUGUCUCGAGCACGCACCGCCGUGCGCAACAGCUGGCAACCUAGAUUCGUCGGAAAAAUCACCUAAUUCCAAAAUGAAUGUUGUGAGACGUGGAGUAAAUUGUAUACCUGUGAAGAAGCCCAAUUUGGCCGGGAAGUGGCCUGAAAUCACUUUAGACCGUCGGAAACCCUAAAAUAGGUGAAUCUCGAUUCGUCAUCCCCGGUAUUCCACCGUUCUCAAACUUGUUUAGGGUUUGCUCAUGGUCUCAAAAGAAUGCUAAUGAUGGUGGUGAUUGAAAGAGAACGUUUCAGAAAUAGUGAAUCACCAAUGAGGGUUUCACGAAACCGACAUGGGUGUUCCUCGUGGAACCAAGACCAAAUCUCAACGGUUUUGGCUAGAAAUGGAUGCUGGGAUGUCAUGGUGAAGUUUGGUAGUGAUGGGAGGUUGAAGAAAGACAAAAAAAAUCGACAAAAAAAUCGUCGUCGGAGUCGCAAGAAACGAGUUAGAAAAAUGAGUCGUCGGGUCUGAAACGUCGAAGGCUUUUGAGACAACUACUUACUCUCUCUUCUCUGAUUAGUCACUCCACUCACUCUCUCAUUUGAUUGGUCCAGCCUUCCCACAUGGUGGGAGUUCCCUCAUAUAGUAACCCAAAAUUUACUAUUUAAAUCUGGUAUUGAACGUCCGUAACUUUUUCGUUAUGGUUUCGAUUCGCAAACGGUUUUCACCUAUGCGCUCGUAUGAUCGAAUUAUACUCAAAAACAUUAAUUAUGACCUCGAAAAGGUCUACGAGUUUUAAAAGAUUAAUUACAAAAAUUCACACCUUGUAACUAUACGAUUCAAAUCCUAAAAUUAACGGAAUUAAAAUAAACUAAAAAUAAUGUAAACACGAAAUACAGACUUUAAUAAUGAAAUACGUAAUUAAUAGUGGAAUUCCGGGGAUGGGAUUUCACAACUUGCGUCCGGACCUUCAAUGCGGAUCAAAAUCCAAAGGUCGUGAUCUGACGAGCUCAUGCAUAGAACAGAGUUGUUGUGACCCAAUGCAAUUCAAAACUUUUAUGUUUUUUUAUUUACUGGGUACGUUUUUUAUUUACUGGGUACAUUUUUGCAAGACGUUAAAGAAAGCGCUUCUUGGGAGGCAACCCAUGUAUUCAAAAAAGGAAGAUCUAUGAAUCGCUCUACAAUUAGUUUUGCGUUUCUAAAAACCUUCCCUUUUCUGCAUUUCUAUUUUGCCAUGAUUGUCAUUUUUUAUUUUUGUUGUUUAUUUAAUUAUUUUUGGGUGUGGGUUUAUUUUUGAAACAUUGACAGAUAUGCAAGAUAUUCUUACAUUCAUUUUCAUGAAAAAAAGAAAAGGGAACAUUAAGCAGGAAAUUACAAGAGGGAGCCUUCACAAAGGCUGCUUAGGAGAAGUCUCAGUAGUCGGCGGAGCCCCAGAAGAAGGAGGCAGCGGAGGUUGAUCAUUUGGAGCUUCAGUACGCGGUGCAGCCCCAGAAGACGAAUGCAAAUGUUGUUGGAACAAACCCACAAACCGCUGAUGAUCAAGUAAAAUCUGACAAUCAGAUUCCUGCAUCUGGUCAAUCUUCCUCUUCAUGUUUGUAGCAUAAUUAUGUGCGAGCCUGUGCAACUGUUUAUUCUCAUGCUUAAGCCCUCUAAUCUCCUGCUUAAGACUCAUCACUUCAGCCGCCAAUGAUUCAACUUGACGGGUUCGGGCAAAUAGGCGUUGGGCCAUAUUAGACACGGAACGUGCGCACUGCACACUGAGAGCUAGAGAAUCCUUUACAUCCAACUCAUCAGACCGUUUGGCAAGUAGUCUAUUAUCUUUGGGAGUGACAGGGUUCCUGACCACCACCGCAGCUGUCAUAUCAUUCUUCAUCACCGAAUCCCCAACGAUAAGGGGACCAGUAGGGGAUAUGAAGGAUGGGCGCCAUAUGUUGUCUGGAGAAGGCGGGACUGCCUCUUCACCAAGGUUCAAGUCAAAACGACGAUCGGAUGGGCCAAACAUUUUCACAGGUGUUAAAGAAAGAAGAGGUCGGACAAGUCAAGAUCGUAGAAGUGCAAGAUGAGAGUUUUUACAGGCAGAAAUUCAAGUGUGCUUUGAACGUCCUACGUACUUCUAUAAAAAUCAGCACUCGAUGGGAUUUCAGAGAUCGAAGAGGCAAGCUCAGAAAUCGAAGAGGCCAACUAAAAAAAUUAAAGAGGCGCUAGCUUUCUCAAAAGCUGAGCUUGCUCAGAAACCACGGCCAAUCUUCUUUUCCAGAUUUGUCCGCACUUGUCACAUGCAACUCGACGGGAUUUCAGAGAUCGAAGAGGCAAUUCCAGAUAUCGGAUAGGCAUCUGCUUUUGCAGACGUGUCAACAUCUGUCACAUGCAGAGUAAGCUUUGCGAAAAUCACGGGCAGUUUGUGAAGCGCCGAUUCCAACCAUCUGCUUUUGCAGACGUGUCAACAUCUGUCACAUGCAUAGUAAGCUUUGCGGAAAUCACGGGCAGUUUGUCGAAGCACCGAUUCCAACCAUCUGCUUUUCCCGACGUGUCAACAUCUGUCACUUGCAGAGUCAGCUUUACGAAAAUUACGGGCAAUCUGUCGAAGAUCUCUUGUGAAGUUUACUAUUAAAUCAUCCAACGGUUGCUGACAAGAGUGAAAGAAUAGUACCGACUAUUAAUUCCUAUAAAUGUCAUCCUUCACCCUCAAUUGCAAGGCAGACAUACAUAACCCCCUUCUUCUCAGAAAAUGCCUUUCCAACACACCCUCUCGAGUCACUCAGUGUUCCUAAUUCCUUGGGGUACCUCUGCAAACAACUCAUCCAAAGCAAAAGUAUUUCAUAUCAUGAAGGUUGAAAGCAAGAGUAUCUCAUAUCAUGCUUUCUCCCUGUCCUUCUCCUUGUCUUUGUUUUAGGACAAGGAGAAAGAGAGCAAUCAGCCAGCACUUGGUAUCAAUCUUCCGAUCUGGAACCGACUGCCUGGAACCCCUUCCUGAUUGCUUACCUAGCCUUGCUCUCGAGAACUCAUCUUCAUCAUCUUAUGCUUCCUCUUCGUCUACCACAUCUGCCUGGGGAACAGAUAAGGGAAGUGAAAAUGAUACCUCGAAGCAUGUGGAAACAAUUUACCAAUUCAUCCUUAGCUAGGGACAAGGAGAAAAAAAGCAAGAGGUGGGCACUUGGAAAGAUUGAAGAAAGAAACAGACCAACACCUCUACCUCAUGCCUGCCCGCCGUGCAGAAGAAUCAAGCAGAGAAGAAUACAGACUGCACAAUCAAAUCAGGGAACUCUCAUAUUUCUCGCUCAGAAUUCCAAACCAGUUCAAGAUCAACGCUGUGGAAAGUCAACAAGAUCAUCUAUCUCCAAAACCAGAUUUGCGUUCUUAAACUCUACUCUGUCUGGUUUUUACUUUGCUAUACUUGUCAUGUUUAUUCGUUGUUUGUUUGUUUGCUUGUUGUUGUGUGAGUUUAUGUUUAAAACAUUGAGGACAAUGUUUGAUUUAAGUGUGGAGGGAUAACCAUUGUUUUGCAUGAAAUUCGUAGGAGUUUAUCACCCAUUACUUCUAGUGUUGUUCCUUGCUGUUUUAAGUGUUUUAAGCUGUUUUGGAGUGUUUCAGUGUGUUUUGACAUAAAAAUCCGAAAAUCUCAUAAAAAUUUGAAAAAUUGUUUUGAAAAACCAAAAAAGAGUUGUUUUUGUAUGUUUAUUUGUGUUUUAGGGUACCUUCCAACACAAUGAUGAGGAUUUGGUUUUUAAUUACAUGACUGUUAAAGAGAAUUAUAAACAUGGAUGAAAAUUUGAUUUACUCUUUGGUGUAUGCUUGGUUGUGGUUAUAAUUUAUGAAUUCACAUGCAAUCAUAAAGGAAAAAUCAAUUUUGUAACAUGCUUGAAAGAAGGAACUCAAAUGUACGCUACAACCUUGUGAGACUUGAGCCUAGACGUUUAUUUGGAGAGUUAAUAAUGUGCAUUUUUGUUUUCUAAAGUCGUUGUAUGAUCUCAUUAUUCUUUGCUUGGUUGCUACCUAGAAUGCGUUCAUCAUUAUAGAUCCACAUACUAGAACUCAUGCCCGUUCCAUUCAAAGCAUGACAUUAAUUUGCAUAACACAUAUCCAAGAUGAAGUUGUUUAGUGAACCAAAGCCAAAAUAGCCGAACCCACCUUUGUCAUUUGUUUUGUAGGUUUAAACCCCGUUGAGCCUUGUUUAGCCUAUUUUCUUUGUUAAACCACAUCAUCUCUACCUAACCUAGAAUAGGACUAUCCAUACCCUUGUUCUUGAAGUAUAGUGGAGCAUAACUUAGAAAGAAUUCAUUUUGAAACUUAUUGGGGGAAUUUAGAUUUCAAAUUUUUUGUGUGCCAAAGAAAACGGCAAGAGAAAAAAUUCGUGAAAAAAAAGAAAAAAGAAAAGAAAAAUUUGCAAAUUUUCCUGUGUUUAAAAGUAGAUGCCUAAAUUAACCCUUACAUUAAUUUUCCUUGAAUAAUUUCUCAUUCCAUCUAAUUUAGAUCCAUCUUGCUCACUAUUCUUUUUAAAUUUGUGGAUUUUGAAAUUUCAAAUGAGAAUGAAAUUGGAUGAGUUCAAUUUUCGUUUAAUUCUUACAAUUAAUAAGAAAUUCCGUCGAAAACAUUUUGAGUAUUGUUUAAUUUUUCAAUAUUACCGUAUUGUGUCAUUGAAAUAAUUAUCAGAGGAAUUAGGGAAUUCUCUUAAGGAACAACUCAAAAUGUAGUACAUGAUUAAAUAAUUCCUUUGAAUGGUCAACUAUGAUCAACAUAUCUUGUAUCAGAUCUUAGUCAAAUACCUGUUAAGAGUGUAAAUUUCUUGUGUGAAAAUGAGUGUAUCUAGUAAUUUUGGCAUUAGGAUGUUACUACAUUCUCAAAAUGCUGUUUUUUGAUUAAAUGAGCUGUGAGGUACUAAUCAAAUAUGCUCGAGGGUAAGAAUGGCUUAAAUUAUGUGAGUGGUGAUCUGGUUCAUGUUUCAUUAAAAAUCCCUGAGGCAAAUGUUGGAAGAUUUAGGUUAUGUUUUGUUUGUUUCGUUUGUUUUGUUUUGCUCGAGGACUAGCAAAAGCUAAGUGUGGGGAAUUUGAAUUUGAUAGGAGCAUUAUUAUGCGACUGAGUUAGCUUGUUCUCAUGCAUUUAUGUUGUUAUUUCUUAGUUAAUUAUGUAUUUUAAGCUAUUUUCGUGUGUUUGUAGGUCCAUAGGCCUUAUAAAGCAAUAAGGUGCAUUUUGGAGCAGUUUUGGGCUUGGAAUGGAUAGCACAUGCAUGGAGUAAGGUGAUGGACGAAAUUGAAGACUAAAGAGGCUUGGAAUGUGUUAAAAAGAAAGAAUAAUUAAUGACAAAGAGCUCAGCAACCAAACAGGGAACAUGAGUCAAGAUUACCUUAUUUUGAUUUAAUCUUUCCUAAUCUUCAAUGUCCCUAAGUUCCAACAACAUUCCUUGUCUAUUUCAUUCACUCAUUGCCUAGCACCACCCUUGUUCCCUCCAUCAUUCCAAAUUUCUUGCAUCAAUCAUCACUCCACCUUAACCCUUGACUCAUUUCUACACCAUUCCACCUCCCUUUCCUUUCUCUACCAUGUGCACAAUCAUUCAUGUUCCCUACUUGCAUUCAUUGUUGCAACACCACUCCAUUUUACCCCUCAUGCUUUGCAUCAUUACUUCACUUUCACCUUUGAAUCAUUUCAACACCACUUCAUUUUACCCAUGGUUUGCAUCAUUACUUCACUUUCACUUUCACCUUUGCAUCAUUACUUCACUUUCACCUUUGAAUCAUUUCAACACCACUCCAUGUCCCCCUCCAUUGCCUUGCCCUUCCUCUAUAAAAGGAAGUGUGUGUAACAUAAAUUUAGUUCAUAUAUUUUUUUAGAUCAUUCACUCCCAUUUCAAUACAACCUUCAUCCAAACACAUUCAUUCAUCUUCACAUCCAUUCCUCCAUACAAACAAACCUUCAAACACUCACCAACACCUUGUGCCAUAGCAAAGGAAGGAAAGGAAAAUGCUUGGACGUGCGUGCUGUCAACUUGGAUCGUUGGAGCGUUUAGGUGUUUUCUUUCUUUUGUUUCCAAUGUUAAAUUCAUUUUCUGAUUUUGUUGCAAUUAUGAGUGGCUAAAACCCUAUUUAGUUAGGGGGAAGUUUGAAGCCAUGAACAUGCUUGAGAUAUGAAUUGAUUUCUUCCAAUUGUGAUUUGAUAAGUUGUGAUUGCAAUUCAAUUAUCUAUUUUAUUCAUAACUGAUUCUUGUAUGUUUAUUAAGGAUGCAUACUUAAUUUUCAUGCAUGAAUUAGAUGCUAGAAUAUAAAUGAGUUUCACCUAAUCGUUACAAGUUUAUAUUCAUGAGUAGUGAAGGUUGUUUAUCACAAUCUGACACACCCCGUCCCGAAGGAGGGCGUGCUGGCCGUCACGUGAGAGUGACGUAACCAUUUACACAGUUCGGAAGCUUUAAAAAAAAAUUCCAAUUACUAAUAUAACACACCCGAGGGUGAGUCCUACUUUUGUGAAUUCUGUCAGAACACCGUUGGAUUCCUCGUGGCCACCAAAGCUCUGCUAACUUGAACCUGGGGCGCAAAACAAAAGCUUGAACUUGAACCUUUCAGGCGCAAAACAAAAGUUUUUUCGAAAACUUUUCAUUUAAAACAUUUCUAACCCCUCACUGUAAAACCUGUAUACUUUCCCAGAAAAUAGUGUAUAUAUAAACAUAUAUAUAAGCAAAAAUCUCGAAUCUCAAACCUUUAACACUUUUCAGAAAUAUAUAUAUAUAUAUAUAUAUAUAUAUAUAACCAUUUGAAAUCUCAAGACUUGAAUCCCAAAUCUUUAACAUUUUUCAAGAAAAGCAUGCCAUGCCAUAAAUCAAAAAUAUAAAUCAGGUGAAAUAAGGAAUCAAUCGGAGACCCUGCAGUUGGUCCUAUACGAUUAAUUCAAUAGCUCAUUAUCUCACUAAGCCGGAGUCACCACAGUAACCUAUACGGCCCUACUCUGCACAUCACUCAGAACUACGUAAGGUAGUCUAUACGAUGAAAGGUGUAAAAAUACGCUCUAGUGCUUCUCUCAUCAUAUCAUCAGCGCGCAUAACUAAGAUCACCCACUAGUCGGAAUCACGCCUAGUGAUCUAUACGACUAGCAUGUCGGAACCCUCACAUGGUCUGUACGACAUCCACCUACUUGGAUCCAAGGCGAGCGUGCGGUGUGGUGAAUAAAAUAAGCACUAACACCUAGGGUGCAGGUUAUGAGCUUAAAACAUCUUAUCAACAAUCAAUUAAAUGAAUAAAUGAACUCACCUGACUUACCUGUGCCUCCACCGCACCAUGCAACAUGUAUGCAUCAAAUAUCAAUUCGUAUAACUCAUACGCAAUUCACAUUUUUCAAUUAAUUCUAUGCAUGGCAUUUUUAAAACAUAUUUUCAUAUAAAUUCAUUUUAUGGGAAAAAUCAAUAGUAUAAAGGUAAUACAAAAACAAAACUGCCCACUCACCUGGAGUUCGCCCAACAACUCCCUAGCACCACACAUCAAGGCGUCAUGAAGAUUAGUGCCUAGAACAAUAAUCAAACCCAACCUCAGAAAUCAUGCCGAUAGAAUACAUAACUUAUAUAAGACGCGUCCCUACGUAGUUCGAUCCGGAUGAUCUGCAACUCGGAUUUCAAAUCCGUAACUUCCAGAGGUCCACAAUAUACCUCUAGGACAACAUCCUAAAAUUUCAUUACCAUCCAACGGUCGGAUCUCCGUCAAUUUCCAAAACUAAGUGCCGGUUAACAUUCUAUUUUAUGAACUUACAACUCCAAUUCCGGAAGAUCCGUAAAUCGGAUUCCCAAUCCGUAAGUUCCUAUAAUCCUCAAAUAUUACGUAUUACAACGUAUCAACGUUUGGUGACGAUCCAACGGUCGGAUCGUCAAUUCACAUUUUCACCUAACUACGAAUCGUAACCAACUUAGGUUCAAUUACUCAAUUUACGUCCAUCAAUUAUCAAAACUGAACCUAGAGCCUUAAUCACAUGCUAAUAAUGACAUUGGCGGGCCAUUGGCCAUGCGCCGCCGCGCGGGCCGCCGCGGGUGGCGGUUGGCCGCCCCCGGCUCGCCGGAAAAUUCAACUAUUUCCAAAAAUUACCAAAAUUUGCAGAUUUGAAGAUAUCAAUGAGUAGAACAACUUUCAUACCUGUGGCCAAGGCCAAUUUGGCCUGGAAGUGCUUCAAUUUCACCAAAACCGUGAAGAACCCUAGAAUUAGGUGUUUCCAAUUCGACCUUCAAACUUGUUCCAACGCCUCAAUUACCUCUUAGUAUUUGUUCUAGGUCCUAAAGGAAUGCUAAUGGUGUUAGUAAUUGAAAGAAAACAUUUCAAAAUUUCAAGAAUUUAAACAAAAGGGUCGCGGCACCCGUGUGGGUGUUCUUCGCGAAAUCACCAUGAAAUUUAAUGAUUCUUGGGGUGAAACGUGAAGAGGGAAGGCCUAGAUGUUGAUUAGGAGUGGUACCUUGACUCAAUUCGUCGGAAAUUUGGACGAAAAUGGUGAGAACCCGCCGAUUGGAAGUCGCGGGUCGCACGGGUAUACGGGUUGGGAAAACCCAUUUCUUCCUUCUCUCCUCCGCUUCUCGCCCUCUCUCCUUUCCUCCUUUCCUUCCUCUGGUUGGUCAGCUUCUCCCUCUCUCUUCUUCUGAUUCGCCUCUCCUCCUUCUUCUCCGAUUGGGCAGUUUUUGCCCAAUCUCUCUUCUUCUUUCUGUUUUCUGGUUCUUCUCACGCGCACACACACACACAACUUCCUUUUUCUCAUCCCAGCCAUCUAUUUCAUUCAUCAUUAAAUCUGGGUCGUCCAUUUUCAUAAAAGAAUUUCUAUUUUACUAAAAUUAUAAUUCCUUAAAAUCCCAAAUUUCAAACGUUAAUAACUUCUUCGAUAUAACUCCAAAUCACGAACCGUCUACGCCCACGCGUCCGUAACGACGAGUACUACGAGGAUAUGUCAAGAAAACAAAUCUUAGAUGGCACGACACAACGAUUAACCUCGAAUGAUGUGCGUGCCUCAAAGGGCAUUUUUGUAAAAUCCUUUAUGAAAACUUUAAAAAUUCUUAAAAUUAGGGACGGGCUGUCACACAAUCGCGUUAAUUGAAUUCUUGGCAAUUGUAUCAUGCAUUCAUAGUUAUAAUUGUCUCGUCAACACUUAUGAUUUUCAUUGAACGUAAUGAUCUCUGAUUGUAUCUCUAUUAUGCAUUAAUAUAGGGGACUUUUAGAGGAUGAUUUGGGUUGUCGCAUGCAUUCAUCCAAUUCAAUGAGUAAAGGAAAAUCUGAGGGUUAAUUUGUGCAUCACGGUUAAUCUGGGUGUUGAGCAUAAUAGUUUAUUGAAAAGCAAUUGGAAAUCGAUUCAUGUACAAGUGUGUCAUGUGUGAAGAACGGACCUCUAACUAAUCCAUCCAUCAUUUUAUUUCUCAAAUUCAUUUUAUAAUCUGCCUAGUUUUAUAACUUGCUUGUUUAUUUCAAAUUCAUCCAAACCAAAAUCCCCUUUUUACUUUCUUGUUUCAAAGUGUUAAAUUUCUGUUUUGUUUGUGUUUUUGAGUGUUUUGAUUCAAGCCAAAACACUAAAUUCAUCCAAAGUUGAUUUAAAGUCCAAAUCUGACUAGUUUGUGUUUUUAGGCAGUUUUGAGUGUUUUUAAGUUGUUUUGAAUCUUUAGAAUCUGUUUUGAGUCCCUUGAGUCUAUUCAAACAUUUUUAAUUUUGUUUUUAUGUUUUUGAGUCAGUUUAAAGGUUUUAGCAAGCCCUCCUAAUCCCCGGUUUAGAACGAUCCCUACUUGCAUUUAUACUACAAUUUGACAACAAGAGGGUUUAAUUUGAGUGCUUAACUUUCAUCGCAUCAUGUGAGUUCCCAGAAACAAAACUGUGAGGGCGUGGCCAGGGCCCAAAGCGGACAAUAUCGUGUUAUGGCGGAGCCGAGAUUGGGAUGUGACAUUGUCACCUAAGACAAAGUACAUGUCCACAUUUAGAGUUCUUCAAGUAUUCACAUAAUAAAAAAUUUCCAUACGCCCCCUACAACGAAUGAAGAGAAAUCGAGACACGUUGACAAAAAAUCAACCGUCGAUCAACGGUAGGGUCCACAACCCUACAUAACUCGAUCCGCAAGAUCCAACCACUGUAUUUGUGAUUCAUAAGUUCCUAAGGUCCUCAAAUCUUACAUACAAUAACAUACUAAACUUUGGUGACGAUCUAAUGGUCGAAUCAUCAUUUGCUAUAAUGUUCAAAUUACGCAAAUUCGUCAAUCAGAUGUCAAAUAUGGAAUCAGACAUCAAAUUUAGCUUAGAAAGGUCAAGUGGUGUCUCGAGCACGCGCCGCCGUGCGCAACAGCUGGCAACCUAGAUUCGUCGGAAAAAUCACCUAAUUCCAAAUGAAUGUCGUGAGACGUGGAGUAAAUUGUAUACCUGUGAAGAAGCCCAAUUUGGCCGGGAAGUGGCCUGAAAUCACUUUAGACCGUCGGAAACCCUAAAAUAGGUGAAUCUCGAUUCGUCAUCUCCGGUAUUCCACCGUCCUCAAACUUGUUUAGGGUUUGCUCAUGGUCUCAAAAGAAUGCUAAUGAUGGUGGUGAUUGAAAGAGAACGUUUCAGAAAUAGUGAAUCGCCAAUGAGGGUUUCACGAAACCGACAUGGGUGUUCCUCGUGGAACCAAGACCAAAUCUCAAUGGUUUUGGCUAGAAAUGGAUGCUGGGAUGUCGUGGUGAAGUUUGGUAGUGAUGGGAGGUUGAAGAAAGACAAAAAAAUCGACAAAACAACCGUCGUCGGAGUCGCAGGAAACGGGUUAGAAAAAUGAGUCGCCAGGUCUGAAACGUCGAAGGCUUUUGGGACAGCUACUUACUCUCUCUUCUCUGAUUAGUCACUCCACUCACUCUCUCAUUUGAUUGGUCCAGCCUUCCCACAUGGUGGGAGUUCCCUCAUAUAGUAACCCAAAAUUUACUAUUUAAAUCUGGUAUUGAACGUCCGUAACUUUUUCGUUAUGGUUUCGAUUCGCAAACGGUUUUCACCUACGCGCUCAUAUGAUCGAAUUAUACUCGAAAACAUUAAUUAUGACCUCGAAAAGGUCUACGAGUUUUAAAAGAUUAAUUACAAAAAUUCACACCUUGUAACUAUACGAUUCAAAUUCUAAAAUUAACGGAAUUAAAAUAAACUAAAAAUAAUGUAAACACGAAAUACAGACUUUAAUAAUGAAAUACGUAAUUAAUAGUGGAAUUCCGGGGACGGGAUUUCACACCUUGCAUCCGGACCUUCAAUGCGGAUCAAAAUCCAAAGGUCGCGAUCUGACGAGCUCAUGCAUAGAACAGAGUUGUUGUGACCCAAUGCAAUUCAAAACUUUUAUGUUUUUUUAUUUACUGGGUACGUUUUUGUAGGAGGAAAAGGGGAAGUCGAGAGAUUCUUUGCGCAUUAAAGAGGGAAAGAGAGAAAGGGGGAGCUAAGAGGUUCUUCGCGCGUUAAAUUUUUGCUUCUGAUUUUGCAACCUAGAAAUAAAGUAUUUUCUUUAUGGUUUAUGGUUCAAGAAUAUAAUGGAUACAGCCUAAAAAUGUUUCUUUUUUUAUUUUUUACUUUUUUUUUCUUAUGUUGGCUUUUGGUUUAUUUUUAUAAUGCACUAUAUAUUAACUAAAUUUAUAAACAUUUUGUAUCUUUGUUGCAGUCAAAUUAAUCAUAUGGGUCGGCAUGACGAAGUUCGACUGAGACAUACAGAUGUUUUGCAAUCUUAAGUCUAACCUGACACACCCCGACCUCAAUAUCUAGUGGACACCAAAAUUGAGGUGUGAUGGCCAUCAUCCGGAUGGGUGAUGAAACCAUAAUAUGCAUGAAACAUAACUAAAUUAUCAACCAAUAAAAUCUAUUGAAAAAUUUGGCAGAACAUCCCUUAAAAUAGGGAUAUGCCCAAAUUAAAAACACUUGCACAUGAUCAAAAUUAUUCAACACUUCCCCGAAGGGCCACACUUAAUGGGACUUCGACCAUCUAUUACAUGCAUGAGAAUAUGUUCAGAGCAUAAUUACCCAAACACGUCUUAUUAAAAUAUUGAGUAAAUACCAUACAAGAUAGAAUACGUCAGAGCUGUUGCAAAAUACCUCAAUGUCCGAUGUAAUCACUGAUAGAAUUACUGAAUCAUGUAUAGAUGGAAAGCUGAUAAAUACAUGUAAUUUGAGUGGAUACUUACCAGCAGCAUGGAUACAAUAUCAUCCACCGGUCGUAACUAAUGACAAGCUGAGAGUAUAACUGUAGUACCUCUUAUUAGUGCAAUGCAUGAUAUGAAUUCCAUCUCACAUAUAUAUGCAAGCCAUAAUCAAACCAAUAAACAUCCAACAAAAGCCACAAUCCUUUUAACAUUCGACCACAAGAUCAAUUUUCAUAUUUCCCAAACCUAGGUUCCAAAGCAUUGUUUCGAAUUAUUAAUACAAGAAACCACCACCACCUCAAUCAACUCCUAUUCCCAAGUGUAAGCAAUUACUAAAUGCAUCACUUUCGACUCUAGUCUUAAUUAGAUUACUUGGGAUACUCAUUCACACCAUCAGAUCCAAGUACUAUUUUGAUAAACUUUAAAUAGCAUGGUUAAAAUAAAUGAAACACUUUUAGAAAAUAAGUGAAGAUGUUGUUUACAAAUAUAGAUGCAUCUGUAUAUAAAAGCUUUGGCGGUUGAUCCGUAUACACUUCCAAAGAUAUAAGCAAGUUCAUUGGAAUAUACAUGCAUAGUUAAUGUAUUACAGUAUAAUUAAUAAGAAAACAAUUGCAUCCCUUUAAGAAUAUAUAUAUAUAUAUAUAGACACACACACAUACAUACACACAGGCCCUUUAUGCAAAGGAAUUUCCAUUUUUUUUCAAAAAAUGGGGAUUAGUUGUGGGGCCCACGUUGCAUUGAACUUUAACGAUCCGAACAGUCUAUUUUGUAAGUCUCGAUUCAUAUAUCAUCCUUGUAAAAAUUCAAUUCAAUCCGAACCCAUUUGCCUAUUUAAUUAUCAAGAUAAAAUUUUAUUGUUUCUUAUAUAACAAAGUAUUCGUUAAUUUCUUUGAACUCAAUUAGAUAUCUUAAACAUUUCCGAUUUGGUUAAUAUUUUGUAAGGAUGAUCUAUGUGGUGCAACUUGAAAAAUAGACGAUUACGAUCGUUAAAGUUCGAUGUGGUGUAAACCCUACAAUUAAUCUUCAUUUUUAUAAAAGAAUGGGAACCCCUUCCCUUAAAGGUUUCCUAUGUAUAUAUUUGUUCUCCAGACAUAUGCAGAAGGUAAUGUAAAACUAAUGAGAACUUAAAUGGAUAUUCCAUACAUAGGACAAUUCCAUAUAUGCUUUUUCAACAUUUAUAUCGAAAAGCCAAAUUGUUUUGAGGAAAUUAAUUGUAGCAAUGAUCCCUUAACUUUUAUCUUAUUGGAACAAUGGUCUCUCAACUAAAAAUUCAUGACCAUUGGUUCCUUAACACCACACAACGUGUAGUUAUGGUCAUUUUCAUUAACUCCGUCAGAACUUUUGUUAAAACAAGUAAUGUUAGAAGAAUCAUUGCUACAAUUAGGUUAAAGUUGGGGACCAUUGCUCUAAUUAAAUUAAAAUUGAGGGAUCAUUUCUCCAAAUUGCUUAAAGUUCAAGGACCAUUUCUACAAUUUUCUCAUCUAGUUUCCCAUAUUUACCCCAUGAUUCAGCUUCACAUGCAUUGCACAUGACUCAUUUUGACAAAAAAUUUAACAAAAUUGACGAAAAUGACCAUAAAUGCACGUUUUGAAGAGUUAAGAGACCAAUGGUCGUGGAUUUUAGUUGAGGGAUCAUUGCUCCAAUUUGGUUAAAGUUGAGGGAUCAUUGCUACAGUUUUCUCAAAUGUUUCGUAUGCGAAAAUAGGCAUUUGUAAAGUUUGGCUUGUUUAUGGCAUUAUUACUUUAGUCUAAAGUAAGGCUGGGAAUGGCACUGUAGAAAUGAAUAGUGUUCCAAUCCGAAUUUCAGUUUAAUUACAACAAUGCCAUUGCUCUUUGUGUUGCCUUUAGGUGAGCAGCCCGGCUUGCAGUCAGGCCCAAAUGUAUUGGUUUUAGCUGAGAAGCCCGGCCCUUGGUCAGGCCCAAAAUUUUAAAUUACAGUUUUGCCCAUACAAAAUAACAAUCCGAUUGUAUCGGGAAGGACAAUUUUGUCCUUUCAGUUUUGGGUGAGAUAAGGGGUAACAGGGUAAGUUUCAUUUGCUGUCGUUUAAUGAGGGUUUCGGGGAUGAGGGCUCUGUGUGUGUGUGGAUGAGAGAGAGAGAGAGAGAGAGAGAGAGGGAGAUGGCGAUGGAAGGAGAGCGAGGGGGAAGGGAAGGGUUCUCGGCACUGUUGCUGCAUGUGGAUUUCACAUGUGGGAGAGUGGGUAUGGUCAGAGAAAACCAUAUAGGUCAUUGGGAUUUCAGGGAAACGGGGUAGGGGUCAUGAAUGAACUCUGCUGAGAGUGUGGGUACCGGAUCUUGCGCUGCAUGCCUCAAAUCAAAGAUAAGUUCGUUUUUUUAUUGUAUUUUUUGUGGUAGCUUAGCUUUUGGAAUUGUUUAGUAUGUUAGGUCCGAUUUUGGGGGAUUUAUCUUUUUAGAGAGAGAGAUGGACAGGGAGAUAGAGAGAGAGAGAGAGAGAGAGAGGAGGAGGAAGCAUGACUGUGUGCAAUUUUUGGUGUUAAUUAAUGGGUUGGUGCGUAGGGUGAGUGACAGAGUGACAGAGUGAAGGAGGGACGUGUGGGAGGGUAUGAGUUUUCAGUUCUUUCUUUUGAUUCAACAGGUUAUACAUUGUUUGAAAAACCUUUUUUUAUUAUUUUUUUCUCGUUUGCUUUGUUAAAACCAUCAUUUGAAUUUUUGGGUUUCACUGUGUUCAUUUCUCUGCUUCUUCAUAAUUUGCUGGUGUUUGCUUUUCAUCCCUCUAUUGGUAGAUCUUUUUCUCAUUUCUUGGUUCCUUAUGUAUUCUUUGGUACAAAUCUAUUUACUUUUUGGCUGUGUGAUAAUCUUAGCAGGUGAACUAUAUGAACGUUUUUUUUGAAACGAGUUAAGAAGAUCCAGCUGAAAAGAGCAUGCAAGAUAGAGAACUGGUAUGCUGCUCGCCAGGGAAAGGCUGCUGGAGAGGCUGAGACGGAUGCCUCCUUCAAAAACCAGGUCAGUUUCCUGCUACUCGGCGUCUUAAUGUAUCCAAAUUGUUUAUCUUUUGAUGAAAUUAGCUGGCUUUAUUUUCUAUUUUAUUUAUCUGCAUAUUAUUUUGGUUUGUUGAAAUUUUGACUAUAGUCAUUGUGUCACAUGGGCGCCCAGCCCAACCCAAAUUAGUUGAGGAUAUUUAAAUCUUCACCAUGGUAUUAUAGUACUCACUCACAGUUGUGAAUACUAAGGUGCAGGCAUGGCAUGAAGAAGUGGACCGUGCACGCCAAGGUCAGAGGGAUGCAGAGGGCAAACUUUUUUCUUUGGAGGUAAGUAUCCUUUGUUUAUUGCCCAACAGUGUUGUUAUUAUCAAUUUGUAGCUUUGCGUUCUGAAUUUUUUGCUUUGUCAAACAACCUUUUUGAAAUGCUCGAUUUCAAGCCGAAGUCCAAAAAAUGAGAGUUGAGAUGGCUUCCAUGAAGAGGGAUGUAGAGCAUUACUCGCGCCAGGUGAAAUCUGCUUCCUCUCUUUUCGUAUAUCUUCAUAUGAAGAGUUUUACUAAGUUAUAUUGAGAACUAUGUUAUUUAUAGGUUAUAUUUUCCAUUUUGCAAGAACACAUGGAGCUAAGGAAGAGCUAUCGUGAACUCACUGAUCUACUGGUAAUGUCACUCAAACUGCUUUAUUUGUGCAUGCUGCUACUAUGCGCUUGAAUGCAUUUUAUUACUGGCGGGAUGCGAAGAAUGCUAGAUAUAUGUGCUGGAUCGCUUGAUUAGUGUUAGGGUUUUAACAACUAAUUGUUAGCAGCUAGAAGCUCUGGUUAGAUGAAUGCUAAUUUGAUUUUCCUUACAGUACUUGAGUGCCAGUUUCAUAUUGUUUGUUCCCUGCUGGAUACAUGCUGUACAGUUUCAUUUCUGUUUCUUCAUAACUUUCUUGGCCCUGCGAUAUAUGCAUAUUGAGUACAAUGAAUAUCCAUUGUUCUCUAACUGUUGGGCUUUACUAUCUUUGUAGCAGCCUGCCUAACAUUUUUUAGGCUCUACACUCUACCAUCCAAUUUAUGAAAAAUUCAAAGAUUGGACGGUAUUGAUUGCAUAAAUGAAAAAAAUACUAUGAUAUUAGAAAGGUGAAUGUAAUUGUGUUAGAAGAAGCGUCUAGCAUGAUGGGUAAUAUUUUAAGUUUGUAUUUCUAAAAUUUUUUCGUUCUGGAGUAUGAUUUACCUCAAUUGUUUUGUACUUUAAUCUUUACUAAUUUUCAUUGUGGAGUAUGAUUUGCCUCAACUAACAACUUUUCAUUGUUUAACUUUUUCCUCCCUUAGAUAGUUGCAUAUGUUUGAUUUGUUAAUCUGCUUCUUACACAUGUUGUUUCCUAAUGGUGUAGGUGGAUUGCCGGAUGCAUGUGCAGAUUACUUGAAUAGACGAAGCUAAGAAUGACUUAGUAUUAAGUGAGAAAGAAGCUUGGGUCAGUUGGAUUUUGACAUUUGAUUUAUUCAUGUUUUUUUGUUGCUUGCAAUGUUCUCUCAUUGUUUGUUCUGAGAUUCUGUGAUCUUAUUUUUCAUAGGAACUGACAUUGGUUUGCCAUAUAAUGUUUCAGGAACUAAUACAACAACUAAUCACCUUGCUUAGGUCUCAAGACACAUACUUAACAGGUUAACAAACGCUAACCUAUAAACUUAUCUACUAAGCUGGACCAUUAACCUCUGUUUAUAUCCCUGCCACUCAUCUUUUGGCACUUAUCAAUAGCAAAAUCUAGAGUUGUUGAAACCCCAAUUUUAAUGAAUAUUAUUUUUAGUUGAUAAUUAAAAUUAAUUGAUGAUUAAUCUAUUCCAUUGUGCAUUAUUUUAUCGCCAAAUACUUUGAAUAUUCAUUAGCAAAAGAUAUAGGGUUCACUAUUUAAUGAAUAGAAUUUUGAUGGUGGAUUGCAUUUCCUGAGUUAUAAAUGUGGUGAAUCCAUUAUUUACUAGCUGAAUAAUCAUAAUGUUUUGGCCACUUACCUUGAAUUUUGUUCAAAUUGAAGAAGUCACAUGUUUCUUUCUGUUGUUGAGGUAAUCUCUCUGUUGAAAGCUUCUAUUUCUUUUUUCUUUUUCUUUUUUUCAUUUGGGUAGAUUUUUUUUUUAUGGAUUUAUGUAUUUUUUUUCUUCAGAGAAUUCGAAAUGAAAUAAGAAUAGCGGAUUGAGCAUAAACAAAUUGAUGAAAUUUUUAUUUGAGUGUUUGUGUUGGUCCUUUUUUGAUUUGUUGAGGUUUGGAAUUAUUUGAGUUUUUUUGCUGUUAGUACUGUGAAGGAUGCUUGGCAAUCGCGAAAUGGGGGCUACCUCUUUGGAAAGAGAAGUCUCGCUAUCCAACCUCUCAUGAAUUACAAACAGGGUGCUUUCUUGCUGAAAAACCACUGAAUCAGUAGAACUUUCCUCGGUUCUUCAAUUCGAUUCGAAUAAUUUUUUUACCCAGAAAAGCCAGCGUUUCCUGGUGAGUUUUACAGCUUUCUCAAUGUUUUUUUUAUUUUGGAUUUGCAAAUUUGUUUUCUGUUCAAAUUUCCUUUUGUGAUUUUGGAGGUUUUGUUUAUCGAUUCUCUCACUCAUCUCUCAGCUCUCUCCCACUUUUGAGGUACAUGUCGUUGGAUUCCGUUUGCUGCUGUUGAUCUGCAGGUAAAGCUUCAAUUACCAUACAAAGUUUACAUUUUUCAUGAUUUCUUGAAUUUGGGUUUUAAACAAAGGAAAUAUUGCUAGAUUCUUAUCUUAUGUGCAAAUUACUGGCUAUUUGGAUUGGUGCUUGAGAUUUAGAGAAUGUCUCGCAGCUUUAAUUUCUUUUUCCUUCAUUAUUACUGUUUUCAAAAUUUUUAUUGCUGGGUAUUGAUAAUUUGUAGUAUGUGAGGGCUUCAAUAUGUUGGAAUUUUGAAUGGUUAUUGCUUCAUCGGAAUUUGGGUGGUCCAAAUUUUGAAUUAGAAGAAACCCAUUUGAUUAAUAUUUUUGGUGGAUUGGUUCUCUGUGUUUUCUUUGCUAUUUCUCCCCCAGUUGGAAAUUGGAAGCCCCAACUUUGAGCUCAGAGCUUGAAUUUCUCAAUCGUUCGUUUCUCUACACUCUCAUCAGUCACUCUUGAUCCUCUAUCUAAAGAACUGGGUAAUUUUCCAGCUCUAUCAAGUAAUACUCAAUUUAAUUGCUUAAUUGAGGUUUUUUGUUUCUCUUUUUCGCUCUUUCAUCAGUUCAUUGGCUUUGAUGUUGAGCUUAAGUAAAUGGGAGAUCAUUAAUUGGCAUUGUUCAAAAUAUAAUUAUGUGUUUUUGGAUUUGUGAAACGAUUUGCCUAAUGAUGAUAGUGGUUAAAAUAAAUUUUUCGUUAUGAAAGAGAACAUUGUUCUUCAUUUGCCUACGGUUUUAACUACAAAGUUAAACUACUAUGCUUUUGUUCAAUUGAUUGCAACUCAUGCCGCAGUUUGCUUCACAAACCUCUAUGGUUAGCUUCCAUACAGUAUGUUGCAAGUUUGAGGAUAUCUUUACAUCUUAAUUUUUGCUCUCUCUGGUUGCUUCAAGUUUGUAAUUUUACGUGUUACAUUGCUACUUGAUUUGAUUAUAAAAAUGCAAAAGAAAAUCCAUUUUGCUUUUAUUCAACUUAAAUGUAUCCUUUUGUUUGUUCAUAAUUGUGUUGAAUUUAUUCAACUUAAAUGUGUUUUAUUCAUCUGUUUACGCUUAAAACAACUGGUUCCCCUAGCAAUGCGCGGACCUAAUUUCUAGUACAUAUACUAAAAGCCAGCAGAAAAUUACUGUUCAUCAUGGGAGAUAGAGCACUGUUCAUUAACAGUGAAAGGGAAAAAAUGCCCUCGGUUUCUUCUUUACUUCACGUACUGUUUACGAAUUGCUACAGUAUAAAGUCCGUUUUGUCAUUCCUGUCCACGCAUCUUUCAUCGUCCGUUUCUCUUGCUUCGACCGCAUCUUUUUCGCUUUACCUUUCCUCUUCGUUUUUCGCCUUCGCUAGGCUGCAAUUUUCGGAGGUGGAUUGUUUGCCCUUCUAUUUCCAUGCUCUCCCCAUGCCCUCCAUUGAUGUGUGGUCACGGUUAAACUAUGUCAACAUUUUAUAUUAAUUUUUUUAUAGAAAUAAUAAAAUAAAAAGUAAUAGGUAUCCAGGAAAUUUUCGUCAAAAUAUCCAGGAAAUAGGUAUCCAGGAAAUUUGCUUUACCGAUAUUUUAAUAGGUAUCCAGGAAAUUUGCUUUACCGAUAUUUCGCCGAUAUUAUCGGUUUUUUGCUUUACCGAUAUUUUAAUAGGUAUCCAGGAAAUUUUCGUCAAAAUAUCGCGAUAUUAUCGAUAUUAUCGAUAAUAUCGCGAUAUUUUAGAUAAUAUCGAGACAUUUUGGUUUCUCGACAGUCAGUCACAAUCUCGCCGGAGAAUCAGAAUAACUCCGAGCAAGAACAAAACCUGCAACCAAACGGAACAAAAUCAUCACUAUCUUUCAACAAAAAUCACCACUUUAUACCAAAAUCAGUGACAAAAUUACACUAAUCCGAGAAGCAAGGGCUUGAAUUCGAGCAAGAUCUGGAAGAAAACAGUAGAAGCUGAGAAAUCGAGUACCUCACCGGCAGUUACAGUGCUAAAGAUCAUCAUCUUUGGAAGGCCGCGGAUCAGACGGAGCUGAGAGAUCAAUGAGUAAGCAUUUCAUAGAUCGUAUUCGAUGAGCAGCUGAAAGAGAGGAGAGAGAAAGCAGAGAGAGACGCGGACGAGGAGGAUCUCGCUGAUGGGGACGACGAAGGAGAGGUAGAGGUCGCGGCCCGCGGGACAUGGUGACGGGCUCGACGAGGAGGAAGGCGAAGGAGGAGCAGAGGAGAUGGGUGCGUGCGUGCUGCGGUGCAGAGAAGAGAGAUGAGGGAGAUAUGAGAGAGAGAGAGCCGAGAGGGAGACAGAAGAAAAAGAAAAGAAAACAGAAAGAAGAAGAAAAGAAGAAGGGAGUCGCGGGGGAACAAAGAGAGAAAAGAGAAAAGUGGAGGGGCUGCCACGUGGCCACUUCAGAAAGAAAGGGAUCCAAUGUUUUGGAUCCUGAUUGGGUAGUCAAAGAGGACCAAUUUGAUAUAUUAAAAUGUUUAGGGGAUAAUUACACAAAUAUAUCUUUAUAAAUGGGGGUGGGUGUUACAUAUUGCCCUAAAAAACUCCAAGUAAUUACAACAUCGUAUUAGAAUUGUAAUUGAUCCUUGUUAGAUUUGGUUUAGAAAUUCUAUGUAAUUUAGUGAUUGUUUCAUAUUAGAUUUAGAUUUGAAUUUUUUACUCCAUUCAGAUUUUAAAUGAUUAUAAUAGAUUUAAAAAUUUACGAACUUUGAUGAAGUUUAAUAAUUUUUAAAACUUUUAUGUAAAAUUUUAAGUGAAUUCCCUCAAAUUUUCAGGUAGCGAUUUGAGAAUGUUUAAAAUAUUAUGUGAAAUAUUUCUAAUUUUUUCGAGUUUCCCAGCUUUUUAAAAAUCUCUUUGAAUCAAUUUCUAAAUUAAUACAUUUGGAAUGUAUGAAUUUCUUAAAAAUCAUGAUCGAAUACCCCUUAAACUUUAAAGAAUCACUUAAAAUCCUAAUUAAAUGCCCUUAGAUUUUUAAGGAGAAUUAAAAUGUUUAUAAGCCCCAAUUGGAUGUACCGCUUAAUUUAACUAAUUGACACAACACAACAUAACCAGUUAAGAUUACAAAUUAACACAAAAGACGACUUGAUGCGAGGUCAUAUCUACAAAACUUGCCGCAAUAAGCCCCAAUUGGUGUGUUUAAACUUCUUUCAUUAAUUACUACAUAUUUUCUACACUCAUAAUGUUUGUCAGCUCGCUAUAUAAUCAACUUGAUAAUGUUAAAUCCAUCAUGCAAUGCAUUUCCUUCCAAUUUUUUGUGAUAAACUAAUAGAUAAUUGACUAAAUAAACAUCCUGCAAAGUUUCAAUAAAAAUUUUCAAGUUUUUUUUACAAUUUCCGUGAUUUUCAUGUAAUUUUUAUCGGUAUCGAUAUUAUGCCGAUAUUUUUAUCAAUAUUUCCGUGUUUUCGAGUACAUAUUUCCGAUAUUACCGAUUCAUCCGCGAUUUUCUCCCUUUUCGCCAGCCCCUCUUUUGCUCUCAAAUCCUUGCUCUUUCUUUUUCAAACUAGUCUCAGAAGAGAUCCUGGGUUUAUCUAAUCCUUUGUUGUUCGGCGUUUUGUUCUCAUCUUGCGAUCGUCGGGGCAGCAGCUUUAAGGUAAGUUUGUUUUUAAUGAUUUAUCCUCAAUUUACGAUGUCUGGGCUAACAAAUUUAAGAUCUUUAUUUUUCUUUUUGCUGUGGAUCUGCAGGUUUUGACAAGUUUUUUGUGAAAUUGGUGCUGUCAGUGGGUGUUAAUAUCAGGUACCCAUGUUCAGUUUUUCGUUUUGAUUUGAAGGAAUUUCUUGCGCAGAAGAGCUAGGUUUCUUGGUGAGUUCUUCGGGUUGUGCAUAUGGGUAAUUUUCUUUUAGGUAUAACCCUCUGCUUCUGCUGCUCUCUCUCUCUCUCAUCCCUGCCUGCUCCUCUCCAAUUGUUUGCUGUUCUUAAAUAUUGUGUUCAUUGCCUGAUACAAGGAGCUGCAGCAAUCUGUUUUAUCCUACACGGGACAACGAGGCAAUGGCGUGACAACAAGUGAGCUUGGAUAUCCAAAGAAAAAGAACAGUUGGUUCAUCUGCUGGAGUCUGAAGCUCAGAGAAGUGGAGGAAAAUUGCAGGUGUGCGAGAAAUUUUAUUUUGCUGAUAGGACUCCUUAUUUACCGAUGCAUUUUGAAUUAAUUGAAAAGUUGGAUUUGAGUUAACAGCUAUAAAAAUGUAGACAUGAUUGCUGAGAUUAUGCUAUGAAAGUGGAAUAAAAAAAUGGUAGUUUAUAAUAUUGCGUACCAAUUUUUUUCUCUCUUUUUUACCAAAUGAUAAGGGUGGUGGCUCAGGCCGCCCCCCUACGCGUCCCCACUCUUCGACAAGUUGAAAUCAUGGUGAUAGUUUAUGGGUUGCGGUCUUGGGAUUCUGCAAAUAGAAUAAAAAACAGACACUUAACUAUCUUGUUAUUAAGCAUUUCUGCAUCAUUCAGUUGCUCUUGAUUUUCGUCUUUUAAGCGCUCUUAUUUCUGCGAUCUGACUUGAGGAGGGGUUUUAGACCUAUGGUUGUGGGUGUUUUGUCUGACCCCAUUAAAUUGGUUUCCGAGAUUUGUAGACUUGCGAUCGGCGGUCAAACAUUUCGUGAUUCUUGCUUUUUUUCCGACUGGGAUUGACGAAUUUUGGCCGAAUCUGUUUCCUGUUUUCUUCUCUGUUUGAGCGGCCGCUGCCUUUCGGUCGUUGAGCGCCGGCAGUCUUUAGAUCUUUGGCAAAUCAAUUUAAUACAACCGAGGUAUGUUUUAUAACUGCUGUCUUUCAAUUUUUGUUCUGUAUUUUUGUUAAUUUGGAUGAAGCUCUAAUAAUUUUGUUUUGGAUCAGUUGUGGUCCUCUGUUAGGAUUUUCCUGGCUAAGAGGGUAUUUGCAUUUUUGUUGCUUGGUUGGUCGAUCCAGUGUAUUAAAAGCGUGAGGCGUGGGCGAGGCGUCCGAGGGAAGCUCGGCCUAGGCGUGAGGCGUGAGGCGAAGCCUCAUGGGACCUAAAUUUUUUAAUAUAUAUACAUUGAGCGUACACAUAUAUUAUAUUAAAAAUAAGAAGAUUAUUAAUCAAUAAUCACCUUGAGCACACACAUAUAUUAUAAAUAUAUACACACACACAUAUAUAUACAUAUAUUAUAUUAUAUAUGCAUAAAAUAGAGGAUGAAAAACACAAUGAGCACACAUAUAACAAUGCACGCAAACAACACACACAUCCAUUAUAUAAAAAUAAAAAUCAGAAAAAAGGCAUAGAGACAAAAGUGCAAGGAAGAUGUAUGAGACAGUUAAAAUCCUACCCAAAAUUUGGGUUUGGGAGUAAAGAAAAAAAAAAAAAAAAAAAAACUCACUGAGGCGCGCCUAGGCGGCUCCGGCGACGCCUAGGCGGCCUUUCGCCCACUCCAGCAAAACUGAGGCGUUAGCCAUGGAGCCAAGCCUCAAGGGCGCCCUAGGCGCGCCUCGAGGCGAGUUUUUUAAAACAUUGGGUCGAUCACAAAUUUACGAACAGCUGUGGUGGUCCUGUUAGAGCCAAGCCUCAAGGGCGCCCUAGGCGCGCCUCGAGGCGAGUUUUUUAAAACAUUGGGUCGAUCACAGAUUUACGAACAGCUGUGGUGGUCCUGUUAUUUUUUUGGUAUGUUUUUUCUCCUUUUUGGUUUUUUCCCGGUUUGAGCACCCAUUCAUGAAGAAUUAAAAUGUGUUUAUAGUUUUUCAGGAGAGAUUAGAAAAGUGAUUUCAAUUUGGGAAAAUUUAAUGUUGGUUAAAAUUUGUUUAUAAUUUUUGGGAAGGAAUGAGAGGACCCAUUGAAGUAUGUGUUGUGAUUAUUUUUUAUUCAUAUUUUUAACAAAUUGGGCAUGAAUUGGUAGGUUAACUGUGUGUGUUUAUUAUUUGAAUCGGCCAUGUUUGUCUUUCUAUGGUUCUAAAAAAUUUGUAAAGGCUGUUAACUUGGAAGAAAAUGGGAUCGAGGGUGAGGGGAAAACAGCAGAGAAAGCAUGGAAGAGAGAUUUGGGAUUAGGGGUAGGAAAACAGAUGAAAAGAAUAUGAUAGAGGAAUGGGUUCAGUUCAUUUUCACUAUUUUUUUUAACUGAUUUGGAUUUUGUUUGGGUUUGAGGCCAUCAUUGGCGUUAAGACGUUUAUUAUCAGAUCGUGUGUGUUUUUUGCUAACUUUUAUUGGUAAUUUUUAUGUUGUUCUUAUGAUUUUGUGUGGUAGGGUUUCUGAAUUUUAUCGUUGUUCAUUUGGUUUUUUCUGAAUUUUAUCUGAUUUUGUGUGGUGAGUUUACAAAAUAAUACUAAAUAAAUUUAUUUGUAAUUUCGGAUGAUUGUGAUUCAAUCCUACUACAAUUGAAAUUCACAGAAAGAAUGAAAAACCAGAACAAAACUGCAGCACCUAAAAAGUUGUCAUACAAAAAAACAUGGAAUGUAAAAAUAUGUUAAGAAAUCUAGUUCGUUAAUUUCCAGCUGGUAAGCGGCAUUAUGUAACUUUAGUAGUAUAACUAAUUAACUACUUAUCUAGUGGGUUGCACUUCUAUCCUUGAUCUCAGUUGUGGCUGCAAAGUGCAGGCCACCACCAAGUCUCAGUGUUUGUGUAUUAGCAAAACACUUAAAUAAAUUAAAUUCUGAAAUGUAAAUUAUAUUCCUAUAACUUUAAGAUGCACAUAUAGUAUUGUUGAAGUCGAACUGAAAGCACUGACAAUUCCAAGCAACAGAGCAGCAAUUAUUAAGAGCCAAAACUCAUUCCUAGUCUCCUCAUCCUGGUACUCUACUCCGUAAUCUUCGUUCAGCAUCAUUGACUGAAAUUAGGAGAGAAAAAGAAAAGGAAUUUCAGAAAUUGUCUAUGAAGCAAAGGAUACUGCAGUUACUUCAAGACAUGUAAAUUGCAUAUGUAUAAAGUAAUUUUCUACAUAAAGUAACGAGGCAUAACUCUCUCUCUCCUCUUCAAACCCUAAACAGAGCAAAGCCACAAACUUUACAGAGAUUAGAAUGAGAACUGGAAUUAAUAGAACAAUGACUGAAAAGUAACAUACUUGAGGAGUGAAUGAUUUAGUGUUUCCAUCAUCGGAAAGCCGGAGUAAGUCGCUAAGAGAGGUCGCAAACAGCCCAAAGGGACAAACCCAGACCCCCGGCCCCGAUCCAUACCCUUCCCCCUCAAAUCCCGACGGCCCCCAUACUUUUCUCUGACUGUACCCCCUCUCCCACUCAUGAAAUCGAGGAUCUGUAGCAAUGGUACUGAGAUCCCCACUCCUCCCCCUCCCUUUCUCUCUGUCACUCUGUCUCCCUCUCCCUCUGUCUGUCUAUCUUUAUCCCAGAGCGGCAUGGCCUCGCAUCCCUGAAACCCUCACCGAAAGGUGGCAAUUUUGUAAAUAACUUGAAAUCCACCAACAGCAGGGGCAGAGAAUUGAAACAGACAUUUAGGCUCGUUCGAUAACCAUUUAGGCCAAAACUGAGCACACCUAAACCAUUCCUACUCGUGCCAAAUGUUAGCGGGGAAGCAAGAUGAUGACUUUAUUGUUCAAAACCAAAAGAAAAAAAGAGAGAAAACAAAAUAACAAAUCUAAUGGUUGUAGUGUAAAAGCUGAGAACGUAAAUAAACAUGCAGGGAAAAAAAUUGAAGAUACAAAGUAGCUGCAUCAUGAAACACUUGCUCCAAUUAGACGCAAAAAGUGAUGGUGAUGAGAAGAGAGAGAAAAUGCAGUCGUUUUGAUUUUUCUGGCUUUUAAAGGGAGCAGCUUUCUUCGACCACCAAAAAAAGGAAGCUGCUUUUCGUGUGGUUGUGAUUUCCUGAGUGUAUGUGAGCGGGUCUAUGGCACUUGCACUUUUUGUGUCGGUUACGGUAACCGGGCGAGGUGGACACGGCGGCGUGGGACUGAAUUCGGAGAGGUGAGAAAAAUUAAAAACACAAAAAGAAGGUGUUCAUUUUGUCACAUUUUUAUUACUAAAAAUUCAAUAAAGUACAUUCAUUAGUAUGGUAACUUAACUAUUUAAUUCCAUCUCAUUAAACUAAAAAAAACAAUUACAUAAAAAUAAGGGAAACCUUGUCCAGAGAGACCUGAGAGAAAGUGACGACUUCUCCUCUCAUUCCACUCCAUACUUGAUCUCUAAAGUCCAUUUGGCAUGUAAUUGAUGUUCAAUUUCAAAUUUAGUGGUAGCAAUUAGCAAAGCUAAUGAAAGAAUAAAAUAAAAUGAAAGAAAAAGCAUCAUGAAAUAAAUCAAGAUGAAGAAUGAAAUUUUGGCAACUCGCCAUUCUCUUCUUUUAUACAAAAGAUACAUCCUAUUUGUAGUGAAAACAGGUCCCGACAAACCCAGUUAUCGUCAAGAAGUAUUUUGUAUGACUUUAAAAACAUAUUCCGAGAAAUUAUCUCUUGGCUGAGAACAACAACAAAUCUUCAUGCAUAGCUUGUAGAGAAAGACAUCAGGCAUACAAAAGAACACGCAAGCAUAAAAUAAACGACGCAGGGAAAACCAAAAAUACAAUUGGAUACGCUGUCAAAAGAACAUAAAUAAAUGAAAAUUACAAAACAAAGAAGUGAUGAGAAACCAAAGUACCCAUUUCAUAAUCUAAUUGCUUUUUAGUUUGCUUGCCAUUUUUAGUUCUUCAAUUUAGAGAGAAACCAUAAUUCAGCACAUGAAUAAAGUGAAAACAUAAAAGAUAUGUGGGAUAAGCUAACAGCCAUCCCUGAGUAAUGCAUUCACUUCUGAACCCCAAACACACCAAAACAAAAAUUCACACACAUGAACUACAGCUCUGCUAUGUAACAAGAAUUAAAAGCAUCUCAAAACAAAAUGGCAAACUAUAAGAGCAAUGUAAAAGUAAAAUUGCAAGAAAUCUAAUACUUGGAGGGCAAGUACUAAUCAGACGAAAAUGAAAGAUUGAACUACCUCGCGUGGAACUGUGCCUUGGUUUUUUCCCAUGCUUACAGGAAGCUUUGCACUGAGCUCUUAUAGCCCAAAUUUUCUCUGAAGGGAAAAAAACACAAUUUUGAAAUAAGAUUUUCAUAUUAUACCUUAAAGAGAAGAAUUAGACAACAAAAAAGAGAACAAUGAGUACUUUUCAUCAUAUAUUGUUAGAGUAUGUGGUCCUCUAGUCCAAUGGUCCUGCAGCCAUAUUUACUUUAUAACUCUUUCUUUAGUCUAAAAACAUCUUGGAUCUCAAAUUAAUAUGAAUACGGAUUCAUACGCAUGCAUUGCAUUACAAUCACAAUGCAACAUCUCAUUAGAAAUCCCCACACAAAAUUCUUUUAUUGCUACUUUGAUUUUAGUUUAUAUUUUUUCUGAAGCACGAGGGAGCUAAUUUUUUUUUAAAAAUUUUUUAUUCCAAUAAUGUUAUAGGGUUGAAAGGAUAUUAUCAAUUUAAUUGAUUGUAUUUGAUUGGUGGAACUUCUAUAUCUAUAUUUCAGGUUUUCAAAUUCAGCACUGGGAGAGUCAUUCAUAAAAUGUUUGACAGUGAGAUUACCUCCAUGGAUUAUGCUCACAAUGGACAGCUCAUUUUCCGCGGUGAUGGGACAAUAUAUUUCAGUCAUUCGCCAUUCAAUCAAUUCAAACCGAGGAACAAGCAACAUCAAGAAGAGGAUCUGCCAUGUCAGGAUCACUGUCGUCCAAUUAAUACAAAAAAUCUAGAUAAAAACGAUCAAUUUACAUAAAAGCCUUUCAUUUUCUCAGCAACCAAGCAAAAGAAAAUACCUAUCCGUUAAACACUCGAUUUGGGAGUAAACGUUGCUGAAACUGGACUUCAAUCCCCUCAACCGCAACAAUCGAAUCGAGGUGUGCAAGUCAUUGAAAAACUCACCCAAGAUUUCAAAAUCUGCAUAAAGAAAUAAAUAAGCACAUAAAUUAGCCAACCCUGUUAUGAUCCCACAUCGGGUACACAAGAAAUUGUGUAGUGGUACUUAAGUGCAAGGGGUCAUCCCACCUAUUGGACUAGUUUUUUGGAUUGGGCUCUUCCCUUGGGCUUGAGUACCUAACAUUGGUAUCAGAGCCUAGGUUCCCGACGCUGCGAGACUUGGCGAGUGGUGCCGCCUCAUGGUGCCGCCUUGGGAGUAUGGGCUCCCAAGGGUCUUGGAGACGGGCAAGGUAUGAAAUGUCGAUAUUAUCGCGAUAUUUCGCCGAUAAUAUCGGUUUUUUGAGUUACCGAUAUUUUAAUACUUAUCCACUGAGUUUUCGUCAAAAUAUCGCAAUAUUAUCGAUAAUAUCAACAAUAUCGCGAUAUUACCGAUAAUAUCGCGAUAUUUUGGAGAUGUGCGAAUCGGAGAAGAAGGCCGGAGCUUCUACAGCUCCUGCCGACUGUAAAAGAGCACCCUAGACUCCGAUCUAGGUAUCAAAAUGAAAUACAAGACGAGAGGAAUGUUUUUAUAACUUCCGUUUGCCGUGAAACGGUCGAAGGUGUUCGGAAAGUUCGUCGACACCCACGGCCUCGCCAGAGAUGGGUGUGCCUAUUCUCGAGCCGAUUUCGUCCCAAAAACCUUGCAAAAACACGAGAUAGAACUUAAAUUUCACAUCUAAGCUUCAAUCUAGAAUAGAAUGAGGUAAACCCGAAGCUUACCUAACCGGAGAAAUUCAAGAAACUCGCCAGAGGGUUCCUGCGUCGCCGAGUUGCAGAGACGAGAAAGAGAUGGAGAAAGACGAGGUUGCUGAUAACGAUGGGUGUCUUCCUCAAGCAGGUGCGAUGGUGUGCGUGUGUGUAUGUGGGUCUCGGUGCAGAGAGAAAGGAGAGAGAUGAGAGUUUCAAGAAAGAGACGGCGCCAACGAGAGCUAUUUGUUUUUUUUUAUCUUAAAAAGAGAGAGGUCUAAGAGAAAUGGGAAGAGAGGGCCGAGUGAAAUGAAAGGAGGUCCUUGAAUUAUUGAGAGAUAUCUCUGAGAGAGGCCUAGGAUUUCUAAAAGGUAAUUAGAAAUGGGAAAAAUGGGGCACAUCUUAGCCUUUAUUUUGGAAUCCUAAGAAGUUCACCACAUGGAUGCAUGACAUGUGUGCAUGCCAUGUCUGUUGAAUGGGAAAAGUCUGACAUGGAAAGACAAAGAGUCGUUUGGUCCUCUGGGCUCGAGGCAAGAUAGAAAGUGCUAGGGUUUUUUUUUCUGAAAUGAACAUAAGCUGCUAAAUUCGCAUAUAUUAUAGUUGUUGCUAAAGAUUGACACUAGUGCGGACUUGGACGUGUUGGUCAACAUGUCCUCACAAUCCCCAAGUUCUCCGGUUCGAACCCUUACGCCCAUCAAAUUUUUCUUUCUUUUCGAUGCGCUUUUUCCAUGGCUCUAGGUCUUGAUUUCGAAUCCAGGUGAGCCCUUUCCUUUUUCUUUUUUUUUUCUUUUUGUUUUAUUAUUUGUUUAUUUUAAUUUAUUUGUUUCUUUUAUGUUUUUCCUUUCUUUUAGUUUCUUUGUCUUAGGCGUUCGUGUUUAUUAAAGUAGGAUGUAAAAUCAAUUAUCUUAAAAUUAUGUGUUUUUAAAUUUUGGACUUGUUUGUUGGAUACUUUUUUUGCAUUUUAUCAUUAUUUUAUUAUGAAAAUAUGCUAAAAUAUGCUAAAAUAUCACUUAUGUUUUUGUGAAAAUAUGCUAAAAUAUUUAUAUAUAUGGUUUUGUUUUGAAUUCUUUUUGUACUAAUUCAUUAUAUAUAAAUGAUUAUGGUGUGUUUAAACUUCUUUAAUUAAUUACUACAUAUUUUCUAUACUCACAAUGUUUGCUAGCUCGCUAUAUAAUCAACUUAAAUCAGUAAAAUCCAUCAUGCAAUGCAUUUGCUUCCAAUUUUUUGUGAUAAACUAAUAGAUAAUUGAUUAAAUAAACAUCCUGCAAAGUUUCAAUAAAAAUUUCCAAGUUUUUCUUACAAUUUCUGUGGUUUCCAUAUUAUUUUUAUCAAUAUCGAUAAUAUCCCGAUAUUUCCAUCGAUAUUUCCGUGUUUUUGGACUACCGAUAUUUCCGAUAUCAUCGAUAUUUAUACCUUGGCGACGGGGGACUUGCCGACUGGUGCCGCCAUGGACGUUGGGUCUUUCGAAAGGUGGUGUAAUGUUAUGAUCCCACAUCGGCUACACAAGAAAUUGUGUAGUGGUACUUAAGUGCGAGGGGUCCUCCCACCUAUUGGACUAGUCUUUUGAGUUGGGCUCUUCCCUUAGGCUUGAGUACCUAACAAACCCAUAAAUCAAAGAAAUCAAAAUCCACCCAGAAUCAAAGAAAUCAAAAUCCAUCCAAAACCAAAGAAAUCAAAAUCACACACAGAUAUACAAGGUGUACAGUAUUGACAUGCCUUAAAUGAUAUUAUUCACAAGAUUUAUAAAGCUCAUGUUGUAAUACUUGUGCAGAAUCUAUCAUUCACGGCGUCACUUUUGUGCAAGUCGUAAAUAAAAUUAUUCACGAUUUAAACAUUGUGUGUCGUAUUUGACAAUUUAUACUACGCACUUUCUUUUUCUUUUAAAGCUUUGCGUUAUGUCGUAAAGUUGACUUUCUAUAUAUUUGGGUUGUACCUUUUAUGGCGCAAAUAACACGUCGUAAAUAAUGGCUUUUAGCACAGAAGUUUUGUGGUAAAGAAGCCCGCGCACUAAUUCAUUCUCGCGCCUUCUCUUUUUUAUUUAGCCGCUUCUUUUUUUGGUUUUUUUUUUUUUUAAAAUUCCCCUCAAAUCUUAAAAGGGUUUGUAUUUUCUUUGGUAAACUUGAAAGAGAAACAUUGCAAUUGCAUUUUCAUUUACCCAAUAUUAAUUGUCGAGAGCCCACCCCCUUCCCUUCUCUCUGACAUCGUAACUCUCUCCUCUCCAUCGAUCUCGCUCCAUCUGCUCGCCGUCGCUCUAUAUGCUCGUCAUCGCCGUCGAUUCGUCUGCUCGUCGUCACCGUCGCCCAUCUGCUUUCCGUCACCGUCGAAGUGCCCCGCCAUUCAAAAUCUGAAAUCCCCAAUACAGGGUGCUUUGCGGCAUUUCGUUCUCCAAAACUUUAGGUAUGCUCUCAAUCUGUAUCAACCCUAUCCUGUCACCUCUACUUCAAGGUGAACAAUUUAUAGUUUAUAAAUUUUACUUGUGUUAAUAUAUAUUUUUUGGUAAAUGUUAUGGAUAUUUUAUCAAAUCAGAGAGUAAAUUCGUAUUAAGUGAAGAUUGGCAAAGAACAUAUUGUUUUGAAAGGUUGAAUAAUGUUUGCAGAUCACAUAAAUCAGUAGUUGUCAAGUCCAUAAGAGAAGCAAGAAAUCGGAAAGCAAGGCUUCGACUAAAACCAAAUAAUGUCAAAUUAAUUCAAGAUUGGAAGACUUUCCUUGCAAAGUGUAAGCUCAUUUUCAUUUUCUUUCAUUUCUAAGAUUAGUUAUCUUCUUUUGAGUUCAAAAUUGGGUCAGAGAAAUCAAACUGAUAGUAGUUAAAAGUCUAUUUCAACACCAAGCCUUGUCUACACAAGAAUUUGGUGUUAGUUAAACAUGUGUAUGAUUCUAUCUUGAUUGCAUGUUAAUUUAGUUUGAAGAUAGAUUUGGUACAUGCUAGCUAAUUGAUACGUGAUAUGAAUCUUUGGUUUCCUUUUGAUAGGACAAAAGUGAAACAUUCAGAGAGAUGAAGUCUAAGCAACUCCGCACACAUGUAGUCGCAAGGGAUAUGGUAGGUUGGCCGAGGAUUUGGUAAUUACAUUUCAUUCUAGUGCCUUCUUUUCUACAGGACAAGAACAAUUUACUAAUUUUAUUCUGUGUUCUACUGUGUGUUUACUACAUAUAUGUUUCUAUUUUGUAGAAAAGAAAAAGUGUAGACCCUUCUCUAGUUUCUAGAGGUGAUGUUUGGAUUGCAGCACAUACUAAAAAGGGUGGUGGACCAUCCAAUUUGCUUGCUGCAGAGACUAUUGUAAGUAAUUUUUAACCAUUUAUUUCUUCUUGUUUGUUGAUAUGCAAUGACGGAUGAGGUCUUAACUUUGAUGUGCAACGUUAGGAAAAAAAUUAAGCAAUAUGGAAAUGGAUCAUCAUCUGGUUUUCGAGGUGACGUUCUUUCCAAAGUUUUUGGUGCUGAGCGACAUGGUCGUGCAAGAGGAGUUGGAGGUGGUGUUCCUCCUACAAAGCUUGGAAUAUUUUCACAACAAAAAUUGCGUAAUCACCAAAUGGAUGAAAAGGUGCACAAUUUAACUAAUCAGGUCAGAGCACUGACAGAAUUGGUGCAUCUUUUUAUGAAAAAUCAGGUUAGUGAUUUAAUAACAUUGGUAUCAUAUUGAAUAUUUGUGAAAUCAGUUGUAGUGACACAUCAAAUCACAGGGUAAUGAUCUACCAAGUGAGGCAUCUCCUGACACACAGGUUGCAGCUCCUGAGGCACAUGUUGAUACUGUCGCAAGAACUGAAACUCGUCUUUCCCAAUGCGCAACAAAUGAAUCGUGGUGGCGAGGUUGAUACACUUUUUCAAUGAGCCUUCUAACUAUUAAUGCUCAUUGACUCUGUUAAAAGCUCUGCCAUUUUCAAUCUAACUAGACACUAGAAAUGAUCAUUGACUCAGUUAAAAGUUUUGAUGCUUUGGUCCUUUUGCAUAGUUGCGCAUCUACUGAUUUCUAUUUUUUUUCAAAUCCUGCAGGUUAUUUCUGAAAACAUUGAAACAUCGUGGUGUGCCAGAUGGUUUGAUUAUAAGACACCUUCCUUUUGGUCCACCAACUUAUUUAUAACUGCUAAAUGGUACGUAGUGUGAUAAUUUUCAAAUAUUUUGAUAUUAAGACAGGUGUAGGACAACAUAGAAAUUCUUAGGGCCUUCAGCAACAAAAUUAUGAAAAAGUGAGUGAGAUACAAUUAAAAAAAUGAAAGAGAAGGAUCAUGAUUCAUGAUCUAAAGGUUUGAAUAGGGUAGAAAGGAUUUAGUUUCGUUGUUAAAAUCGAUUUGUGAGUCUAUUGUUAUUGUAUUGUCAAUUUGUUUAUUUACUUGAACUUCCUAGUAUCAAUUUGGUUCGAUAUAUCUAGCACCACCAUAGAUAUAUCUAGUAUCAAUUUGGUUAGAUAUUGUCAAUUUGUUAUUUUAUUGUCAACUAUAGAAUGUGCAUCAGUUGUAAAAGGAACAAAACAAUUCAGAUUUUUUGUUUAUGUCCAAACUUAGAAUUGUAUUGUAAUUGACAAUUUCUACUAAUUAAUCCAAGUAUUUGGAGUUUAAUAUGUUUAUGAUCAAUAUUGUUAUCCUUGUAUUGUAUCAGUUUAGAUGUUAUGAAGUGAGGUCUGUCUAAAAAUGAUAUGCUAAAUAUAGAUGUAAAUUACGGCAUCUAAAAUCAGCAAUAAUUGUUGAUGGUAGUCUUUUUUUUACGAUGUAUGCCGUAAUCACCUUCACAAUAUUACGACACUCAACAAAUGCUGUAUCAAAUAUAAAUUACUGCACACUAGUAUGUCGUAAUUGUUUUUCAGUAUUACGACACCCUAUUAACGCUGUAACUAAUACCAAUUAAGGCACGUAGGACAUGCCUUAAGAACAUUUAUGGCGUGUUUUACUUAAAUUAUUCACGACUAUUAGAGUACGUUGUAUUUGUCAAAACAUCUUUUACAACAGGGGCUUUUACUGCUUGGAGGCUCAAGCCGUGAAUUUCCAUUUAUGGCACCCUUUGUGCGCCGUAAAAGGCCAAUUCUAUUGUAGUGAUCCAUGGGUACAUUUUUAAUCUACAUGUUUCGUUUUAAUAUAUCUAUUGCUAUAAUAUGUUUUGGUUGGUUCAAAUUCGUUUUACAUAAAUAUAUGGGUACAAAGUUUUUGGAGAAUAUUAUGUAAAAUGGUUUUUAAGGUUGUUGCAUUUUAUGUACCCACAUAUGCAUGUCUAUAAAACAAUGUGGUAUGAUGUACAUUCUUUUCCUUGAGUUUUUAAAUGUACCCAUGAGUUUUCUUGUAAAUUCGGUAUGUAUCCAUAUGCUAUUUAUGUUAUGGGUACAUACAUUAUUUUUGGUCUAAGUUGGUGGGUACAUUGCUUUUGUAUGUAUGAAUUCAUUGGGUACAUUAUUUCCCUUAAUACUACUCAAUAAAAUUCACAAAAAUGUGCAGUGUGCAUGAAUUUUUAUUGUAGAAAUUGUUUUUUUUUAUUUUUAAUUUUUAAGUCUCAUAAUUCGUGAAUUUUGUACAUAUUGAUCCCAUAAAUUUUUGAAUUUUAUUAAAUUUUUUUUAGACUUGAUCGAUUGAUUGAAUCUCAUAAUAAUCCCUUAAAUGUUCCAAUCAAUAUUUUAAAAUACAGCUUUUUAUUUAAGAUUUCAAAAAGAUGACAUGAAAACAUAGUAAUACUAAAAUUUUGUUUUAAAUUACAUUUGUGUAACAAUCAAUGGUAUGUUAAAACUGGGCAAAAAAAAAAAUGGUAUAUUAAAAAAUUAUAAUUUAUUCUUUUUUUCAUAACUGUCUUCUGCUUAGAUUAAUUUUUUCCAACGUUUCUCUUCGGGAGAAUUAGUUCUUACCAAUAUAUAUGCACAUUAUCUGCUUUUUACCUGGUCUUAACACAUGAUUAAUUACUUUCCUACCUGCUAACGCGUUGACUUGCGCAUCCAAAGUAUUAUCAAAGUCACUGCCACCAAAAAGGUGCCCACUCCACAACCUUUGGUUGAACCAAAGAACAUCACAACAAUAAGGAAAUCGUUAAAUCUAUCUCCGCAACAUUUUUAUUAAUCAUUAGAUAGAUUAAACGAUCCCCCUAUUCAUAUUGUGUUCUUUUGUUGAACCAAACCAUGUCAACAAAAUAUAUCUAUGGUUAAAGCAUCUAGAUUCAAGCUUUUGGAUGUGCAACUUAAACCCCUCAAUGAAUAGCCAAGCAAUUUAUCAUGUGUUUACAGUAGGUCAAAAGAAGAAAGUGUUUGUCUAUAUAUUAAUAGGAACUAAUUCCUCUGAAGAGGAGAGAUGGAAGUGAUGAUAAUAAAAAAAAAAAAAGUCGUAUUCAGUGCACAAGGCUCCCGCUUUACGCAGGGUCUGAGAGAGGUGAAUGUCGGCUAGCCUUACCCCCAUUUUAUGGAGAGGCUGCUCCCAAGUCUCGAACCCGAGACCUACCGCUCAUGGGCGAAGACACUUGCCAUCGCACCAAGUGCGACCUCUAAGGGAUAAGAGAGUAAUCAUGAAAAUUUUGAAAGUGAAAGCAUUGCCUUGGAAUAUAUAUUCUCUUUAGGAAUUCUGUGCCCAACUAAAUUCUAGAUUCUCAAAAUAUGAAAUUAGCAACUUCACCAAACACUUGGACAUGUAACAGGUCACACGUAUGGUACCAACCUUACCAACCUUACCAACCAUCUAUAUACCUAUGUUUUCGAACAUCGUUAGAUAAUUAAAGUACAGUUCACACAGCAUUUCACAUAAAAAUGGCAUCAUACAACACAUGAGAAGUACUUCUUACAGUAGCAGUCUCGUAACAUGACUAUAGUUUUUGUUACUUCUUAAGAAAAAAGAGUUUAAAAUCCUAUUGAAAGAUAAUUGUAGAGACAGAAACCCAAACUAGUUAAUUAGGUUUCUUUACAUCUCAAUAAAAUUGAAGGGAAUGUAUCUAAUAUUAUCUACUAGAGCCUCUACAAUCAUCAUAGAAUCCACAACCCACAUUUUAAUUAAUCGAAAUUCCAUGAACACAAAUAAGCAAAAGUUGAGUGAAGCCUAAGCAAUAUGUGAUCAUUUAGAGAGUCAAACUCCAUCUUUUUAGAAUUAGGGACUUUUCAAUAUGAAAAGGUAACCUCCACAAUCCAAUAUCAUAUGAAAAGGAAAACCCAAGAAAAAUACAGUAUAAUUGUGUGCAAGAGCAACACAAAAAAAGUUGAAGAAUUAGAAAUCAUAAAGAGACUUGAGACGAUUGUUGCUCACUUAGCUAAAGAGCAUUUGCACUUGAGGUCUCGAGUUCGAUUGCCCCCUUUCUUUAGAUCGCUUGAGAGGAAAAACCUACCAUUCUCUAGUCUAAAGAUAUAUGCAUCUUUGACAUGAAUGACUAGAGGGGAAGAAAGUGCAGACAAAUCACACAUACCUUCAAAAAAUUUUAUGGGGUUGGUGAAUGGUGAUUAGGGAUACUGACUUUUAAUAGCCGUUGAUCAGUGUAUAUUGCACACGCCUUCAUCAAUGGCUAGCGUCGGUACAACUGUGAUUGGGAGGGCCUUUUUACGAUAAUAGAUGGGUAAAGGUUUCAUUAGAAGGGGAAUUUUGUUCUGGUUUGCCAUAAUAACUUGAAAUUAAUGGUUUUUUGUAAUCCUUAAGUUAUUGUCAUUUUAGGUUAACUUUGUACCUGGACUCUUUACUGGAGCUAUCAAUUGAAACCCCCAUUUUCUUACCAAAAUAUGAAAAACAAAGAGUCCCAUUUUUACAGCACAGUCCUACUCUAGUUGAAAUCCGAUCGACGGUCAAGAUUUUCUAGUCAUGUGAAAGUAUCACAUAUAUAAAAUUGACUGGAGAAGGCAUGCCACAUUGCCAUGCCCUUGACAGCUUUACUUUGUUUACAAACUUUCUAAAAGAAAGAAAGAAAAAAAUCUAAAAUGGAAGGUGAUAGCGAUUUUACCACUUGUAAAACAAAGGGUUAAACCAUAGAAAAUUCUUGCAAGAGAACAAGUGUUUGUAGUAUAGAAUGGCUCAAGCAAGGUCGAUCUCCUCAGGGACUGAUAUAAACAAUUUACGAGUUUUUAUGUAUUUAACUUAUUUAACUCUAAGAAUUACACUAAUUUAACGAAACUAAAUAUUAUUGGAUGUGACUUAAACAAAUAUCUAAAAUGGGAAUUGGUUUUAGGGAAUAAUGAUUCAACUUAAACAAAACAAGUAAAUGAGGAAAUUCAAGAUAAAAUAAAUGAUUAAGAAAAAUAGAUUGACAAUAUGCUAGAGUUCAACAUUUACCAACAACACUCUUACGUAGCUAUUCCAAUUGCUUAAAUAAUUGAAAACACAUAUGCUUUGAAUGUUGGAUUUUCCUUGUGUAUGUUUUACUUGUGACAUUCAAGCUAAAACGCAUACCACUACAUGCAACUUAUCCAUGACAUUUGAAUUAAAUAUAAACAUGAGUGAUUCAUUAAUCUUGGUGAAAAUCCUUUUGUUAAACCAUAUAAUCCCUAAGAGCAUGAUAUUUACCUUAGGAGAUUACAAUUCUCAAUCACAAGAAGCACAACCAAUUUUAACGUGACAUUCGUUCAAAAUUGCAUCCGAUAACUUUUCUAAGCAUCCUAAUGGUGAUCAAGCAUCAAGGUACAUAGAUAGUUUAAUUCAGUGAUUGAAAAUAUCAAAACAAGCAUGUAACAACACUUAAGCAAUUGAAAAAUAAAACUACGUAUUCAUGUUGCGGCUCAUGGCCUCACUCUAGCAUAAUACUUUAAAUAAUUAAAGCCCAAACAAUUUACCAAAUUUCAUCUCUGUACUCCGCAGAGACGCUAAACGAGACAUAUUUGGUCCAUCUCUGAACAUCUUUUCUUACUGUUCUUACAAUAGAAAGGGCACAAAAUUGACUUACACAGUCUUGCACAAUACUCACUUUGCUUCAACCCAUAUUUCACUUUGUCAAAUCAUACACGUUCCUGCAACAGGUGAACUCAUAUUUAUCUACCACUUCUUGCUAAUUUUAAUUUUUCCAUUCCCAUUUUUACUACAAGUUUUCACAUAAUUUUUUUAUUGCAUUUGUCAAUUCUUUAUACUUUUUAAUUGUAUUUUUUUUUUUGUCUUUUAUGUGUUUUCUAUGUUGGCACAAGGUUACAACAGUAUUAAACAAUUACAGGUCCUCCAGAGGUUUGCUUAUUGCCCUAUUUCAUCAAGCUCGGUAUAAAUAGAUCUUAAUUUUUUACUACAGUUAAAUACAUGGACAUGCCUCCACAAAUACAAAUUAGUUCUUGCUUAAAUACUUUGUGUGUUUACAUAGAAAAUGUUCCCAUCGUCUACCAAAAUCCUCCACACAUGAAAACAAAAAUUCUUACUCAAAAUACUUAUUACAAUACCACCAUAUCUGUUGUUUUUUAUUAAAUUAACACACUGUUUUCAAUUUUAUCUUCAACACAAAAGAAAAUGCUCUUACACAAUGUGUUUGCUUACAUUUUAUAACUUAUCUACCACAUGUUAAUCGCAGUUAUAUAAAUAGGAAAAUACGUGUUCAAUAGAAGUGUGAUGCAUGUCACUUCGUUAACAAUAGUGGAAACUAAACAAUUAAAUAAUUUGUUUCAAUUAGUUAGUACAUUUUAUAAAUUUCUCAAUUAGAACUGUUUCAGUAUAUUUAAUACAUUUUUAAACAACUUUCCAGUUAGUUGCCCAAACUAAUUAUUCCAGCUUAUUCACAGUAUAAUACCAACAAUUUAACAACCAAUGAUACUUCGUUUAACAUAAACUUCAUUUGGAAAAAACAAAAAAAAUCUUUUUCUCUGCUGAAAAAAUCAACAGAUUUAAUGAUGUAGAUCAGUUAUACCAACAAAUUACCAUAGUUUACCCAAUGCUAUACAGGUUUGACUUUUGUUUAUAUUCUUGGAUCUGUUGCUUGGUUGUAUAAUUUGGCUGUGUGUUUUGUUUCAGGACAAUUUGUUCUUCGUUUCUUGAGGCUUCUAUGUGUAGAUUUGAACCGUUUAGCUUUCAAACCGUUUAUACUCAAGGUAAAUAAUUUCGUUUGUUUCUUUUUAACCUUUUUUGUAAGAAUUUUUUAUUUAAUGUUGUGAGAGUUGUGUUUUCUAUAGUAUGGAAAUUGAAUCUUUGUGAUCUUAUAUCGUUAGAUACGUUGCUUGGUUAAUGUGAACACGGAAAAUUCCCGAAACGAAAAAGACAAGAACAACGUGCACAAACAAAUAUUUUGUAUUUGAUGAUUAUUUUGGGUUACAAUCUCUCUCUAAUUUGAUCCUCUGAUUCGAUCUCCGUAAGAUAUUGGUUUGUGGAUGUGCGAUUGAUCCAAGGGCCGUCGAGGCUUGAUCUUGGAUGAACGGUGAUGAACGGAUCUUCAAGGGCUUUUGGGCUUGAUCUUGAAGAAUAGUGAUGAACGGGUCUUCAAGGGCUUUUGGGCUUGAUCUUGAAGGAUGGUUGGAUGUGUGGAUUUGUCGACGUUGUUAAUCCAAAGGGCUGUUGGGGCUUGAUCUUAGGAUGAACGGAUGAUGAACGAAUAACACUUUCUUCAAGGGCCGUCGGGGCUUGAUUUUGAAUUGGUGAAAGUUCUUCAAGGGCCGUCGGGGCUUGAUCUUGAAGGUAGAUGAUUGUUGAUCCAAGGGCUGUCGGGGCUUGAUCUUGGAAGAACGAUGAACGAAGAACGAAGAAGGCUUUCUUGAUUCUUCGGGAACCUGGAUGCUUGAGAGCUUCGGAGUUUCAGAGCUUCAGAGCUUCAAGGUGUAAUAUGAAUUUGGUUCCCUUAAAUGAAUGAAAUUGGCUUCUAUUUAUAGAAUUUUCCAAGGCCUAAUUUUGAAUAUAAUAUUCCAGAUGAAAUAAGUCGUUUCUGCCAAGUGUUGACACGUGUCCUAUUUGAUGACUUUUCCGACUCAUUUCAAUUUUUCGUCGAGUCACACACUACGUGUAAAAUUUAUGUAAUACAUGAGCGUUGAAACUUUGAUUUAUCAGUCAACAUUUAUUUACCAAAAUUUCGAUGUCUACAAAUGCCCCCACUUCAAGGCGCGUCGUAUACAUGUGCUUGUCACGUGUAGGAGAUGCGUUUUGAAGUCCCCUUACUGUAGAUGUCGAUCCAAGGGCCGUCGAGGCUUGAUCUUGAACCGGGCUGGAGAUUUCUUCAAGGGCCGUUGAGGCUUGUUCUCGAACUUUGUUCGAAAUUUCUUCAAGGGCCGUUGAGGCUUGAUUUUGAAUUGGGCUGAAAGUUUCUUCAAGGGCCGUUGAGGCUUGAUCUUGAAUUGGGUUGAAAGUUUCUUCAAAGGCCGUUGAGGCUUGUUCUUGAACCUUGUUUGAAAUUUCUUCAAGGGCCGUCGAGGCUUGAUCUUGAAUUGGGCUGGAAGUUUCUUCAAGGGCCGUCGGGGCUUGAUUCUUGAAGGUGGAUGAUUGUUUAUUCAAGGGCCGUUGAGGCUUGUUCUUGAACCUUGUUUGAAAUUUCUUCAAGGGCCGUCGAGGCUUGAUCUUGAAUUGGGCUGGAAGUUUCUUUAAGGGCCGUCGGGGCUUGAUUCUUGAAGGUGGAUGAUUUUUUCUUCAAGGGCCGUUGAGGCUUGUUCUUGAACCUUGUUUGAAAUUUCUUCAAGGGUCGUCGAGGCUUGAUCUUGAAUUGGGCUGGAAGUUUCUUCAAGGGCCGUCGGGGCUUGAUUCUUGAAGGUGGACUCGAACACAUGGCAAGCAGGCACGAGGUGAAGGUGACGGUCUGUUUCUUUGCUCAAUCUUUCCAAGUGCCGACCGAUUGCUUUUCUUUCUCCUUGUCCCGCAGGCAAGAGCAAGGGUAAAAGAAAAGCAUGCCAUGAGAUAUCUUUGUUUUUGACUCUGAUGAUAUGAGGUACUUCUGCUUUUGAAGAAGUUGCGGAUGAAUCGACACGUGCUUUGUUGUGCUUGUCUCCACAUGCUCAGACUCUUGGCAGAAUGUGAAAGGUGGCAUUUUCUCGAGUUACUCAACUCAGACUCAUUCUGCUGAGUUGACUGUGCGGGCCGCAUUCUUCUCUGCUUGUUUCUUCUGGCAGCCUUGCUCUCGAGUACUCAUCUUUAACAUCUUAUGUUUCUUCUUUGUCUACCACACUGUGGAAGACGAGUACUCGAGAGUAAUACCAUGUAAGCAAUCAGAAAAGGGUUCCAAGCAGUCGGUUCCAGAUCGGAAGAUUGAUACCAAGUGUUGGCUGAUUGCUUUCCUUCUCAUUGUCCUACAGGUUAGAACAAAGACAAGGAAAAGGACACGGAGAAUGCAUGAUAUGAGAUACUCUUGCUUUCUCCCUUCAUGAUAUGAAAUACUUUUGCUUUUCAAGAUUUGUUUGCAGAGGUAUCCUAUGGGAUGAAGAACACUGAGUGAGUUGAGAGGGUUUGUUGGAAAGCCAUUUGUCGGAGAUGACGGAAUGUUAUGUAUGUCUGCCUUGCCAUGGAGCGUGAAGGUCGACAUUUGUAGGAAAUAAUAACUGGUACUGUUCUUUCACUCCUGUCGGCAACCGUUGGAUGAUUGAACAGUAAACUUCACGUGAUUUCCUCAAAGCUUUUUCUGCAUGCGACAAGUGCUGACGAGGCUGAGAGAGACAUGCGAUUGGAAUCGGCGCUUCGACAAACUUUUCCAUGAUUUUCGCAAAGCUGACGAGGCUGAGAAAGACAGAUGGUUUGGAAUCGGCGUUUCGAUAAACUGCCCGUGAUUUCCGCAACGCUGACGAGGCUGAGAAGGACAGAUGGUUUGGAAUCGGCGUUUCGACAAAUUGCCCGUGAUUUCUGCAACGCUGAGUUUGCGUGUGACAGGUGCUGACGAGGCUGAGAAAGCUGACACUUCUUCGAUUUUUGAGAUCAGUCCGUGAUCCUUGAGUAGGCCUAGCUUUGGAGAAAGCAGGCGCUUCAUCGAUCUCUGAACUCGCCUCUUCGAUCUCUGAAAGCCCAUCGCAUGCUGUUUUUUUAUAGAGGUACGCAAGACAUUCAAAGCACACUUGAAUUUCUACCUGUGAAAAAAAACUCCCCUUUUGCAUAUCUGAGAUCUUUAAUUUGCCCGACCUCUUCAUUUUGUUGAACACCUUCGGAAAUGUCUUUCCCAUCUGACCGUCGUCUUGACUUGAAUAUCGAAGAAGAUAUUGACAUGUCUUCUCCAGGCAACAUUUGGCAGCUGUCCUUCGUAUCCUCCAACGAACCUCUUACGGUUGGGGACACUGUGAUGAGGAAUGACGCAACGGCUGCAGUGGUUGCUAGAAAUCUUCUCACUCCUAGGGAUAGUAAGAUGCUUUCCAAGCGGUCCGACGAGAUGGCUGUUCAAGACUCUCUGGCCUUCAGCGUCCAAUGUGCGGGCUCAGUAUCAAACAUGGGCCAACGCCUUCUUGCUCGAUCUCGUCAGGUUGAGUCUUUGAUGGCCGAGGUGGCUAGUCUUCGGCAGGAGAUCAGAGGGCUUAGGCACGAGAAUAAAGAGUUGCAUAUGCUAGCAACUAGUUACUCAACGAGCAUGAAGAAGAAGCUAGACCAACUGCAGGAGUGUGAAGUUCGGGCUCGAAAUGAUCAUCAAAGGUUUAUGGCGUUACUCCCGAGGCAUCUUCUGCCUUCGUCAUCUGGCGCUUCACCAAAUGUUGAGGCUCCGGAAAAUCAAACUCUGGCGCUUCGUCUUUCUGGAGCUUUACCAAGUGUGGAGGCUUCAGUUGAUCCACCUCCGGUGCUUCGUCUUUCUGGAGCUCCGUCGAGUACUGAGGCACCACAUGAUCAUCCUUGAAGAUCCUUUCCUGUAAAUUUGAUUUGACUUUUUUUUUAAGGUAUGUAUAAUGUAAAAUUUCUAGAAAAAUAAAAUGGACUUUAUUUCUCUGAACAUGUUUUUUUUGUUUUUUUUUUUGGCUGUAUAUUUUCUCUUUAAUCAUGGUGCACCCAUUUUCCACAUGGUGCCAGACGGACCAAAGAUCAAACAUUUCCUUUUUUUAUUUUUUUAUUUUUUCUUUAAUCAUGGUGGCAGACGCAUAAACAAUUUCAUUUAUAUUUUUUUUUCUUUUUGCUGGCACAUGGUGCCAGAUGCACCAUUCAUUUAUAUAUAUUAUUAUAUAUGUUUUUUUUAUUUUUUUUUAUUUGCACAUGGUGCCUGAUGCACCACCUCUUUUUUUUUCACGUGGUGCCAGCAUCACUUUGCUCCACCAUCCAUUUUUUUUAUUUUUAUUUUCUGUAUAAAUUUGGGUGAUGGGUAGAGGAUUUUGCAGGCAGGGAGCAAGGAGGCCGAGAAGAUGGUGCUUCGAACUUCAUGACCGGCUAGUCGUUUGACGGCGGUCGUUGAAGUCGUUGGCAGUUGCGAGGCAAAAGACGGAGGAGAAGGUGGAGUAGGUGACCUUGAUGUCGGAUCCAGCUAGAACCCAGAGCACAGCGACUGAGCCCAAUCACCGAGCACAACCGCUGCACACCCGUUGUACUGCCACCGAGCACUGCCACUGCGCAUCUGUUGCACUGCCAAUUGCUGCAAAGGAUUAUGUUUAACGGCGGAGACGCUGCCCUAUUUGCCAUGCUAUGCCGACGUGCUUCACAUAAUUAACCAUCCAGAAUUGUUAAACAUUCCAUCUGGGUUUAUCGCAAAAACAGAAGAAGAAAAAAACCAAGAUCCAUCCAUGCCAAACACCAAUCUGCCAUCUUUUUGGGAUUUGUACGACAUCAUCAGCCAAAACCUGCUUGGUCCGCUCGCAAAUUGUGGGAGAGGAAGAGUUGGCGGAGCAGCUGUAACACUGGAAAAUGGAGGACGUUGACGAGUCCUCCAAGUUGUUCUUGACGUUGGUGCUGGAGAAACCUGCCUCUCUCAUGACUCUGCUGACACUUGGGUCGUCAAGGAUGGGGAUGAUGAGCUGCUCGAGCUCGACUUUGAUGGUUAAGAGCGGCUGCUGCUGCUGCUCGAUGCAGUCUCUUCUCUGAUGGGCUUGGGCUCUCUUGAGGGCGUUGGAGAGAGAGGGCUGCCCGUGGAGGAGAGGGCAUGGAGUUGUUGGGAGAAAUCAGGGCCGGAAUGGAAAAUAUUCCCGAGCUGCAUCAACGAGGAGAUAACACCGCUAAGUUAUUCAUCUGGUUUGCUUUAGUCAAAUGGAUCAAUCCGCGGGUCAUGCUCGCUUGCCAUCAUCAUCCCAGUGCACAGGCAUGUCGGGCACAUGACCUUUCCAGCACCAGAGCAAUUUGGGCACCUCUCAGUUGUGGGCACUCGCAAAGGUUGGUCUGAUGCACUAGAUGCUGAUAUAGGAUUGAUGUUCAAGCACACUCCACUUGCAGAACAUCUAGCACAGGCCAAGUACCCAGUUCCAUGGCAAUAUUUGCACCUUUUCUUCUCUUGCUGCUCAACAUUAUUAGCUUCAAUCAACAUCAAUGCUGAAAUGACACCCACUGCCCCACCGGAGAAGGAUGCCACAAUAGGAUCAACCUGACUUAAUUGUAAAGGCAGAUGCAUGCUACGAAUGAAAUCUUCAUACGAGGUACCUCCUAUACCUAAUUUUAGUUCCAACGAUGGCGCAAUGAGACCCCCAAAUACAAUUACACUAGAUAUCAUAGAUAAGCUUGUGAGGUAGAGCUGCUUCAACGUCUUUGGUGUCAUAUGAGGGAGAAAAGGGAUAGUGGAUGGAAUGUCAGGCAUCUCAUUUGACUCUUCCUCACAAGCCUCAUCCAUAUCUCUCGCCAUCUUUAUCCGUUGCUGCACCCGCAAUCUCCUUAGCUCUUCCAUGAGAAGAAAAAUCUUGUUGUGCCGGCUUCUUAUGUUGUCCUAAAUUUCCUGUAGUUGCAUCUGCACAAAGUCCUGCACCGUCUCCGGCUCUUCUAUGAUACAAAAAGUGCUUGGCGUGUUAUCGCCGGGGAAUGAUUCCUUGGAAGCAGAACAGGAAAUUUGGGGAUGCGGGGAGGUGAAUUUGGACAGAGAGAGACGUCUAGGGAUUCCAUGGGAGGGGGGUUGAGAGUGGUUUUUUGCCGGCGCCUCUAGGGUAGUCGUCGUUGGCUAUUGCUAUAGAGAGGUCAAUGACUUCACCGGAGAUGGCGUUGUUCUGGAGCCCGAGCGUGAGAAGCCGGGUGAGAUUGUCUGGAAAGGGUCCCCAGAGGUUGUUGUCGGCGAGGUCGAGAAGCUUGAGCUUGGUGCAAUUGACGAGAGGAGAAACGGUGUCGUUGAGGCGGUUGUUGUGGAGGUCGAAGAGUGAGCUGGGCGAGAUCAGAGAACCUUGACGAAUUCGGAGCGUUGAGGGUUAUCAACACGAUCCCAUCGACGAAGAAGAAGCAGAAUGGGCCUCUUGCGGGGCCUAUGGCAUCAACCGGUCUUUGGGCUUCUGGGCCAGUAAAUUGGAGAGAAGCCUGGGCUUUUGACUUGCAGAGAGAUUAGGCUCUGGGAGCCGCUUGUAGUAUUGUGGCUAAAGGGGUUGCUUCCUGUGGCCACUUAUAUAUAUAUAUUUUGUAAAUACAUAAAACAUUUAUCUCUUUUUUUUUCUUUUUUUUUUGUACAAAGAAAUUGUAAUAGCAUCAAAACUUUUAAUAAAAUCUUUAUUCCUUAUUUUGGUGUGACUGAACUCAAAUUUUGAAUAUUCGAGUUGCCUACGUACCUCUCCAAAGAAGAGAUCAAGUCGUAACGUAGUUCAAAUGAGUGAUGAAUUUAACAGUGAUUUUGAUGAUGAUUUUGUCGUACACAGUUUAUGCUCUUGCGGGCCAGGAGCUUUGGUUCGUGCAGUUUAGGCUCGUGCGAACAAGGAGUGUUGGUGUUGCCUUUUAUGCUCGUGCAGACCAGGAGCGUUGGUGUUGCCUUUUAUGCUCGUGUAGACCAGGAGCUUUGUGCCAUGCAGUUUAGACUCGUGCAGGCAAGGAGCGUUGGUGUUGCCUUUUAUGCUCGUGCAGACCAGGAGCGUUGGUGUUGCCUUUUAUGCUCGUGCAGACCAGGAGCUUUGUGCCAUGCAGUUUAGACUCGUGCAGGCAAGAAGUGUUGGUGUUGCCUUUUAUGCUCGUGCAGACUAGGAGCUUUGUUGUGCCAUGCAGUUUAGGCUCGUGCAGGCGAUGAGCUUUGGUUCAUGCAGUUUAGGCUCGUGCGAACAAUGAGCAUUGUGCCAUGCAGUUAGGCUCAUGCAGGCGAGGAGCGUUUAUUGGUUCGUCAAGCGAUCCAGGAGAGUCGUUCCUCGCAAUCUUCAUAGCAAGGAGCCUUGACUGAGUGAUUGAAGAAGUCUUUGGGGAAGAAAUCGCGCAUCGUGAUGGGGAUGGACGAUAUUUGUGUCGUCAUUUCAUCAUCUUCAACACUUUCACUUUUCUUUGAAGGUUGACAAGAGCUGCUUUGCCCCAUUUCCGAUUGGCGGACUUGUGGAUGAGACGUAUGCUUCUUCUGCAGUUUCUCUAGAGUGACAUGAGUCAUUCCUUCAACUUCGCUUGGCUCAACUGGCAUGGUUUUGGAGCAUGCCCCCAGCGAUUGAGGUGAAGAUUUUGAGUUGACAAAGCCGGAAGUGACGUCUUCUUCCAUGAUUUCAUCUUCUUUGUCUUCUUGGGCUUGUUGGCGUGAAGAUUGGCCGGCGUAGAUGAUGGUGCGCCUCUUUACCUUCAGUGGUCCUUUUGUGUCGACCUCCCAAGCUGUUUGGCGCUUUAUCCUUGAAUGAAUCAAGCUUCGAACGUCGUCUUUUCCUGCUAGACCGUCGAGCUUUUCUUCCUUUGGCGUUGUCUUCCUAUUUCUAGAAUGCUUCUUGGUUUCUUCAAGUUUUUCCAAAGCCGAUCGUUGGGGAGGAGAGCCAGCCUUGCUGCUUUGUUUCUUAGGUUUUGACAACCUUUCAAAAACAGAGCUUUGGGGUGUUGGCGUGUUAAGCCGUUUGAAGAUGGAAGUUCGGUCUUGCCCACCAAUGCGAUCAAGUGCCGACCUUCUGGGUUUUGAACGAUUCAGCCUAUCGAAGACUGACACUCGAAUAGGAGGUUGAGGCUCCUCUUGAUCUUGUUCAAUCCUCAAGCUGAUGUGUCGAGUGCUAGCAUUUUUUGCUUUACUUGAAAUCUUCACGGGUGCAUUUGGUGUGAAGCCAAGUCUAGCUCUGUUGUUGUCAACUCCGUAAUCAUGCUUUUCCAACUUCUUCUGAGUCUCGGUGAAGUCAUGAUCUUUGUCGUUGAUGGUGUUUGAAACCUUCUUCUCAAGAUUUGAAGAGGAAGCAAAGUCGUACCCAGCCUUUAACAUGAGUUCGUAGGCGUUUGGGUUGAGACCUUCUUCGGUCCUCUUAGUUGGAAUGAAGCUUGGGUUCGCUUUGACGCCAUGAUGCGCCUCCAGACGGUUGAUAAGUCCAACGGUUUGCAAGUUUUUCUCCUCCGCAGUCUUUAUCAGCCUUGCAAUUGUUUCCUUCAUCUGAACUAGUUGUUCUUCAAUAGAGGUAGCGCCGAUGGUCAUGACUUGUUCUUUGUUUGAAGCCAUGAAGUGUGCUUGAAUUUCUUGAACAGAGAAAGAGAUGAGAGGUAGAGAUUGUCCCACUGGGCGUGCCAAUUUGUGAACACGGAAAAUUCCCGAAACGAAAGAGACAAGAACAACGUGCACAAACAAAUAUUUUGUAUUUGAUGAUUAUUUUGGGUUACAAUCUCUCUCUAAUUUGAUCCUCUGAUUCGAUCUCCGUAAGGUAUUGGUUUGUGGAUGUGCGAUUGAUCCAAGGGCCGUCGAGGCUUGAUCUUGGAUGAACGGAUCUUCAAGGGCUUUUGGGCUUAAUCUUGAAGAAUAGUGAUGAACGGGUCUUCAAGGGCUUUUGGGCUUGAUCUUGAAGGAUGGUUGGAUGUGUGGAUUUGUCGACGUUGUUGAUCCAAAGGGCCGUUGGGGCUUGAUCUUAGGAUGAACGGAUGAUGAACGAAUAACACUUUCUUCAAGGGCCGUCGGGGCUUGAUCUUGAAUUGGUGAAAGUUCUUCAAGGGCCGUCGGGACUUGAUCUUGAAGGUAGAUGAUUGUUGAUCCAAGGGCCGUCGGGGCUUGAUCUUGGAAGAACGAUGAACGAAGAACGAAGAAGGCUUUCUUGGUUCUUCGGGAACCUGGAUGCUUGAGAGCUUCGGAGUUUCAGAGCUUCAGAGCUUCAAGGUGUAAUAUGAAUUUGGUUCCCCUAAAUGAAUGAAAUUGGCUUCUAUUUAUAGAAUUUUUCAAGGCCUAAUUUUGAAUAUAAUAUUCCAGAUGAAAUAAGUCGUUUCUGCCAAGUGUUGACACGUGUCUUAUUUGAUGACUUUUCCGACUCAUUUCAAUUUUUCGUCGAGUCACACACUACGUGUAAAAUUUAUGUAAUACAUGAGCGUUGAAACUUUGAUUUAUCAGUCAACAUUUAUUUACCAAAAUUUCGAUGUCUACAGUUAAAUGAUUUGGCUGUGUGCAUUGUUUCAGGACAAUUUGUUCUUCGUUUUUUGGGGCUUCUGUGCGUAGCUUUGAAGUCCUUUGUAGUCAACAUAAAUAAUUUUAUUUUUCUUUGUUUUUAGUCUUCUAUGUAAGAAUUUCUUAGUUAAUAUUCUGAGAAUUAUGUUUACUAUAGUAUGAAAAUUGAAUCUUUGUGAUCUUCGAAGUGUAACGUCAUUGCAACAUGGACGACUGCCAUUAUCGAACAUGAAAAACAUUUUGAUUUCUGUACUCCGUCUAGUAGAAAACUCUCGACUUCUUCAGAAACCACGAGAAACUUAAAACUGAGAAAGCUUCGCGGUCUCCCUUCCAUCUCUGCUACGCGGUCUCUGCUUUGCGAUCUCUGCUUCCUUCGUGAUUUCUUCCUUCCUGAACGACAUCUAUUCGAAUUGAAAACCUUCUGGAGCUCUCUUCCCCAAAUUUCAGCAGCAACUUUGCUCCAGAUCUUUCCAAUUGAAAUUCCUCUCCUUCACAUUUUGCAUAUUGAAUUUCGCAUCAUCAUCAUCUCCCUAGAACCUAGGAGUUCGGUUCGGUUUCGAGUUUUCCGACGGAAAUCCGGCGACAGCGGCCAUCGAGGUUGGUCUGAAACUAUUCCUCAUCACCACAGGUACUUUCUACACCUAUUACAUUUUAGAAAAAGUUUCAUGACUUUGUGGAAUCCAAUUUAACGAUUAGAAAAAUUUUCAUUAAUUUUCUGGGUUCGUGAGUUGGAGGGGGAUUAGAAAUUUUUUCAUUAUUUUUCUGGGUUUGUGGUUUUUUUUUUCCAAAACGUUUUUCCUUUCUACUAAUCCAAGUUCCUUCACAUCAAUCUCUCUGUUUUGUUCUUGAUCUUCCUCGAGUAGAAUACCUCUUCUUGCUCUGGAGCGCGUGGGCAGUCUCUCUAAGGCAGCCCAUGACGUCAUUUUCCGAUUCGACUCGGAGGAGGUUGGCUGCUCUUCUUGGCUGAGCUUCAUGGCUGGCCGAAUUCCCCUAUUCCCUUCCUCUUAUACUUUUUUAUAUUCGUUCACCAAAACAAUAGGAAAACGUCUCCGUCUGUUUGAUUGACGGCGAAAAAAAAAAAGACGGAGAAUAAAAGCCUGACGGAAGCUGAAAGCUUGGACUCUGUUUGUAUUUUUAAUGGAUUUUCAGAACACAGGUCAAGAAUAUUGCGAUUUGAGAAAAAAAGAAAGAACCACGUUGACAUAAUAUAUUCACAAUAGGUGUACAAGGUUCAUAAAGCUUUACUGUGGUUCCAUUUUUUGUUAAUGGAAUUAGCCUUUUGUUUUAGGAAGAACUUGGAACCCCCUCCGUCCAUUCUAUCCCCAAUGGAAUUAACACUUAGAUAGUACUAUGACAAUGUGUCAUUAUUUGAUGCAUACCUGUAUAAAUUUAGGCUAAGUGUUUUAUACACAAAUUGAUACAGAUUAACUAUACAAUGAUAACUAUAUACCGGAGAGCUAACUAUACAAUGAUACAUUCUUAUCUGUUAAUUAUCUUUGGUUACCAGCUAUCCAUGUUGCUGUCAUAUUAAACUACACAACAUCAGUUGUAAUUUAUGUCUUAUUAGUAUCAUCAUUUUUGUUCAUUAUUUCAAUGUCUAACAUAACUCCGCCUAUGUCUUACAUGGCCGGUCCCAAGCCCGGAUAAAGGAGGAGGGGGAGGGCGUCAGGUAGUCGACAGCCGGCACUCCAUGAUCACGUCGAAUCCUUAUGAAAAUGAAUCCAGAACAAAACCCCACUUAGUGGGAAAAGGCUUUGUUGUUGUUGUAUUUCAAUGUCUAACAUGAUGAUCUGGUUUCAAUUUGCUACAGGCAUUAUUUCCAGACAAUAGCUAUGGUUUUGAUUGUAGCGGUGACUGAAAAAUUAUUCCGAAACUAACAUUUGAGGAAUUCAAGGUUUGUUAGUUAAUUUGUACAUCAGAAUACCAUGACAAACUAUGAAGUUGUAAUUGUUGACCUUACAAUGUAUCUUUUUUGGUUUGGAGCAUUAGACUUAUAUGUGUUGCUUUCACCUCAUGAAGGCUAACUCUUUAUUUUAGGCCGUAAGAGUAUAAUUUCUUGGAGAAUCUACAUUGUUGAUAAUUUUUUGAACAAUAUUAUCCCCAAAAUUUCUCCGCAUGUUACCCUCAACGUAGACAUCAUAUAACCAUCAUUGAACUUCUGAACCAAAAAUUUGAGUUUUAUGAUUAUAACUAAACGUCUAUAAACACAUGAUACAGAUUGAGACGAAUGUCAAAUUUAAAAUGGCAUUAAUACAGCUGCAAACUCUGAUUUGCGGGAUUUGAAAUGGAGCAGUUACUUCUUGCUUCACUUCAGCAGCAUAGUCCAGCUUCUAAAUUCAGUUCUCAGGUAUGAGGUUUCUCAGUUACCUCUUUUUUGUAAUAAAACAUUUGAUCAGUACUUGCCAGGAUAUCCAAUUAAUUAGGUCAGUUUUUGUUAGCAGUAAUAAUUUGUUUUUGCAGCUUUAUAUGUGUCUCUGUCUCCAAAUAUGAUGAUCUCUUAAUUUGCUUCUAUAGCUUUUGUAAUAUAAUGAUCUCUUAAUUUUCUUUUGCAUAUCUUCUUUGCUUCCUCUGCUAGCUCUAUAUGAGAUUCCAUCUCCAAAUAAUUAUUCCUUAUUUCCUAUUUUUACCAGAAGCAAAUCAUUGAAUACACAUGGUAAAUUAAAAGGGUUUUAGUUUUUGGAGUAGUUUAAAUUUUUUGUUUGUUAUUGCUUGUAUUGCUGUUAAAUAUUUGAUGGGUAGUUUGAAAUGGGGAACUUGGUUGAUUGAGUAUUAACUUUUAUUAAAUUAAUAUUCUUAUUCAAUAUUGAAUUAAGACUCCUCUUAUUAAAUUAAGACUCUUAAGGCUCUAAUCUAAUGUUCAUGCUCAAUAUCUCCUCUAUCUUUCUACAAUUGGUAAAACUUUUGUAUUAUUAUUCCAAUUUUGGUUACUGGGUUGUGGAAUUUUCCAUUUUUUUUCUGGGUAAUCAAUACUAUAUAUAUGCAUGACAAGUAUAAACAAUAUUUUGGGGCAAAUUUAGUUGUUUAAUUUUUAAUUUUUAUGUGACAGUGAGAUUAUGGUAGGAUUUCGUUUAGAUUCUGCGGCCCAAUGGGAGUCUCUGCUUUGAUAAGAUUGGGGUUGAUGCCAAGAAAGCCAAUAAGCCUACUGUGGACGCCGUAGCCGCCUGGCGCUGUUUUCCAAAAUCCUCUCUCACUUGGUUAAGCAAUUAAGACUUUUUGGUUCAGUUUUUAUUAUGCCCAAUUUUGUAUUUAAACCUUAAAAAAAUUUAAACUGAUAUGGGGAUACUGAAAUAGGCUGCAGAGCUGCCAUCCCUGAAUCAGAAGAUGUUCAGAAGGAAGAAGAAGAACAAGAAGAAAGUCGUGGAAUAUCAAAAGCUUUUAGCUUUGUGAAGGUAUGCUUUUUCCCAACUCACCUCUUGCUUUUGUUGCACUGAAUUGGUAGAUUGGGUUCAAAAAUAUAUAUAUGUGAUUUUUCGUGUAACUAUUUCUUUACAUAAUUACCAAUUGGAGGUGAUUUGAGAUCAUGUAACAUUUCCUCGCUAGAACCGAAGAUUGCCGUCGCUCAGAGCUGCGUUUCAUGAAACAAGUUCAUCUCCUGCCAAUUUUGUGUACCCACCUUUUAUUCAUGAGGGUUGGUGCUUGCUUGCAACACAAUUUGGUGCUAUUAAGUUUUGCGGUUUUACAAUUUGUUCAUGCUUAAACCUCUUUCAAAUUUUCAUUUCUAUGUAAAUCUUGCAGGUAGGACGACACACCUAUCUUGGCAAUGUCGGGAUGUCUAGGCUUGGGUGGAGACGUGGUCUUAUGGAAGAGGUGAAGUAGCUUAGCUCGAUCUCAUUAGCUCUUAUCUGUUCUAUUAUGCUAAGAUCAAUAGUAAAAAGUUCUAUUGAUUUUAUAAUCAAAGAUACAUAUAUUAUAGAAACAGAGGGUAUAUAAUUAAUUUCUUGAUGUAAACAAUUAUAACUUGAGGAACCAUUUAAAGUAUUUUGGUAAUCAGCAUACUUAAACUUAAAUGUGAUAUAUCCGUUUAGUAUUUUUUUUAUACAGUGAUAAUACUUAAGUAUAAUUUACAUCAUAUAUCUUUUGAAGUACAUGAAACUAUGAAGAAAAUGAUAAACCAAAUCCCAUUCCAUCUCUGUUUGCUACUGCACAAUCACAAUCCAAUUCCAACAUGGAAUCCUCAGACGACAUGCCUACUGCAGAACAAGUUUCAUCCUGACUUAACUUAUAUUUAGUCCACGUCCUGUUUAGAUUGUAAUCCUAGUUCUACGUGUGUUUGUAUAGUACUCCUAUAAAUAUCAAUGAACAUCGCUCACUCUAAUUAAGAGUUGAGAUUCUGCAAAUCAUAUUUACUAUCUUUCAUGGUAUCACGAGCCAGCGUCUAACGACAACGGUUCCUAUUAUAAUUUUUUUCUCUUUUGCAGAUCCUAAACUAUGGCAUCUUCUUCCUCCUCCGCUGCUCCCUCCAUCACAAAUUUUCUUACGAUCAAGCUCGACCGCAACAACUACCCUCUUUGGCAUGCUCAGUUUCUUCCCUUGCUGCGCAGCCGCAACUUACUCUCUUAUGUUACUGGCGAAACUCAAUGCCCCUCUUUCUUCUUGAUGACAAUGGUAAAUUCACCGAUAAAGUCAAUCCAUUAUAUAAUGAAUGGAUCCAGACUGACCAGAUGAUCCUAUCUUGGAUUACGAGUUCUCUUACUCCCAAGGUUCUUGCUACGAUCGUCAACAAAAUUGAUUCGGCCUCUGCUUGGUCGUCAAACUCGAAUUAAUCUGAUUGUGAGGGUUUUGUUUUAUAUCAAUAUAUUGCAACAGAAGUCACACUUUGAAGAGUUCAUGCUGCACAGAAAGAUGAUGAAAUGCUACCCGUUGAGUCUAUCAUUGCUCCAUUGGAGACAGAGCUGAAGCUUACUGCAGGAGUUAUACAUUUGUUAUGCAAUAUGACCCCUUUAAUUUUAUUUUAAAACUGAUACAAAAAUACUACAAAAAUUUAUGUAGUAUUUUUGUAUCAGUUUUGAGUGUCUAUUUUGGCUUCCAUAUAUCGUCUGUACAUGUGAGAGGUAUAGUGUUCAAUAUGUAUUUGGUUUCUAUAUUGUUAAUGGAUCCUUUUUUUUUUUUUAAUUUUAAUAUAAUUUUAUUAAGGUAACCAAGUUGCAGGAUGACAUCAGAACACUUGAUCUGCAGGUAAACCUUCAAUUUCCAUAUGAAGUUUGCAUGUUCGUUGUUUCUGGAAUUUGAGUUUUUAUUAUUUCUCAAUUCUAUCACAUAGAUUACGAUUUCACAUAUGUGAUUAUUAAUGGCAAUUAUAUGAUAGAAGAAUUGGGAUUGGAAGAAGAUAUUGAGUUGUUUAUUUAUGGGGAUUAGAAAAUGAUUAUCAUACAAGUGAUAUUUAUUUUUGUGUGGAUUGUUAAUAUAUAAAACUAUAAGCUUUUGAGAUUGGGAGAUAAAACCCACAAAUUCAAAUCAGACAAAAUAAAUAAAAAAUUUAACUGACUUAAAGAUCAAACUCCAAAAGGGUAUUAAAAACAAGGCUUAUUUGAUCCAUUGAGUGUGAAAGUUUUGAGCUUUGAAGAAGCAUAGGAGGAGAGUUGUUAACCAAGCUGCAUUAUCCAUGUAUUAGGAUGUUGAGGGUAGGCAGGAAAAAUACUUUUUGACGCCAUAUCCAGAGGAGCAUAACGACAGGCCUGCAUUUUUGCAGCAAGGACCAAAACAAGUAGAAGUGAAGGCUUGACUGUUUGGGUAUUAAUCCUAAACCUAAUUAUUCUUAUUUAGGUUUAGGAUAAAUGAUUGAGUGUGUCUCGAUGAUUGUAUUACCAUGUUUGAUGAAUGACUUGAGGAGUUGGAAAUGGUUUAUUGCUUAUGUUUUUCUUAGGUGUGUACUUUGGUUAUUUCCGAGCUUUUCACGACUCUUGAUACCUAAUAGAGAAAAUGGAAACCCCAACUUUAAUUUUAUGAAUUGGUUUUGGUGCCUAAAAUGAAAUCUAGCAUAGUGAAAUCUUGCAUAAUGAAAUUAUGACAAAUUUCCCUUCAUCUUUAGAUUUUCAUUUAGUUCAAUUUGUAUGCAAUUUAGGGUUAUUCAAUUCAUGAGUGAUCAAAUUAUGUUUUUAAUUCCUUCUUCUUUUGAUUUACAGUUCAACAUUGUCGUACAAAAUGAAAAAGGUGCCAGUAACAUAGUUAUGGAUUUGGAUGCCUUUAGCGGAAUAAAACUGAAUUUUUUAACUUUGUAUAGUUGUAAACAUAAAAUACUCCAUCAGAUAGACUCAUAGCAUUUGAAAACAAUCCUUGAGGAUGGCAUAACAACAUCUCCAACUUUUGUCAUGUAAUGUAUGAAUGUAAAUAGCACUUUGUAAACAUAUGGAUGUAAUAUAUGUAUAUAAACAGUCUUUAGCAUGUAUAUUUUUCAAAACUUUCUACAUCUUCAACAAUGUUUCAAUGAUUUCUUGAUGUAAACAAUGAUAAUUUGAAGAACCAUUUAAAGUUUUCGGUAAUCAGCAUACUUAAGCUUAAAUGUGAUAUAUCCGUUUAGUAUUUUUUAUACAGUGAUAAUACUCAAGUAUAAUUUACAUCAUAUAUCUUUUGAAGUACAUGAAACUAUGAAGAAAAAACCCUAAUUAAUCUGAUUAUGGGGGUUUUGUUUUAUAUCAAAAUAUUGCAGCAGAAGUCACACUUUGAAGAGUUCACGCUGCACAGAAAGACGAUGAAAUGCUAUCUGUUGAGUCCAUCAUUGCUCCAUUGGAGACAGAGCUGAAGCUUGCUGCAGGUGGUAUACUUUUGUUCUGCAAUAUGACCCCUUUAAUUUUAUUUUAAGACAGAUAGGGUUGAAAAGAAUUUAUGUAGUAUUUUUGUAUCAGUUUUGAAUGUCUAUUUUGACUUCCAUAUUUGGUCUGUACAUGUGAGGUAUAGAGUGUUCAAUAUGUAUUUGGUUUCUAUAUUGUUAAUGGAUCUUUUUUUUUUGUUUUUUAGGUAACCAAGUUGCAGGAUGAAAACAAAACACUUGAUCAGCAGGUAAACCUUCAAUUUCCAUAUGAAGUUUGCAUUUUUGUUGUUUCUGGAAUUUGAGUUUUUUGCAGGAUGAAAACAGAACACUUAAUCUGCAGGUAAACACUUGAUUUGUUAUUUCCAAGCUUUUCACGACUUUCGAUACCCAAUAGAGAAUAUGGAAACCCCAACUUUAAUUUUAUGAAUUUGUUUUGGUGCCUAAAAUGAAAUCUAGCAUAGUGAAAUCUUGCAUAAUGAAAUUAUGACAAAUUUCCCUUCAUCUUUACAUUUUCAUUUAGUUCAAAUCGUAUGGUUUAGGGUUAUUCAAUUCAUGAGUGAUCAAAUUAGGUUUUUAAUUCCUUCUUCUUUUGAUUUUCAGUUCAGCAUUGUCGUAUUUUGGAUGCCUUUAGUGGAAUAAAACUGAAUUUUUUUAACUUUGUAUAGUUGUAAACAUAAAAUACUCCAUGAGAUAGACUCAUAACUUUUGAAAACAAUCUUUGAGGAGGGCAUAACAACAUCUCCAACUUUUGUCAUGUAAUGUAUGAAUGUAAAUAGCACUUUGUAAACAUAUGUAUGUAAUAUAUGUAUAUAAACACCACUCUUUAGCAUAUAUAUUUUUCAAAACUUUCUACAUCUUCAACAAUGUUUCAAGCCCCGCGGCAACGGGCGGGUACACUUGCUAGUAUACAUCUAAAAUUAUAAGACUAAAUCCUUUAGUUCUUGGAUUCAUCUAAGAACUACUUAUUCCAGCAGAUGCUAUGCUUGCACUACUAGAAUUUAUGGCUUGCCCUGUCAACUAUUGCGCGACAGAAGAUUUCGUCGGUUUCACCUUUUUUAACCGACAGAAUAUAAGUUUAGUAGGGCAAAAUCAGUCAACAAACUGGGUUGAUUGAAUAAAUUUACAGGAUGGCUAGAGUUCGUAGGUUAAGACAUCGGUCGUUGGGCAAACAUUUGGAGCGAAGAUGUGAGUGUUUUAACUGACGAAUAAGCUGGUCGUCAUGUAGAUCUUCUUUCCCGACGGACGGUUCAACAGGUAGCUCUUUGGAUAAUAAUUCAUCUUCAAGGGGAACAGGUUGCCCCUCAGAUGAAUGGUUAGAGGCAAUUGUGAGACUAUAAUUUUCUAGGGCCGGAAUAAAAAAUACAUAAACCCUCACCUAUUCUGUCUCUGUAACCAUCCACCAAAUACCCAUUUUUCCCUUUCUAUUUCUCUCCUAGUAAUUUCCCCUGACCGAAUCACACAAUCCAACCAACUCUCUUUAAGCCUCCCUCACUGAUUCCAUGGAUUUCAUGGACUUAUCCCACCCUCUCUCCUUCCUUCUAUAUAUAGCAAGUCCCCUUGCCUCAGUGUCCCUGGCAACAGAAUUUAUGGCGUUUCUUCGUUCUUUCAAUUAUUUGAAAGCUUCCCUGCCCUGCAAUCUUGUAUAAAGGCGUAUGGUGUUUCAUCAGUUCCAUUUGGUGGUCGGGUGGGAAAUGAAAUUAAAACACUGCAUUUCAAAUGCAUUUCAAAUGGUCUAAACCAAAUUGAAUCAAAUGUGAAGCAAAGGGCAAGAGGUGUAGAUUGAAGAACAAUGGCACCAAGAGCGAAAUUGAACUUGUUGACAGGAGGAAACCAAGUAAGGAUAACACGUCUAAAUCUUAUUUUGAAUCCAUUCAGCUCAUGAUGUUUUGAAUGAUGAUGAUCGGUAUACUCUGCUACAUGCUGUGAUUUUUCCGCUUUCAUGUAAUUAACGGCUUAUAUUUGUGGUAACCAUAUUGAUUAAAAAAGGUCGUACCCAGUGCACAAGGCUCCCGCUUUACGCAGGGUCUGAAAGGUGAAUGUCGGCUAGCCUUACCCCCAUUUUAUGGAGAGGCUGCUCCAAAGUCUCAAACCCAAGACCUACCGCUCAUGGGCGAAGACACUUGCCAUCGCACCAAGUGCGAUAUUGAUUAAUUUCGAGAAAUGACAGUCUAAUUUUUGCAACUGUCUUUUGCAGGCAAAACAAAGACGUUUGCAAGGGUGAGUUGUGUAGGAGCUUUGUUUCAUGUCCAAAGGACACUUGAGAAUAAAUGUUUACACUCAUGGAUAAUAUCUAUCUAUUUGCAGGAGUAACCCUGGGUUCAUUUGUUCUGUAACUGCUGGUCAUUGCGGCAUAUCACGCCUAUAGCACUGACAAAAGUAAAAAGAGAAUCGAAUGAAAUUUGAUAAGUUUUCAGCGGACUACAAAGAUCUUAAGCCAAGCAUAUAUUCCCAUGCAGAUAUUAAGAGGUUUACAAAUCAAUUCAAGUACAAGUUGGGCCAAGGAGCAUACGGAACUAUUUUUAAAGGAAUGCUUUUUUCUGAAUGCUUUGUUGCCAUGAAGUACUUAACAAUGGGCCAUAUUCACCAUGUCAAUGUGGUUCACUUGGUUGGUUUUUGUGCUGAUGGAUUUAGAUGAGCUCUGGUUUAUGAGUUCUUUUCCUUUGGUUCACUCCAGGAUUAUAUUUCAUCAGUAGAUAGAUUUCUUUCCUUGGUUGGCAUAAGUUACAAGAUAUUGCUAUCAGCAUAGCCAAAGGAACCAAGGAUGUGAUCUACAAAUCCUCCAUUUCGAUAUCAAACCCCAUAAUGUUUUGCUCAACCAAAAAAUCACGCCAAAAAUCUCUGAUUUUGGUCUGGCCAAGUUAUGUUCCAAGGAUCAAUCGGCGUGACUAAAGCAAGGGGGACUAUGUGACUAAAGCACCCGAAGUGUUUUCCAGGAAUUUCGGAAAUGUGUCUUACAAGGCAGAUGUCUUGAAUGCUGCUGCUUGAGAUGGUAGGAGAAAAGAAGAAUAUUGGUUCAACCAGAGGACACGACAAAUGAAAUCUACUAUCCAAAAUGGAUUUAUAAUCUUCUAGAGGAAGGAAAUGACCAACAGAUCCCUAUUGAGGAAGAAUGUUAUGGUAAGAUUCCAAAGCAACUUGCAAGUUUAGGGCUCUGGUGCAGCCAGUGACACUCAGUGGAUCGGCGGUCCAUGAAAACGGUGGUUCGGAUGUUAGGAGGAGGAGAAAACUUGAUGAUGCAAGCAACCCUAAAAGCCUCAUACAGUUAGAAGCAAUUGCUGAAUUAGAGUAACAUACGUAUAUGUAUACGCACCAACACAAGUCGUUCUUAGAUGAAUCCAAGCCAAACAAUUACAGACAAUAGUUAUUCACUAAAUCACUUUAAGGCAAGAAUUUAAUUAAUAAUACAUUACUGCACUUUCUUAACCAUUUGACUAUCACCUAGCUGACAAUGAACACGUUAGCUCCGCGUUAGAACAUCUUGGGUUCAAUUCAUUGUCUUGAAUAUCACCCACUGUCACAGGCGUCUUUUGGGGGCAUAGAGAAGGCCUGAGAGGCAUUUGCAGACAUUCAACAUCUCCUCCAAGCAUUUUGACAACUUUGGACAUCGAAGGGCGAUCACUUGGUUUCAUUUGAAUACACCACAAGGCGGUUAUAACCAUCUUUCUUAUUACUUUCUUUUCCUCCUCUGUAACAUUGUCCAUUUCCAAGUCAUUUCCUACAAUAUACUGAUCGUAUACCCACAUUGGGAAGUAGAUUUGGCUUGAAUGCUCUACCGUUGGAUUCAAAUUCCUCCUUCUGCUUGCCAUUUCCAUCAACAACAUUCCAAAACUAUAGACAUCUGACUUAUAUGAGACGCCUCCAAUAUUUUUGUAGAACAACUCAGGAGCAAUAUAUCCCAGUGUACCCCGUGCUGCUGUCAAAGAGACAAUGCUAUUAUCUACAUGAUACAAUUUUGCAAGCCCAAAGUCAGAAACCUUUGCUUUAAAGUUCUCAUCAAGAAGGAUGUUAUGAGGCUUGAUGUCGAAAUGUAGAAUUUGCAUUUCGCAACCUUGGUGUAGAUAUUCGAUCCCUUGAGCCACUCCAAGAGAAAUCUCGUACAUGUUCUUGAUAGUUAAGGGGACACUUCCUUCUUUGGAAUAAAUGUAUUUAUCAAGAGAACCAUUAGGCAUGAAGUCAUAGACUAGAGCGCGUUUUGAUCCCUCAACAUAGUAUCCAACAAGUUGCACCACAUUGGCAUGGUGAAUCCUUCCGAUUGUAGCUAAUUCGCUAAUGAAAUCUUGGCCAUCAGCUUUGGGCUUGGCCAAAACUUUAACUGCUACAAAUCGACCACUGCGUAGCUUUCCCUUAAAUACAGAGCCAAAGCCACCUUUGCCCAACUUGUCCUUAAACUUGCGAGUCAUUUUCUUGACGUCCGAGUAAGAGUACCUUAUAGGCAUGAAGUUGUUAUUGCAUUGCAGAAAAUCUUCUAUUGUGCUAUACAUUGAUAAAUGUCUUCUGCGCCAUGUGUAGAUUAGAAAUGCAGUCACAAUUGGAACUCCAAAAACAAAUCUGGCUAGGAAAAAUAACCCUACAUGCAUUGACAUUAAUAUGUUAGAUCCACUGCGUACUACUUUUUCUUCCCUUUCUUUCCAAAUUACUUUGUCUUUGAUGUAAUUAAAGAGAGAAUGGGAAAUGUACAUAUGUUGAUAAUACAAUCUCGUCUUAGUCCUUACCGAUGCAUAUGAGUAUAAACCAUACACGUACUGCAACAAAAUCAAUCGACUAUGAGUUUGAAAAGUGCAUAAAGUGAAAAAAAAAUAAAAAAAAUCAAAGGGUGCCUUUAUUGACAUCCAAAUUUUAGUUAGUUUUACUCAACUAAAAAAUUUUUGUCAUCAAACUUUUUAAUUUGCCGUCGAAAUUGAGUUCACCCAACCCACAAAGCAGCAACUACCACUCACCAAAAAAACCAACAACACACAGCCACCAGUACCAUUCACCAAUAGAAAGAGAAGGAACACACAGACCCACCAAGGAGCCGGCAUCGACGCGUCUACGAGGGAGGGACCGGAGGGUGGUGUAGUUUUGUUGGGCGCGCGGUAGUGGUUUUGUCUGUUCAUUUUCUCUUUGUUUUGGUAGGUGGAGGCUGGUGUGGAUUUGGGCGAACUUAAAAAUGAGGGGAAACUAUGAAGUUUGACAAAAUGUUUUAGUUAGGUGAACUUCACUAAAAUUUGGGUGCCGAUAAAGAUACCCAAAAUCAAAAGACUAGAUGGACUAAUUAAAUGAAGCUCUUACCCAUAUAUAACGAUGGACGCAACUUGCCAGCUGCUGCAGUACAUACCACGGAAAAGUGAGCAAAGACAUACAGUUACUAGGUUUAAGAAGUACAGAUAGAGCACACAAAAAAUAAAAGAAGCUUUUGGGAAGAAACUUCUUACGCAAAUAGAUUUUUUUCAUGACCUACAGUAAAAAAAUGUCAAGAAGAAUACACAACAUUAGCAAUAGCUCACCCAGUCUUCAAAAUUUAAAAAAUCAAGUUUGUCGAUCGAAAACUUGUAAAUAAAACAAAAAGAGGACCCCUUACCGAUUUGUUGCCAUAGAUAUUGAAAGAAACCUACAAGAACAAAGAAAGAACAAGACCACAUGCAUUAGAAUAACAAGUGUGAGGUGUAUAAGCCGUUAGAAAAUAAAUUUAAAAUUCUAGUGCUGUCAAUACAUUGAUAAUAUAUAUAUAUAUAUAUAUAUAUAUAUAUAUAUGUAUGUAUGUAUUAUUUUUUCUGAAAAUUUAACUUUUCCCGUCCAAACUCAUUUUUCUAGUCUCUAGCCCAACAUAUAAUAUUUAUCUGAAUAAAACCAAAUGAUUAGGAUCCAACUAAGAAACUUACCAAAUUAAGUUUGUGUGUCCAUUUUUAUAUUUUUUGGAUCCCUAAUAUACCCCAUCUAAGCCAGUAUGGAAAGGUCUUGUAAUUUUGCUUUAAGUGAUUACGUGCAUUGAAUUUGGCAAGGUCUUAUAGCCAUGAAAUAUGGUUCUAGAUGGAGGAAUUAAUUUGGAAUUUUUUUUAAUUUCGACAACAAAUUUCAAUUUGAAUAUACCUAAUUUAGUGUUUAUUUUCAACAAUAAAUGUGCCUACUUUUUAAAUUUGUAACAAAAUUAAUUUACCUACUUUUUAUGGUAUUAGUGACACACCCUGUCCCGAAGGAGGGCAUGCUGGCCGUCACGAGAGAGUGACGUAACCAUUUGCACAGUACGGAAGCUUUAAGAUACAAUUUAUAAGUUGAUACACCCGAAGGUGAGUCCUAAUUUUUGUCCAAUCUGUCAGAACACCGUCAAAUUCCUCGUAGUCACCACACCUUUGUGAUUCCUGAACCUGGAGGGGCGCAAAACCAAAAUUGAGUGGGUCAGUAAAACAAUUCUUUUCCAAAUCCAAACAUUUCUCAAAACGUUGUAACCCUCUCCGUAAAACUUGUAUACUUUCCCAGAAAUGUAAAAUAUAAAUAUACAUAUAUAUUCUCAAACUUCAUUUUUACUAUCUCAACAUUUUUCUUUAUCAAACAUGCCAUGCCAUGUCUAAUUCAACAGUUAAGUAUGGAUGCAUCAACAAUAAUCAUAUCAGGUGCAAGAAAGUAAUCAACCGGAGGCCCUCUAAUAGCCCUGUACGGUUGAACCUAGAGCUCAAAAUCUAUCACUCUCACUCUGCCGGGAGUCACCUCUGUGACCUGUCCGGCCUUCUGCACACAAGUUACGCUCUAGUGCUUUCUCAUCAAUCAUCUGUGCACAUAAUCUAAGGUCACCCACCAGUCGAAAUCUCACUAACACUCUUCGACUGGCCCGUCGCACCCACUCCGCGUGGACUGUGCGACCAGCAUCUACUUGGAUCCAAGGCGAGCGUGCGAUGCGGUGAAUACUAUAAGCACUAAACCAUGGUGCAGGAUUUGAGCUCAAUAUAUAUCAACAUCAUCAUAACAGUACUUAAAUACUCACCUGAUACUCACCUGUGCGUCCGCCGCACCAAUUCAUACAUAUGCAUCAUAUUUCAAUUCAUAUCAUUUCAUGCAUGGCAAUUCGAUUCACAUUUCUAUAUACAUUUCAUAUACUUCUAUGCAUGACCUUUCAAUUCACGUUUUCAUAUAAUUCUAUAUACCUUUCAUUUAAAACAUAAUUUCAUUCUAAUUCAAUUUCUGGGAAAACGUCAAGUAUAUAUAUACGGAAAACAAAACUGCCCACUCACCUGGAGUUCGUCCAACAACUCCCUAGCACCACACAUCAAGGCGUCAUGACGAUCGCCGUCUAGAACAGUAAUCAAAUCCAGCCUCAGAAUUCAUAUCGAUAGAACAUAUAACUUAUAUAAAAUAUGUCACUACGUAGAUCGAUCCGGAAGAUCUGCCACUCAGAUUUUAAAUCCAUAACUUCCAGAGGUCCACAAUAUAUCUCUAGGAUAACAUCCUAAAAUUUCAUUACCAUCCAACGGUCGGAUCUCCGUCAAUUUCCAAAACUAAGUGACGGUUAACAUUUUAUUUUAUGAACUUACAAUUCUAAUUCCGGAAGAUCCGUAACUCGGAUUCCCAAUCCGUAAGUUCCAAUAAUCCUCAAAUAUUACGUAUUACAACGUAUCAAAGUUUGGUAACGAUCCAACGGUCGGAUCAUCAAUUCACAUUUUCACCUAAUGCGAAAACUAUAAAACGUUAUUCGAACACCUAACCAACAAUCCUUAAUAACUUUCUCAUACGGUGUUCAAUUUGGGUAUAUGAAUAUACCACAGUGAUCUACUCAUUAAAAUAAUUUUUUACUGUAGCACGCGCCCCCACGCGCCAAGGAAGGCACGGACCUACGCGCCCCCACGCGCACCUUCUUCUUCCUUGGGUCGCCGGACUGGUUUUUCCGGCGGCCGUUUUUCAAAUUGCCAUAACUUUGUCAUUUCUCAACGAAAUCAAGUGAUUCAAAAACGAAAGUUGUAGCCCUUGAAGAGACAAAGAGAAUGGUACCUUGCACAACACCUAGUUCGCCGUGGUUUGGCCGGAAACUGCUUCGAAAGCCUCGGAGGUCGCCAGAAACUGGGUAUUUUUCAAAUCAGUAUAACUUCUUCAAUACUCAACGAAAUUGAGUGAAACAAAAAGGAAAGUUGUAGUACUUGACGAGACGAAGAGAUUGAUACCUACCUCGACUCCUAACUCACCGGAUAUUCGCCGGAAAAUGCCUCGAAAGCUCCGGCCAAACUUUGAACUUGUCGAUCUCCGUGUUCUUACAUCCAAAAACUUCCAACGAAGCACUCCGAGCUUCCUUGGGACCUCACUAAGCUCGCUAUGAUCUUGUUUUAGCCUAAAACGUAGUCAUUUAGAAGAUCAUGAACAAUACCAUUUCACGGGAACUUUGAAACUAGGGUUUUCCGAAGCAAAACUUACCUGAAAUGGAUACCAUCGUGAUCGUGGAGGUUCCAGGAGUUUGAUGGUGGUCUUAACUCUGUCGUUGGUGGAAGUUUAAGGUUGUUUUGUGGUUGGUUUGUUCGAACGGAGAAGAAGAGUGACAGAGAGAGUGAGAGAGUCGUGAGGGAAGAGAGAGAGAGACAGCAUGCAGAAAAUAGGGAGAGGAUUGAGGGGUGUGGGGAUCCCACGUGGUCCUUUUCCAAUCCCCAACUCCAAACCAUAAAAUUUUAACCUAAAAAUCUAAGUUCAAUCCUUAAUAAAUUCCAUUUUAUUUUCAAAACUUAGGAACCUAGAUAAUUAUCAACUUGAGCUUCACAUACUUAGUAUUUCUUAAGGGCAAUUUCGUUCAUUCACAGCCACGAAUGUAAUAUUUUGGAACGGGCUGUGACAAUUAGUAUACAUAAAUGUAGAAUAUAUGUCCGUAUAUAUUUGAUCCAAUUAGUAUUAGGGAGAAUGACAAGUCAUCCAAGUCUGCUACUGUUAAUAAUUCUGUUACUGUAAAUUAACUGAUUGUAUUAGUUGUGAUUAGUUAAGAUAGUUAUAAAGUAGUUAGGGGUAUCUAUGUAAAUAGCCAAAGGCUAUAUAUAUUCCUACACAAUGUGUAAAGUUCUCAGUCAAGUAAAUACAAUCAAGAAAACUUACUGUUGAAGUUUUCUGUUUCUACAUGGUAUCACGCCAUUCCGCUUCACAGCUUCGAUCUUUCUCUUCGCUUGCUGCAUCGAUCGACUCUUGAUCGAUUUUUCUUCUCUGAUCUUCUCUUCGCUUGCUGCAUCGAUCGACUCAUGAUCGAUUUUUCUUCUCUGAUCGUCACUUCUUCCCUUCCGAUCUUGUAGUAUUUUCUUGAUUUCUGUCAGUAAUGGCGGCUCAAUCGACUGGUUCAUCUUCUCCGGUCAUCUCCCCCUCGAGCCCAAACCCUAAUUUUCUCUGGAAACCCUAAUUCCUCUGGAAAUCCGAGUCCUCUGACUUCCUACACUUCUCUCUCACAAUUCAUAACAUCGGCAGCAUGGUGCCGAUCAAGCUCAAAAGAUCCAAUUACCUACCAUGGCGCGCCCUGUUUGGCCCGAUUUUCCGGCGAUACAAGCUUCUUGGAGUAAUCGAUGGUACUGACGUCUGUCCAUCGCCAUUUCUGCCUGAUCGUAGCAUCAAUCCUGCUUUUGAGGACUGGUAUGAGAAAGAUCAAAAUCUUUUUGAUCUGGUUGAAUUCCACACUUUCUGAGGAAAUCAUCCCGUUCACGGUUGGGGUUUCAUCCUCUCGAGAACUUUGGGUAAAGCUUGAACAGCGCUUUGGUGGAAUUUCAGAGGCUCAUAUCCAUCAGUUGCGAUCGCGCCUUCAAUCUGUUCAGAAAGGAUCGCGUUCUAUCUCUGACUAUCUUCAAGAACUCAAGGAAAUUUCAGAUUCUCUGCAAGCUGCUGGUGCUUCUGUCUCUGAUCGAGAUCUUAUCGCCGCCACACUACAUGGCUUGCCUGAUGAAUUUGAGUCUUUCAUCGACUGUAUCAUGCUCCGAUUGUCCUCUACCUCUCUGAUGAACUUCAUGGCCUCCUUCUCACAAAGGAAUUGUCUAUGGCCAGACGCAAAACUGUCAGUUCAUCUCCUGUCCCUGAAUCUUUUCAGGCUUUCUCGGUGCAGUCUCAGCCUCAUCUCCUUCCUACUCCAUCUGCUUUUGCUGCUCAGAAUCUCCCUCUUCAAUCUGCAUCUCGGUUCAACUCUAAUCGUGGCAGGAACACUAAGGGCCAGUUCUUUUCCAAUCGAGGUCAUCGAGGUAAUCGUGGUAAUUUUCCUAAUAAACCGUGGCAAUCGAGGUUAUCAAGGAUUUCGCAGCAAUCAAGGCUCUUCUCACUUCAAAGUGCUUUGUCAAAUCUGUGGUUCUACCAGUCAUGAGGCUAUUGACUGCUUUGAUCGUAUGAAUCCUGACAUCUUGUGGUCGUAUUCCUCCAGCUAAGCUUGCUGCCAUGUGUGCCACAACAUUCUGCUAAACCAUCUCAGCCUUGGUUAAUUGAUUCAGGGGCAACCUCUCAUAUCACUAAUGAUGUUGCUAACCUCACCUCUCCUACUCCCUACACUGGCGAGGAUUAAAGUGUAUAUUGGAGAUGGUAAAGGUUUAUCCAUCCUCAAUGUUGGUUCAUCUACUCUGCACACCUCUCAUAAUUCUUUUCAAUUGCGAAAUGUUUUACAUGUUCCCCACAUAACCCAUAAUCUUAUCUGCUUAUCAGUUUUGUUAAUGAUAAUAAUUGUUCAUUGACACUUGACCCUUAUGGAUCCUAUGUCAAGGAUCGUAUUUCGGGGAAGAUGCUUUUACGGGGACCGGUUAGAGAUGGCUUCUAUCCUCUUCAAAGUUCCAGCAAUCUUCAUCCUCUUUCACAUACCGCUUUACUUAGUAUUAAAGCUCCAGUUACAAUUUGGCACAAGCGUUUGGGUCACCCUUCCUCCUCCAUUUUUAGAAGGCUCCUUUCAUCCAAUAAUCUUGCUUUACAAGGCAAGUCUACUGUGGACUUUUUCUGUUCGGAUUGUGCUCUUGCCAAGAAUCAUAAGCUUCCAUUUAAAGCUGCUACUUCAUCAUCAACUCACAGCCUUCAACUACUGCACUGUGAUCUGUGGGGACCUGCCUCAAUCACAUCAAGUAGUGGUUUUCAAUAUUAUUUGCUCAUUGUUGAUGACUAUAGCAAAUAUAGUUGGUUCUUUCCUUUGAAAUCUAAGUCAGAUGUAUUUUCUACAUUUGUUGUCUUCAAAUCAUAUGUAGAAAAUUCACUUGGAAAUAAAAUAAAGGUUCUGCGUUCAGAUUCAGGGGGUGAAUUUACUAGUCACUCUUUUGCAUCAUAUCUCAGCAAACAUGGCAUUCUUCAUCAGUUCAGUUGUCCCCACACCCCUGAGCAAAAUGGUUGUGCAGAAAGAAAGCACAGGCACCUUGUUGAAAACAGCUCGCACUUUGCUUCUUGCAUUCUCAUGUCCCUCAUAUUUUCUGGGUUGAAGCAUUCUCCACUGCUAUCUAUCUUAUUAAUCGCCUUCCUAUUUCUGGCAUUUCACAGUCCCCUUGGCAGUUGCUAUUUCACAACCAUCCAGACUACUCUAAGCUCAAAGUAUUUGGUUGCCAAUGCUUUCCUUGGCUCAAACCUUACUUUCAUAGCAAAUUGGAUCCCAAGAGCAAAAAGUGUGUUUUCUUGGGGUAUAGUCUUCAACACAAAGGCUAUAGGUGCCUUGAUCCUAUCACCAAUCGCAUCUACAUCUCUCGUCAUGUCUGUAUUCGAUGAAAGUACUUAUCCAUUUCAGUUGUCCCACAUUCAACACUCUUUUCCUGUUCCAAGUCCUCCAUCUUCCUCACCAACAAUUUCUUCCUCUCUGGAUCUUCAUUUUUUAGCAAACACAUUCCUCCUGUUUUCAGUCAGCCAUCUACAUCACCAUUAUGUGCUUCUGUGCCUGUUCCUAUUUCUUCAUCUUCAUCUUCCCCUGCACCUGUCUCAGUUGGCUCUUCUUUCCAGUUUUGUUCCUCCUUCAGCACAUUCAUCUUUCUCCCAAAAUCAACAGAGUCAUCCUCCUGCCCCUGUUAAUUCUCAUCCAAUGAUUACUAGAUCCAAGGCUGGUAUACUCACGUCGAGAGCCUGUGCAGCAACUAAGCACCCACUUCCGGUUGAUAUGGAUUAUGUUCCUACAACAUACUUGCAAGCUUCUAAGCAUGCUCAUUGGAGGCAAGCUAUGCAAGAUGAAUUUAAUGCCUUGCUAACCACUGGUUACUUUGGUCUCUUGUUCCUUCUCACCAUUCUCAAAACUUAGUGGGCUGCAAGUGGGUUUUCCGGAUUAAGAAGAAGCCCGAUGGCACUGUUGACAGAUAUAAAGCCCGGCUUGUGGCCAAGGGUUUUCAUCAACAAGAAGGUAUUGACUUUUCAAGAAAACCUUCAGUCCAGUUGCCAAACCGGUUACAAUUCGGAUCCUUCUUACCCUUUGCUGUGCAAUAUAAUUGGUUUCUCAAUCAAUUGGACAUUAGUAAUGCCUUUCUUCAUGGAGACUUAAAGAGAGGAUGUCUACAUGCAACAACCCCCUGGUUUUGUUGAUCCCUUUACCCUACAUUUUGUAAGUUGAGGAAAUCGUUGUAUGGUCUCAAACAAGCUCCUCGAGCUUGGUUUGAUAAACUGUUCCAAGCUCUUCCUCUCUUGGAUUCACCCAAUCAUCCUCAGAUGCUUCUUUAUUUGUUCUCAAUGGUCCUCAGUUUAGUCAUUGUCCUUGUCUAUGUUGAUGACAUUCUUGUCACCGGACCCUAUCCUUACCUCUGUCAACACUUCAUUCAGCAACUUGGGGCUCAAUUUCCAGUAAAAGACCUUGGUCCUCUUCAUUAUUUCUUGGGAUUAGAAGUACAUCGAUCUUCCCAGGGUAUAUUUCUCCAUCAAACAAAGUACUUAUUGGAUCUUCUCAAGAAAACAAAUAUGGAGGGUGCAAAACCUUGUUGUACUCCCCUUGGCUCUAAGAAAUUAGAUCACAGUGGCCCUCUUCUGUCCAAUCCUACUGAAUAUCGCUCCAUUGUUGGUGGUUUACAAUAUCUUACUUGGACUAGACCCGACCUUGCUUUUGCUGUGAACCAAAUCUGCCAAUUCAUGCAUGCUCCCAGGGAACAACAUCUCCAGGCAGCAAAAAGGGUUCUCAGAUUUCUCAAAGGCUCUAUCUCACAUGGUGUGUGGUUCACUAAAGGCCCUGUCCAUCUUUCUGCCUACUCGGAUGCCGACUGGGCUGGUUGCACAAUUGACAGGAGAUCAACCACUGGUUAUUGUGUAUUUUUGGGUUCCAAUCUUAUCAGCUGGAGUGCCAAGAAGCAAAGUACUGUUGCCAAGGUCCUCUACAGAGGCUGAAUAUCGCUCCUUAGCUCACACAGCUGCUGAGAUAACUUGGGUUUGCAGAUUCUCAAAGAUCUGCACUAUCCUCUCUCUUACAUUCCCUACUUUUGGUGUGACAACAUAUCAGCAAUAUCUUUAGCAUCUAAUCCUGUCUUUCAUGCUCGAACAAAGCAUGUUGAGAUCGAUUAUCNGAAGUUUUCUGUUUUCUACAUGGUAUCACGCCAUUCCGCUUCACAGCUUCGAUCUUUCUCUUCGCUUGCUGCAUCGAUCGACUCUUGAUCGAUUUUUCUUCUCUGAUCUUCUCUUCGCUUGCUGCAUCGAUCGACUCAUGAUCGAUUUUUCUUCUCUGAUCGUCACUUCUUCCCUUCCGAUCUUGUAGUAUUUCUUGAUUUCUGUCAGUAAUGGCGGCUCAAUCGACUGGUUCAUCUUCUCCGGUCAUCUCCCCCUCGAGCCCAAACCCUAAUUUCUCUGGAAACCCUAAUUCCUCUGGAAAUCCGAGUCCUCUGGACUUCCUACACUUCUCUCACAAUUCAUAACAUCGGCAGCAUGGUGCCGAUCAAGCUCAAAAGAUCCAAUUACCUACCAUGGCGCGGCCCUGUUUGGCCCGAUUUUCCGGCGAUACAAGCUUCUUGGAGUAAUCGAUGGUACUGACGUCUGUCCAUCGCCAUUUCUGCCUGAUCGUAGCAUCAAUCCUGCUUUUGAGGACUGGUAUGAGAAAGAUCAAAAUCUUUUGAUCUGGUUGAAUUCCACACUUUCUGAGGAAAUCAUCCCGUUCACGGUUGGGGUUUCAUCCUCUCGAGAACUUUGGGUAAAGCUUGAACACAGCGCUUUGGUGGAAUUUCAGAGGCUCAUAUCCAUCAGUUGCGAUCGCGCCUUCAAUCUGUUCAGAAAGGAUCGCGUUCUAUCUCUGACUAUCUUCAAGAACUCAAGGAAAUUUCAGAUUCUCUGCAAGCUGCUGGUGCUUCUGUCUCUGAUCGAGAUCUUAUCGCCGCCACACUACAUGGCUUGCCUGAUGAAUUUGAGUCUUUCAUCGACUGUAUCAUGCUCCGAUUGUCCUCUACCUCUCUUGAUGAACUUCAUGGCCUCCUUCUCACAAAGGAAUUGUCUAUGGCCAGACGCAAAAACUGUCAGUUCAUCUUCCUGUCCCUGAAUCUUUUCAGGCUUUCUCGGUGCAGUCUCAGCCUCAUCUCCUUCCUACUCCAUCUGCUUUUGCUGCUCAGAAUCUCCCUCUUCAAUCUGCAUCUCGGUUCAACUCUAAUCGUGGCAGGAACACUAAGGGCCAGUUCUUUUCCAAUCGAGGUCAUCGAGGUAAUCGUGGUAAUUUUCCUAAUAACCGUGGCAAUCGAGGUUAUCAAGGAUUUCGCAGCAAUCAAGGCUCUUCUCACUUCAAAGUGCUUUGUCAAAUCUGUGGUUCUACCAGUCAUGAGGCUAUUGACUGCUUUGAUCGUAUGAAUCCUGACAUCUGUGGUCGUAUUCCUCCAGCUAAGCUUGCUGCCAUGUGUGCACAACAUUCUGCUAAACCAUCUCAGCCUUGGUUAAUUGAUUCAGGGGCAACCUCUCAUAUCACUAAUGAUGUUGCUAACCUCACCUCUCCUACUCCCUACACUGGCGAGGAUAAAGUGUAUAUUGGAGAUGGUAAAGGUUUAUCCAUCCUCAAUGUUGGUUCAUCUACUCUGCACACCUCUCAUAAUUCUUUUCAAUUGCGAAAUGUUUUACAUGUUCCCCACAUAACCCAUAAUCUCUUAUCUGCUUAUCAGUUUGUUAAUGAUAAUAAUUGUUCAUUGACACUUGACCCUUAUGGAUCCUAUGUCAAGGAUCGUAUUUCGGGGAAGAUGCUUUUACGGGGACCGGUUAGAGAUGGCUUCUAUCCUCUUCAAAGUUCCAGCAAUCUUCAUCCUCUUUCACAUACCGCUUUACUUAGUAUUAAAGCUCCAGUUACAAUUUGGCACAAGCGUUUGGGUCACCCUUCCUCCUCCAUUUUUAGAAGGCUCCUUUCAUCCAAUAAUCUUGCUUUACAAGGCAAGUCUACUGUGGACUUUUUCUGUUCGGAUUGUGCUCUUGCCAAGAAUCAUAAGCUUCCAUUUAAAGCUGCUACUUCAUCAUCAACUCACAGCCUUCAACUACUGCACUGUGAUCUGUGGGGACCUGCCUCAAUCACAUCAAGUAGUGGUUUUCAAUAUUUAUUUGCUCAUUGUUGAUGACUAUAGCAAAUAUAGUUGGUUCUUUCCUUUGAAAUCUAAGUCAGAUGUAUUUUCUACAUUUGUUGUCUUCAAAUCAUAUGUAGAAAAUUCACUUGGAAAUAAAAUAAAGGUUCUGCGUUCAGAUUCAGGGGGUGAAUUUACUAGUCACUCUUUUGCAUCAUAUCUCAGCAAACAUGGCAUUCUUCAUCAGUUCAGUUGUCCCCACACCCCUGAGCAAAAUGGUUGUGCAGAAAGAAAGCACAGGCACCUUGUUGAAACAGCUCGCACUUUGCUUCUUGCAUCUCAUGUCCCUCAUAUUUUCUGGGUUGAAGCAUUCUCCACUGCUAUCUAUCUUAUUAAUCGCCUUCCUAUUUCUGGCAUUUCACAGUCCCCUUGGCAGUUGCUAUUUCACAACCAUCCAGACUACUCUAAGCUCAAAGUAUUUGGUUGCCAAUGCUUUCCUUGGCUCAAACCUUACUUUCAUAGCAAAUUGGAUCCCAAGAGCAAAAAGUGUGUUUUCUUGGGGUAUAGUCUUCAACACAAAGGCUAUAGGUGCCUUGAUCCUAUCACCAAUCGCAUCUACAUCUCUCGUCAUGUUGUAUUCGAUGAAAGUACUUAUCCAUUUCAGUUGUCCCACAUUCAACACUCUUUUCCUGUUCCAAGUCCUCCAUCUUCCUCACCAACAAUUUCUUCCUCUCUGGAUCUUCAUUUUAGCAAACACAUUCCUCCUGUUUUCAGUCAGCCAUCUACAUCACCAUUAUGUGCUUCUGUGCCUGUUCCUAUUUCUUCAUCUUCAUCUUCCCCUGCACCUGUCUCAGUUGGCUCUUCUUCCAGUUUUGUUCCUCCUUCAGCACAUUCAUCUUUCUCCCAAAAUCAACAGAGUCAUCCUCCUGCCCCUGUUAAUUCUCAUCCAAUGAUUACUAGAUCCAAGGCUGGUAUACUCACGUCGAGAGCCUGUGCAGCAACUAAGCACCCACUUCCGGUUGAUAUGGAUUAUGUUCCUACAACAUACUUUGCAAGCUUCUAAAGCAUGCUCAUUGGAGGCAAGCUAUGCAAGAUGAAUUUAAUGCCUUGCUAACCACUGGUUACUUGGUCUCUUGUUCCUUCUCACCAUUCUCAAAACUUAGUGGGCUGCAAGUGGGUUUUCCGGAUUAAGAAGAAGCCCGAUGGCACUGUUGACAGAUAUAAAGCCCGGCUUGUGGCCAAGGGUUUUCAUCAACAAGAAGGUAUUGACUUUCAAGAAAACCUUCAGUCCAGUUGCCAAACCGGUUACAAUUCGGAUCCUUCUUACCCUUGCUGUGCAAUAUAAUUGGUUUCUCAAUCAAUUGGACAUUAGUAAUGCCUUUCUUCAUGGAGACUUAAAGGAGGAUGUCUACAUGCAACAACCCCCUGGUUUUGUUGAUCCCUUACACCCUACAUCUGUUUGUAAGUUGAGGAAAUCGUUGUAUGGUCUCAAACAAGCUCCUCGAGCUUGGUUUGAUAAACUGUUCCAAGCUCUUCACUCUCUUGGAUUCACCCAAUCAUCCUCAGAUGCUUCUUUAUUUGUUCUCAAUGGUCCUCAGUUUAGUCAUUGUCCUUGUCUAUGUUGAUGACAUUCUUGUCACCGGACCCUAUCCUUACCUCUGUCAACACUUCAUUCAGCAACUUGGGGCUCAAUUUCCAGUAAAAGACCUUGGUCCUCUUCAUUAUUUCUUGGGAUUAGAAGUACAUCGAUCUUCCCAGGGUAUAUUUCUCCAUCAAACAAAGUACUUAUUGGAUCUUCUCAAGAAAACAAAUAUGGAGGGUGCAAAACCUUGUUGUACUCCCCUUGGCUCUAAGAAAUUAGAUCACAGUGGCCCUCUUCUGUCCAAUCCUACUGAAUAUCGCUCCAUUGUUGGUGGUUUACAAUAUCUUACUUGGACUAGACCCGACCUUUGCUUUUGCUGUGAACCAAAUCUGCCAAUUCAUGCAUGCUCCCAGGGAACAACAUCUCCAGGCAGCAAAAAGGGUUCUCAGAUUUCUCAAAGGCUCUAUCUCACAUGGUGUGUGGUUCACUAAAGGCCCUGUCCAUCUUUCUGCCUACUCGGAUGCCGACUGGGCUGGUUGCACAAUUGACAGGAGAUCAACCACUGGUUAUUGUGUAUUUUUGGGUUCCAAUCUUAUCAGCUGGAGUGCCAAGAAGCAAAGUACUGUUGCAAGGUCCUCUACAGAGGCUGAAUAUCGCUCCUUAGCUCACACAGCUGCUGAGAUAACUUGGGUUUGCAAGAUUCUCAAAGAUCUGCACUAUCCUCUCUCUACAUUCCCUACUCUUUGGUGUGACAACAUAUCAGCAAUAUCUUUAGCAUCUAAUCCUGUCUUUCAUGCUCGAACAAAGCAUGUUGAGAUCGAUUAUCACUAUAUUAGAGAAUUGGUUUUGGCUCAACUUCUCAAAGUCAAGUUCAUCUGCAGUGAAGACCAAUUAGCUGAUCUUCACACCAAGUCUCUGUCUAAAACCAGAUUUAAUUAUCUGUGUUCCAAGCUUCCCAUUGGUCUCAUUUCUGAUCCCCCUUCUCGCUUGAGGGGGUGUAUUAGGGAGAAUGACAAGUCAUCCAAGUCUGCUACUGUUAAUAAUUCUGUUACUGUAAAUUAACUGAUUGUAUUAGUUGUGAUUAGUUAAGAUAGUUAUAAAGUAGUUAGGGGUAUCUAUGUAAAUAGCCAAAGGCUAUAUAUAUUCCUACACAAUGUGUAAAGUUCUCAGUCAAGUAAAUACAAUCAAGAAAACUUACUGUUGAAGUUUUCUGUUUCUACAGGUUUUGGAUUGGAGGAGUUGACACAAAAUUAUAAAUAUAUUAAACAAAUUUAUCUAUUCUAAAGUUGGAGGGAAAUUGGCCUGUACAUUGCUACAGUAAUUUUUUUUUACCCAAUUUCACGUUAUUUACAACAAAGCUAUCAGAUUUGGGUUGGGUUGGAGGGUAAUUUGUUAAAAGUUAGGAGGGUAAUUUUGUGCAUAGGGUUUAGGUGCCCUCCUAUACAUGACCCUUGAUUUUACUUUAUUUACACCACUGCCAUCAAAUAUGUGGCUGAAUUGGAGGGUAUUAUUAAAAGUUAGGAGGGUAGUUUGUUCAAGGGGUGAGGGCGACAUUCGCAGACAGAGAGCGAUGGGAGCCAUGGCCAUUGCACAGAGAGAAAGGGAGUGAUGGGGGAAAUUACAGACAGAAAAGGAAGGGAUGGGGGGGAUUUGAUGGAUGGUCACAGAGAGAGAUUGGGUGAGGGAUGUGAGAGGAGAUUACAGAGAGAUAAAUAAAAGGGAGGGAUCGGGGGAUGUGAGGGAUGGUCAGGGAGAGAAAUAGUGAGGGAGGGAGGGAUGGGGGGGCUGAUUUUCGGUUCCUCCUUCCAGAUUUGUUCCGUAAAAACCUGUUGGGUAGAAUUCAAUUUCCUCCCCCUUUCCCCUGAACGAAAAAUUCGAAACCUACAACUCAAAACUCACUCAUUUGUCGUCCCUCCUUGGCUUUCCGCUUUACUCAUCUCCCGGUGGUUCUCUCUCCAUACGAUUCCAUUUCGGUGAGUUCUUCGUUGCCCUCAUGAUUUCCCACUUUUAUUUUUGGGGCGUCCUUAGUCGUCGUUUUUAUCUGGGUUUACUGCAUUGUUGCUUUUAGUUUCUGGAUUUUUAUUUUUUUGGCACUUGGAUGAAUCGUGGUUAAUAAUUUCACAUCAUGGGAUUUUCGCACUUCUGAUGGAAUUGAGCGCGGGGAUUCGGGGUGGGGUUUUACUGAUAAUUUGUCUUCAUUCAAACGAAGGGUUAAAAUUUAUGAGUAUUAACAAAUUUUGUAAAUUAUUCUUAUACAUUUUAUU